rnacentral:lncRNA from 1 species
AGAUACCAACUGAUUCUAGUUAACAAUGUAACAUGCAAAUUGAACUAUUUUCAAUCAUGUGGCUAUUCUACUGGUGUUUAGUUUUGAUUGCUUGUUAAUGUACGUUGUAGUCAUGCGUACCAUCACCCCACUACAAAGUAAGAGCAGAGAGUAGUCAAAGUUCAGUAGAGUAGCAUGUCGUUUCCUUCCCUGUUCAGUCUUAUUUAGCCUAACUUGCUUGUUUUUUUUUCUUUUUGCUGAGCUCCUCUAUACUGGUGCAUGUUCGAUGAAAAGAAUGUGUGAAGUGAGAAUCAAAUAACUUUAGCUAAGUUAACUCCGCUUUUCAGGUUAGCAUAUCAUAGCAAAGAAACCUAGACAAGAAAAAUUGAGAAAAUAGAAGUUUGUAUAGGUAAAUUACUACUCCCUCCUAUCUGUAUUAAUUGUUGCAGAUUUACUACAGAUAGGAGGGAGUAAUAGCUAAUGAUUUUCACUGUAGAAAUUCAAACCAUUUGUCAUUGUGAAGCAAACGAGUAGUUUGAGGAAGGCUCUAAAGCAAGUCUCUUGACCAAACAAGUCUCCACUGCACGAAACUGUAAUAAUCUAUGUGUCACGGGAGUGCUACUAUUCUGAAACAGAACAAUGUGGUGUGGUAAUAUCUUGUGAAGUACUCCCUCCGUACCAAAAUAUAUGAUAAUUUCCGGUUUAAAUGGAACUGCAAAACCGUCUUAUAUUUUGAUACAGAGGUAGUACUACUUUUCAAUCGUGAGGGAGGCUGGAAGUAAACAUGGUGUGGUAACAUCUUGUGAAGCACAUUUAUCUAUUUCCCUGAAUUCAAAUGUUGGUGAGGCACAAUCCUACUAGAGCAUGUACAAUGCACAUGUUUUUUCUACUGUGAGUGCUAGAGAGAAUCUUUUUUUCUUUGUUGUAUCAGAAUUUCUCGGUACUGAUUUCCUUCAUCUUUUUGCCUUCCCAUUAUACCCAACUAGUAUUACCGCCUUUUGCAUUUGAGAACAAAAAUGGUCACAUGAGUGCCUAUUGUGCAGCUAAUUUUCCAUGAAGCAUAUGUAAAGGGAUUUUCCAUUUGAGAGAAUGAGUUGUAAAAAAAUCCUCAUCGCUAGCUCUGCUCUAUUUUGAGACUCACUUGAAUGCACUUUGCUUCGCGUGUGUGUGCCCUUACAAGUUCAAAGCGCAGUGCUUGUGUAACUGCAAGUCAGGAAAGAAGGAGCAUUACAGGCUUAAUUUUGUGGCAAACAUUGAGAGUAUCAUGGCCCAUGCUUUGUCACCCAAAUAAUGUUGGAGAGUUUCUAGUCCUGCAAAAUAUCGUGCAACCUUUAAAUAUGAUGGCAAAACAUGAAACUGUAAGUAGACAUCGGGAAAGGAAACUGUUAACCUUUGGAACUAUCCACUCUCGAGAUUGGCCAGGACACCGCAUCGGCAAUGGGAUCUGGAAUUAAGAAAAGCUUUUGGACGUGAGUAUCUAAGAAAAUAGUAGUUGGAAACAACACUCUAUUUUCAGUGUCACGAGCCAAAAUAGAUUUACAGUCAGUAAAUGUUACCAUGGUAUUUUUGUUUUCCUCCAAUAUUGUGGACGAUUUGAAGUUGGAUAAAGAGAUAAACAAAUUAGUAUUCAUAUCCCACUCACUUAAUUGGGUAUCCUAAGGCAGAAGGUAUAUAUAGGACUCCCAUACAGAAUCAUGUGGUAGGUGUGAGCUAACCAUCCAGGAAACAUUGUUCACAUCAUUUGCUACACGAGAGUGCGCUACAAAAUCAUGCAUGUGGCCAUUUAACUUGUAUGUUUAGUUAUCGAUCCAUUUCCUAGGAAGUAUGGCUAUGAACAGAGUGAGUAGAAACAUUGUGUUUGAUUGGAGGAUAAUGCAACACAUGUUCACGAGAUAUAUACCUGUUGCAUCAACUGAGGAAAACAGGAUUGAGAUUAGCCUAAACUGCGGAGGAGAACCAUCAACUGAGGCCGGAAUUAUGAAUGGUAGAACAGAUUUGCCGAAACAUCCACUGCAUGUAACUGACUUUUGAAAAAAGGAAACUGCUAUAAUGUCUUCGUCUAGCGAUUCACGAAGCAAUGUUGCGCGAUCGAGGUUCAAAUUUACACAUAUGUUGAAUGUGAAAAUUGACACACAUCAUUGCUCCAAAGUUUAGACAACUGGAGAUAAGAAUGCAUCUCUCACAGAUGGUUAACUAAUUACCUACCAUGGCACCGUUUUCCUUAGCAUCUUUUGCCAUAGACAGAGUAUCCCAACUUGUACAAAAUUUGGGGGAAUGGUGAAGGAGAUAAUACACCCACAUUACAACAUAUCUGAACAAGAAAAAAACGUGAAGUUCACCAAAGCCGAUAAUAAUCAUGACACAGCCUAGUGCAUUAUUUAAAGCAAACACAUUUUUUUCCAUUUCCAUGCGGUAUUCGUCCUAUUUUCCUCCUAUAAAAAUAAUCUGAACAAGAUUAUUUGAAGCAAAACACAAUUCCCCUUUCCUGCAUCAUAAGGAGAAACAUUUCAGACACCCCAAACGGAUCAAGUGUAUUUCAGACAUCGAUGACAUACUUUUAACUAAUAACAUGAAGAUAAGAAUGCAUGCACUGUGUUCUACUCUACAGAAGACAACCCGAUAAAGUCUGUCAUGCUAGUUAGUUAAACAGUAUCCAAAUGCAUGCAAUGUGUUCUACUCUACAGAUGAUGAUACCUAAACAUACUAGAAAAAAUGGUUAAACAGGAGCUGACACCGCUGGUGCUUCACGACAAUUAAUUGAACAAACAGGUCACGGCCUGACGUUAAGUAGCUGCCAGUACAGGCAUAUAAAGCAGAGGAACAUGGCUCUCCUCUCGGGUGGCCGUCUUUGGCGGCAGCUUGCCACAGCUACGGCUAUGGCUACUUUGUGGAGCAUUACAAACAAGACAAUACUAUAAAGCCAGAAGUAAUCAUACUAUAAAUCUCAAUCACGCCUAGUCUGAUGUAACUUAAACGCUGGUUCAGGAAUAGCAGGGCACAUCACUGACCGACCCACUGACUACUGGAGGCUGUUCUGUAAAGAAACGGGGCUAUAGAAGCAUGUUAGCUAAUCUAGUCGCUGUAGUUUUUCUUCAGUUAGUUUGCUUUCGUCAGACAUAACGUAGCCAGGCGCAUGAGCUCGCGAGUCGUUGUGCGAGCCACGCGCGUAGGCGAUCUGGGUACGAUCGAUGCCCGAUCGAUCGGGGUGGUCAGCCACGAAACCCACUCGUGGGAUGGCACGAGAAUUCGGGAUCAUGGCGCUAGGACCGGGCCACUCUUUCUCUCUGUAACAGAAUAAGUAGAGGAGAUCAAAAACAGAAAAGUCACAAGGUUGUCCGUGACGCAAAAACUCCUGUCUCUCCUCUCAGUGAUCGCAAGCUGUGAGAGAUCGAGCAACCCUGACAAUUGGCAUCAAAGCCGGUUUAAGGUGAUCCCGACGCCCAUGGCUGACACCGGAGCUCAGCCGGACCAGGCGGCGGCGGCACCCCGCAACGGUGGCGGGGGUGGGAGCCGCUCGCGCACUCCACCACAGGAGCGCAGCCGCGGACGGAGCCACGUGAGAAGGGAGUGGCGGGUGGUGAUCCACCAGGCGGUGGCCAUGGAGCGCGCGCCGCUUGUGCCAAGCGCGGGCACCAUGUUCCCGACGCUCACAUCCACGAACUACAUCGAGUGGUCUCUCGUGAUGAAGGUGCACCUGGAGUCUUGGGGGCUCUGGGACGCGAUCGAGGGUAACGCACUGCAUGUGCGUGACGACAAGACGGCGCUCGGCGUCCUGUUCCGAGUCGUCCCCCUAGAGAUGCUUGGCGUCCUCGUCGUCAACGAGACGGCGAAGGAGGCCUGGGACACGAUCAAGGUCAUGCGCAUGGGGAUGCACCGUGUGCGCGAGGCCACCACGCAACGCCUGCGCGCGGAGUUCGAGCAGAUCACCUUCCGCGACGGCGAAACUCUCGACUCCUUCGGCAUGAGGAUCACCGCCCUCGUCAACCAGCUGCGCACGCUGGAGGACAACGUCGAAGAGGUACGCAUGAUCCCGAAGAUGCUCCGUGUCGUCCCCGCCCGCUAUGCCCAGAUCGCAGUCGCGAUAGAGCCCCUCCUUGAUCUGACCACGAUCUCGGUCGAGGAGCUGAUCGGUUGACUGCGCACCGCUGAGGAGCGCUGCGGUGGCGGGGCGGCUCAAGCCAGCGGCGGCGGUCGGCUGCUCAUGUCGGAGCAGCAGUGGGAUGCCUGGCGCCGCGAGCGCGAGCAGGGCCAGGGGUCCAGCUCAAACGGCGCCGGCAACGGGAACCGCAACGGGGGCGGCGGCAAUCUCCGCCGUGGCAAGCCGCAGAACCAGAAGUGCGGCAACGACACUCAAAGCCAAGGCGGCGGCAACGGCCGCGACAGCGCCGGCAACGGUGGGCGCGACAUGUCUAAGGUGAAGUGCUACAAUUUUCUCAGCGCUGGACACUGGUGUGCGCGGCGCCGUGAAACUCGGCGACGGCUCGGUGGUUCAGAUCGAGGGGAGAGGAACGAUCCUCUUCCAAUGCGGCAACUGUGAGCUCAUGGUCCUGUCUGAUGUGUAUUACAUCCCAAAACUUUGCAGCAACAUCGUCAGCAUCGGACAGUUGGACGAAAUCGCCUACGAGACCAAUAUUAGUCACGGGGUGCUCCAGCUCCGUGAUCCCAGUGGGCAGACUCCUCGCGCGAGUGCAACGUAACCAGGGGAGGCUGUACGUGCUGCAGCUCACGCCGGCCCAGCCAGUGUGCUUCGCGGCGCAUGCUGGCGAGGAUGCAUGGUGCUGGCAUGCGUGCUACGGCCACGUGGACUUCCGGGCUUUACGUCAACUCGCCCGGGACGAACUGGUGCACGACCUCCCGCUAUUUGACGAGGCGGAUCGUGUCUGCGAGGCGUGCCUCGCCGGCAAGCAGCGUCGAGCACCCUUUCCUUAGCAGGCUCUCAGCAGAGCCGACGAGGUGCUGGAGCUCGUGCACACGGACCUCUGUGGUCCAAUCUCCCCUCCAACGCCAGGAGGGAAGCGUUACUUCCUGUUGCUGGUUGAUGACAAGAGCAGGCACAUGUUGGUGUACCUGCUCGCGACAAGGACGAGGCGCAGCCCGCUCUGAAGCGCUUCCAGGCGAUGGCGGAUCUCGAUUUCGGGCGGCAGCUCAAGUUGCUGCGCACGGACCGCGGCGGGGAAUUCACCUCUGCCAGCCUCGGCGAGUACUACGCCGACAAGGAGGUCAAGCGCCAGCUCACGACGCCCUACACGCCCCAGCAGAACGGCGUGGUCGAGUGCCGAAAUUAGACGAUCGUGGGCAUGGCGCGCAGCCUGUAGAAGACAAAGGGUGUGCCGGCGCAGUUCUGGGGGGAGGCCGUGAUGACGGCGGUCUACCUCCUGAACAGGUCUACGACCAAGAGCGUGGCGGGGUCGAUUCCGCACGAGGCCUGGUGCAGGCGGCGCCCAAACGUUGAACACCCGCGCGUGUUCGGAGCGUCGCGCAUGUCAAAGUGACGCGUCCGAAUCUGUCGAAACUCGACGACGGGAGCACGCCCAUGGUAUCCUGGGCUACGAGCCAGGAUCGGCGGCUUACCGCGUCUACCACCCGCCGUCGAACCGUGUUCUGGCCUCCAGGGAUGUCGUGUUCGACGACGAAGCAGCGUGGGACUGGUCUCAGGUCGCGGCGACAAACAAGGAGCCGUGCUACCUCUUGAGCAUGCAUUGGUUUUCCCUUAAAGAGGAAAGGGUGAUGUAGCAAAGUAGCGUAAGUAUUUCCCUCAGUUUUUGAGAACCAAGGUAUCAAUCCUGUAGGAGACUACAUGCAAAUCGCCUAGUACCUGCACGAACAAUCAAGAACCUUGCAACCAGCACGAUAAAGGGGUUGUCAAUCCCUUCACGGUCACUUGCAAAAGUGAGAUCUGAUAAAGAUAAUAAGAUAAUAUUUUUGGUAUUUUUGUUGUAUAGAUUGGAAAAGUAAAGAUUGCAAAAUAAACGGCGACAGAAAUUGGCAAGUUGACGGGAGAUUAAUAUGAUGUAAAAUAGACCCGGGGGCCAUAGGUUUCACUAGAGGCUUCUCACAUGAUAGCAUAUCUUACGGUGGGUGAACAAAUUACUGUCGAGCAAUUGAUAGAAAAGCGUAUAGUUAUGAGAAUAUCUAGGGAUGAUCAUGAACGUAGGCAUCACGUCUGUGUCAAGUAGACCGAAACGAUUCUACAUCUACUACUAUUACUCCACACAUCGACCGCUAUCCAGCAUGCAUCUAGAGUAUUAAGUUCAUAAGAACACAGUAACGCAUUAGGCAAGAUGAUAUGAUGUAGAGGGAUAAACUCAAGCAAUAUGAUAUAAACCCCAUCUUUUUAUCCUUGAUGGCAAUAAUACAAUACGUGUCGGUUCCCUUUCUGUCACUGGGAUCGAGCACCGCAAGAUUGAACCCAAAGCUAAGCACUUCUCCCAUUGCAAGAAAGAUCAAUCUAGUAGGCCAAACCAAACUGAUAAUUCGAAGAGACUUGCAAAGAUAUUAAAUCAUGCAUAUAAGAACUCAGACAAGAAUCAAAUAUUGUUCAUAGACAAACUUGAUCAUAAACCCACAAUUCAUCGGAUCUCGACAAACACACCGCAAAAUGUAUUACAUCGAAUAGGUCUCCAAGAGAAUCGAGGAGAACUUUGUAUUGAGAUCCAAAGAGAGAGAAGAAGCCAUGUAGCUAAUAACUAUAGACCCGUAGGUCUGUGGUAAACUACUCACACAUUAUCGGAGAGGCUACGGUGUUGAUGUAGAAGCCCUCCAUGAUCGAUUCCCCCUCCGGCAGAGCGCCGGAAAAGGCCCCAAGAUGGGAUCUCACGGGUACAGAAGGUUGCGGCAGUGGAAAAAGUGUUUCGUGGCUCCCCUGGAUGUUUUCAGGGUAUAAGAGUAUAUAUAGGCGAAAGAAGUAGGUCGGUGGAGCUGCGACGGGCCCACGAGGGUGGGGGCGCGCCUCCCUGCCUCGUGGCUUCCUCGCUGCUUCCUUGACUUCCACUCCAAGUCUCCUGGAUUGCGUUUGUUCCAAAAAUGAUCCUCGCGAAGGUUUCAUUCCGUUUGAUAUUCCUUUUCUGCGAAACACUGAAAUAGGCAAAAAAAUAUCAAUUUGCACUGGGCCUUCGGUUAAUAGGUUAGUCUCGAAAAUAAUAUAAAAGAGCAUAUUAAAGCCCAUUAAACAUCCAAAACAGAUAAUAUAAUAGCAUAGAACAAUCAAAAAUUAUAGAUACGUUGGAGAUGUAUCAAGCAUCCCCAAGCUUAAUUCCUGCUCGUCCUCGAGUAGGUAAAUGAUAAAAACAGAAUUUUUGAUGUGGAAUGCUACCCAACAUAAUUUUCAAUGUAAUUUUCUUUAUUGUGGCAUGAAUGUUCAGAUCCGAAAGAUUCAAGAUAAAAGUUUAAUAUUGACAUAAAAAUAAUAAUACUUCAAGCAUACUAUUUAAGCAAUUAUGUCUUUUCAAAAUAACGUGGCCAAAGAAAGCUCAUCCCUACAAAAUCAUAUAGUUUGGCUAUGCUCCAUUUUCGUCACACAAGAAUGCUCUCAUCAUGCACAACCCCGAUGACAAGCCAAGUAAUUGUUUCAUACUUUAGUAUUCUCAAACUUUUUCAACUUUCAUGCAAUACAUGAGCGUGAGCCAUGGACAUUGCACUAUGGGUGGAAUGGAAUAUGAUAAUGGGGGUUGUGUGGAGAAGACAAAAAAGGAGAAAGUCUCACAUUGACGCGGCUAACCAACGGGCUAUGGAGAUGCCCAUCAAUUGAUGUCAAUGCAAGGAGUAGGGAUUGCCAUGCAAUGGAUGCACUAGAGCUAUAAAUGUAUGAAAGCUCAACAAAAUAAACUAAGUGGGUGUGCAUCCAACUUGCUUGCUCACGAAGACCUAGGGCAUUUGAGGAAGCCCAUCGUUGGAAUAUACAAGCCAAGUUCUAUAAUGAAAAAUUCCCACUAGUAUAUGAAAGUGACAAAAUAAGAGACUCUCUAUCAUGAAGAUCAUGGUGCUACUUUGAAGCACAAGUGUGGAAAAAGCAUAGUUGCAUUGUCCCUUCUUUUAUUUUCUUUUUUAUAUAUUUUUUUGGGCCUUCCUUUUUUUAUCUGGCCUUUCCCUUUUUUUAUUUGGCCUUUUUUUUCAUGGGACAAUGCUCUAUAAAUGAUGAUCAUCACACUUCUAUUUAUUUACAACUCACUGAUUACAACUCGAUACUAGAACAAAAUAUGACUCUAUAUGAAUGCCUCCGCCGGUGUACCGGGAUGGGCAAUGCAUCAAGAGUGACAUGUAUAAAAAAUUAUGCAAGGUGGAUUUGCCACAAAUACGAUGUCAACUACAUGAUCAUGCAAGGCAGUAUGACAAUGAUGAAGCGUGUCAUAAUAAACGGAACGGUGAAAAGUUGCAUGGCAAUAUAUCUCGAAAUGGCUAUGGAAAUGCCAUAAUAGGUAGGUAUGGUGGCUGAUUUGAGGAAGAUAUAAGGGGGGUUUAUGUGUGAUAGAGCGUAUCAUAUCACGGGGUUUGGAUGCACCGGCGAAGUUUGGACCAACUCUCGAGGUGAGAAAGGGCAAUGCACGGUACCGAAGAGGCUAGCAAUGAUGGAAAGGUGAGAGUGCUUAUAAUCCAUGGACUCAACAUUAGUCAUAAAGAACUCACAUACUUAUUGCAAAAAUCUACAAGUCAUCAGAAAACAAAGCACUACGCGCAUGCUCCUAGGGGGAUAGAUUGUUAGGAAAAGACCAUCGCUCGUCCCCGACCGCCACUCAUAAGGAUGACAAUCAAAGAACACCUCAUGUUUCAAAUUUGUUACACAACGGUUACAAUACGUGCAUGCUACGGGACUUGCAAACUUCAACACAAGUAUUUCUCAAAUUCACAAUUACUCAACUAGCAAGAAAGAUGAAUCUAGUAGGCCAAAGCAAACUGAUAAUUCGAAGAGACUUGCAAAGAUAUUAAAUCAUGUAUAUAAGAAUUCAGAGAAGAAUAAAAUAUUGUUCAUAGAUAAUCUUGAUCAUAAACCCACAAUUCAUCGGAUCUCGACAAACACACCGCAAAAAGUAUUACAUCGAAUAGAUCUCCAAGAGAAUCGAGGAGAACUUUGUAUUGAGAUCCAAAGAGAGAGAAGAAGCCAUCUAGACAAUAACUAUGGACCCGAAGGUCUGUGGUAAACUACUCACACAUCAUCGGAGAGGCUAUGGUGUUGAUGUAGAAGCCAUCCGUGAUCGAUUCCCCCUCCGACGGAGCGCCGAAAAGGCCCCAAGAUGGGAUCUCACGGGUACAGAAGGUUGCGGCGGUGGAAAAAGUGUUUCAUGGCUCCCUUGGAUGUUUUCAGGGUAUAAGAGUUUAUAUAGGUGAAAGAAGUAGGUCGGUGGAGCUGCGAGGGGCGUGCCUACCCCCUGGGGCGCGCCUCCCUGCCUCGUGGCUUCCUCGUUGCUUCCUUGACUUCCACUCCAAGUCUCCUGGAUUGUGUUUGUUCCAAAAACGAUCCUCGCGAAGGUUUCAUUCCGUUUGAUAUUCCUUUUCUGCGAAACACUGAAAUAGGCAAAAAAAAUAGCAAUUUGCACUGGGCCUUCGGUUAAUAGGUUAGUCCAAAAAUAAUAUAAAAGACCAUAUUAAAGCCCAUUCAACAUCCAAAACAGAUAAUAUAAUAGCAUGGAAGAAUCAAAAAAUUAUAGAUACGUUGGAGACGUAUCAAGCCGCAGUGGGACACCUUCUCCAUCGAUCUCGAACCGGUGCCCGCCAAGGUGGUCGGCGGCACCCCAUGCAGCGCAACAUCCCCUGAGGCGUCGAGCUCUCCUACCAUGCCGACAUCGACGCACACGAGUGCGGCCAGGACACGGCCCGCGAUGCUGAUCUGUGCCACACCAAGCCCAGACCGCUCUGGCAUGCAAUUCAUGUCUCCACUGCCGGGGGCGUCAGUGCCGCCGCCCGACAAGGAGGCUCCGCGGCGGUACCGCACCUUGGAGAAUCUGUGAGACACCACUGAAGAAGGGACAAGUGAUAACAGUCAGUACAGUUACCUGUGUCUCUUCGCAGGGGAGGAGCCGACCUCCUUCAAUGAGGCGCAGAAGGAGGGAGGAUGGAGAAACGCCAUGAACGAGGAGAUGCAGAGCAUCAUCGACAACGACACGUGGGAGCUGUGCGAGCUCCCUCCCGGGCACCGAGCGAUAGGCCUCAAGUGGGUCUACAAGCUCAAGAAGGACGCCCACGGCACGAUGGUGAAGCACAAGGCGCGGCUGGUGGCAAAAGGCUACGUCCAAGUCCAAGGAGUGGACUUCAAGGACGUGUUCGCUCCGGUGGCACGCAUGGAAUCGGUGCGCGUGCUGGUCGCGCUCGCCGCGCACCACGUGUGGCCAAUUCAUCACAUGGACGUCAAGUCCGCCUUCUUGAACGGGGACCGGCAGGAGGAGGUCUACGUUGUUCAGCCACCCGGGUACGUUGAGCUCGGCGACGAGGGGAAGGUGCUGCGUUUAUGCAAGGCACUGUAUGGGCUACGCCAAGCCCUGAGAGCUUGGAACGCCAAGCUGGACGAAAGCUUGCGUUCUCUGGGCUUUGAGCGUUGCCCCUCGGAGCACGCAGUCUACCGACGCGGGGAGGGCGACAAGCUCCGGCUCAUCGGUGUGUACGUCGACGACCUUGUCAUUACAGGGGCGGACAAGACGGAGAUCGACGCAUUCAAGUGUCAGAUGACCACGCUCUUCCGCAUGAGCGACCUCGCCGAGCUCAGCUACUACCUGGGCAUUGAGGUGCGCCAGGAGCGCGACCGCAUCACACUCUACCAAGCGGCCUACGCAAAAAGCUGCUGGAGCGUGCUGGGCUCAAAGAGUGCAACACCGGCAACGUGCCGAUAGAAGCUCGACUGAAAUUGAGCAGGGACAGCAAGGAGAGGCCGGUGGACAGCACUGAGUACCGCAGCAUCAUUGGAGGGUCGCGCUACCUCGUGCACAUGAGGCCGGACAUCUCCUUCACCGUCGGCUACCUGAGCCGUUUCAUGGAGGCACCGACUUCAGAUCACUACGCGGCUGUGAAGCGUCUGCUAAGGUAUGUAGCAGGCACUCUGGACCACGGUUGUGCCUAUGUCCGGGGGAAGGGCACGCCGGAGCUGGUGGGGUACAGCGACGCGGAUCACGCCGGUGACAUCAACGACAGGCGGAGCACGACGGGAGUGCUCUACUUCCUCGGCACGGCGGCAGCCCAGUGAGUUGGCAGUCGCAGAAGCAAAGGGUGGUGGCACUCUCCUCAUGUGAGGCGGAGUACGUGGCUGCCACCACCACCGCUUGCCAAGGGAUUUGGCUGGCUGGGCUGAUCGGAGAGAUGCUGAACAUCGACGUCUGGCCACCACGACUUCUGGUCGAUAACAAGUCAGCAAUGUGUCUCCAAGAACCCCAUCUUCCAUGAUCGAAGCAAGCACAUUGAGAUACGAUACCACUUCAUUCGUGAUUGUGUGGAAGAAGGGCGGAUCGACAUCGACUACAUCUGCACCAACGAUCAUCUUGCUGACGUCCUCACCAAGGCACUUGGACGACUCAAGUUUCUGGAGCUUAGGGGGAGGAUCGGCAUGACAGAAAUAAUUCGGCGGCGAUGAGCUUAGAGGGAGAUUUGUUAGCUAAUCUAGUUGAUGUAGUUUUCCUUCAGUUAGUUUGCUUUCGUCAGACAUAACGUAGUCAGGCGCAUGAGCUCGCGAGUCAUGCGAGCUGCGCGCGUAGGCGAUCUGGGCAUGAUCGAUGCCCGAUCGAUCAGGGUGGUCAGCCACGAAACCCACUUGUGGGAUGGCACGAGAAUUCGGGAUCAUGGCGCUAGGACCGGGGCACUCUUUCUCUCUGUAACAGAAUAAGUAGAGGAGAUCAAAAACAGAAAAGUCGCAAGGUUGUAGGUGACGCAAAAACUCAUGUCUCUCCUCUUUGUGAUCGCGAGCUGUGAGAGAUCGAGCAACCCUGACAAAGCACAUGACGCCUAUAGUCCAUUGUUAAUUCCUCUCUGUACCUAAUCUUGUUAAUUUCCCACACCAAAGAUGCUAAUCAACUGGCAUUCUAAAACUCUCCUAACAAGUAACAACAGCCGCGCCUAUGGACGAUCGAUCCCACCAGUGGCAACCAAUGGAGGUGCCAACGGUGGUGAUGCAACUUGUUUCCAUGUACAACAACUACGGCAAUCCGUCCUCUCCUACCUGCAUUGUCCUCGAAGGAAUGGAAGCGGACGAGAGAGAGCGUCGACCUGACUUAUAACAUUUUUCUUUCAGCAAUCUCUACAAAAAAUCAUGCCUCUCUUGACUUGGGGUCAAUAGCUCCUGUGCGACAUCUUUCGUGGGAAUUGGACAGAGUGCGACAUUGUUGACGAAAAUGGCUUUGGGGCGACACUUUUGAGCGACAAAAUAGCCCAGACACGACAUGGCCCUUAAACUGAUCUGAUGCCCUCAUUAGCUGUUAUGGGCUGGACCCACAACUUAUCCACGUAAGCGCGGGACCCACCAUUUGUCCAGUAAGCGCGGGACCCACAACUUAUCCACGUCAGCAUGGGACCCACCACUUGUCCAGUAUGCGCGGGACCCACCUCUUUGCAGCUAGAAGAGAUGACUGAUGACCCACAAGUGUAGGAGAUCUAUCGUAGUCCUUUCGAUAAGUAAGAGUGUCGAACCCAACGAGGAGCAGAAGGAAAUGACAAGCGGUUUUCAAUAAGGUAUUCUCUGCAAGCACUGAAAUUAUAGGUAACAGAUAGUUUUGUGAUAAGAUAAUUUGUAACGGGUAACAAGUAAUGAAAGUAAAUAAGGUGCAGCAAUGUGGCCCAAUCCUUUUUGUAGCAAAGAACAAGCCUGGACAAACUCUUAUAUAGAUAAAAGCGCUCCCGAGGACACAUGAGAAUUAUUGUCAAGCUAGUUUUCAUCACGUUCAUAUGAUUCGCGUUCGGUACUUUGAUAAUUUGAUAUGUGGGUGGACCGGUGCUUGGGUGCUGUCCUUACUUGGACAAGCAUCCCACUUAUGAUUAACUCCCAUUGCAAGCAUCCGCAACUACAAAAGAAGUAUUAAGGUAAACCUAACCAUAGCAUGAAACAUAUGGAUCCAAAUCAGCCCCUUACGAAGCAACGCAUAAACUAGGGUUUAAGAUUCUGUCACUCUAGCAACCCAUCAUCUACCUAUUACUUCCCAAUGCCUUCCUCUAGGCCCAAACAAUGGUGAAGUGUCAUGUAGUCGACGUUCACAUGACACCACUAGAGGUGAGACAACAUACAUCUCAUCAAUAUAUCGAACGAAUACCAAAUUCACAUGACUACUAAUAGCAAGACUUCUCCCAUGUCCUCAGGAACAAACGUAACUACUCACAAAGCAUAUUCAUGUUCAUAAUCAGAGGGGUAUUAAUAUGCAUAAUGGAUCUGAACAUAUGAUCUUCCACCAAGUAAACCAACUAGCAUCAACUACAAGGAGUAAUCAACACUACUAGCAACCUACAGGUACCAAUCCCAGGCUAUGAGACAAAGAUUGGAUACAAGAGAUAAACUAGGGUUUGAGAGGAGAUGGUGCUGGUGAAGAUGUUGAUGGAGAUUGGGCCCCUCCCGAUGAGAGGAGUGUUGGUGAUGACGAUGGCGAUGAUUUCCCCCUCCCGGAGGGAAGUGUCCCCGGCAGAACAGCUCUGCAAGAGCCCUAGAUUGGUUCCGCCAAGGUUCCGCCUCGUGGCGUCGGAGUCUCAUCCCGAAAGCUUGCUUAUGAUUUUUUCUCAGAUGAAAGACUUCAUAUAGCAUAAGAUGGGCACCGGAGGGCCACCAGAGGGCCCACGAGGUAGGGGGCGCGCCCCCACCCUCGUGGCCAGGGUGUGGGCCCCCUCUGGUAUUUUCUUCGCUCAGUAUUUUUUAUUAUUUCCAAAAAUAACUUCCGUGGAGUUUAAGGACUUUUGGAGUUGUGCAGAAUAGGUCUCUAAUAUUUGCUCCUUUUCCAGCCCAGAAUUCCAGCUGCCUGCAUUCUCCCUCUUUAUGUAAACCUUGUAAAAUAAGAGAGAAUAAGCAUAAGUAUUGUGACAUAAUGUGUAAUAACAGCCCAUAAUGCAAUAAAUAUCGAUAUAAAAGCAUGAUGCAAAAUGGACAUAUCAACUACCCCAAGCUUAGACCUCACUUGUUCUCAAGCGGAAGCCGAUAAUGAUAAAUAUGUCCACAUGUUUAGAGGUAGAGGUGUCGAUAAAAUAAAAUACGGACAUGAGGGCAUCAUGAUCAUUCUUAUAACAGUAACAUAUAUGGAUAUUGUCAUAUUAUUUCUUAUGAUAAAGUAACAAUCUAUCCACAAUGUCAAGUGUGAAUCAGAAACUUCAUUGAGAACUAACAAACGAUAAUCUCAGUCAUUGAGGCAAUUGCAAUUUAUCAUAACAUCAUAAAGAGUCUAUGUAAGAGCUUUUCAGCAAGUCCACAUACUCAACUAUCAUUUAGUCUUUCACAACACUCACGCAAUACUUGUGGUUAGGGAGUUUUAAUCGGACACAGAGAAAGAUAGGGGCUUAUAGUUUCGCCUCCCAACCUUUUACCUCAAGGGUAAUGUCAACAAUAAUAGUUCAUUCUAAUUUGCAUCCAAUUAUAUAUAUAUAUAUAUAUAUAUAUAUAUAUAUAUAUCAGGAUCUUUCCAACACAAGGUGCUUGCCAAAGGAUAUAAAAUGUAAAAAGGAAAGGUGAAGAUCACCAUGACUCUUGCAUAAGGUAGAAAAUAAAAGUAAAAGAUAGGCCCUUCGCAGAGGGAAGCAGAGGUUGUCAUGCGCUUUCAGGGUUGGAUGCACAAAAUCUUAAUGCGAAAGAACGUCACUUUAUAUUGCCACAUGUGAUAUGGACCUUUAUUAUGCAGUCCGUCGCUUUUAUUUCUUCCACAUCACAAGAUCGUAUAAAGCUUAUUUUCUCCCACACUAAUAAGUCAUACAUAUUUAGAGAGCAAUUUUUAUUGCUUGCACCGAUCACAACUUACUUGAAGGAUCUUACUCAAUCCAUAGGUAGAUAUGGUGGACUCUCAUGGCAAAACUGGUUUUAAGGGUAUUUGGAAGCACAAGUAGUAUUUCUACUUGGUGCAAAAAAUUGGCUAGCAUGAGGGAGAAAGGCAAACUCAACAUGUUGGAUGAUCCAUGACAAUAUACUUUAUCUCAGAUAUAAGAAAACAUGACCCAUUAUGUUGUCUUCCUUGUCCAACAUCAACUCUUUAGCAUGUCAUAUUUUAAUGAGUGCUCACAAUCAUAAAAGAUGUCCAAUAUAGUAUAUUUAUAUGUGAAACCUCUCUUUCUUUAUUACUUCCUAUUAAUUGCAACGAUGACCAAAACUAUGUUUGUCAACUCUCAACAACUUUUAAUCAUCAUACUCUUUCUAUGUGAAGUCAUUACUCUCCAUAAAAUCAAUAUGAUCUCUUUUUAUUCUUUCUUUUUCUUUUAUUCACUCAUAAUCAUAGCAAGAUAAUCAAGCCCUUGACCCAACACUAAUCUCUAUUAUAUAGCUCACGGACUUGAUUACAUAGAGGGAUCAUAAAGCAAAACUCAAAACUAAAUCAUAUUAAAACUUUAUUCUACUAGAUCAAGAUAUUACCAAAAGGAUCGAACUAAGAAAAACGGUAAAGAUAGGAGUGUGAUGGUGAUACAAUACCGGGGCACCUCCCCCAAGCUUGGCAGUUGCCAAGGGGAGUGCCCAUACCCAUGUGAUUAUAUCUCCUUUGCUGGCGAAGGUGAUGGUGGAGUUGUUGAUGAUGUGGGCUUGUCGUCCAUCGAGCGUAAGAGGUCCUCCAACUUGCAGAUAAUGCCCUUGAGUGCGAUUUUAUAUGCUCCCUCAACAAAAUAUUUUCACAUGUGAGAUACUUCUUUUUUAUACGAGCUAACUCAAUCAUCUUGAAAGCUUCGAUCUCAGUUGGGGUAAGAAGAUUGUGAUCAAGUUGAAGGAUGUCUUCUGCUGCCGGAGCUUGGUCCUCUGUGGCCUUAUUGAUCCCUUCAUCUUUGUUGAUCUCCAUGGGUUCUUCCCUCUUCAGCUCUAUCUUCAUUAGCCAAGCAUCGUUGUCACCAUUGUUGGAGGAGGAGGACGACAUGAUGCCUGGCCUAGACAACCCUGACAGAAAAUAAUGCAACUCGAAACAAGAACAGAGGAUAAUUGCGUGAUACGGGAGUCAAAAUCUUCGGGAGUUUAUAUAAUGAAUUUUUACCGACCGAAAGAAGUAUCGUGCAAGAAAACGGAGUCCGGAGAGCACACGAGGUGCCCACGAGGCAGGGGGACGCGCCCAGGGGGUAGGGCGCGCCUCCCACCCUCGUGGAAGCCUCGUUUCCUUCCCGGACUGCUUCUUAUUUUCCUAUUUUUCUAAAUAUUCCAAAACAGAGAAAGUUUGCAAUUAGAACUGUUCUGUAGUCGGUUUACUUACCGUACCACAUACCUAUAACUUUUCGGGGUCUGAAACGUUCUAGAAAGUGUCUCUUAUGUAUUCCUCCGGUGUUACGGUUUCAACAACAUUAGUUUCAACAUUUAUAGGGUUACCUGAGAUAUAAUGUUUGAUUCUUUGACCGUUCACCACCUUCGGACUUGUGCCUUCAAAGUUGUUGAUUUUUAUGGCACCGGAACGAUAGACCUCCUCGAUAACGUAAGGACCUUCCCAUUUAGAGAGAAGUUUUCCAGCAAAAGAUCUUAAACGAGAGUUGUAUAACAAUACAUAAUCACCUACAUUAAACUCAUGCUUUUGUAUCCUUUUUUCAUGCCAUCUUUUAACUUUUUCCUUAAACAAUUUGGCAUUCUCAUAGGCUUGGGUUCUCCGUUCAUCAAGUGAGCUAAUGUCAAAUAACCUCUUCUCACCAGCAAGUUUAAAAUCAUAAUUGAGCUCUUUAAUGGCCUAGUAUGCCUUAUGUUCUAGUUCGAGAGGUAAAUGACAUGCUUUUCCAUAAACCAUUUUAUACGGAGACAUACCCAUAGGAUUUUUAUAUGCAGUUCUAUAGGCCCAUAAUGCAUCAUCAAGUUUCUUGGACCAAAUCUUUCUAGAUCUAUUAACAGUCUUUUGCAAAAUUAAUUUGAGCUCUCUAUUACUCAAUUCUGCUUGACAACUAGACUGUGGGUGAUUAGGGGAUGCAAUUCUAUGAUUAACAUCAUACUUAGCACGCAUUUUACGAAAAGCACCAUGAAUAAAAUGUGAACCACCAUCGGUCAUUAAAUAUCUGGGGACUCCAAACCUGGGAAAAAUAACUUCUUUAAGCAUCUUAAUAGAGGUGUUAUGAUCAGCACUACUAGUCGGAAUAGCUUCUACCCACUUAUUAACGUAAUCAACAACAACUAAAAUAUGUGUAUACCCAUUAGAGGAAGGAAAAGGUCCCAUAUAAUCAAAGCCCCAAACGUCAAAUGGUUCAAUAACAAGUGAAUAAUUCAUAGGCAUUUCUUGACGUCUACUAAUGUUACCAAUUCUUUGACAUUCAUCACAAGAUAAGACAAACUUACGAGCAUCCUUGAAGAGAGUAGGCCAAUAAAAACCGGAUUGCAAUAACUUAUGUGCAGUUCUAUCUCCAGCGUGGUGCCCUCCAUAAGCCUCGGAGUGACACUUGCGUAGGAUCUGUUCCUGUUAAUGCUCAGGUACACAACGCCUAAUAACACCAUCUACUCCUUCUUUAUAAAGAUGUGGGUCAUCCCAGAAGUAAUGUCUUAAAUCAUAGAAAAACUUUUUCUUUUGCUGGUAUGUGAAACUAGGUGGUAUAAAUUUAGCAACAAUGUAAUUAGCAUAAUCAGCAUACCAUGGAGCAGUACGAGAAGCAUUUAUAACAUUUAAUUGUUCAUCAGGAAAGCUAUCAUCAAUAGGUAGUGGGUCAUCAAGAACAUUUUCUAACCUAGACAAGUUAUCUGCAACAGGGUUCUCAGCUCCCUUUCUAUCAAUAAUAUGUAAAUCAAAUUCUUUUCGCAAGAGAACCCAUCUAAUAAAUCUAGGUUUAGCAUCUUUCUUUUCCAUAAGAUAUUUAAUAGCAGCAUGAUCAGUGUGAAUAGUUACUUUAGAAUCAACAAUAUAAGGUCUGAACUUAUCACAAGCAAAUACAACUGCUAAAAAUUACUUUUCAGUAGUGGCAUAAUUUCUCUGGGCAUUGUCUAGAGUUUUACUAGCAUAUUGAAUAACAUUUAAUUUCUUAUCAACUCUUUGCCCUAGAACAGCACCUACAGCAUAAUUGCUAGCAUCACACAUAAUUUCAAAAGGUAAAUUCCAAUCAGGUGGCUGAACAAUAGGUGCAGAAAUCAAUGCUUUCUUAAGUAUUUCAAAUGCUUCUACACAAUCAUCAUCAAAAACGAAAGGUAUAUCUUUUUGUAAGAGAUUAGUCAGAGGCCGAGAAAUUUUUUAGAAGUCCUUAAUGAACCUCCUAUAAAAACUAGCAUGACCAAGGAAACUUCUUAUACCUUUGAUGUCCUUGGGACAUGGCAUCUUUUCAAUAGCAUCAACUUUAGCUUUAUCAACUUCACUACCUCUUUUAGAAAUUUUAUGCCCCAAGAAAAUACCUUCAUUAACCAUAAAGUGGCACUUCUCCCAAUUCAAGACAAGGUUAGUUUCUUCACAUCUCUGCAAAACUCGAUCAAGGUUGCUCAAGCAAUCAUCAAAAGAGGAUCCAUAAACGGAGAAAUUGUCCAUGAAAACCUCACAUAUCUUUUCACAAAAGUCAGAAAAUAUAGCAAUCAUGCAUCUUUGAAAGGUAGCAGGUGCUUUACAUAAACCAAAAGGCAUACGUCUAUAAGCAAAAGUACCGAAAGGGCAAGUAAAAGUGGUAUUUGCUUGAUCAUCAGCUGACACAGGUAUUUCAGAGACACCAGAGUAACCAUCUAGAAAGCAAAAAUGUGUAUGUUUGGAUAAUCUUUCUAGCAUUUGAUCAAUAAAAGGUAAGGGGUAAUGAUCUUUUUAGUAGCCUUAUUUAAUUUGCGGAAAUCAAUUACCAUCCUAUAACCUGUAAUAAUUCUUUGCGGAAUCAAUUCAUCUUUAUCAUUGGGAACGACAGUAAUACCUCCCUUCUUAGGGACACAAUGGACAGGACUUACCCACUGACUAUCAGCAACGGGAUAAAUUAUACCUGCCUCAAGGGGCUUUAGUAUUUCCUUUCUUACCACUUCCUUCAUCUUAGGAUUCAGACGUCGUUGAUGAUCAAUAACUGGUUUGGCAUCUUUCUCCAAAUUUAUUUUGUGUUGGCAUAGAGUGGGACUAAUGCCAUUAAGAUCAUCAAGAGUAUAUCCAAUAGCAGCACGGUGCUUCUUCAGAGUUUUCAGUAAUUUUUCUUCCUCCUUCUCUGAAAGGUUAGCACUAAUAAUAACAGGAUAUAUCUUCUUUUCAUCAAGAUAAGCAUAUUUAAGAGUAUCAGGCAACGGUUUAAGCUCAAACACGGGAUCACCCUUGGGUGGAGGAGGACCCCCUAGGAUUUCAACAGGAAAAUUGUGUUUCAUAAUAGGUCCAUGUUUAAAGAAUACUUCAUCUAUUUCCCUUCUUUCAUUCAUAAACAUAUCAUUCUCAUGGUCUAGCCAAUAUUGUUCUAAAGGAUCACUAGGAGGCACGGCAAUAGAAGCAAGACCAAUAAUUUCAUCCUUACUAGGCAAUUCCUCAUCACGCGAGGUUGUCUACGAAAUUUAGAGAAAUUAAACACAUGAGACAUAUCAUCCAAACCAAUAGUAACAACAUCCUUUUCGCAGUCUAUCUUAGCAUUAACAGUGUUCAAGAAGGGUCUACCAAAUAUAAUGGGACAAAAGCUAUCUUGUGGGGAACCAAGAACAAGAAAAUCAGCAGGAUAUUUAGCCUUCCCACACAAGACCUCAACAUCUCUAACAAUCCCAAUUGGUAAAAUAGUAUCUCUAUUGGCAACCUUAAUGGUAACAUCGAUAUCUUCUAUCUCAGCCGGUGCAAUAUCAUGCAUAAUUUCUUUGUAUAAGUAAAUAGGUAUUGCACUAGCACUAGCACCCAUAUCACACAAGCCAUGAUAACAAUGAUCUCCUAUUUUAACAGAAAUAACAGGCAUGCCUACCACAGGUCUAUGUUUAUCUUUAGCACCAGGUUUAGCAAUUCUAGCAGUAUCAUCACAGAAGUAUAUAACAUGCCCAUCGAUAUUAUCAGACAAGAGAUCUUUAACAAUAGCAAUAUUAGGUUCAACUUUAACUUGCUCAGGAGGUGUAUAAGUUCUAAUAUUACUUUUACGAACCACAGUUGAAGCUUUAGCAUGAUCCUUUAUACUAACAGGAAAAGGUGGUUUCUCAACUUAAGCAGUAGGAACAAUAGGAUCAUUAUAAGUGAUAGUCUUUUCUUCAACUUUAAUAGGUUCAACUACUUUUACUUCUAUGGGAGGAUGAUAUUUAAACCACUCUCCUUAGGGAGAUCAACAUGAGCAGCAAAAGAUUCACAGAAAGAAGCUACUAUCUCAUAGUCAAGUCCAUAUUUAGUGCUAAUAAAUUUACGGAAAACAUCGGUAUCCAUAAAAGAUUUAACACAAUCAAACUUAGGUGUUAUACCCGACUCCUUACCUUCGUCGAGAUCCCAAUCUUCAGAGUUGCGUUUAAUUCUUUCCAGUAAAUUCCAUUUGAAUUCAAUAGUCUUCAUCAUAAAAGAGCCAGUACAUGAAGUAUUGAGCAUGGAGCGAUUAUUGUGAGAAAGCCGAGCAUAAAAAUUAAUAAUCAUUUCUCUUGAGAGUACAUGAUUGGGGCAUGAAUAUUACAUUGACUUAAGCCUCCCCCAAGCUUGAGCGAUGCUUUCUCCUUCGCGAGGCCAAAAAUUAUAUAUAUAAUUACGAUCACGAUGAACAAGAUGCAUAGGAUAAAACUUCUGAUGGAAUUCCAAUUUCAACCGUUUGUAGUCCCAUGAUCCCAUAUCAUCACAUAGCCGAUACCAUGUCAAUGCAUCUCCCUUCAAAUAUAAAGGGAAGACCUUCUUAUUGAUAACAUCAUCGGGCACACCUGCAAGCUUAAAUAAUCCACGAACUUCAUCCACAUAGAUUAAGUGUAAAUCGGGACGCAAUGUUCCAUCUCCUGCAAAAGGAUUAGCCAGUAGUUUCUCUAUCAUACCCGAAGGAAUUUAGAAGUAAACAUUUUCAUUUUCAGUAGGUUCAGUAGGUUGAGGAGCAACUCUUUGCUCUACUGGUCGAGGUGAAGAUACCCCGAACAAGCCCCUCAAAUGAUUACUUUCCAUAGUAACAAGUGACAGUAAAUUUCAGCACACUAUAUAAAAUUUUCAUUACCAAAUUCCACCUACCAAAGGCGCUUCACUCCCCGGCAACGGCGCCAGAAAAGAGUCUUGAUGACCCACAAGUUUAGGGGAUCUCUCGUAGUCCUUUCGGUUAGUAAGAGUGUUGAACCCAACGAGGAGCAAAAGGAAAUGACAAGCGGUUUUCAGCAAGGUAUUCUCUGCAAGCACUGAAAUAUAGGUAACAGAUAGUUUUGUGAUAAGAUAAUUUGUAACGGGUAACAAGUAAUGAAAGUAAAUAAGGUGCAGAAAGGUAACAAGUAAUAGAGAAAAGCGCUCCCUGAGGACACAUGGGAAUUAUCGUCAAGCUAGUUUUCAUCACGUUCAUAUGAUUCGCGUUCGGUACUUUGAUAAUUUGAUAUGUGGGUGGACCGGUGCUUGGGUGCUGUCCUUACUUGGAAAAAUAUCCCACUUAUGAUUAACUCCUAUUGCAAGCAUCCGCAACUACAAAAGAAGUAUUAAGGUAAGCCUAACCAUAGCAUGAAACAUAUGGAUCCAAAUCAGCCCCUUACGAACCAACGCAUAAACUAGGGUUUAAGCUUCUGUCACUCUAGCAACCCAUCAUCUACUUAUUACUUCCCAAUGCCUUCCUCUAGGCCCAAACAAUGGUGAAGUGUCAUGUAGUCGACGUUCACAUGACACCACUAGAGGAGAGACAACAUACAUCUCAUCAAAAUAUCGAACAAAUACCAAAUUCACAUGACUACUAAUAGCAAGGCUUCUCCCAUGUCCUCAGGAACAAACGUAACUACUCACAAAGCAUAUUCAUGUUCAUAAUCAGAGGGGUAUUAAUAUGCAUAAUGGAUCUGAACAUAUGAUCUUCCACCAAGUAAACCAACUAGCAUCAACUACAGGAGUAAUCAACACUACUAGUAAUCCCAGGCUAUGAGAAAAAGAUUGGAUACAAGAGAUAAACUAGGGUUUGAGAGGAGAUGGUGCUUGUGAAGAUGUUGAUGGAGAUUGGCCCCCUCCCGAUGAGAGGAGCGUUGGUGAUGACGAUGGCGAUGAUUUCCCCCUCCUGGAGGGAAGUGUCCCCGGCAGAACAGCUCUGCCAGAGCCCUAGAUUGGUUCCGCCAAGGUUCCGCCUCGUGGCGGUGGAGUCUCGUCUUGAAAGCUUGCUUAUGAUUUUUUCUCGGACAAAAGACUUCAUAUAGUAGAAGAUGGGCACCGGAGGGCCACCAGGGGGCCCACGAGGCAGGGGCGCGCCCAGGGGGUAGGGCGCGCCCCCCACCCUCGUGGCCAGGGUGUGGGCCCCCUCUGGUAUUUUCUUCACUCAGUAUUUUUUAUUAUUUCCAAAAAUAACUUCCGUGGAGUUUCAGGACUUUUGGAGUUGUGCAAAAUAGGUCUCUAAUAUUUGCUCCUUUUCCAGCCCAGAAUUCCAGCUGCCGACAUUCUCCCUCUUUAUGUAAACCUUGUCAAAUAAGAGAGAAUAAGCAUAAGUAUUGUGACAUAAUGUGUAAUAACAGCCCAUAAUGCAAUAAAUAUCGAUAUAAAAGCAUGAUGCAAAAUGGGCGUAUCAACGACCGCCCGUCCCCGUCGGCCCGCCGCCACCCAUUGCUUCCCCUUUCCCCAUUCUUCCUCUUCUCUGGCGAGCUGGUGCAGAUGUCCACCUCCUCCGCCACGCACUGAAAAUGGCGUCAGUAUGGUCCAGUGCCGCUCACAAGGUGCCCUGACUGCCCACGCCCAGAGCCUCUAAAACGGUGGGUCAGUAGAACUGAUGAGAAUGGAAAUCUUGGGCGGGAAUUUGUGAAGUGCUUGAGCAAAACAAUGGCAGAAAGGGAUGGCAAGGUUAGAUCUCAGUUCUUAGCCCAUUCUUUCACUGUCGUUUGCUCUGAUUUAUCCAUAUUUUGUUUUUUUCCUCGAAUUUGGAAUUUAGGGUUCAUGUUGUUGUUUUUUCCUCGAAUUUGGAAUUUAGGGUUCAUGUUGUUGAUUUAUCCAUAUUUCAUGUUGUUGAGAGGAUUCAGUUCGAGGGCUACAUUGAUUCGAGCGGGGCCGCAACCUGGGAGCUCAAUUUGGGGGGAGGGGUGCCGCAGAUGGAGAAUUUGGGGUCGAGCUUGGACAGAGGGGCGGGCAGAGUCGUGUCGAUGGCUAGGUAUGCGCGCAAUGCUGAACUGCACUUGGAGUCUGAACUAACCGAGGAACUGAAGAUAAUCAAGAAAUCAAAUGGAGAUGAUCAAUCUGCAGAAGCAAGCAAAUAUCAUGGCAGGGGGGGUUCUAUUGUUGUGUCAUUGCUCUGUUUUUGUUUUACUUGUUGUUCAUCCGUCAUUAGAGGGAGCAUUUAGGUCUAUCAGGGCAGAGGAUGCGAUCUGUGCGCCAUGCCAAGUUCAUGUAACUGAAUCGAAGCAGAAAUAUUCUAUGUUGAUGCUUUGUUCUUGUUCUUCAGUUAACAGAGUGCACACCCCCCAAAUUCAGUUUCUAGUAAGAAAAUCUUGCUGCCGAAUAGAUGUUGGGCCAUGAAAAAACAACGAGGCCCAAAUAGAGACAAGCCCACCCGCGUAGGGGCACCAGCCCAGUUUUAUAGCAUAGAGGCACCCAUGUUUAAAAAAAAUGUUCGACUAAAAACUCAAAAUAAAAUAUUGCUUCGGCAAAUAAACCUUUAACAAACAUAUACUUCUUUACAUAUUUGUUGCUUGUCCACGCUUGCACAAAAUAUUGGCCAGAGGUAAAAUUCAAACUAAUAUUUUUAGGAGCACAGAAAUAUUUCUUUUGUGACCAAUAAUUGUUUGCAUGAACUAAAAUAGUUGCAUUUCCAUGGUUGCAAAAAAAAUUGCACCGUACACCUAAUAGCUAGGGUGAUCCUAUUUGCAUGAACUAAAUUAGUUGCAUGUCCAUGGUUGCACAAAAAUUAUCACCGUACACCUACUAGCCAGGGCCUAGAUACAUGCAAGCACACAUGCAUCACACCAAGAUAUGAAAAAAAAUUGCAAAAAAAUUUGGGUACCCAUACACUUGCAUGUCCGUAGUGGAAGCUACCUUUUAUUAGUAAGACAUAGAUCAAAUAGGGAUCCAAUCAACUAGAUAUAACAUGGGUACCCAUAGAACAUCAAGCACCAUAUAUAUCAACUAACCAAUAUCAACUAGAUAGAAAAAAAUAACAGAUAGAACAUAGUAGCAUAAGUAGUAGCAUUGCAUAGAUAAGGGUAGCACGACAUAUAUAGUACCACUACAACAUAGAUAAUUCAUAGUUCAACCCAACACGACAAUAAUAAAACACCACCAGCUUGUUUGCUUGCUUGCUCAAAGGCCAAAUCCUCCAUGGCCAACUCCUUCACUCGUCGCCGUUGGUGGGGUACGGGAGGGUGUGCAUGCGCUCAUCGGCGGGGAAGGCACUGUCGAAGUCCGUGAAGAUGUUGUACAUGGUGAAUGCGAUGAACUCGCAUCCACAUCAAAAAACACGACCGAGGAGGUAGUAGGCGUCGAAGGGGUUGGUGAACCUCACGAUGAGCCCGAUAGGAUGGCCACUGCUACUGACCUCUUUGACACGGAACAUGGCCGGAGAGCCCCUCGGGAGGUGCCGGUAGCCGGCGGAGAGGAAGAACUCGGUCAGCCCCCUUGCCCCCCUCCACCUCGAGAUCGCCCACACCCGUAGGGUGUUCUCCACCCGGACUCCGGUAGGGUAGAGCCUCUCAGGGAAGGUGCGCGGCACACGGUAGGUAGCCCCGGUGAACUGCAUCUUGCUUGCUAGCUUUGAGUGGAUCUUGGAAGAUGGGAGAUGAAGGAGAGUGAGAGGAAGAUGUGGGUAGAGGAAGAUGUAGGCUUGGGUGUGCUUAAAUAGCCGAGGUGCAGUGUUUUAACGUUUUGUUUUCCUCUCCCUCGUAAUGGCAUGGGAAACGAGCAAUGUGGCAUCGAGUCACCCGAGCCAACCCGUGUGUACACGCGCAUGCAUUGUGGUAGUAAUGCCAAUGACCCGCGUAGCACUCUAGCAAUAAAAAUGCGUCGAGAGAUGAGCUCGAUGCCAUGCAUGCAGCGGCUAGCGGUCGGGCAUCUAGACCCAUCUAGAAUGGGUAAAUAGCCAUAAUGCUACGAGGGUGUCGGCGGGCAUGCUCGCCCGCGAUGCCAUCCAUGCAACGUCGAACGCUGAGAGGGCGGCCGCAGGAGGGCUACACGCGCGUGCAUGCUUUUCAGGCCGAAUGCAGCGUCGUGUCCAUCGGUCCAAUGGGUGGGCCGCUUUAAUUAAGCCCAACAACACAUGGCAGGCCUGCUUAGUCUUACAAUGUAAAAAAUGGGCUAAAACGACCAGCCAAUGAAAGCGCAACACGCGGAUCUGUGACGUGGCUCCUAAUCCAGACUGUUGCUUAUGUUCACAUCCAUCCAAUGGUCCAGAAUGCUACGUGUUAUAAUAUUCAGCAUCUUCGAAUCAGCCAAUCAGAGUGCUGCCUGCAGAUCGCUGACGUAGCCCUGGUGCCUGAUCCAGACCGUCCAUUCAUAGCGAUCCAAUGGCCGAGAGGAGUGUGGGGUUUCAAUGGGGUUUUGAGUGGUUUUCAGCGGUUAGGGUUGAGCAUAACUAAUUCAAAAAAAUCAAAAAAACUAUAAAACUUGUGUCGAUCAUCGUUCUAUGUGACUAAGUAUCUAGGAAAAAUAAGAAACUUGUACUACGGAUAUUUUCAUGAAAAAACCUUCACAAAAGAUGGCUAUCAAGAACGACCUUGUAGGGUUUUGAAGAGAAGUGAGCUAGGGUUUAGUGUCAAACAUGUCAUACUUUAUCGAAACAAUCCAAUAUCAGGAAGGACUCUUAUAUACACACACUAGAUGUCAAGUUUCCUUUUUGGGCUCAUUUAGAGAAGGUCGAAAAAAGCUUGCUUACAAAUGGGUCUGUUUUCCCUAGCUUUGGAGGGGUUUUGGAGGUCAUGUGGAGCACAUUUUUCAUGUCCAGAGUUUUACAUAAUAAAAGUGCUCCGAUUAAUCAACUAACAUGCAUAAUAGUCCAGAAAUCAUUGUAACACCAACACCACAGACCAAAUAACUUCAAAUUUGAAUUUUGUCUCAAAUUUGAAUUUUGUCUCAAAUUUGAAUAGUAUUACACAAAUACACAUCAUAUCAAAGUACAAAUAUCAUUACACAAAUUCAGGCAAGGUUUUAUUACUACAACAUACUAGCAAUACACAAGUUUCAACAAAUUUUCACUUCUGCUUCUUCCUACCACUCGAUUUGUUCUUCUUCUUUUUACCAAUGCUUGUUUUUGGUUGUACAACACCCAGUUCACUCAAGCUCUUGAUUUUCUUCACUGGACUUCCUGGAACACAAGCUUCAUUUCGCACCACAACAGUUGCAGUAUCAUCGGACCCAAUAUCACCAGUUGGCAACACAACUUCCAAUAUAGGCUCAGUUGGCACCACAUCAACUGGAAUAUCUUUAGUUGGCAACUCAACUUCCAACAUAGGCUCAGCUUGCACAGCAUCAGCUGGAAUAUCUUCAGAGGUACCCAUAGCUUCAGUUGGCACCAGAACAUCAAAAUCUUGCUCAUCUUGCAGCAGCACAUCCAAGUCUUGCUCAUUUUGCACCACACCAUCCAAGUCUGGUUGAAUGUGUAUUGUUUCACCAAAACUUCUCUUUCUUCUAGAGCCAUUGCCUCUUGCUUUUUUCUUUGGCCAGCACACUUCAACAACAAGGGGCUCACCUGCACGCUUCCUCCUAAAAAGAUAAAGCAUGUCAACUGGUUAGUAAUUGAAAAAUGCAACAAAAUAGUAAACAAUGCAAACAUAUGCCCACAUACUUUGGCCAUUCAUGAGUGUAACAACAUUUGGGAGAUCCAACUCGGUGCCCAAGUUCCUGGCACAACUUGCCUCUAUUUUUUUUUACCUUUUUGGGACCUUUUUGGCUUUGCAUUCUUCUUUCCCUUGCCCUUUUUACUACUCCCACCUUUCUCAAACCAUGCCUUGAAUCUACUUUCUUUAGGCCUGCCAGCCUUUCUUUUUGUUAGGGGAGGACCCAUGGAAAAUUCAAUUUCAACUUCAGGCCACUGAGACUGAUCUGUAAGUGCUAGAAUUGGAGUUGCAUAUGCAGCCUUGAAUCUUGCUACUAAGUAAUAUUCGUGCAAAUAUGGGUGCAUGUUUAUCUUCGGUCGGGAGGCCAAGAAAAGUAUGGCAUGACUCACAUGGUUUCCCAGUGUGCUGCCACUCCAAACAAGUGCAAUCAUGCAUUUCAGUGUUAACAACAUGCCUUCUACCAGUUUUGGUAUCUCUAACUUCAACACCCCACACAGAAGAUUUUUCAACAGAUAAAUGUGUAAGAUUUAUGCUCCUGUUGACCACCUGGUGUACCACUGCAGGAAGCUUAUCCCCUUGUAGACAAUCACCAAUCCUUCUUCUCAAUUCCCACAAGCGCAUGAUCAUGAUCCUGAUUUGGUCAACCAUGUCAUGCACAGGAAAAAAAUUUAACUGCUUCACCCUGUUGUUAAAACUUUCUGCCAAGUUGUUGUUGAUAUGAUCACACUUGAUGGCAGUGUUAAAUCCCGACCUAUACCAUAAUAGAGAAUGGUACGUGUUCACCCAUGGACCAAACUCAGGACAUGAUGUCAUUAUCAUACCAAGAUGAUAUUAAUGUGUUUGUUUAGUGUAAGAUCUUGCUGCUGGCCACAUACGACCAAAUUCUUCCCCUUUGAAUUUUUUGAUCAAAUUCAUCCACAUAUGGCCGAAGCACUCCCUCUGCUCACAAUGGGGGAAAACAUUCUUCACUGCGUUUUCUAGCCCUUUGCAUGCAUCUGUGUGGACUGCCAAAGGUGACACUGGACCUAUGCAUCUUUUCAACUGCACCAUGAACCAUGUCCACGAGACCUCUAUCUGUGACUGAAAUAAGCCAAUAGCAAUAGGGAACAUCCAGUUGUAUCGAUCCAAAGCAUUGCAAGCUGCCAAUUGACCAAUUGAAAGUGCACCUAUGCCUAGGUGGUUUUGGUAAUUCCUAACAACAUAUAGCUCAUUGAGCUAAUGAUAUCUCAAGAUAAAUAUUUCAGGAAAGCACAAUGAUUGGCAUGGCAUGGAUUAGAAAUGUGACCCCUCAGAAUACCAAGGACAAAAGAAUGGCUCAAGCUCUAAAGCUCAAGACUCUACAUUUUACUUUUAGUGAUCCAAGAUCACAUUGAGUCCAUAGGAAAAGCAAAUACUAUUAAAAGGGGAUGAGGUGUUGCUUAAUGGGUUGCUUGCUCAAAAUGCUUAGUGAUAUGCUCCAAAAACCCUCAACUACUUUCUCAUAUCCACAUAUGUCCCAAACCAGAAGUCAAACUCGGCCCCACCAAAACAUCCUAUCUGGCACCACCGAGUUCUCUUGACAUAGCCACUGCCACAAACCCUAGUCACUUUGGUCUCACCGAUAGGGAUCUCGGUAUCACCGAGAUGGGAUUGCAAACAUCUGUUUCCCUUCCUAACGUUUCGGUCCAACCGAGAUGAGCGAUCGGUCCCACCGAGUUUGCAAUGCAAACUCUCUGUUUCCCCUUCGUAACGUUUCGGUCUCACCGAGAUGAGCAAAUCGGUCCCACCGAGUCUGCCUCAUCAACUCUCUGGUUAGCUUAUCACCAAAAUCAGUCCCACCGAGUUUGUGUAAUCAGUCUCACCGAGAUUACGUUAUGCCCUAACCCUAAUGAAAUCGGUCCCACCGAGUUGACAUGUCGGUCCCAUCGAAUAUCCUAACGUUCACAUUUUGAACUAAAUCGGUCCGACCGAGUUUCAUUAUUCGGUCCCACCGAGUUUGAUGAUUUGUGUGUAACGGUUAGAUUUUGUGUGGAGGCUAUAUAUACCCCUCCACCCACUCUUUAUUCGUGGAGAGAGCCAUCAUAACAUGCCUACACUUCCAGCAUACAUUUUCUGAGAGAGAACCACCUACUCAUGUGUUGAGGUCAAGAUAUUCCAUUCCAACCACAUAAAUCUUGAUCUCUAGCCUUCUCCAAGUUGCUUUCCACUCAAAUCGUCUUUCCACCAAAUCCAAAUCUGUGAGAGAGAGUUGAGUGUUGGGGAGACUAUCAUUUGAAGCACAAGAGCAAGGAGUUCAUCAUCAACACACCAUCUAUUACCUUUUGGAGAGUGGUGUCUCCUAGAUUGGUUAGGUGUCACUUGGGAGCCUCCGUCAAGAUUGUGGAGUUGAACCAAGGAGUUUGUACGGGCAAGGAGAUCGCCUACUUCGUGAAGAUCUACCCUAGUGAGGCAAGUCCUUCGUGGGCGAUGGCCAUGGUGGGAUAGACAAGGUUGCUUCUUCGUGGAACCUUCAUGGGUGGAGCCCUCCGUGGACUCGCGCAACCGUUACCCUUCGUGGGUUGAAGUCUCCAUCAACGUGGAUGUACGAUAGCACCACCUAUCAGAACCACGCCAAAAAUCUCCGUGUUUAUAUUGCGUUUGCUCCCUCCAAACUCCUCCCUUUACCUUCAUGUGCAAUGUUUUACAUUCCGCUACUAUACUCUUAGACUUGCAUGUGUAGGUUGAUUUCUUGACUAGUGCUAAGUUGCUAAAAUCUGCCAAGACUUAAAAUUGGGGAAAGGCUAGAUUUUUAUUUGGUCAAGUAGUCUAAUCACCCCCCCUCUAGACAUAAUUUCGAUCCUACAAGUGGUAUCAGAGCUACGGUCUCCAUUUGCCUUGAUUUCCAUAGCUUUUGGUGAUCAUAGCCUUGGUUUCACAACCUAGGAGACUAUGGCGUCUAGCAAGGGAAAUUACCACCAUAGAGGUCCUUACUUUGAUGGUACUAAUUUUGCUACUUGGAAGCACAAGAUGAAAAUGCAUAUUCUUGGACAUAACCCCGCCGUUUGGGCUAUUGUGUGUAUUGUCUUGCAAGGUGAAUUCUUUGAUGGGAGAGAACCGAACCGUGAAGCUACUGCGGAAGAGUUGAAGAUGCUACAAUACAAUGCUCAAGCUUGUGAUAUUCUCUUCAACGGAUUGUGCCUCGAAGAAUUCAACAAAAUCAGCCGUCUUGAGAAUGCAAAGGAAAUUUGGGAUACUUUGAUUGAUAUGCAUGAGGGUACCGACUCCGUCAAGGAAUCCAAAUUGGAUGUGCUUCAAAGUCAAAUUGAGAAGUUCAAAAUGAAGGAUGGUGAAGGUGUCACUGAAAUGUACUCUAGGCUUGCUCUCAUCACAAAUGAGAUUGCCGGCUUAGGAAGUGAAGAGAUGACCGAUAGAUUCAUCAUCAAGAAGAUCCUAAGAGCCUUGGAUGGAAAAUAUGAUACCGUGUGCACAUUGAUCCAAAUGAUGCCCAAUUACAAAGAUCUCAAGCCAAAGGAAGUCAUUGGAAGAAUUGUUGCUCAUGAGAUGUCACUUAAGGAUAAGGAAGAGCUCCACAACAAGUCAAGUGGUGCUUACAAAGCCUCAUGUGAUGCUCCUACACCAUCAAGUGAGAAACAAACCUUUAAUGAAGAAUUGAGCCUAAUGGUGAAGAAUUUCAGCAAGUUCUACAAGAGUAGAAGCAAGGAAAGAAGUUCCAAGUCAAGAUCCUACAAUGACAAAAGAUCUUCAAGUCGUGAACGAAAUUGCUACAAUUGUGGAAGACCCGGACACUACUCCAAUGAGUGUACGGCUCCCUACAAAAGAAGAGGAGAUUCUCCCAAAAGACGAAGUAGAAGAGAAGAAUCAGCACCAAGAGAGAGAAGGAGUAGAGAUGAUUGUUAUGAACGAAGAACCUCUCGGAGAAGCAAGGAUUCGGAAAGGAAGGACAAAUCAUCAAAGAGCUACACAAAACGAAGACAUCAAUCUCACGUUGGUGAAUGGGUAUCCGGCUCCGACUCCGACCAUUACUCCGAAAGAAGUUAUCACUCCGACUCCGACUAUACUCAAGAAGAAGGUGUUGCCGGUCUAGCACUUGCGUCAACCAACUCCUACAACAUAUUUGACUCACCAAAUGAAGGAAUUGGAAGAUGCUUCAUGGCUAAAGGCCCCAAGGUAUCACACCCCGAGUUUGUUGAUUUCAAUAGUGAUGAAGAUGAUUUGCUAGGAGAUGAUGAUUUACUUGUUGACAACUCCAGUUAUGAAAACUAUGAUGAACUUGCUAUUAGUCAUGCUAAUCAAGAUAAAACGAAUGACGAUGAUAAGAAGGAGAUUGAGCGUCUAACUAAAGAAUUAAACACUCUUAAAUUAGCUCAUGAAACUACCAUGGAAGAUCAUCGAGAACUUUUAAAGACUCAUGAGAAGCUACGCUUUGAAAGGCUCAACCUUGAGCAAGAGCAUGGGUUCUUAAAAGCAAUCAAUGAUGAUCUUCGCAGGAAAAAUUCUUCUUACAUUGCCAAGCGUUUACUCUUGUCUACUUACAUGCCACAAGUAGAAUCUAGCAACAAGAGUAAGAAAGAUUCUUCAUCUAGUAGUAACAAUAAUCAUGCUAAAUCCAAUGUUGUUGCUUCUAGUAGUUCUCUUGAUUCCACUAAUGAUUCUCUUAGCCAAGUUACAAUUGAGCAAGAAAAUAGCUUAUUGAAGGGAAUUAUAGAGAAAGGUGUUUACAAGAGCCUUGUCGGAAGUAAGCAAUUUGAGGAAAUUGUACGCAACCAAGGAAGGCACCGGAAAAAUCAAGGUGUUGGUUUUGAACGAAAGUUCAAUGCCAAUGGAGUUGAGUGGGAAGAAGAUCAAUACCCCAAGACGAAGUUUGUUCCUCAACAAGAGAAGUAUGAUCCUACUUCCUUCCAAGGAACACAAGCUCAAGAUGAUCUUCCACCACAAGACCACAAGCAAAAAGGCAAGGACAAGCUUCAAGAGGAGAUUGAUGCAUUUUAAGAAGCUCCCAAGGCCUUGGUCGAGUGGGUUCCCAAGACUACAUCAAAUACGACUACAACUCCAAGGAUUCCCAUCAAGAUGAUGUGGAUCCCGAAGAAGAAGAACUAGAGAGUUCUUGAGGGUGACUCCGCCAACAUACUUCACUCAUAUCUUUUGGCAAGGACAUGUGAGAACAACUUCCACAUAUUGCACUAGUUCAAGGAGUCACAAACCCUCUUGUUUGUAAGACAAGGGACAAGGUAACCUAAUGCUUUCAUGGACAUCAUCUUGUGUGUACAUCACUCUAUGUCUAUGGAUAUCCUUGUUUGUUCCUUGUGGGACUAACCAGUGUAGGUAUUGGAAGUGCAACUCACUCCAAUGGAUUGCUCCGAAUGAUCUACAUCAACAUUGAGCAUCCACAUCUUCAACACCUACAUGAAGUCAUCAUCGACAAAACCCAAGGUUAGUUCAUCCCUCUUAGGGGGAUAUCACAUCUAGGGGGAGCUUUACUCUAAUAAAUUGAGCUAAAGCAACUCUAAUGGUGUGAACACAACAAUGCUUUAUGUGAAAGUGGUAACCCCACUUAUGCUUAAACGAUGAGUAUGACCUAUGAUCAAAUGUUCUCAUUUGACUCCUAAGUCAAUAUACUCAUAUAUAGAUGACCUAGUCAUCGCCAAUUGCUUGAUAGAUGCUAGAGUCUUUGUGCAUGCUUUGUCACAUAUUUCGUUUGCCAUUUUAUUGUGUGAGCAUGUUAAUUGCAUAUUUUACUCAUUCGAGGACAUCCAUUUGUUGCUUUGAUUGUUUGGCUUUUUCUCUUUUGCCAAAUGGAUGGACAAGAAUGCCUAAGAACUCCCUCUAGCUAUCUAUGCUUUUCUCGUCUCAAACUCUAUUCAUGCUACAUCACAAAGUUUGAUCAAGUCAGGUUCGAACCACUCUGUGUGAGGAGCACUCGGAGUCCCCGAUUCGUCAUAGACUUAAACUUCCAAAACCUCUUUGUGCAUUUCGGUAUGACCGAUUCAUCCAUUUUGGUCACACUGAGUUCACUAAGUUGAUCUAGGUUUUCCAUCUCGGUGCAACCAAUUUGAACUUUUCGGUCACAUCGAGUUGCAGUAACCGCUUGCGAUUCUGCAUCUCGGUGCCACCGAGUUGUUCCACUCGGUAACAUCGAUAGGGUCGGGAUAUAUAAACCCACAGGUGAGAUUUUGGAAAUUUCUUCAAACUCCUCAGCCCGCGUGUGUCCUGCUCUGCCUCCUCGGGUCUCCGGAUCGUCUCCUCGCCGCCAGCGACCUCCCGCCGCUGGUUUCCGUUGCUGUCAACGGAAUUCUCCUCUGCCGUUGUCGCCAUAGCGAACUCCCGCCGAACUAGGGUAUGGGUUCGACUCUUUGUGCUAUUUCCCUACUCCAAUUUGUAGCACAUUUCUUUUCCAUGAUCUUUACCACGUAUGAAAAUAAUCUAUCGAGAGAAAACAUCCUUUAGGUUAGAUUUGAUUCAAAAAUUUAGGGUUAGGUCUCCGCCGAACUCAUCUCAGACCAACCGAGUUGUAGAAAUCGGUCUCACCGAUUUGGCUUAGGCCAUUGCACAUGCUUUUUGGUCUGACUGAAAACGGCAAAUUGGUGCGACCGAUUUCGAAUCUCUGUGAAACCCUAGCAAUCUCGGUGCCACCGAACUGUGACUCGGUCUGACCAAGUUCACUAGUUUAGGUUCCAAAAGUUGCUUCGGUAUCACCGAGUUUAACAAAUCGGUAGCUCCGAAAUGCUUUCUGUGGAGAACUAUAACUAAGUUUUUGAGUCAUCUGUUUUGCAAAAGCUCUGCACUUUGUGAUGCUCAUCCACUCUACCUCAUCUAUAUCUAUUCACAGGGUUUGCUGUCAGUGUGAUUGCCAAGAUGUCUGAUCAAAGUGACAGCCAGAACAGAUCUGAAGAGCAAGUGCAUAUGAGUGAGGGCACUAAUCCCUCAAGCAGCUAUGAUGAGGGCAGCAGAAGCACACCAAGUAACUUGCCCAAGGUAGCCACUAGAACAAGGAAGAAGAGAACCUCAGACUCCGAGGAUGAGGACUAUGUGGCCAUUGAGGAUGAGGCCACCUCAAGGAAGAAAGUGCUGAAGAAAGAGUAUGGCAUAGCUGCUGCAACUAAGCCAGGGUUGCAUAAGAAGGCAACAGCAAAGAGAGUCCCAAUGUCAAAGCCAACGAAAGUUCCAACAGGAGAAACCAUGAAAUUCACAAUAUAAUCAGAUGAUGGUGAGGCAGUUGGUGAUGGCAAGAAGAAGAAGAGGGCAAGAACCACAUCUGCAAAAGUUCUUGGAAAAUCAACUAUGGUAAGAGAUUCAGAAGAAGAGGAAGAGGAAGAGGAUGCUGCACCAGCACCCAAGUCUCAGAAGCUUAUGGGAGAUGCUAUCAAGUCAGGGGCUGCUCCAUCAAAGCCCAAGACUGCUCCCAAAGCAACAGCUCAAACUCAGAAGCCCUCUAAGCCCAAGAGAAGCACCAGAAACAUUCCUGCAGAAGAGAGGAACAAGGCCUCAGUGCCUAAGGUUGAAGAAGAGGAUGAUGAAGCCCUAGUGCUAAGAAAACUGAAACCCAAGAUUCCAGACCACAAUGACACUCAUCCAGUGGCUGAGGACAUGCACAUCAGGAAAGAUGCAGGAUUGAGACUUUGGAGACAGUCUGAUCCUUAUGCUGCGACAAGGAGAACUGUUGUGGACUACAUGUUCCACACCAAAGAACAACAAGACUUCUAUGAGACUAUUCUGCUUGACAAGAAGCCAAUUGUCUGUGAAAUGAGAUGGGUUGAUUGGGAAUACAUCAAAGAGAAUGAAGAUCACUUCCCAGGUGUACCAGACAGCUUCAAAGCAAGUGGAGUUGAUAAGUUUGUAGGUCAGAAGCCCACCAAAUGGAAUGAUGAGCUAAUCAUGCAGUUUUACUCCACUGCUCAUUUCUAUCCAGAUGGGAGAUAGUGGGGAUGUCUGAAGGUACAAGGUACCAAUCAACUGUAGAAAAAUGGGCCAAGUUGAUCAAUGCCCCAGAAGAGUAUGAGGAUGAUUUGGAUGUGUAUGCCAAGAAGAAGAAAGACCACAACUCUAUGGCAAAUAUGUACAAAGAGAUCCCUGAUAAAGCUUUGGAGACACACAAGCUUGGAUCUGUGCACUAUUUGUUGUCUGGUCUACCCACUAUCAACACUAUCUUAAGGCAUACUCUGGUACCCAAAUCUGGAGAUCACAAGAUGAUCAGAGGACAUUCCAUCAACUUGCUGCAAAUCUUUGAUGUCCCUUAAAAAUUCAAGGUCGUGAGUCUGAUUGUUGAGACAAUCAAGAGGACAGCUGCUGACCAGAAGAGAUCUUGUGGGUAUGCUCCACACAUUCAGGUGGUCAUCAACUCAAAGAUGGGCACAGGGACUUACAUGUUGGACAAAGAACAUUUACCCUUGUAUCCAGAUUUUGAAGAUAAUGAAGUUGUCAUGAAUGAGAAUGAACCUUCAUCAGCACAAGCACAAGAGAAGAGAGCUAAAGCAAAGGCAGAAAAGGCUGCAAGGAUGCCAAGUGCCGAGGAAGCAUCUCAGGUGUCCCUGAAGAGCAAGAAAGAUCAGCUUAUAUCUGAUUCAAGCUACAUUGAGGAUUGAGAAGGGCUUGGCCACCCUGACUCAGAAUCAGGAGAGCUUGGAGAGGAUCAUAGAGACAAAAUAUUAUGAUCUUGAUCUGAAGGUCACUGAGAUACAGAGAGCAGUUGAGCAGCUCCAGGAGGAAGCAGGAGAGAGGAAAGGGAAGGCAACUACAGAUGCUUUUCGGCGAGUGCCAAGAGGUCAGAGGUCUGCUGCAGUGCCAGUAUCAGAUACUAGAGCUACAUCGUCAGCACCAAUAGCUACAGCUUCAGUGCCACCUCCAGCAGCCACUCCACCAGCUCCAGCUACAUCCACUGAUGCCUUCGUCCUUGGAGUUCUCUCUACUCCACCUCCUGAAGACCAAGCCUGAGAGACGCAUAGCACUAUGCAUUUUCGAACUUUUUGAUAACUUGUUGCCAAAGGGGGAGAAAUGUAUAGAUCAUAGGCUUCGAGAGAGAGUGUUUUGCUUCUUUGUCUCUCUUGAUUUUGGUUGAACUUUAUGGUGUUCUUGGUUGAUACUCUAUGUCUGUGUGAGAUACUUGUUUGAUCAUGGGUUUGAUCAUAUGCUACUUUAAUGCUUGCUUGGAUGGUAUUAUCUCUUAUAUCCCAUAUAUGUUCAUUCACUUUGCUUGGUGAUGAAUGCUUUCUUUUAAUUUCCACGAUCCUAAUUGAUUGUGCAUUUGCAUUCAAAAGAUGUAUGUGACAUGGAAGAGUAACCCAUGAUCCUAAUCGAUUGUGCAUUUGCAUUCAAAAGCCUAUUUUUAAUAAUGCACAAAUUUAGGGGGAGCUCUUGCUUAUCACAUACUUCUCAAAGCGACGAUGUAUUUCAAUCUUAUGAUCAUUUGUCAAAGCUUUGAUCUAUAUGUUUUCAUCAAUUAUCAAAAAGGGGGAGAUUGAAAGUGCAACUAUCCCUGGGUGGUUUUGGUAAUUCCUAACAACAUAUAGCUCAUUGAGCUAAUGAUAUCUCAACAUAAAUAUUUCAGGAAAGCUCAAUGAUUAGCAUCGCAUGGAUUAGAAAUGUGGACCCCUCAAAAUGCUAAGGACAAAAUAUUGGCUCAAGCUCUAAAGCUCAAGACUCUACAUUUUACUUUUAGUGAUCCAAGAUCACAUUGAGUCCAUAGGAAAAGCCAAUACUAUUAAAAGGGGAUGAGGUGUUGCUUAAUGGGUUGCUUGCUCAAAAUGCUUAGUGAUAUGCUCCAAACCAAAAGUCAAACUCGGCCCCACCGAAACAUUCUAUCCGGCGCCACCGAGUUCUCUUGACAUAGCCACUGUCACAAACCCUAGUCACUUCCGGUCUCACCGAUAGGGACUCGGUCUCACCGAGAUGGGAUUGCAAAAUCUUUGUUUCCCUUCGUACAUUUCGGUCCAACCGAGAUGAGCGAUCGGUCCCACCGAGUUUGCAAUGCAAACUCUCUGUUUCCCCUUCGUAACGUUUCGGUCUCACCGAGAUGAGUGAAUCGGUCCCACCGAGUUUGCCUGACCAACUCUCUGGUUAGCUUAUUACCAAAAUCAGUCCCACCGAGUUCGUGUAAUCGGUCUCAUCGAGAUUACGUUAUGCCCUAACCCUAACGAAAUCGGUCCCACCGAGUUGAAAUGUCGAUCCCACCGAAUAUCCUAACAUUCACAUUUUGAACUAAAUCGGUCUGACCGAGUUUCAUUAUUCGGUCCCACCGAGUUUGAUGAUUUGUGUGUAACAGUUAGAUUUUUUGUGGAGGCUAUAUAUACCCCUCCACCCACUCUUCAUUUGUGGAGAGAGCCAUCAGAACAUGCCUACACUUCCAGCAUACAUUUUCUAAGAGAGAACCACCUACUCAUGUGUUGAGGUCAAGAUAUUCCAUUCCAACCACAUAAAUCUUGAUCUCUAGCCUUCUCCAAGUUGUUUUCCACUCAAAUCAUCUUUCCACCAAAUCCAAAUCUGUGAGAUAGAGUUGAGUGUUGGGGAGACUAUCAUUUGAAGCACAAGAGCAAGGAGUUCAUCAUGAACACACCAUCUAUUACCUUUUGGAGAAUGGUGUCUCCUAGAUUGGUUAGGUGUCACUUGGGAGCCUCCGUCAAGAUUGUGGAGUUGAACCAAGGAGUUUGUACGGGCAAGGAGAUAGCCUACUUCGUGUAGAUCUACCCUAGUGAGGCAAGUCCUUCGUGGGCGAUGGCCAUGGUGGGAUAGACAAGGUUGCUUCUUCGUGGACCCUUCGAGGGUGGAGCCCUCCGUGGACUCGCGCAACCGUUACCCUUCGUGGGUUGAAGUCUCCAUCAACGUGGAUGUAUGAUAGCACCAUCUAUCGGAACCACGCCAAAAAUCUCCAUGUCUACAUUGCGUUUGCUCCCUCCAAACUCCUCCAUUUACCUUCAUGUGCAAUGUUUUACAUUCCGCUGCUAUACUCUUAGACUUGCAUGUGUAGGUUGAUUGCUUGACUAGUGCUAAGUUGCUAAAAUCUGCCAAGACUUAAAAUUGGGAAAAGGCUUGAUUUUUAUUUGGUCAAGUAGUCUAAUUACCCCCCCCCCUCUAGACAUACUUUCGAUCCUACACCAUUCCACUUGCCAGUCAAAAAUGAUGAGUCUAUGCUCAAAUAUGGACGACACCCUACCUUGAAGCCAUCAAUGCUAGGCUUCAAAGCCAUAAUAAACGUAUAGAAAAGUACUCUUCCAUCCUCUGUUACCUCAGUAUCUAUCUCCACAACACUCCCAGGUGACCUCUUCUCCACCUCUGCUUUGAAAUUAUAAAGCAUCCUAAAAGUAUUUGCCCAGUCACCAUAUAAUUGUUUCAUUGCCCUUUGUUUUGCCUUCCACACCGUGUUAUACUUCUCCUUAAUGGGGUAUUGCUUUCCAAGUAUACUUUAAGUUUCUUUGCAGUGGUGUUUGGUUUCUUGGCUAGAAUAGGAGUGAUCUUUUCUGCAAUCCAAAGCUGUGAUGUCAUGGUUGAUACUCUCGGUGAACUUGUAAUACAAGUAUGUUGGUGAGGGAUUUGAUUCACCCUAAUGGUACUUCCAUCAGGUUGGCGUCUAGCAGAUAUGUACUACUUGCAAGGCUUGACACUUCCAUCAAAACCUCUACACCUUGCAUAAAACUUCUUUCUAUCAGUCCACUUAGUCUUGGCACCAAACUCAUGUUUGACUGCAUAUGUCUUGAAACACAUCCUAAACUCAUCCAUGUUUGGGAACAACAUCCCCACUUCAAUAACAGGGUUUUCCUUGUCAUACACAUUUACCAACUCAUCAUCAUGUGCAUCAUCUACAUCAUCUGCAGCAUCUUCCAUCAGCUAUCCAUCCAGAUCUUCAGUUCUAUCUUUGUUAGCAUCAGUAUCAGUAGGCAUACUAGAUUCACCAUCCUUCUCCUCCUUAUCUUCAUCAGCUACUGGAAUGCCAAAUUUUUUGGCCAUCUCAGUGUCAUCCAUUGGUGCAAUGACUAAAUCAGUUGGGUCAUUUAAUUCUACUGAAUUCCAAUCAACAUAAACAACCCUUCCAACACCCUCAGAGCCAUCUUCUGCAUCACCCCCCUCAGGUAAUACUGUCACUUCACCUGUACACAUGGGCAUUAUCUGCCUCUCUGAAGCCCAAUCAUCAUCUACCAUUUGUGAAGCUAACUUUGAGGGCACAUAUCCAACCUUAGAAUCUGAUUUCAGAUCAACAAGCUAUGCAUGAAACAUAGUUUGUUUGGUUGUCCAGCCAUCUUGUUGAUCAAUUUCAUCAACCAUGUCUUCACCAUCCUCAAUUCUCACAUACUCUCCUUUCCAAUUAUCAAACCGUAACAAUGCUACCUCUUGCUCUGGACCCCAAAAAAUGCUCUCCCCAAUUUUUUUCCACCACAUUCUUCAUGGCCUUCUCUUCCAUGCUCUGUAGUUCUUGUGGAUCAAUCUCUGCAAAAUCAAUCUCCGGAUGCUACCAUCACCUAUGUCCCGCAUGCUACCAUCACCUAGCUUCGCCUUAGAAGGAAGGAAUUCCGCAGUGAAUUUGAACGUCCGAGCAACAUCCCCCCUAUUUCGGGGCAGUGUGAGGUGAGCUACCGGAAGCAGACGAGGCACAAAUCGCAUUCCUUGGAAAGGAUGCACAUUAAGGGAUUACCUUCUAGAUGUUGUUGUCUCUGGCGGCUCCAUCGCGUGCAGGCCCCCCUCCCACCCACCCAAAUCUGGAUCAAAUUGACCAAAAACACCAAAAAACAGAGGGAAAGAGAGGCGGUGAGAUCUAGCUCGACACGGAGGGGAACGGGAUAGGGUUCCUGAUUCACUCAACACAGCCGCCGCCGUCGCCGAGAACGAAAGCUCCUCUGCGCUGCUAUCACCGAGAACAAAAUCUCCGGCGCCGGCGCCGGCUCACCGCCAAGAACAAAGAGGGGGGGUACACGUUCAGAUAGGCAUGGGGACACGUUUCACCUGAUGCACUGCCAAGUGGGGCCCGCAACUAGAUGCACUGCCAAGUGGGAUCCACAUGUCUUAAACAUAACCUCACUCCCGUUGACGACCAGUUUAAUCGCCCGAGUGGACCUUGGCUAUUUGGGCCUCUGAAACAUAGUACUACAGUUAUUUUCGUCAACUAUGUCGCUUUCCUUCCAUUGCACCUCAAAUAUGUCGCACAGGAGCUAUUGACCCCUUGACUUGUUGCAGCUGGCCAUUUUCUACUACGAAACCAAUUUUCUAGGAGUAAAUAAAUAAAUGAACAACUACAGCAUACAUCAUAUGAGUUUCAGACUUUAUGAAGCCUGAAUGUUGAAAAAAUAAGAAAAAGAGACAACGUAAGGACCUCUGCUCUGUCGUGCCGAUGGAUGACAGAAGCUAAUUGCAGAUGGCCGGAGUUGCGACAUCAGCCUCUUCGAGACACGCGGAGACCUCCGUAUCUCCUCGAGCUCUCCUGCCGCGCGGGGCCGUCAGCGCCCAACAACCUAUGCGGUGCCGCCGCCGUCUGUCUCAUAGGGAACAGCAGAAAGGCCAUUUUCUUUCGGGUGCUUUGAUAAAAAAAAUCAUAUAUUACAGGUGGGUCCAGGACUACUUAUCAACAAUACAUCUCCUUCUCAAUGUAUCCGAAAUGGGGAUUUUGAAAUAUAUUAACCGGAGUCUCUGAAAUCUAACACACUAAAAUUCAGGAACCUAUGAAAACUGGUACAUUUCUUCAUCAACCAUCCUUCGAACCUCAUGUGGCAACGCAGAUAUCAGAGCAUGUGUGUCUUCCUUCUAAGACUUUUGCAUGUUGCCCCUCUAUGCUCCUUUUUUACGGCCAAUGUGUGGAAGGUCAUGUCCAUAACCUCAUUGAUAGUCAAAACAUAGACGAUGAUGAUUGUGAACAUCCGCUGUGGCUUCAGAUUGCGAUGAUGUUGCCUCAUCCCCCAAUUGUGUAGACACAGGCUCCCAUUACACAAAGGGAAUGGUGGGGCGAAUAGACUCGUACCUCUGAAGAGCGAGGAGAAGAUACAUGUAUUUGUUUUCCUCCAAUAUUUUAGAUGGGCCUAGGACAGAUUGAGAGGGGAGCAAAUCCGAAUUUAUACCACACUCACAUUGACAUCCCAAGAUGGUGGAGUAUAUAUAGAACUUCUAUACAUCUUGUUUUUAAUAGCUCAUUUUUAGGAAGGAAAAAAAUAAAUUGUUAUCAUGGGAUAUGUGUUGAGCAGGUCAUUCAAAAAUGUUUAUUUAAUCAUGUGACUGAAUACACCAGAAUCAUGUGAUCAUCCUACUUGCAUGUUUAUGUUAGUCUCCAACUUCCAAAGUAGAACCUAGUAUACAUGGUAUUCUAGUUCUCUCCUGUGUACCAUCACUCCAAGUCCAUUGCAUCAUGAAAGACGUGUGAAACGUGAGAACUGGCAUUGCAUGAUUCUUCUCCAUCUCUAUGUUUCAUCUGGAUAAAGGGUGUCAGAGUAGAUGAUGGGUUUAAUGGCAGAGAGGGGGGGGAGAGGGAGAGGGAGAGAUCUCAUUCUUGUAAAAUGUAAAAAAAAGGAAUGGAAGGAAAGGUCCACACUUAGACAAACUGAUUAGAUCCGUAAACUAAUUAGACCCGCAAAAAAAGAUGACGCUAUAAAUAUCUCAUAACAACAGAGGGAGAGGAAGGCCAUAGCUUUUAUUGUGUAUGGUGAGACCGGCUUUUCAACACCCGGGUGUCAGACACCCGGCUAUCAGGCCGUUCAGGCAAUACCUCUCAUUGGGAUAUGUGUCUGGUCCUGCACCACCAUUUUCAUUAGCAGGCAAGGUGAAUAGUAAAUGGAUGUGACAACAGAGAACGGCCAUAGAGCGGACGAGCUCGCCUGUGUUGAACAGCCUGUCACGUUACACAAGGUGCACCGAAGCAGGAGUAUUGAGCCGCACCAGAAGUCCCAAUAUAUUGGUAGAGAUAAGCUAGGUAGUUAGUUCAUAUCUAUCCUUUGUAACCUAUUCUAUCUCUUCUCCUUCAAGUCUCCUGUAAUAUCUCAACUUCUAACUUGUAUGUGCUUCAGGGAUUGCGCCCCUGCCUAUAACAUGCAACGCGUCCCCUCGCACCGAGGUAAAGACGUUUCCGCAUCUCGCACAUGGUAAUCAGAGCCAUCCUACUUCCCAUCUAGUUUUCUCUCGAUUCCAAUCGUGUCCAAAAAUCAUGUCUUCCUCCUCCGGCAUCUCUCACCCUAGCCUCAGUGGGCAGGUCAUUGAGAAACUCUCCCGCACGAACUACGUGCUAUGGCGCACACAGAUCACGCCACAAUUGCGUGGCGCCGAUGUCUUCAGCUAUGUUCAUGGCACCUCGCCGGAGCCGGCCAAGCUCCUCGCCGCCAAGGACAAGGACGGCAAGGAGACCUUCCAGCCCAACCCUCUCCACCCCAUCUGGGUCAGGGAGGACCAGCAGGUUCUCGGCUACCUGCUGAGCAACCUCUCCAAAGAGGUGCUCCUCAUGGUGACCACGAUCACCACGGCGCAGCCGCUCUGGACGACGCUGGCGGGCAUGUACUCGUCGCAGUCGCUUAGCCGCAUCAACAACAUCCGUACCUCGCUCAUCAAUGCGCAGAAGGGCAACCAGUCCGCCACCGCCUACUUUGCCUCCAUGCGCGGUCUCGCGGACGAGCUGGCAGCGGCCCGCAAACCCAUCCAGGAUGACGAACUCAUCUCGUACAUCCUCCACGGGAUGGAUCUGGAGUACCAGCCCCUCGUCUCCGCCCUCGACACCCGUGUUAGCCCCGCCUCCCUCGACGAAAUCUUCUCCAUGCUCAGCAACUUUGACCAGCGCAUGGCGCGGUUCCAUAGCUCGGGCGGCGGCAGAUUCAAGUCCUCCGCAAACGUCGCUACCCGUGGACGUGGCGACGGCUCUCGCUACCGCGGUCCUUCCCGUGGCAAGGGGAGGUCUGGUGGCGCCAGGACUAGCAGCGGUGGUGGGAUCAGUGGCGGUGGCAGGCGUGGCAACAAGGGUCGCCGUGGUGGCGACUCUGGUAGAACCCGCCCGGACACGCCGCGCUGUCAGAUUUGUGGCAAGCCGGGGCACACUGCCAAAGACUGUUGGUACCGCUAUGAUGAAGACGAGGACGACUCUCAAGAUGAUGGAAAGGUCGCUACGGCGGCUGAUGGCUCCUACGGUGUUGAUACCAACUGGUACCUCAACAGCAGCGCCACUAAUCAUCUCACCGGUGAGCUUGAAAAGGUGACUCUCCGUGAGAAGUACCACGGCAAGGAUGAGAUUCACACCGCCGAUGGUGCAGGUAUGAGAAUCAGUCACAUUGGUCAUUCGGUUAUACAUACCCCUCGUCGUAAAAUUCAUCUUAGGAAAAUUUUGCAUGUUCCUAGUGCCAACAAAAACCUCCUUUCCGUUCAUAGAAUUGCACUUGACAACCAUGUCUUCAUUGAAUUUCAUCCCUUUUUCUUCUUGAUCAAGGAUCAGGCCACGAGGAAAACCCUAUAUCGAGGUAGAUGUGUUCGAGGACUCUACCCGUUGCUUCCGGAGUUUAGAAGACACAAUAAACAAGCCUAUGCUGUUGUCAAGCUUUCUUCAACAUGGUGGCAUGAUCGUCUAGGAUAUGCUUCUUUUUCUUUAGUUGAACAUUUGCUUAGGAAGAAUAAGCUCAUGUUUGUUGGUGAGCGUCAUGUUGAAACUGUUUGUGAUUCAUGCCAAAGAGCAAAAAGUCAUCAAUUGCCUUAUCCUGUUUCUACUAGUGUUUCUACUCAACCUUUGUAAUUAAUCUUUUCGGAUGUCUGGGGUCCUGCUCCUUGUUCGGUUGGUAGACACACAUAUUACGUAAGCUUCAUUGAUGACUAUACCAAGUUCUCAUGGAUCUACCUUCUCAAGAAACGAUCCGAUGUUUUUCAAGUUUUUCAAAACUUCCAAGCACUCGUUGAAAGAAAUUUGACAGCAAGAUCAUUGCAGUCCAAUCUGACUGGGGGGGAUACGAAAAAUUAAAUUCCUUCUUCCAAACCCUUGGCAUACCCCAUCAUGUUUCAUGCCCUCACCCUCACCAACAAAACGGCUCUGCCGAACGCAAGCACCAACACAUAGUUGAAGUUGGUCUAGCUCUCCUAGCCGGUGCUUCCAUGCCCCUCAAGUUUCGGGACAAAGCCUUUCUUACCAUCGUCCACAUAAUCAACAUGCUUCCUAGUCGUGUCAUCAACAACGAAACUCCCAUGGAAAAACUCCUUCACAUCAAACCAGACUACAAGUCUCUCCGUGUGUUUGGUUGUGCUUGUUGGCCCAACCUUCGUCCAUACAACAAUUGAAAGCUCAUAUUUCGAUAAAAACAGUGUGUUUUUCUUGGGUAUAGUGCCCAACACAAGGGUGUCAAAUGUCUAUAUGUAUCCACUGGUCGCAUCUAUAUUUCACGUGAUGUUGUUUUUUACGAGACCAAGUUCCCAUUUGUUGACCUUCACCCCAAUGCUGGUGCACUCCUUCGCAAAGAGAUCCUACUUCUCCCUUCUCAUCUCACUAGUUUUGAUCAAGGGGGCGAUAAUUGUAAUGAUCAAGUGUUGACUGGCCCUCUUAAUACCACAUAUGAGCCUGGUGAUGAUGCAGGAGAAGGCACAGAAAAAAACAGCAGUCAAGAUGGUGAAGAAAUGCGCUCUACAGAGCCAUAUUUCAUGUGUCCAGGUGAAGGGAACAAGUCCCCUUCGGGAUCCGUGCUGCCAGGCGUGUCAGCCGCAUCAUCCUCAGGAGACCGCGCAGACGCGUCAGGGCGGCCACGCGAAUCUGCACCAGAAUCCGCGCCAGCCUCGUCAGGCGUGGUCGGGAGCGAGCCAUCGAGCGGCGACUCCGAGCCAGCCACGCGGCGCCCUGUGGCUGGGGAACACGCCUCCUCUGCUCCGCGCCAAUCACGCAUUUGAAUAUUCAAGCGUUUGAAUAUUUUUAAUAAAGUAUUGCAAAUGUUAAUCAAGCAAUUGAAACUUGUUAAGGCCUUGUUCGGUUUGGCAGGGUUUGAAGAGGUUUGAAAGGAUUGAAGGGGAUUAAAUCUCUUGCAAGUCAAAAUCCUUCUCAAACCUCGCCAAUCCCCUUCAAUCCAUGUGGCAAGGGGAUUAACCGAACAUGGCCUCAAUGUGUAUAGAAAAAAUGGUUGCCAUGUAAACAAAUAAUUAAUAAAAAAUAUACAAUGUGUAGGAAACGAAUGUUGAUGGUGUAUUUAAAAAUGUUGAUAAAUAAUUAUAAAUUUAUCAAUGUAACAAAAUAAAUUUCUCAUGUGUUCAACAUUUGUUAGUGGUCAUAAUACUUUUUGCGCGCACAAUGCACAUUUCUUUUAUAAAUCAAGAACAUUUUUUUACAUUCUUAAUAUUAUAAAAAUACAUAAUUACCUUUCUUAAAUACAUUUUUAUGGUGUCUACUUUUACUUAAUGUGCAUAUUACAUUUUUGUAUAACUGAUCAGCAUUUUUAUAUACACGUUUAACAUUUUAAAAAAUAUGAUCAAUAUUUUUCCAUAUGAACAAAGCAAAGGCAAUAAAAACCAACUAAAACCUAAAUAGAAACAAAUGAAAUAAAAAUAAAAAAUAAAAAAACACCGCAGAAAGAAUAGAAAACAGCAAAAAUCGAGAAAAAAGGAAAAAUGAAAAAAGAAAGACACAAAUAGAAAAUAAAGAAGAAGAAGAAGAAGAAGAAGAGAAAUAAAAGAAAAAACAUCUAAAAACCAAUAAAGAAACAGAAACAGAUCAAAGAAAACAAAGAAAGCUAAAAGAAAUGAAGAAAUACACAUUCACCAGUGACGCGAUCAUGAGCGGGCAUUUUUUUGUUUUGUUUUGAGAAAUGGACCUCCUAGUUGCUACACGAGAGAGUUAUUCCUUCCGGGUAAAGAAGCUACGAACUCGGGUGAAGCAAGACAUAGCUCUCGCGGGAAAAGAGAGCUCCUCGUUGGCGCGUUAAGCGAGGCGCACCUAUGUAUCGCUUGAUACGAGAUGAAACAUGCGACCGCUUAGGGGUCGCAAUACAUGGUUCGGCCCAGAUAGGUUCCAGGUUAGGUCAUCCUUUUUCAUGUGUUUCUACUUUUUUCGAAAAUAUUGUAAACAAAUAUAUACAAAAACAUAAAAAUUGUUACUAAAAAUAGGAGCUGCAAUUUGAAAAUGUUAAUGAAAUGUAUGUUAGCUUAAUUAAAAGAAAUAUUGGUAGCGUACAAAAAAUAUGACAUUUAACAAAUAUUCACGUGUUUCAAAAGUAGUAUGUGACUUUAUAACCAUGUAUUUCAAAAAUCUUAAAUUUGUAUGUAGACUCUUCUUUAUUUACACAAAAAAUGUACAAAUGUGUACGUAAAAAGUAGACAUAAAUGACAUAUAUUUGGAAAAUGACACUUCUGUAUUAGAAAAAUAUUAAAUAUGCAUCCAAAAUGUUCUUGAUGUAUAAUAAAUUGUACAAUACGUAUAAAAAUCUACAUAUAAACAAUUAUUUGAAACAAAAAAAUUAAUCAUGUAAAUUUGCCCGUCUCCGCGAGAUCAAUUUGUGGUUCCGAACAACGAGCUCGCUCAACGCAGAAGCCAUGGCGGUGGUUGAGGCGCUAGACAAGGAGGUAGUGUCAAGGUGUUUCCCUGGUAACAAGAGCAACCAUGGUGGUUCUCUAAAUAAUGGAGGAGGCAGAGUCAACAGAUCCCUCCAAGCAAUUCAAGUGGGCGGUGUUCAGGUCCCUUACCACAAUUUUCCUUGCGUCUGUGGAGGUGGUAAGGGUGUUACCGACAUCAAGAAGCAGUUCGAUGCUGAUUGUGAUUUCAGAUGAGGAGCUUGAGCUGCAGCGGGUGAAGAAGAAGGGCAUGGUGGUGAGUUUCCCACACGGCUCCGCCAGGCUCCAUGCCCUCUCCGCGCAGAGUAGGUGUCUCCCCGGAUGGUAGCUGCUUCUAGUUGGUGGCCGCGGAGGAUUGCGACUAGGCUGAUGCUGGAGAGGGUUGCCCGCCGGAUAUCUCAGGCAUAUUUCUAUCUGCUAAAUAUUUGCAUUCUGCUUCACAUAUUAGUGAUGGUAGAAAUGUUUUGGGUUGGAAUAAAAUUCAAUUGAAACUGAAAAAGAAACAACAUAAAUAAACACGUCCAGCUACAUGAUUCUAGAGUUUGUGAUUGGGAAAAUAAAGUUGAUGAAAAUUCGUCUUCUGUUUGUUAACCAUGUAUAAAAAUAUGCUUAUCAUGUGUAAAACAUUAUUUAGUGGCGCUAAUUGCUUUUGCACGCACAAUGCACAUUUUUUGUACAUCAAGUACAUUUUUUCUUAACAUUUUAUAAAUACAGAAUCAAUUGUUUAAAAAAUAUGCCGUCUACUUUUAUUUAAUGUACAUAGUAUAUUUUUGGUGCAAAUGAUCAGCAUUUUAAUAUAUACAUUUAACAUUUUUUAAACAUGUUCAAUGUUUUCCAUAAGGACGAAAAAGACAAAGAAACCACCUAAAACUGAAAAAGAAUCAAAUGAAAAAAUAAAAAUAAAAAAGAAAGAAAACCACCUCAAAAAGCAUAGAAAACAGGGAAAACCAUGAAAAAAAUGAAAACAGUGAAAACGAAAGAUACACAAAAAAUGAAAAAAAGGAUGAAUAAAUAAAAUAAAAAACAACUGAAAACCAAGAAAGAAACAAAAAAACAUGAAAGAAAACAAACAAGAAUAAUAAUAAAUCGAAUGGAGAAAAAAAUAAAAAUCGAUGGAAAAUAAAUAAACAAGGAAAACAGGCGAAGAAACAAAGAAAAAAAGAAGUAAACGGACCUUGCCAGUUGCUACGCGAGAGAUCUAUUUGUUCAGGCAAGAGAAGCUACGAACUGAAGUGAAGCGAGAUAUAGCUCUCGUCGCACACGAGAGUUCUUGGUCGGCGGAUUAAGCAAGACGGAGCGUGCAAUAGCUUUGGUGUCAGCUAUACAUGGUUCGGCCCAGAUAAGUUCCAGGUUAGUUCGUCCUUUUUAUGUGUUUCUCCUUUCUUUUGUUCUUAUUUUGAAAAAUGUUGUAAAUAAAUAUAUACCAGAACAUAAAAUUUAUUUAAAAAUAUAAAAAUGUUGAAUGUGAAUGUACUAAAUAUGUUAGCUUAAUUCAAAAAAAUAUAGGUAGCGCACAAAACAAUUGUGACAUUUAACAGAUAUUCACGCGGUUCAAAAAAAGUAUGCAACUUUAUAACCAUGUAUUUCCUAAAUGUUAAACGUCUAUAAAAAAACUCUUCUUUAGUUACGCAAAAAAUGUAGAAUUGUGUAUGAAAAAAGUAGACAUCAAUAACAUAUAUUUGAAUUAUGUUACUUUUGCAUUUAAAAAAUGUUAAACAUGCCUAAAAUAUGUUCGUGAUGCCUAAAAAAUGUUGCGAUGAGGAUGGCUGUCAUCUCGCACCCGCCGACUGCUUGAACAGCUAGCGUCGCUGAGCUUGAGGAACCCCUUGUAGGGACCAAAGCAGACAACCUUGACGUUGCUGGCCUCCGUCGGCAUAUCAACAAAGCGCGACGCUUUCACUGUCGGACCAAAUCAGAGAUGGAUUAGGUCUAAAAUAUAUAUUUCUUGGUUAAAGGAAAAACAUGUAAUAACUGAACUCGCACUUAAGAAUUAAUCAACAUGUUGAUUCCACCGAAGCAUGCAUGCCUCCUGGAUGCUGAAACACGACUCACUGACUAUAAAAGCAGAGGACUCACUGACUAAGUACAGGAGCGAGUGACCGACUCUCGGCUCGGGUGAGGAUAAAAAAGAUCACCUGCUGCUGCUGGUUAUUGGUAAAAUCCAUGUGAGUGCUUGAUAAAAAAUUAUGGAACAUUGUAUAUGUUGUUACACAUAAAUGUUGGGAUAAAAAGAAUCAUCUUGGUACACUGCCUAGUCUUUUGGUGGACAGAAGAUUGUAUGGUGCAAGAAGCUAUUCAGAUACAACAACACUGGGCUACAUGACAGGAAUGGUGUACACGCCCCAAGGGCCAGCAGGCAGCAGCAAACCAGGUCAAGAUGAGAUGGUCUGGGCCUAGGAUGUUGAUUCAGAGAUGCCUGACUCGACGCCAAGCAGCAGCCACCCUACACCGCAGGCCCCGGCAGUUCUCGACCGAGAGCGACUGCGGCACAGUUCAGUUGUAGAAGCAAUCACAUGCCAUUCCCCCAGCAGAGCAGAACAGAGCAGAGCAACAAUCAGGGAUCAGGCCUGUCAUUGAAUAGAAGCUGAAUGACCUUCAGCUUCAGCUCCGGCAGGCCUGCCUCCGCUCACGGACUAGCCUCGGUAUUUCCUUCCAUGUCUUCGGUUUCAAUGGUUUGAAUUCCGUUACUGCACAUACCAAAAACGAUGUCAGAAAAAGCUUGCACAAAUUAAUGUGUUAUAUCAAAAUAUAUAGCAUGAUGGCAUUCAAAUAAUGGAGAAGAAACUUCUGCAAACGUGUUAGACCAUUAUGUACAAGGGAUGGAACGGAUGACUGCAUCUGUUUGUUAAAUGUGGCAAAGAUAGAAGGACGUGCUGCAAGCAUACCUUCAUAGCAGGCAUCUAGUCGUUUGCGGCUGAUGCUGCCCAGUUGCUGCUGCAGGCAUCUAGGGAGCUUCUUUAUAGCAGGGCAGCCUCUAAUUUGAAGAUACACGAGAGACCUGUAUACUUGCAGCUCAUUCGGCAGGGAUGCCAGGGUACUGCAUCUGUCAAGAUAAAGGACAUCCAGCGAUGGGGGGUGCUCUCCCGACAGACACUCCAGCGAUGUCAGCCCACUGUUUCCCAUAAUCUGCGGUCCCUUGAGGGGUGCAGGUAGACGGAGAGUCCCACCCAACAUGCCAGCACAGUCCACUAUUACUAGAGAUUCGAGAUGGGGAGGAAGUAAAUGCUCUCUUGCAGUUGGUGUUGCUGCUGCUGGUGGCUGUGGCAUGAUAGGACUUCUGCUUAUGGAGGUAGUGACUUCUGGUUUCUGGAGCCCACCCAGCUGGCAUGAUAGGACUUGAAUACUACUACAGCUAGCAAUACGAAUGUACUUUAAAGACGGAGGAAGGUUCAGAACCGCUGGUAAGCUUCCACAUCCAGAUAAAAGUAGAUCUUCUAGGCAUGGACAAAAGUGAUUCAUGGGUGAGGAUGGCAACUCUGAUACAGCUGCAGCCCUGAUUGCCUCACUGCUAGAAGAUACUUGGACUAACUCUGCCAUGCCCUGCUGCUUGCUGAAUAUGGAGUCAAGCUUAAUGCACCUAUCAAAAUUCAUUUUCUUGAGAGAUGCCGGGACGUUGAACAUCUCUACUAAACUUGGGCAGUUUUCUAAGCAAAGAGACUCUAGACCUCUCAGGUGCUGACUCCUUUCGGACGCCAAUGGCUCAAGAGGAGCUUGUGCAUAUCCAAUCAGAUUUUCACAGUUUGUAAUCGCCAAGCUCCUCAAGGACACCAAGCUUUGGAACACUUUCUCUGGCCAGUGGACGAGCACAUCGCAUCUAUCAAUUUCCAACUUUUCAAGAUCUACAAAAUACUCACACGGCUCUAAUGCACCCGAUCCAAAGAACAAGUUGCAGCAUCUUAGCUCCAUAACUGUAAGAGGGGAUUUCUGGUUCCAUUUCUCCUUGCUGUCCACCAAUACAAUUGAAGUGCACUCAACCUCUGAUGUUGUUUCUGUGUUUUCUAGCUUCAGUAUCAGAUUGGUCAAUGAGGGCAAAUAUCUAUCUACAGAAUCGGAGAUCUCUUGCUUGCCAUCUUCAAUUUCUAAUACACUGAGUUUUGGUGCUUCAGGCAAUGCUACCAGUUUUGGGCAUUUCUGGACUGACAAUUUCUCAAGGUGGGGAAACAAUGUACCUUCGACUGCAUCCCAUCUCUGAAAGCUCCCCAACCAUUUCAUUUUGAGCACCUUUAAGGCAGGAAAGGCUGAACGUACCAAUCUAUAACCACCUUCACUACAUGGUUCUUGAAGCAAUGGUGCUUCAGGUAACGCUGUCAGCUUUGGACAUUUCUCAAUUGAUAGUUCCUCCAGACAAGGAAACACUAUCUGUUCUCCUUGAGUCUCUUCGACUGCAUCCCAUCUCCGAAAGCUCUCCAACUCUUUCAUUUUGAGUACCUUUAGGGCAGGAAACGCUGAGCGUACCAAUGUAUAACCACCUUCACCACAAGGUCCUUGCAGCAAUGGUGCUUCAGGUAAUGCUACCAACUUUCCACAAUUACUAAUAAACAACUUCUCAAGCACAGGAAAUAUUGUUUGUUCUUCUUGCCUCUCAUCUAUUUCCCACCAUCUUACAAAACCCAACAAACGUUCUAGCAUUAGUACCUUCAGUUUUGGAAAAGUGAAGCUUGCACUGCAUCUGAACAAAACUUGCAAUCUUUCACAAUGGAAAAGAUGGAUCUCAACCAUGUUUUGCAGCAUACCCAUGCACUCUCCUCCAUAGGAAUAUAUCUUCAGAACCUGCAACCCACCAUGUGGUUCGAAAUUGUCGAGCACCAUGCUGUCACAAACAGAAUUCCAUCUUAAUGUCAGUUCUCUGAGAUCCUUCUUGUUUCCAAGGUUUGCCACUUUUGCCUCUGCCUCUAUAACAUUCUCUAUCUGACAUAGCUCUAACUGACCACCAAGGUUUAAAUGCUGCAGCUCUGCAACAUCACUGCAAUCAGUGCCAGUAACUGCUGCUGCAAAAAAUGUAAGCGUCUGCAGCUUAGUGAGUUUUCCUAGUUCUGGUGGCAUGCUCUUCAAGUUGCGACAUCCAAGAGUGUAGAGGUGACGGAGGGAAGUCAUAUACUUCAUUUGCCUCGGAAGUCGAUCAAGAUGAUAGCAGUUGGAAAGGUCUAACGUUUGCAGGUUAUAUAGAAUACUUAUAUCUUCAGGAAGUGCUUUGAUAUCACUGUCUGAGAGAUCAAGGUACCUCAGGUGAUACAGAUACAUUGAUUUCAGAAGAAAUGAUUCUGUGCCUCUAAUACAGAGCUUUAAGGCAUGCAAAGAGCUAUAUUUUGAUAGAUGCUUCAAUGAGCUUCGCACAUGGCUAUCACAUAUCAGUGUUUGAAUGGCAGGGGAUUUUUUCUCCAGAGCAUCAUUCAAAAUACCUUCUGUUUCUUCACAUGACAAGAACAAAUGCCGAGCAGUAUCUGGAAGCCACUCGGUUUGCCUUGGUUCCAUAGUUGCAACAACUCAUUCCUCUUCCAUAACAGACAUUGCAAUAUCAUGCAUAAGAUCAUGGAUUUUACAUGUAUUUCUGGAAUAAUACUCCCAGUCUUCUUUACUCUUCUCUAUAUCCAGAAAGAAUGACCUUGAAGCAAGCUCAUCAAAAAUAAGUUGUCCAAUGGUUUCAAGACUAUCUUCCUUGUGUUCAGGGAUAAAGCCAUUUGUGAUCCAUAGUUGGAUCAGCUUUGCUACAUCAAUCUUGUAAUCCUUUGGAAAUACAGCACAAAAAGCAAAGCACUGCUUCAUGUGCGAUGACAAGUCAUUGUAGCUAAGCUUCAAUAUUGGCAAGAUUCCAGUUUCCUCAGUGCAAAUGCUGCUUCUAGAUGCUAUAGCCUUCCAUUCUUUCACGGUGGUCUUGGUACGAAGUACAGAGCCCAGUGCACUUGCAGCUAAAGGAGAGCCACGACAUCUGUUCACAAUCUGAUCAACCAUCUUGACUAGCUCAACAGGCUUUUUUUUUCCGGAACUGAAUGCUCGAGCCUCAAUAAUUUCCUUUAAGAAUAUAUCAUCCAAACGACCGAGAAUGUGGGUAUCUGCACCCAUAAUUUCAGCAACUCCUUUAUCACGAGUUGUUGUCAGCACCGCACUACCCAUGACACCAUGCUUAAGAUGGUCCUUCAGCCUUUCCCACUUAUGGACUUCUCUGUUCCAGACAUCAUCUAAUACAAGGAGAUACCUCUGCCCGGUGACCAAUUUCUGAAGUCUCUCUAGUUGUGGUUUGUUUGUAUGAUAAUUUUUCUUGGGAGAUGCUUCAACUAUACUCUUGGCUAGGGAGUUCACAUCAAAGAUAUCCGAGACACAGACCCACAGCAACAACUGGAAAUGCUUCUGAAUUCUAGGUUCAUUGUAUAUGAGCUGUGCUAAUGUGGUCUUACCAAAGCCCCCCAUUCCAACGAUGGCAACCACUGCGAGAUCAGCACUAUUAGCUUGGCGAAGUAGUCUACCAACAACUUCCACCUUAUCUUUGUCUCUGGAUCUGCUAGCAAUGUCUUGCAGGUCGGUGAUAACAGAAUCCGUCUGCCUCCACUGCUUGGACACGGGUGGCUGUGGUCGGUACUUGAACCUAAAGGCAUGCAUCUCUGCUAUGAGCACAUCAAUGGCCUUCAGGAUCCGGCAAAGCUUGCGACCCAUUUUGUAACGGAACACAAUACAGUUGUGAGUAGGGAAGAGUUUAAUUACAUCGAAGCCGAGCUUGCUGUAGUGCCCCUUCUUCCUGGCUUCACGACGGAGUGCUUCGUACUUGAAUUCGUCAAACACUUCAUUUGCCUCAUAUGCCACCGUCUUGAGCUCCUGGAGCCAGGUUUUGGCCCCAUCUCUAUGCUCCGUCGCCUGCUUCUCGGCGUCGGUCAUGACGUCGAGGAUGGCCGGAAGCUUGCGUUUGAGAAUCUUGUGCUGCUCCUCCAUUCCCUCCAUCACCUUGUACUGGUCCAGGAGGGAGUUGCCCGCCUUGUUCACCAGCAUGGACACCAGCGGCCGGAUGGCCAUGGCGGCCACCACCUCCGCCAUUGGAACGCCCACACGAUUGGCACAGCAACACGAAGCAGUGUGGAAUGGAGAAUGGAAUGGUGUGAGCAAGACGUGCUUGCUUUGCUAGUAAUGAAACUGGAAGCCAAGGUGAGUAUUGACUUUCUGGGAGCGAAGUGGAUGAGCUCGCGUUACGGGAACCAAUCACAACUAUCCAAUCCUGAACAGCUCAGCACUGGGCAUUGUUUUUGGGCUGAUGCAUAAUAGGACAAUCAGCAUACCACAUUAACAGCUGGGGGCAUCUUCAUUUCUUAAUGAGACACAACCAGAGUGCAAGACGACGCGGGCAACCAUAAUAUUGCAAGUAGAUCAUUGUAUUAGGUAUUUGUGUCAGUACAUCCAAUCCAGUUUUUCAAAAGUGACGUUUCACUGGCUGUGACCUUAGCAGAUGGUACGAAUUUCCUUAACAAAUACAAAGAGUUGCAGGAAUGCAAAUUAAAUAAUUACUUCCACUGGCUAGACGUGUGACAGCACACCUACUGCCUAACUACAGCAUAUACUUAUCUCAAGUGCCUGCCGCCCAGGGAGACCAGAAUAAUGGUGUUCUUGGAUUAGUUGAACCUUCAAUGCAUCACUACUUAUCACCGAAGCAUUAUUUUAUUGUUCUUUUUUUUUUGGAAUGGCCUCUAAGUAUGAUUGAGUACAGGAUUGAUCUCAGAGCAAACAUAAUCGGCUGGCAGAGAAUUAUGUCUUGUUCAUAUAGUCUGAUGCAAUUUUGUGGUUACACACUCCUCAGUUUUUAUAACUAAAUACAGAAUUUUAAUCUGUUGACAGAUCAGACAAACGUAGAAACAGUUAGCAAGAGCCCCAAUGAGAUUAUAUGCAGCAUCAUUUUAAUCGGAAAGCAAUUGCCCUCAUGAGAUCAGCAACCAUACACAGUGCCAAUAAAAAAAGGUGGCUCGUACUAACGACGCAGGUUUCAAAUUAAUCAAGUGGCUAAACCGAGGCAUCGACAGCCAUAUGGGACAAUGUGCACUUCAGUUAGAAAAUGAACACUUGCAGGCAGUAAAAUAAUUUAUGUCAGUACACCCACGAUAUUGCAAAUAGAGUAUUAAUUACGUAUUUGUGUCAGUACAUCCAAUGCAGUUUUUCAAAAGUGACGUCCCAUUGGCUGUGACCUUAGCAAAUGGUACGAAUUUUCGUUCUAAGUACUACAAAAAGUUGCAGGAAUGCAAAUUAAACAAUUACCUCCCAUGUCUAGACGUGUGAGAGCACACCUACUGUGCAACAACAAAAUAUAUUUCAUCUCGGGCACUUACCGCACAGGGAGGACCACAAUAUUGGUUUUCGUGAAUCUAAAAUACAUCACAUGCUUCCUGCUGAAGAGGGAAGACCCGGUGGCAAGUGGUUAAUUUCUUGUCCUUUUUUAAUGACACCUCUAACUAACAUUGAAGGGGCAUGAUUGAUCUCAGAGAUGAGCAUAAUAAGCUGGCAGAUGACCAUCCCUUGCUCAUAUGGACAAAUGAUACACUUAAUAUACUGAUAUGAUAAAAUACAACUUGACAAUCUCCUGAUAUUCGACGAUGAAAGAUAUGUAUGAGUAUGCGAUUCAAUUUGGUGGGCUUAAUAUGUUCCGUUAUUGAGAGACAGUGAAAAGCGGAAUAAAGGGCAGGGUGGAAUUCUCUAUAUCAGGUUAAGGAGAUCGUCUUAACUAACUAAAAUCAGAUGAAGCCUAACUUUGCAACCAUACGACGGAAGCAACAAAAAUAAAGACAGGGAGCCAGAACAGAACAAAGAUAAAUUCCAGUGCCCUUUUAUUGAUCACUGCCUAUGGCCAUAUAGAUGAGAUCUGGGACUCGGCCAGCUGAAACAUUCCUCUAGAAAGCACAUUUCCGCUGAUGCACAUAUGAAAUACGACAGUACAAAGCAGAAUAAACACUGAGAUUAUACAGAUGAUUGGACGCUGUAACUAAGUUGGAUAUCGCGGCGCGCAUAGGCGGAAAUGAGAGAGAAACGGAAUGUCCAAAGCCACAAAUGUACAUCGCUGUCAGGCUACCCAGCUGAAUCCUGCUUCCUGCUGACCCUCCUGAUUCACGCAGACGCAGCUAGCAUGGAGAUGGGCACGCCUCUCGAAUUCAUGUGAAUCGAAUCGCUGGAAGAGACGGACGGACAGGAUCAAUACCUUUGUGUCGACGGGGAGGGGAGGCCGGAGUGGCUGCCGUCGACGUACGGCGCGCAGCCGACGGGGGAGCUCCGGGACCUUCUUGUCGACACCAUCUGCAAUGGAAGUAAAAAAGAGCUGUUAGAAGAGGAUACGAGAGAGGCUCACGGUAGGAAGGAAUGGGGAAGGGGGAUGAGUGAGUACCUCGAGCGGCCGCGGUGGUGGUGGGCGGGCGGAUGCGGAGGGUGGGAGGGAGGCUGACACCUCCGCCGCCACAGACGUACGUGGAGCGGCCACGGGCGUUGCGUUCUGGUAGAGGCCACGGGCAGUGGGGUCCGGGAGACGUCGUGCGCCGGCGAGGAGGACGGGGAAGGGGAGACGAAGACGACGCGGAUCGGCGGAGUGUGGGCUGGGCUUGUGACGUUGGGGCCUCCGAAAACUAUAGCCCAGUUCGAAUUGGUGCCCUAACACACACAGCGCUUACGUCGGCUAAAUCCUAUUUGGCGCCUUCAGCGCCCGCUAUAGGUCUUUCGGCCGGCCCAGUUUCGACAUUUUUUCUGUGUUUCCAAAAGGCAAAAAGGGCGCUAGAGCUGGGUAUCGAAAACGCUACAACCACUCAACCACACCCCUUGGUGUGAUUGGUUACAUGUUUUCUCGUCUUUUCUUAUGCUUCUUUUCCUUUUUAUUCCUUUUUUUCUUUCUUUUUUCAAAUUCGCAAAACUGUUUCUUCAUGAAUAUUUUCUGCAAAUCGAUGAACUUUUCUCUUUGAAUUUGAUGAUUUUUUUCGAAAAAUUUGAUGAACGUUUUUUCAGAUCCGAUGAACUUUUUUUUGAAUUCCAUGAACUUUUUUCAAAUUCGAUGAACUAUUUUUCGAAUUCAAUGAACUUUUUCUGAAUUCGAUGAACUUUAUUUCGAAUUCAAUGAACUUUUGAUCGAAUUCGAUGAACUUUUUUAAAUUUGAUGAACUUUUUCAAAUUCUGAUGAACUUUUUGAAAGGACAAGAGUACAUACCGUAGCAAAACGGUUUGUUUUUUCCAAGAAAAUCAGUACACACUGUAGCAUUUUUUGAGCGAGAGAAAUAAAAAAGUGAUCGAGCGGUAGCUAGCGACCGAGCGGCGACAGCAGCGAGCGUUGCUGGGCCAGGCCCAUGCAAGCGACGCAGUGGGCGCCGUGUUCACUCGCUCCACCUCUGCAUUGAUGUCUCUAGCUUGUAGCAAUUGCCAUCCUUUACAUGUAAAGAGGAUUUGAUGAGUCAUGUCAUGCUCUAUAGGCGUCAGUUCAUCUUAUCACCUUAGAGGAAAAUACAAAGUUAGUUUUUCGAAAAGCAACCGAGCCUAGAAGAACCGUACCCUCGACACGCAAGGCUUUAGCAUAUCUUAAUAGCCGAGACACGAUUGCGACUUGGUUCCACACAAGUUUCGUCUUUCUUGUUAAUGGCUGACAGCCCAUACAAGAUUCCAAACUCGGUUGCAAAAGUGAUACUAUCCUGAUAAGUGCGUGACAUGUAAAGUGAAUAAGGUGAUUCAUCUAUAGCAAACUUUAGGAUUUCUAUACUUUGUGUAUAAUCAUAUGCACAACUAAAAAGCAACUUUGAUGAUCAAUCCAAAAGUACGCUUGUAGCUAGUGCAACCUAACACAAUGUACCAAAAAUCCAUUUCAGAAACAUCCAAACAUAAUUAUUAAAGCUGAUGGAAAGAAGGAAAGAGAUGGUGCCCGGGCUACUAUAAAUAGGCAUGAAGUAUCAAGAUCAUCACAGGCACAAUCAUCAAAACCAAGCAAUACUAGUUAACACCAAUCCACCAUGAAGACCUUCCUCAUCUUUGCUCUCCUUGCCAUUGCGGCGACAAGUGCCAUUGCACAAAUGGAGACUAGCCGCGUCCCUGGUUUGGAGAAACCAUGGCAGCAACAACCAUUACCACCACAACAACAACCACCAUGUUCACAGCAACAACAACCAUUUCCACAGCAACAACAACCAAUUAUUAUACUGCAACAAUCACCAUUUUCGCAGCAACAACAACCAGUUCUGCCGCAACAGCAACCAGUUAUUAUACUGCAACAACCACCAUUUUCGCAGCAACAACAACCAGUUCUACCACAACAACCACCAUUUUCACAACAACAACAACAACAACAACAACAACAACCACCAUUUUCGCAGCAACAACAACCAGUUCUACCACAACAACCACCAUUUUCACAACAACAACAACCACCAUUUUCGCAGCAGCAACAACCAUCUUCACAACAACCACCUUUUCCACAACAACACCAACAGUUUCCACAACAACAAAUCCCUGUUGUUCAACCAUCCGUUUUGCAGCAGCUAAACCCAUGCAAGGUGUUCCUCCAACAGCAGUGUAGCCAUGUGGCAAUGUCGCAACGUCUUGCUAGGUCACAAAUGUGGCAACAGAGUAGUUGCCAUGUGAUGCAACAACAAUGUUGCCAACAGCUGCCGCAAAUCCCCGAACAAUCCCGCUCUGAGGCAAUCCGUGCCAUCGUCUACUCCAUCAUCCUGCAAGAACAACAACAGGGUUUUGUCCAACCUCAGCAGCAACAACCCCAACAGUCGGGCCAAGGUGUCUCCCAACACCAACAGCAGUCGCAGCAGCAGCAGCAACUCGGACAGUGUUCUUUCCAACAACCUCAACAACUACAACAAUUGGGUCAGCAGCCUCAACAACAACAGAUACCACAGGGUAUAUUCUUGCAGCCACACCAGAUAUCUCAACUUGAGGUGAUGACUUCCAUUGCACUCCGUACCUUGCCAACGAUGUGCGGUGUCAACGUGCCGUUGUACAGCUCGACCACUAUUAUGCCAUUCAGCAUUGGCACUGGAGUUGGUGGCUACUGAUAAGAAAAGAUUUCUAGUAAUAUAUAGUCGUUAGAUCACCGUUGUUUAGUCGAUGGAUAUGUCGAUGUAGCGGUGACAAAUAAAGUGUCACACAAACGUCAUGUGUGACCCGCAAACUAGUAGUUAAAUUCUGGAAUAAAAUACAAAUAAAGUUUUCUCUAGACAAUGUUCAUACCGGCGUUCUGUGGACGUCGAUGUGACUACCAUGCUUGCAAGUUCAUAAGUUCGUCUUGUCUGGUCACAAACCUGGUGCGUUAAUUUAUUAUUCAUGUAUAGAAAUAAUCAAAAUUUAAAUAUAAUAGUGUUAUUGUAAAAUUUUGGUUGAGUUGAAGCAAGGACUAACAUACAACUCUUUAAUGGUUGGAGAUUCAAGAUCUUAUUUUUAUUGGUUUGUAUCUGGUUCCAACUACCACCAUGGUCUACAGUGACAACCACAACUGGUUUGAUCGUUAACUCUCUUUGCUUGGUUUUUUUGCAAAUAUGUUCAUUGAUUCUUUGCACAAUUUUUUUGUCAAGAAAAAGGUCAGCUUUUGCUUGAACUUCACACACACACACCACUACAUAGUUAAUUCGAAAUAAGUUGCUGGUGAUGUCCUAGACCAGCUAGCACAGUCAGUGUGUGUGGGGAGGGGGAGUUGUUGCAUGCGUAUUCUUCGCGCAUUAUUUUAUUUUGUUCUUUUGAUGCUCUUACACCAUACCACAUUUUUACUUGAUGGAAAGCAAAAUAAACAACGCAGCUAGAAACCAUAGAACUUGAUACUGGGUGUGUGUCAACUUCACAUCCUCCUCCUUACGUCAUUUCAAUUGGAAAGCAAUAGCCCUCAUGAGAUCAGAUAUCCAUACAUAAUGCCAAAAUAAACAAGGUGAUGGCAUUAACGAUGCAAGUUUUAAAUUAGUCAAAUGGCUAAACUGAGGCACCGGCAGCCAUAUGAGACAUCCACGAGCAUGUAAUCCAUCUUAUUGCAAGUAGAGCACUGUAUUAUGUAUUUAUGUCAGAACAUCCAGUGCAGUUUUUCAAAAUGACGUUCCAUUGGCUGCAACUAGCAAAUGAUACGAAUUUUCUUUCCAAAUACUACAAAAAGUUGCAGGAUUGCAAAUUAAACAAUUACCUCGACUGACUAGACGUGAAACAACACACCUGCUGUGCAGCAACAACAGAUAAUUCAUCUCAAGCACCUACCCAGCAGGGAUUAGUUCUCGUGAAUUCAUGGAAUUUAGAAUGCAUCACAUGCUUACUGCUGAAGAGACAAGACCCAGAAGCAAGUGGUCACUUUCUUGUCCUCUUUAAAUGACACCUGUAAUUAAGAUUGAGUACAUCAUCGAACUCAGAAGUGACCAUAAUCUGCUGGUAGACCAUUAUUUCUUGUUCAUAUGAACAUACAUAAUACUUAAUAUACUGACAUGAUACAAGGCAACUUGACAAUCUCCUGUUAUUCGAAGAUGAAAGAUAUAUAUGAGUAUGCGAUUCAAUUUGGUGAGCUUAAUAUGUGCCGUUAUUGUGAAACAGUGAAAGACUGAAUAAAGGGACAUAUGGAAUUCUUUUUAUCAUAAUAACGAGUUUCUAAACACAGAACGAAAGCAACAAAAAAUAAAGACAGAGCGCUAAAAUUUCAGAGAAGUUUUUGAAGAUAUAAAAUGCAGUGCCCUUUUAUUGAUCACUGCCUAUAGCCAUAUAAAUAAGGUCUGGGACUCGGUUCGCUGCAACAAGCCUCUAGAAAGCACAUUUCCUCUGAUGCACAUAUGAAAUUUGAGAGUAAAACAUAAAAACGCCGAGAUAUACGGAUGAUUUAAUGAUGUAACUAACUUGGAUAUCCUUCUAGUGACCACGGAAUGGACAAAUUUUCUUCCGAGACGUCGAAAAGGGAUGGAACCUCCACACCCACUGCUUCUCCUUCACCUGCAUAGCGUGCGUAGGCGGAAAUUUGAUGAGUAUUUGAAGUGACAUCCACAUAGAGCAGGAGUUAUUCGGCUAGCAAAGUGCAAAUGUACAUCACUCUCAGGCUACAAGACUGAAUUCUGCUCGAUGAUCUUCCUGAUUCAUGCAGCGGAUAUGCAAAUGGGCGUGCCCCUUAAAUUCAUGUGAAUCAAAUUGCAGAAGAGACGGACAAACAGGGUUAAUAUAUACCUUAUUUCUUGUGUUGACGGGAUGGCUGGAGUGGCUGUCGUCGAUGUACGGCCCGCACUCGACGAAGAGCUUGAAGACCCUCUUGCGAAGACCAUCUGCGAGAGGAAGCAAGAGUUGAGGUCAGAAGAGGGUACAGUAGAGGUUGAGGGUGGGAAGGAAGGCAUCAACACUAGUAGAAAAAGGGCCUAAUGUGAAGCACAUUAGUCCCGGUUUGUAACAAAACCGGCACUAAUGUGUCCAUUAGUGCCGGUUCCAACGGCUAGGCGGGUGGAGCUAAAUUAGACUGAAUUGAACUUGUUCUUUAUAACUAGCUUGGGACAGAAAAAUUACUAUGAAAUGCACUUGAUUAUACUUGAUUUUAUGGGCUACAAAAAAUAUCAUCCAAAAAUGCUCUAAAAAACACGUUCUAAAGUAGGUUUGGCAGGAGAUGCGGCACAUUAUCAUUCAGAAAUUAGACCAAGAUAAAUGUGGAGUUGGCGGCUCAACACUCUAUAAGACUGUAACAGGUUGUCCCAGUGUCUCAGUCCUUUAGGACAUAGAUCCAGAAAAUGUAGAACUAACAUAUUAGCGGUUAGGAUCAUAUUUGCAAUGUGGGAACUUGGUGCGCUCGCUCCAACAUGCCUAGUGGAAGCAUGUGUCCUCUGAUGCACAUAUGAAAUAUGACUGGUACAAAACAUAAGAAACACUGAGAUUAUACGGAUGAUUGGAUGCUGUGGCUAACUUGUGCGUCGCUCCAGUCAACUGAGUGGACGAACUCGCUAAGAGCUUUCUUCUCGGAGAUCAAAGGGGACGGAACUUCCUAAGAGCUUUUGAUUCAACCUCCAUGCUAACUAACUACUUCUCCACCUGUUUAGUGGGCGUAGGAGAAAAUUUGAUGAGUAUUUGAAGUGACGUCCACAUAGAGCACAUAGCUAUAUUCAGUUAGAAAAGCCACAAAUGUACAUCACAUCCAGAUUAAUGGAGGUGGAAUGUGAAUGUGUGUGCCCUUAAAUUCAGGUGAAUCAAAUCGCAGAAGAGCCAGACGAAUAGGAUAGAUACCUUGAGUGGACGUGGAGGACGGAGUGUCUGCAGACAAUGUAUGGCCCACACCUGAAGGAGACCUUCUUGCCGAAAGCAUCUGCAAGAGGAAGUAAGAACAUGGUUGUUGACAUCAGAUUUUGGCAUGGUACAAAAAGCAAUUAAGAUUGCCCCAAAUGGAGAAGUGAUUUACAUGAAAAAGUUCCAUUUUGUCGACCUGAACAUCUUUGAAGUUUGUGCCAUCGCCAUCUAAUCUCAUCUCGAAGGCCAAAGUUAUGUUCGAAAUACUGAGAUUUUGUAUCCAGAGCACUGUUCGGCCGAUUAUGCCUCAAGGGAUGGUCACUUUCUACAUGAAUUGUCUUCGUCUCAUCAAAACGGUCGAUUUUGAUAAAAAUUCAUGUCAAUCCGAGGUUGUAUGUAAAAGUUAGAGCCACCCGAGUGCGGUCAUGAGCCAAAAGUGGCGAGUAAUAGUCUAUUUUGCACGAGCAAUUCGUCCCUGAAGUUGGCAUCUAUUCGAAACAUGUUUAACAUGAAUGUUGUUCGUCUCGGUGAAACGGUUAAAUUUGGUUCUUACACGAUUUUGAUCUGAGGUCAUUUACUACCCAAAAAAUGACCCGCAAGGUGAAGCCAAUUUUUAGAUCGAAUAGUUUUGGGAAGUUCGGAUCGAACAAUCCGAAUAGGAAUCAAAUUAGGGUUUUGGACAUGAAUUCUAACCUUUCCUUGCACGGGAAGUCCAUCCACCUCUUAUAUACAUGAGGGGUGACGGCCGAUUGAGAAACAACACACAAUCGCAAAACCCAUCUACAAACUUUCAUCUCCUAUCCUACUUUUCUGCUUCUCGUUCAUCAGUGUUCUUUGCUUCGGAGAGCUCUGAUCUAUGAAGUCCUAGGGGUGGGCGAACCAACCUAGGGCAGCCCAGCACUGUCGUGCGGCCAGACAGGGUCUCUUCCGACCGCGUGGGGUUUCGGGUCUUCAAAAGCGCUCGCCGGAUUGUAUUGCGUACCACUCUUCCGGUGAGCCUCCUUCGGCGAUGUGUCUUGCGUAUCGCGCUCGACGCCGAGGGUACACGGUGACGUGUUUGUGUGUGAACACACUUUUUGGCGACUCCGCUGGGGACCAAAGAGCAAUCAUCAUCAUCCAUCAUGGUCAAUCUUCCCAAGCCAUCUGAAGUGGAUGCCGAUAACAUCAACAAGCCCAAUUUUGAGGAAUUAUCGGCAGAACAUCGCCAAGCUUGUGAGUAGUACAAGAAGGCACGUGAAGGGAAGGAGAUGCAGGAGUUCCUUGCUAAGUUCAAAAAGGAUCGCCAAGGCAACAUCACUUCAAUUGAAGAAAUCAAGUUUCCUCCUCUUCACAAUGAGUAGGUAGAGUCGGCUGAAAUCACUACUCUUAUUGCUCAGAAUAAUGAUCGAAAAAAUACUCCUCAAUCAUCUAAUGGUAGAAAAUAAUACUGAUCGAAAAAAUACUCCUCAAUCAUCUAAUGGUAGUGGUAGUAUGUCUGCUGGUGUGGAAAACUUUAGUCCAAAUUUACCUAUUCCAGCGGUGCUGCCCAUGCCAUUGAAUUCUUAUCCCAGUCAGACAAACCAACUUGUUGCUCCACCAUUUAAUCCAGCCAGGAAUAUGCCAAGUUCAGUGAAUCCAACUGCAUUGCUAGGUUAUGGUUCGGCAAGUCCAAGUGGAUUGCUGCCGAACUAUGGUAUAACAUACACACCACCAUCUCUUCCGACUAGCACUAUACCAACUAGUAGAAAUCAUAUUCACCAUGCGCCACAACCACACGCAACGCCGCUCAAUACGAGUGAUAUUUUGGCUAAUGUCAGAGAGGAGAUGUCGAGGGUGUUCCGAGAGCAUUGCGGGAUUGAACUACCUCAACCACGAAUUUCUAGGAAACCAUAGCUAGAAAUUUUUGAUGUCGUGCCAUGUCCUCCCGGAUAUAAAGUUCCAGAUUUUGUUAAAUUUAGCGUAGAGGGAAGAAAGACUACAUGGGAGCAUGUUAGUCGGUACUUGGCACAAUUAGGUGAGGCAAGUUCACGAGACGAGUGGAAAGUACGUUAUUUUCCUUUAUCUUUAACCGGUACUGCUUUCCCGUGGUUUUCUGCAUUACCACCCGGUUCUAUUACUGCAUGGUUUCACUUGGAGCAAAAGUUUCAUGACCACUUCCAGAGUGGUGACAAUGAGCUUAAACUAUCCCAUCUUACAUCGGUUAAGCAAAAGCAUGAUGAAUCAGUCUUCGAUUAUGUCAAAAGAUUUAGAGAUACAAAAAACCGGUGCUAUAGUUUGGUGAUAACCGAGAGAGAUGUGGCUGAUCUCGUGCUUAGUAGUUUGAGAACUCACAUUAGAGAGAAGCUGGAAGGCUAUGAGUUUUCAAGUAUCAACCAUGUCUUAGAAAAGGGCUUUGGCUCAAGAAAGCCAAAGCAAAGAGUUUAAAGAGGUGCAUAGGUAUAACACUGAUCAUCCUAAGAUAAAUAUGAUUGAGUAUGAUGGUGAGCACUCGGAUGAUGAGGGUGAUAUUUAUGAUACUGAAUUUGUUUGGCCAUCUAAGGCCAAACCAUUUACUUGCAAUGAUAUAAAGCCAAUUUCAUAAGAAUCGUGAUGAAGAGAUGAAAAUUACUUUCAACAUUACUAAGUGUGAUAGAAUAUUUGAUGCUUUGUUGCAAGCGAACAUUAUUAGAAUAUCUCAUACUUUACCGCCGUUUCAAGAGCUGAAACGGCGUGCUUAUUGCAAGUAUCAUAAUUCUUUUUCUCAUGCCACUAACGAUUGUAAUGUUUUUCAACGACAAAUACAGCCGGCCAUUAAUAACGGACGAUUGAAAUUUUCUCAGAUUCCACUUGAUAAGCAGCCCUUUCCAAUGAACACCAUGGAUUUGGAGGGAAAAAGAUGUUAAUUCGGCCCGAUAUAGCCGAAUCAGCUAAUAAAAAUAAGAUUGUCAUUGGUGAGCCUCAGAAAAGCAAGGAAGACGACAAGGCCUUGGGGAGACAAGUUGUGCUUGACAAGCGACCCGGUGGCAAGGAGAUCAUUAAGAUCACCAUCAAGAANNNNNNNNNNNNNNNNNNNNNNNNNNNNNNNNNNNNNNNNNNNNNNNNNNNNNNNNNNNNNNNNNNNNNNNNNNNNNNNNNNNNNNNNNNNNNNNNNNNNNNNNNNNNNNNNNNNNNNNNNNNNNNNNNNNNNNNNNNNNNNNNNNNNNNNNNNNNNNNNNNNNNNNNNNNNNNNNNNNNNNNNNNNNNNNNNNNNNNNNNNNNNNNNNNNNNNNNNNNNNNNNNNNNNNNNNNNNNNNNNNNNNNNNNNNNNNNNNNNNNNNAAAUUUGUUAAACCAAAGAAUCCAGAGGUUGGCAAGUGGAAGACGAAUGAAGCUAAAGUACAACGCAAGAGAAUCAAGCCAACUUUUGUUAUGUUGCUAUGCAAAUGUGCCAAUCAAGCGGCCAAUUCUAGCUCUAACCGGUCAUCAAAUUUAAAGCUCUCCAGGUCACCUCCUCGACAAGAAUUUCAUCAUCAUGCAAGGCCAUAUGGGUCUUGGGCACCUUGACCAUCGAUGGCACCACCCCCCCUAUGUGUCAUACUACAUGGGAAACUUUAAUGGAGGAUGGGGGCAACCUCCAAUGACCCCUUAUGCUUUUCAUCCGGGUUGGGUAGAACCAAGGAGGCCCGUUUGUGAGAGGCUUUCUUACCCUAUACAUGGCCGUUUGAACAAUGGUGUCAAUCGGCCAAUGCAGGAUAAUCAAAAAAGGUUCAGCAAUCAAGUGUGGCGAGCUAAAUCACCAAGUGCUGAAAUUUCAGAGGCUAGCAACCAAAAGGAGAAGAGUACUAGUGCUGAAACUAUUAUUGUAGGCACUAAAGAAUUAACAAUCAAAUAGCCGAUUAUUGUUGAUAAUGCAGCUAUUUCUAACAAGGAUGUGGCUGCUGUCCAACAAGGUCCCGUGGCUAAUGAUCAUGAAGCUAGCACAAGCAAGGCCAAGCUGAGGGAUCCAAAAUAUACUUAGCCUAAGUGGUGUCCCUCCGGUCUGACCAAGGCACAAAAAAGUAGGUUGCAGCACAUGAGAAGCCACGAGAAGGAGGGAUAAGAAGCGGAGAGGCAAAGGGAUAAACUGUUCAAUGAAACCCGUCCCAUGAUGUCCGCAAAACAAGUGUGGAGGCCUAAGCAAAAGGAAAACAUAGUAGCUUCUGCAUUGGUAAUAACAGCACCUACACCACCAAUGGAGGACGAUGCGACUGCUAUUACAUCGUCCACUUCACCUAUUACUUCCUCUUCACUAGGAGAUAUUUCGGAGUCGAUGGACAUGCUUCAGGAUGGAGAUGGUAUUUUGGAUUAUGAGUCUACACCGGUUCAUGAAGGUAUUGAUAUUAAUAUGGUGCACUACUUACCCGCUGAAUUCCGUGCUAUAUAUGAAGAAGGGCAAGUACCUCAGUUGGAUUUUGGUCCUAAAAAUGCUAUAAUCGAGAAGCCAAAAGAAUGGGUGACGCACCUGAAGCCAUUGUUCCUUAAAGGUCAUAUUAAUGGAUCGCCGAUUGCUAGAAUGCUUGUUGAUGGUGGUCCUGUGGUGAAUCUUAUCCCAUAUUCAGUCUUAUAAAAAAUGAGGCUGCGUGAUGAAGAGUUGAUAAAGACCAACAUGGUGCUCAACGGAUUUGAAGGUAAAGAGAAAAUUGAAGCCAAAGGUGUGAUGUAUGUGGAGCUUACGGUGGGAAGCAAAACUUUGGCUACCGCAUUCUUUGUCGCCGAGGUGCAAGGUAACUCCAAUGUGAUAUUAAGCCAUGAUUGGGUUCAUGCAAACCAAUGUGUGCUAUCUACUAUGCACCAGUUUUUGAAUCAAUGAGUUGAUGAUGAAGUGGAAGUCAUUCAUGCGGAUAAUUCGAUCGGCUUGUGUUGCUUUGGCCGAUGAAUCGGUGGAUUGGCAACAUCCCAAUGCUACUUGCUUGACGGGGCGCGACUUAUCAGAAUUUGAUUUUCUUAGCGCUACAAAAUUGGUUUCGUGCCCCUUUCUAUAAAGCCGGUUGGCGAUAAUCGGCUCCAAGGUAUGAUGUAUUUAAAUGGAUCCUAUCUCAGAGUGGUUUCAAAAGCGUCUUGUAGAAUAUCGGUCCAAUGAGAAUGAUAUGUAUGAGUCCAUAGAAGAGUUAGAUGAUAUGGAUAAAUUAGGACAAGGUUUUACAUCGGCGAUCCAUUAGAAGAGAUAGAUAUAGCAGAUGGUUCAUUUCUUAGGCCGACAUUUGUAAAUAAAAAUUUAAGAGUCGAUCAUAAACUUAAGUUGAUCGAGCUGUUAAAAGAAUAUAUUUGUUGCUUGGCAUGGGAAUAUCAUGAGAUGCCCGGUUUAAGCCGAGAGCUAGUGGAGCAUCGAUUACCUAUAAAGGCUGGUUUUUGACCGUAUAAGCAAUCGACCAGAAAGUUUAAUCCAAAAACAUAUGACCGGAUCAAGGAAGAGAUCGGUCGUUUGCUGAAAGCUAAUUUUAUUAGACCUUGCAAGUAUGCCGAGUGGAUUUCUAACAUUGUACCAGUGAAGAAGAAAGGCUCGGGCAAGUUGAGGGUGUGUAUUGAUUUUAGAGAUUUGAAUAGAGCUACACCCAAAGAUGAGUAUCCCAUGCCCAUAGCCGAUAUGCUUAUUAAUGAUGCCUCUGGACAUAAGGUCAUUAGCUUUCUUGAUGGUAAUGUGGGGUAUAAUCAAAUUUUUAUGGCCGACGAUGAUAUGACCAAAUUAGCUUUUCGAUGUCCCAGUUUCCUUGGUUUAUUUGAGUGGACAGUGAUGACCUUUGGUUUAGAGAAUGCCGACACCACGUAUCAAAGGGCUAUGAAUUUAAGUUUUCAUGAUUUACUUGGUGUUAUACUUGAAGUCUAUAUUGAUGAUAUUGUUGUCAAAUCGGAUGCUUUUGAAUCUCAUCUAGCUGAUUUGUGCUUAGAUUUUGAGAGAAUGAAAAAAUAUUGACUAAAGAUGAAUCCUUUGAAAUGUGCUUUUGGUGUAUCGGCUGGUAAGUUUUUGGGUUUCAUUAUUCAUCAACAUGGCAUAGAAAUUGACCCAAAAAGAUAGAGGCUAUACAAAAGGUGUGGGCUCGAACAUGCAAGAGAGAUAUGCAAAAAUUCCUUGGCAAAGUCAAUUAUUUGAGGAGAUACAUAGCCAAAUUGUCAGGGAAGGUUGAUACAUAGCCAAUUAUUUGUGCACUUCUCUAGUGUUGAAAGCCCCCAAGCAUAGAGAGCCCUUUAGGCUUUAUAUUGCGGAGGAGAAAGCCCCCAGGCAUAGAAAGUCCCCUCAAGAGACCGAAGGAAAGGAGCAUGCUAUUCUUAUUUGAGUCGACGCUUAUUGGAUGUCGAGAUAAGGUAUACAUUGAGAAAUUAUGCUUAUGCUUAUAUUAUGCUUGCACAAAAUUGAGACAUUACCUAGUGCCUAGUACAUGCAUUAUAGCUUUUCAAACUGAUGUCAUCAAAUACAUGUUGCAUAGGCCAAUUCUUAGUGGUAGAAUUGGCAAGUGAGCUUAUGCUUUAAUUGAAUAUGAUUUGGUUUAUGAAUCUCUGAAAUUCAUGAAUGGGCAAAUCGUUGUUAAUUUUGUUGUUGAGCAUCGGAUUGAUGACAAGCAUGAUAUUGAUCUUAAACUUGUCUAUUAGUACCAUGGAGAUUAUAUUUUGAUGGUUCCGUUUGUAGCAAUGGACAAGGUGUUGGUAUUGUUUAUAUAUCUCCUCAUGGAGCUAUUUUUCAAGCCUCAUGCCGCUUAGAGUAUUUUUGUACAAAUAAUUAGGCCGAAUAUGAAGCAUUUUUACUCGGUUUAGAGAUGUUGCUUGCCAUAGGCGCUACACAUAUUGAGGCUUUUGGUGAUUCGUUAUUAGUAGUGCAACAAAUAUCCAGAGUAUUUCAAUGUUUUCAUGAAUCACUUAAUGUUUAUCUUGAUAAAUGUCUAGAUAUAAUUUCUACUUUGGAUUAUUUUAGCAUUCCUCAUAUAUCUAGACAUGACAAUUGGAGAGCAAAUCAGUUGGCACAACAAGCAUCUGGCUAUCAUGUUAAUCAUGACAUGUUUCAUAUUUACCAAAGGCCGAUGUCUAUUCUUGCCAACGUAGGGGAGGCUGAACCGGAGCCCACCGUUUCGGUCACAAAUGAAAAUUUUAAUGUAGAAAAUCUGGACUAGAGGAAAGCCAUUAUUGAUUAUUUGCGUGAUUCUAAUAAAAUUUUGGAUGAGGACCAAGCAAGAGUUGCUAUGAGAGAGGUUCAUGAAGGAAUUUGUGGGACUCAUCAGUCGGCUCCCACUAUGAAAUGGUUAUUGCGACAGGCUGGGUUUGAUUGACCAACGAUGAUUAAUGAUUGCUUCAGGUAUUAUAAAGGAUGUGCAGCUUGUAAAAUGUCUGGUGAUAUUCAGCUAGCUUCUGCUGCUAUGUUACAUCCUAUUAUUAAGCCGCGGCCUUUUAGAGGUUGGGGAUUAUACUUUAUUGGAGAGAUUCAUCCUUCUUCUUCAAAGGGGCAUCAGUUUGUGUUGGUGGCAACUGAUUAUUUCACUAAAUGGUCUGAAGCAAUACCGCUAACAAAUAUGACGCAUACGGAGGUAAUUCAAUUCAUAACUUAGCACAAUAUUCAUAGAUUUGACAUUCCUCAAAUGUUAACUACGGACCAAGGUUCAUCUUUUAUGUCAGAUCAAGUUAGAGAAUUUCCCGAAUCAUAUAAGAUAAAGUUGCUCAAUUCAUCUCCGUAUUAUGCCCAAGCCAAUGGACAAGCUGAGUCUAGCAAUAAAAUAUUAACCAACCUCAUCAAGAAGAAGAUUGAGGAUAAUUCAAGGAGAUGGCAUGAGCUAUUGUCCGAAGCUUUGUGGGCACACAUAAUCUCAAGGUAUGGUGCUACAAAGGUAACUCCAUAUGAGCUCAUAUAUGGUAAAGAGGCCGUUUUACCAGUGGAAGUGAAUUUGAAUGCUUUGAGAAUAGCAAAACAAAAUGAUUUAUCGGCGGUGGACUUUUAUAACUUGAUAAUGGAAAAUAUUGAUGAAGUCGCUGAUAAAUGUUUUGUUGCUUUGAAGGCCAUAGAGAGAGAUAAUUUGAGGGUGGCAAGAGCUUACAAUAAGAAGGUCAAGUUGAAGAAUUUUCAAGUUGGCGAUCUCGUGUGGAAGGUGAUUCUACCAAUUGGUUCGAAAGACAUAAAAUUCGGGAAGUGGUCUCCAAGUUGGGUAGGUCCUUUUAAGAUUACAAGGGUAGUUCCCAGAAACUUAUAUUUAGUGGAAUCCGUACAAAGGACAUUGUUACCUCGAGCUGUCAAUGGCAAAUAUUUGAAGAAGUACCACCCAAGUGUGUGGCAAGAAGCCUAGAUAAUCAAUGGCCGAUAUACGACUAUGGCCCUUAGCAUAAACAUGGCCGAUAUAUAAUUAUCGCACCGAGAAGUAUAAAUGACACAUGGAGUGUUGACAUCGUCCUUAGAAUAAACGCGAUGCAAAUUAUUUUCCGGCAUUCAAGCUCUGCCCAAAACAGAGGAUAAGGGUUGACACCAGAUUUUAGCAUGGUAGGAAAUGCAAUUAAGAUGGUCCCAAAUGGAGAAGUGGUUUACAUUAAAAAAAAGUUCCGUAUUGUCGACACAAACAUCUUCGAUGUUUGGGCCAUCGCCAUCCGAUCUCAUCUCGAAGGCCGAAGUUGUGUUCGAAAUACUGAGAUUUUGUAUCCCGAGCACUGUUCGGCCGAUUACGCCUCAAGGACGGCCUCAAAUGAGAAAACUUUCGACAUGAAUUGACUUCGCUUGGUCGAAACAGUCAAUUUUGAUAUAAAAAUCGUCUCAAUCCAAGGUCGUAUGUAAAAGUUAGUGUCUCCUGAGUCCGGCCCUGUCACGAGCCAAAAGCUACGCGAGUAAUAGUCUAUUUUGCGCGAGCGAUUUGGCACUGAAGAUUAUAUCGAAUCGAAAACUGUUCAACAUGAAAGUUGUUCGUCUCGUCGAAACAGUUAAAUUUGCUUCUUCCGCGAUUUUGAUCCGAGGUCGUUUACUACCCCAAAAAUGACCCGCAAGGUGCAGCCAAUUUUUAGACUGAACAGUUUUGGAAAGUUUGGAUCAUACGAUCCUAAUUGGACUCAAAUUAGGGUUUUGGACAUGAAUUCUAACUUUUCCUUGCACGGGAAGUCCAGCCCCCUCUUAUUUACAUGAGGGGUGAUGACUGCCCCUCCUAGAAAAAACCAGACUGGGAGGACAUUUUUUUCCUGUCCGAAAGCCGUUUCCGCCUCUUGGAAGAAGAAGAAGAAAAAAGAGAAAACACGUUUUUUUUCGUUUCCGAGAGCCUCUCGCGGAAACAAAACAAUGCCGCUCAUGGAAGAAAAACAAAAAAAUGCAUUUUUUCACGAAAGCAAAACCGUGCCUCUCGUGAAAGAAAGAAAAGAGAAAACACAUUUCUUGUCCUUUUCGUGAGGCACGGCAGUGCCUCUCGCGGAAGCAAGACCAUGCCUCUCGCGGAAGCAAAACCGUGCCUCCCGCGGAAGAAAAAUACAGGGAAAACACGAUUUUUUUUCGUUUAUGAGAGGCACGACUGUCUCGCGGAAGCAAAGCCAUGCCUCCCGCCGAAGGAAAACCGUGCCUCUGGUGAAAAGGGAAAAAAAGAAAACGUGUUUUGUCACAGGAAAAAAAUUAAAAAAAAUUGGUCCAAAACCUAGGGAAGACCGGUGAACAACCAAAAAGCCGGAAAAUUAAAAAAAAAAACAUCUAAAAUACCAGAUGGAGGUUGAGAGUGCACCAAGUGACGCGCUCUCGGCCCAUCCACAAAUGACCCUUGGGAAGGGUGGGAACGAGCGCUCUUUAGUAUUAUUUUUUGAGGCAAACCGUUCUUUAAUUAGUUGCUCCGGGGAAGGGGAAUGGAAGACGCAGAUCGGCAACGUGUGGGCUGGGCUUGUGACGUUGGGGUCUCAGAAAAUAUAGCCCAGUUCGAAUUUAGUGGUCUCAGCAAGUAAAACCAGCGCUUAUGUUGGGCCUAAUCACUCACUCCAGGCUGUGGGCCUCGCUAGCAGCCCCAUCUUACCAUUCCCCUCGUUCUCUCUCUCUCUCGCAAAAAAAAACCAUCAUUUCCGUCAAAAAGAAAAGACAUCUACCCGUCUCGCCGCCAAGAGAUCCAGGAACCCCGGGGUCGUUCCAUUGUUUUGCAUAGCGUGUAGAUUAGGUUUUCUCUGUUAGUUUUAUGUGUUCUUAGUGGCGAUGGCUUGACGGUGAAGGCGAGAGUGAUGAUGGUCUCUCGGCUCCAUUCCUGUUCUGAUUAUGCGUUCCCGGCUAAGAAGGCCAUCAAACAUAACAUAAAUGGGGUGCUUUCUUUUCUUCUUACCGAUCUCCUCCUAGUUUACCGGCUCAAGGUGUAUCGGCUCUACAAACAUCUUGUAUCCACCUCACGUCCUGGGAAAUUACUGUCGGUAACUUUCAUCGUAUUGCGAUAACAAUAUUUUCUUUCAAGAACCCGCCUUCCUUGAAUUUCGUACAAAGUUAAUUGUCAAUGUCAUAACUAAUUGCAAGACCAGGUACAGCUCUUCUCUACAGGAAGUUACAGUUUCUAAAUUGCAUGACCCUGUAUCACUUUAUGAAGCAAGCACAUCACCUUCAGCUCCUCAUUUGCAAACUUAGGACCCAUUUGGACCACAUAAAUUUUACAAUAUGUUUGCUGCAUUUCACAAGAAACCAUCGAUUUUGUGAAGAAAGAAUUACAUUGUUUCAUCGCCGUUACAACACAACAUUAAUCAGAUCACCUUAAUACCUCCCACUGCGUUUUUUUUUGGAAAAAUACACAACAUACUGAUUGACCUUAAAGAAUGAAGGAGGCCAUAAGGUCUUGUACAAUGCUAGGUGUUUAGAAAGAUAAACCGGAUUUUACUGAUACACCGGUGCCUAUUUCUACCGGAGAGACGUCUAAUUAAGCGUAUACCCUGUACAAAUAAGUAUCAGUGCUUAAGGAAAGCCUGGUUUAUUUCUCGAAGCACCUCUCCUAAGCACCUUGCAGUGUACAAGGCCGAGAAGAAAGCUCUGACUUCCUAUUGUUGCUGCAUCAGCAGGAAAAGUAGUCUUCAUUUCAAAAAGAAGCUGAAAGUGCUAGAGUGAAAAAUAUCAUAUGUACAGAAGCUGGAUAUAUAUUACCAGCAAGGUGGAGAAGUGGGGAAAAAAAUGCUCAAAUGUGGUUAUCAAUCUUUUGAAAUGCAAGCAAGUAAGCGGAUGGGUGUUUGAGCUAUCUUUGUGUGAUCAGAACAAAUCCAUGUCCAUUAAUUAGUCUUAAUAUCAUCUUCACAGUACCAGGGACUCCCGGAUACUAAGAGUGCUUAAUAAUCUUAUAAUUAGGUGGAGACAUUUUCAUUACCUGCAUACAAAUGCGUACGAAUGAUGAUAUUUUAUAUUUUUUUCUUUGCAACUUCGGAGUGCCCACAAAGUGAAAUAGAAGGUGUAAACAUAACUUCUUUCAACCUCCAGUAAAAGUAACAAUUCUCUCUCCAUGUACCACUCUAUACCAACUUCUUCAAUACCUGUUGACUCUCAUGUUUUUGUUUUCCUUCAAUAUUUCAGACGUUCUAAAGCUCGGUCGAAAUCACUCGAGCUGGUCAACCCUGCCCCCGUGUCGCCCGCAACAGACGAUACGGGGAAAACUUUCGUCGCCGCCGGUAGCCUUCCUCCGCCAGUGCCCCUCCCCCCCCCCCCACAUCGCUGCCGCAGGAGGGUCGGCCAGCGAAGUCGCGCCGCGCUCGGGGAUGGCGGCGGCGGGGCGGUUUCGUACCCUCCCCCCCGAUGCGCUGCCCCAACAACCCCUUCGCCGCCAUCACCUCCCCGCGCCGCUGCUGCCGCGUCGCGCCUGAGGGUGGGGGCGGCAGGGCAGCUUCAUUCCCUUCAUGCUGUAGCUCCUCGUCCCCAACCUCCUCGCCCCCCAGAUCCAAUCUGGUGCGCCGCGGGCUCCCCUACCCUCCAACUGCUACUGUGUUCGUCCUGCCUGUCCGACGAGGUGGCGCGGCCGUGCCCGUCGUGCACCUCCCCAGUCUACCUCUUUCACCUUGCUGGCGCAGCUUCCUUCUUGUUGUUGUUCGCUGGGGCAUGCGAGGACUCGUGUGGAGGUCACGGGCUGGCCAAGGCUCGGUCUUGCCCCGUGUUGCAGACCACCCUUCGUCUCUGAUGGCGUCUCCUUCUAGUUACGGCGGCGACCUCUGCCCGUGUGUGGUCAAGGUGUUGUUUUGGGCAGCGGGAUGAAGCUUCGCGGUGGGUCCUUGCCGACACUGCUCCGGUCCCAGCGGCCAUCGACCAGCGUUCUUCGGCCUCCCUACCGCCGUGAAUUCAGCCCCAACACUCCGGUCGCUGCGUCUCCUUCCGGCAUCUUCGGUUUGCCGGUGUUCUGGUGGUUCCACCUCCGGCAGCUCGGAGUUGUGCUCCCUUCCGCCUCCAGCUUGUCAGCGGCGCCGGUCACCAUCCCACCCUCCAUGCCGGCUUUCUACCAUGCUGCCUUCCCGACCCUGUCGACACCCGCAACAUGUCAUUUCCAAAGCUCGUGUUCUUUCGGCAGCAGGUGCAGCCCCACCACCUCCGUACCGGGAUGGUGGUUGACUAGCGGAUUGUCUUCCUCAUCUUCGGAUCCUGAUUUGGCAGCUAUGGCAUUGCUCAGACUAAGGCCAGGCGAAAUCCAUGCUCUGCUUGCCAAUGUUGGCAGAGGCGACACUCGUGAGUGCUUUGCCAUGGCCUUUAUCCGGGCCCCUCUUCGAGCGCUGGGGGAAACCCUAGGUCCGGUUCUUCGGAUCGGAUGGUGGCGGUGUCACGAUGUCGCACCCCUUCCUGAAGGCGCUAUCUUGUUCGCCCCCGGUGUCCCUGUUUGUUUGAUUUUGAGAUGUUCGACGUCGUGCUUGUUCGGCCUGCCUCUCUGUUUAGGAUUUGUGGGUGUAGUUGUGUCAUUUCCCCUGUUCGGGCUGAGCACCCCUUGUCUCUCUGCUCCGGGUUCCAUGAUCAUGCCUCUUUGGGUUCAUGCCAUGUGUUGUAUCCUCUGUUGUACGCAUUCUCUUUCUUCUAUCAAUAAAGGAUAUGCAAGCUUUGUGUAUUCACAAAAAAAAAGACGUUCUGAAGCUCUGAAGCUAAAGAUGUAAAUAAAUCUGAACUCUCGCACUCACUUUUAAAUCGUGGGGCAGUAUACUCUAAUCUAUCCAGCUCUUCCUGUAAAACAAAUAUACUGUCAGCAUGUGAUUUAUCAUUCAUGAAUCGUUUAUCAUGCCAUUUUUAGAAUGUGACUGGCAAAAUGGUGUGACUGUACAAUUCUACUUUUUUCGAAAAAGAGGAUUACCCCUAGUAUCUACAUAGAGCCAUGCACACAACCAUUUUAUUAUAUUAUUUAACGGAACCAAACGAAACAAAUAUAUGGAUCAAGCCAAAGCCACCUCCCUAGAAACUAUUGUCGUUACACGUACAAGCUUUAAUGGCGUGCCCUGACCACUUAUCAACACACAUCAUAUAUUCCGGUCGCCUCACCAAGAUGCCUGCCGGCAAUUUGAGAGCAUCUACCGGUCUAGCUAGACCCUCUGCACGCACAUCAUGCACACGCUUUAGAUUCAGCCACCGCCAUGUUCCGCGGUCCCACCUUCAAGAGCGAUCAACGUAUUCAUCUCGCUAGGCCAUCUCGACACCAGAUAGCUCCACUAUCCAGCGCGGGCGCCCGUCGCCGACACUCCGCCGUGCCACGCCACCGAGACCCUGUGUCGUCCUUUCGGUAGAUGUAACACCGCUCCUCCACUUGUCUCUUCCAGUCGGCUCCUACUCGAGACAAUGCCCCUAGGAGGGAGAACGGCGCUGAAGGCACCAUCAUCGUCCGAUCCGGGAUACCCAGAACUAGAGUUUCCCCCGGAACAACCCGAGCGUAGUGACACAACUUACAAAUGACGAUGCCUCGAAAAAGGAAACAACGUUAGAGACGCCACCAUCUGCCAUGACCGCAGUUAGCACAAUUUCACCGGAAGUCGCGUCGACAUGGAGACGUAAGCUGUCGCCGGAACGUCGGCAUAGGGCCUCCAGUCGCCCCUGACCUGUCCCUGCACGCAUCGCCUGCCGGCCAAGGCCACGCCAAGAUGGAUCUGGAUGGGACGCUAGUUCCGCGGCCACUGCCGCCACCCAUCACAUGGUCGGCCAGGUCAACGACUAAUCCCACAGCCAUGGACAAACCGGUCGCCGCCGCCAGCCCGGGUCACCACCCUGACCGCACCGGCUGAAGACACAGGUGUCGUCGCGAGAUUGAUACGGUGAACAAGGCCCGAAUCCCUCGUGCUCGACCUUGAUCAGCCACACACAAGCAUCUCUCCACGCUGACGAGGGGUCCACUAUGGGAUCCAUCGCGCCGACUUCCGCCACCGCGCCGCGGGAAUAGACUGCCCUGAUGCUGCCGCCCACUGAGGCGGGCUUCGCCUGUUCGGCCUCCUCCAACAGCGUCCGGCCGUGGGCUGCNNNNNNNNNNNNNNNNNNNNNNNNNNNNNNNNNNNNNNNNNNNNNNNNNNNNNNNNNNNNNNNNNNNNNNNNNNNNNNNNNNNNNNNNNNNNNNNNNNNNNNNNNNNNNNNNNNNNNNNNNNNNNNNNNNNNNNNNNNNNNNNNNNNNNNNNNNNNNNNNNNNNNNNNNNNNNNNNNNNNNNNNNNNNNNNNNNNNNNNNNNNNNNNNNNNNNNNNNNNNNNNNNNNNNNNNNNNNNNNNNNNNNNNNNNNNNNNNNNNNNNNNNNNNNNNNNNNNNNNNNNUUCAGCCUCUCCACUUGUGGGAACAAUAUCCUUGAAUGUUUAGUUUCUCAUAUCUUUACGAAAACGGAGUAAGGGAAAUAUCGUGUGUGGUUGCAGGGAACUCACAUCAAAUGAUUGGGAGAUGUUCAUAAAUCAGUGAUAAUAGCCUUUGCAAACAGGCUAAUCCCAAAUGAUUCAAUGAAACCAACCUUCAUGUACUCAAUGAACGUAUUAUGCAUGUUAUGCUAGUUCAAGUCAUACUAAAUAUCACUUGUCUGGCAAAUAACAACAGCGUUCUCUGAAACCAUUGCAUCAUGAGAGAAUUGUGUGAAAUGGAAAUUGACACGAUUUAAAUUUUCAGGUUCCUUUCCUGGUGAGCCUAUCAUAGUAAAGAAACCUGGAAGAAAACAUUGGAGAAAGGAAUUCACAAAAUGCGGAAUUAUUAAUACUAAAUGACUGUUGAUGUUCAAAUGCAUGUCAGUUCUAAAUAAAUAAAUGAUUUUCUUCUUCUUUCUGCUCUUCAAUGUUUUCUUCCCUUACAAGAUUCUAGCAGUCUUAACACCAUUAUGGCCACAGAAAAAAAAAACAUCUAUCCCAUUUGUUACACGAGCUAAAAAUAAAAAUAGCACAUGAGCAUGGGCUGCAGAAAUGCACAUUCUUACUUCUAAGAAUAAUGUCAUCAAGAGAAGCAAAAGGCUGGUUUUUUGUGACAAUAAUUUAUUCAAUGAAAAGAGUGAGCCCGGGUUGCACGAAAUAUGAGUUUAUCUAUUUUUCUUCCAACAAAAUAUCUGGUCUACCAUCACUGCACCUUCGAACAUCAGAGUGCACACAGAACAAGAAAUAAAGAAGCAAAAGGGCCCUUGCGUAACUCAUGUAUUUUCAAACAAUGCUACAGAAAAUAUCCCUUAUACUCCCUCCGUCUAGGUUUGUAAGUCAUCUUACGAAAACAAAAUAAUCCCAAAACACUUAGGCGCGGUGCGUUAACUUCUACCUCGUUUCUUGUUUCUUGACAUAUCAACCAAUAAGAGAUAUGGGUGUGCAUGCUUUUAAUGACUUGAGACUACCAAACACGACAUGCAGUGGUUAGUUCAUUGCAUGCAAUGCUAUUAAUUAGCAAAAAACAUUAAGUUCUCUCGUUUUCCCUCCUCCUUGGUCACGGUGCACAACAUAAGAUGACUUAUUCACUUAGACGGAGGGAGUAUCAUGGAUUUGCGCCUGCAUCAAUUGUUUCCGAGUGCUGUCAAAGAGAAAAAUUUACUAAGAUUUCCAUUGUCAAACUGUGAUGUCCGACUAGUGUUGGUGGAAGAAUCACAUAUUGGAGAGGAUAAUUUGGAGUAGGGGAUGAGAAGAAGUUGAAGAACAGAUGAAGAGGGUGAGAUGUAGAACAGAGUAGGUGAGAGUUCAAACAAUUCUCAUUUCAUCGAUAAGUUACGGCACAUGUCUGAUUCACUUGCCCCUUUUAAACACAUAGGCACUCUCUUACAAGUGGGCCCUCAAAUCCACACGCCCAGUGCACUAGAUGAUCUUCCUAUGGCUCACUCCUAAGUUGUCUCUCUCUAGUUGUUGGGCCCUUCGUCCUCCAUAUCCUAGUCCUCCUCAUUCCACUGGACUGGGAUCUUGAUUUCCGUCGAGGGUGUGGUAGAGAGCAGAUGCAUGACACAAUCUUUGUUCCAUUACGCUUCCUCAAAGUCGCCAUUUUAGACAUUGUCAUGUCUACAACACACAAUUAGACGCUUGGUGACCUGUUGCUUCAAAAAUAUAUUUUGAAAUCAUGUGCCUAGAGGUGUUUUGAAUGUAUGGCUACAAAUGUCACUGAGGUUCCUAGUUCCUGUUCCAUCAGCAUACCCUGCCGAAGUGGUAAUCUGACUUCAAGUGGAAUAAGCAAGACAGGAGAAAGAAUUAAGGUGGUAUUCAGCUCGUUUUCCCCUCACCUUUUUGACUCUCACAUUUUUGUUUUCCUCCCAUAUCUUAGAUGGGGUGAAGCUAUAUGCAUAAACAAAUAUGAAUUCAUAUCACACUCACCUCGACAUCUCAGUAGUACAACACAGGGCUUUCGUCACAGGGCAAUUUUCACAUUAGUCCCGGUUCAGUCACGAACCGGGACUAAUGUGAGCAUUGGUCCCGGUUCGUGCGGCUAAGGCAUUAGUCCCGGUUCACCUGGGCCCUUUAGUCCCGGUUGGUGCCACGAACCGGGACUAAAGGGUGCGAUGCCCAUUAGUACCGGUUGGUGGCACCAACCGGGACUAAAGGUCUAACCUUUAGUACCGGUUGGUGCCACCAACCGAUACUAAUGCGCUUUGAGGCAUUAGUACCGGUUCAUGGCACGAACCGGUACUAAAGGGCCCAUUUUCAAACUCUACCCCCCCUGGUGGACCGCCUUUUCAGUUUUAGGAAAAACAAAAGAAAAUGAUGGAAAUGUCAAAAAAAUAAAAUAAAAUAAGUUUCCCAUGUGAUAUGUGGUCUAGUUGUUGGGAAAAUUAACAAAUAUGAAUUUCGACUUUAUUUGCAAAAUCUCUCUGAAAUUUCUUAAAAUGGGCAUAACUUUUGCAUACGAACUCGGAUGAAAAAGUUUUUUAUAUGAAAAAUCAUCUACUCAAAAUCCUCAAAAACCUAACAGAAAAAAAGAUACGGGACUUUUAAGAUCUGGAGAGGCAAAAAAAUUCAAAAAAUUUCAAUUUGUGGUCAAACUGUGGUCAAACAAUAGUCAAACUAAUUAUUCUAGAAUAUUAGUGUUACUAAAUAAUUAUUUCAGUUUUUUUGAAUUUUGGUCAAAUCUGGUCAAACUGUGGUUAAACAGUGGUCAAACAAUGGUCAAACUAAUUAUUCCAGAAAUAUUAGUGUUACUAAAUAAUUAUUGUUUUUAAAAAUAAUAGUUUCAAACUCAAACAGUGAAAUAUGUCACUUCAUGCUCAAGCUAAAUUCCUGAGGGUUAAUAAAAUUGACAUCUUACUAUUGUCAGGAAAACAACAAGUGCAGACUUGGAAACGAGGGAGAAUAGAACCCAGAAGUUAAGCGUGCUCAGGCUGGAGUAGUGAGAGGAUGGGUGACCGUCCGGGAAGUUAGAUGAUUUGAAAUGAUGAGGGGUGAUUAGAGAUUAGAGGAUAAAUUGAGCAGUGAUGAGGGGUGGUGAUUAGAGAUUAGAGGUUAAAAUAAUUCAGAAAUUUGAAAAUCAAAAAAAAAGUUCGCAAAUUUUUUUUUCAAAAAAAAUAUAUCAUAAAAUUCUGCGUCCACGUGGACGGCCUUUAGUCCCGGUUCGUGUCUAAAGGCUUGGGUAUAUAUAGACCUUCUACACGUCUCCAAUCUCUAGUAGCUCUUCAUAUGAUAAAAAUAUAUUGUGAGUAUGGGAUAUGUGUUGAGAAGGCCAUUCAGGAAUCGUUUAUCAUGUGAGUAGACUGCAAAAUGACAUAACCAUUCCACGAGCAUGCUUAAGUUUGAAAACUCUUUCCCGGGAAGUAUCCUAUGUGAUUGAAUGUAACUCAUAAUUAUUAAAGAAUGUAUAGAAGUUUCUAAACGAGCGAGUGGUUGAAUGUCAAAUGCAUCUGAUACUCGGCGAAGACUUAUGUUUGCCAAAUUCGGUACUCGGCAAAGUUUCGCCGUGUUUAUUAUGGGCUCUGCCAAGUUUCUAAGAAGACAAUCCGGGUAGUGAUGGAUGCCUGAUCUUUAACAUGGAAUGUCUGUAUACAUAGUCCUCAAUGUGGGGCAUAAUGUAGUAGCCGGACAAGACGCUUGAUUAAUCUGGUUCUUCUCUACAAUAGAAACUCGCCUUGUACAUGAACAUAUUUUGUUUUGGGUAUAUAUAGACCUUCUACACGUCUCCAAUCUCUAGUAGCUCUUCAUAUGAUAAAAAUAUAUUGUGAGUAUGGGAUAUGUGUUGAGAAGGCCAUUCAGGAAUCGUUUAUCAUGUGAGUAGACUGCAAAAUGACAUAACCAUUCCACGAGCAUGCUUAAGUUUGAAAACUCUUUCCCGGGAAGUAUCCUAUGUGAUUGAAUGUAACUCAUAAUUAUUAAAGAAUGUAUAGAAGUUUCUAAACGAGCGAGUGGUUGAAUGUCAAAUGCAUCUGAUACUCGGCGAAGACUUAUGUUUGCCAAAUUCGGUACUCGGCAAAGUUUCGCCGUGUUUAUUAUGGGCUCUGCCAAGUUUCUAAGAAGACAAUCCGGGUAGUGAUGGAUGCCUGAUCUUUAACAUGGAAUGUCUGUAUACAUAGUCCUCAAUGUGGGGCAUAAUGUAGUAGCCGGACAAGACGCUUGAUUAAUCUGGUUCUUCUCUACAAUAGAAACUCGCCUUGUACAUGAACAUAUUUUGUUUUGUGGAACUUCCUCCGGAUUAAAAAUACUUGAAGAUAGCAACAUAAUUGAUGAACUAAAAAAUGGUACUCUGGUAGCAAUGGGAUAAAACAAUAUUAUGCCUUUCUUUCAUUAGUUAACUAAAAAUUUGUGCUGCAGUAGUAACGGGAUAAAACAAUAUAAGUAGAAACAAUUUUGAUAAGCAAUAACAUUUCCUUUUGCUAGGGCAACGCUAUAGGUAACUCCUACAAACUAUUUCUCCUAGGUGUUGAUUAAUAAAUUAGCCAUAUGCAAAAUUAAACUGCAGUGGAUUAGUAAUACACGGUUGAAGUCAACACUUCCGGUUAAUCUUAUAAAAUCUAGCCUCUUUAGUCUCCAAUCUCACAUUGAGACAUGGUUAAUAGUUGUUGGUAUAUCUAAAUCCUAUGGGAGGACAUCCUCUUAUUCUCAGACACAUGAGCCCAAGUAUCUCCACAAAAAGUUCACCAGACAUACAUAUCAUGUCCUUUCAUAGCCAUCCAAAAAAAGGAAGGUGCUAUGAUGUAGUGCAACAUUGAUGGAAUAAUACCAAAAAAUGUAAAAAGGGUGUUUCAUUCUCAAAAAUAACUUUGGAAGUAUAUCGGUGAACCAUCUAAACAGGAACAUACUAGUAAAUUUGUUGAGGAAAUUGUUAACUGGUAGCAGCUUGGUUGGCUAGGGAGUAGGGGAUUAAUAGGGUGAUCGGCAAGUUUAUUGGCCUAUUAAGCAAUUAAACGGAGGAUUUAUCAGUUUAUUGGCUACAUGGUGACCUUACAAGUAGGGAUUAAUUCCCAAGUUAACUGGUUAAUCAGACGAAUUCUUCAACAGGACCAGUAAUCAUGCUAAUAUGGUACAUGAUAAUCUCUUAUGGUUGAAUGAAUAUGAGUAAUGUCUGUAGCUAUCUUUAACAGUAUUUUAUUGAGUACCUAAAUAUGUAAAGUUCAGUAGUUUGUACUAUCAUGUUAUUGCACAAAAAAAAAGGAAAUCUCUCAUUCCAAUUUUUUUAGCUAAACUAAACAAAAGAUACUAGCAUGUUGCUCAGGAGAUAGGAAUGGUAGCAGGGGUAGAUAGCCAACAAAAACAUUAUGUUAUUACAGUGUGAAUAAUAAAUAAGAUUAUUUGGAUCAUAUGAAGGAUAAAGCCAUCAAUCUCGCCCAUGUGCAAUAAUUUUAAUUUGUCUUUGUGUAGUAUAUAUUGUUGAUUAAUCAUUCGUGAUGAGAUAUGCACCUUCAUAUGGUUUAACAAAUAGAAGAUGGGUGGCGCCAGAAUAAUUUUUCUGACCGUGCAAAGAUAGAGAUCUGCAUUGCUCUCAUCAAUGACCUGCAACGAUUCAUGCAUGCUUCUACUAUGAUCCUUGAGCCUAUCAAAAUUAAUUGCUAUAAUCUUGACUGACCGAGCUACUGAUAUGUGGGCGUCUUGAUGAGUAUGGCGAAUUCUCUUUUAUCUUGGUGGUUGUUCAUUUCAUAGACAUCUCAAUAUAUUGUUUAUUUGGAUGGUUUUGUCUCCUCCUUUAUUUUGGGGUUAUUUUUACAAAGAGAAGUCUAGUUUUCUCCCUAACAAUUUCACAUGGAGAAGUGUCACUCAUAUUUAUUUCAAUCACAUUUACCUCUUGACCUUAAUAUUCACUCACAUUUACCUCCUGACCUUUUGGUUUUGGUUUAAUUUUUCCAUUAAAAUUUCACAAAUGAUAGAAUCCUCCCUGGAAGUUUUAAGAAAAAAAAAAUCUAGUAAAGGCAUAUGUAAUUUUUUUGUAAAGGAGAAUGUAUUAAUAUCAAGCAGAUACCAAUUAUUCCCAGACUCUGCAACAACAAGAUGCCUAAAAACAUCCAGGAUGCACACAGCUAAAAAUUAAAAUAAAAAGGGAAGAAAAAAUGAGAAAAAAUAUCCCGCCACGGUGAUCAAUCACCCGAUGUAGCCGCACUCUAACCACCACCAAAGAUGUCACCCGGACUACAAAAUAGGUUCUCCAAAAGCAAUGCCUCUAGAAAGGAAACAAAACACAAGCAUUGUCGUUGCCCGAUCAAAGAUAUUACGUUUUCACCCUGGAGAAAGAUCAGGUUCCCAACAAUAAUGCCUUCAACAAGACUACCGCCAGGCACAACCAAUAAAGGCCAGACCUUGGGUUUUCACCUUGGAAAUCCUGAUUGGGUACUCAAAGGAGCACCGAAUAACAAAGAAGUCCUCCAAUGCCGCCACCCCCACUUGCGGAGGCUAAUACUGCAAGUCACGCACCAUUAGGCUCACAGGAAUUCACAUCCCGCCUGGACGGGAACAUAUCCUGUAAGCCAUGUCUAAACAACUGCCUAUGAAGCAAAGUCUUCAUCGCAUCCAAGACCUCGCAUUCGCCACUUGCAAGUCCUUCAAUCACGCCAUGGCAUUCUCCGUAUGUGUUGAUCCCAUGGAAAUCUUGGUGCAGACAUGUCCCAAGGUGCCAACAAAAACAGAGCUUCACGAUACCCCGGUAAACCUGGUUAUGCUGAUGUUGCGGGUGCGCACGACAGGCCCCUAUCUAGUCAAGGUGUCCAAAGAGCGCCAUAUGUGCCAGUCCUUUUUUUCCUUCAAAGGAGAAGUCCGGAAAUCGCAGAUGGCCAGAUUGAAGAUCUCAGGUUCUCAAUUGCAUGAGCUUGUGAGCAACGAGAAUGAGCAAGACCGAACAAGGGGAAACCAUCCAAGGACGGGAACACCGUGUGCACAAUAUAUAGGAUCCAAUUUGCACCAGCAAUGUUUAUACAGGAAUAACCAAAAUGUGAGUGUUGCCACGUACAUGUAUUUACUACUGCAGAUAGUUUUCUUUAUUGCACAGGUAUAAAACUUGUUCUUAAUUUUAAUCAAUUCUCUUGCACAAAUUUAUCCACAGAGAGCACAUAUAUGAUUUAUCUAACACUAUGUUUUCAAUAUCACAAGAUAAAAUCUUGUCUUUACAGAGCAAAAUUAUACACCGAUAAAAAUGUGUUGUCUGCCUGCAUGAAAUUACAUAUGCUAUGCAAAACUCUUUACUUCGUAUCGUCAUGAUCAUCCACAAUAUUAAAAUUGUAAAUAAACAAAAAAAGAGGUGCCGGCAAAUAGUUUUGGAUAGAGUAGUUUGGCACAAUAUAUAUGUUAUCCCUGAAAAUAUAACGUCUUCCUGGAUCACACUGUAGCUUCGUGAUAGUUUUGACGGCUAUGAUAACAAAAGCUGCCGACACAUGGCUCUGGAAAUAGUUAUGGCUGUAGGGGUAAAUAUAAUAGCUGACAGCUCUAAAAAAUAUUCCCGCAAAAGAAGGCAGCUCUAAAAAACAAGCCGACAAAAGAAUCAUGAAGCUACAGUGUGAAUUAUACUCUCUCCAUUCACAUUAUUAUGGGAAAACGAAUUGUGCGAGUACAGUCUGCCAAAAUGAGUGGUCGUCCAUGCACCUUGUUUAGGGGCAACUUUAUUUUAAUGUGUCUUUUUGUAGUAUAUAGUGUUGAUUAAUCGUCCGUGAUGAGAUCUGUGCCUUUGUGUGAUAUAACAAAUAGAAGAUAUAUGGCGCCAGACUAAUUUUUCCAUCCGUACGUGCAAAGAUGAGAUAUGAAUGCAUUGCUCUCAUGAAUGACCUGCAACGAUAGACAUAUGCAUUCAUACAUGCUUCUGCUGUGAUCCACGAGCCCGUCAAAAUUAAUUGCUAUGCAGUGGCUUAACUACUCAGAUGAACGUGGGCGUCUUAAUGAGUAUGGUGACUUCUCUCUUAUGUUGGUGGUUGUUCGUUUCAUAAACAUUUCGAUAUAUUGUUUAUUUGGAUGGUUCUGCUUCCUCCUUUAUUUUGGGGUUGUUUUUACAGUGAAAAUUCAAGUUUUUUCACUAACAUAUUCGCAUGGAGAAGUGUCACUCAUAUUUAUUUUCACUGACAUUUACCUCCUGACAUUUAUUUUCACUCACAUUUAACUCCCGGCCUUUUGGUUUUGGUUUAGUUUUCCCAUUCAAAUUUCAUAAAUCAUAGAAUUUUCUAUCGAAGUUUCAAGAUUUGUUUUUCUAAAAAAGGUACAUGUAUGCACUAUAUAUUAGAUCUAAUUUGUACCAGUAAUGUUACCAGCUACAUGAAUUUACUGCUGCAGAUAGUUUUUUUUUGUAUUGCAUAUGUAUAAAUCUUGUCCUUAAUUUUACUCAUUUCUCUUGCACAAAGUUAGCUUCAUAGUGCACAUGUAUGAUUUACCUAAUAUUAUUAUUUCAAUAUUCCAAAAUAUAAUUUUGUCUUAACAGAGUGAAAUAAUACACCAAUAAAAAAACAUUGUCUGUAUGCAUGAAAUUACAUAUGCUAUGCAAAACUCUUUAGUAUGUAUCGUCAUGAUCAUCCACAAUAUGAAAAAAUAGUAAAGAAACAAACAAGAGGAGCAGACACAUGGUUUUGGAUAGAGCAGUUUAGCACAAUAUAUUUUAUCCCUGUUUAUAUAACGUCUUCAUUGCUCACACUGUAGCUUCGUGAUAGUUUUAUUGGCUAUGAUAACAGAAGCUGCUGACACAUGGUUCUGGAAACAGAUAUAACAGCAGGUGUAAAUAUAAUAGCCGCAGCUCUAAAAAAUAAGCUGACAAAAGAAUCAUGAAGCUACAGUGAACUAUACUCCAUCCUCCCUUGUCUAGGGGCAACUUAAUUCGCUUUGCGAAGGAUAAUGCAUCCAUGGCAAACAGUUUCAGGGUUGUCAGAAUAAGAAAUCUUAUGCCUCCCGAUCAAGAUCUAGACAGAUUUUCAGGGCAUGGUGUGGCCGUCCAACUACCUGAUAAAAAAAAAGAUAAUGAAAAGGGCCCACAGCAUCAAACCAAUGACAGAUAUGUUCAGUUUCGAAUCUCUUAAUAUUUAGUUUGAAAGCUGCAGAUUUUCAGGUUGUGAGAGCCGAAACUCUUGGACCAAGCCAUAUGUUCAGUUUCGAAUCUGACCUAGUAGCGUCCUGGAACUAGUUAUCAUCGAUUGGCUGCCAAACUCCCCCAAGAAACUCCGCACACAUCUCUGCAAUCGAACCAGGGCAAAUUAAUUUAGCGAAGGGAACUCACAACGCAGUGUCUCUUGACACAUCAUCCUAUUUAGUGAAAACUAUUUAGAGACAAUGACCCCUAUUCAUUAUAUACUCAACACGUCUCUUAAUAUUUAAAGUAUCUUAUAAAUGUCGUAUCUAAAUGAUAUUCCAUUUAAUUAGUUUAUGGACCUUUUUUGCAUGUCAACAUUGUGGCCUACUCCAGUUGUGAAGACAAAAAUUGUGAGAUAAACCACAAAGGCUCAAAGCGUUAGUCACUAUACGCAGAAAAACAAGUUAAUUAAGAGCCAUAUCUACACUAAAUAGAACAUAGGGAAGCUCAUCGAUCCAUCACCGGCCACACUUCUUGAGUUAGGCGAAUGUUCUCUUUUGGAGACCAUUGAGGACAUGCGCAUUUCAUCGCUCCAUCUGCCUGUCACUACAAGGGAUAAGGCUACACUAGUAGAAAACAGGGUUUUGGUUCGGCCAGAAAAGAGCAUUAAUCCCGGUUGCAUUACGAACCGGGACUAAUGUGAGCAUUAGUCCAGGUUCGAGCGGCUAGGGCACCGUACAUGCAUUAGUCCCGGUUCAAAUGGGACCUUUAGUCCCGGUUGGUGCCACGAACCGGGACUAAAGGGUGCGAUGCCCAUUAGUACCGGUUCGUGGCAUCAACCAGUACUAAAGGUUAGAUCUUUAGUCCCGGUUCGAGCCACCAACCAGUACUAAUGGGGUUUGAGGCAUUAGUACCGGUUCAUGGCACGCCUUUUCAGUUUUGUAAAAAGCAAAAGAAAAUGAUAAAAACUUCAAAAAUUAAAAUCCUUCCAGAUGUAGUUAUGUUACUACAUGUCCUAGUUAGGAAAAUUUAAAAACUUCAAUUUGGACAUGUUUCGCAAAAAGUGUAGGGAAAAUGUAAAACGGCUAUAACUUUUGCAUACGAUGUCAGAAAAAACGUAUAAUAUAUCGAAAUGUUCAGCACGAAAAUCCGCAUCCGAUUUUGACAGCCUACGGCCUGUUUGUAAAUUUUUAGAAUCCUCAAAUUCUAAAAGGGAAAAAAGUUAUGCUAUUUCUGUUUUUUUAAUUUUUGUUAAAUCUGGUCAAACUAUGGUCAAACUACUUAUUCAAGAAGUAUUAGUGUUACUAAAUAAUUAUUCAAGAAUAUUAGUGUUACUAAAUAAUUAUUUCAGUUUUUUUGAAUUUUGGUCAAAUCUGGUCAAACUGUGGUCAAACAAUGGUCAAACUAAUUAUUCAAGAAAUAUUAGUGUUAGUAAAUAAUUAUUUCAGUUUUUUUGAAUUUUGGUCAAAUCUGGUCAAACUGUGGUCAAACUACUUAUUCAAGAAAUAUUAGUGUUACUAAAUAAUUAUUGUUUUUUAGAACAAUAGUUUCAAACUCAAACAGUGAAAUGUGUGACUUCAUGCUCAAGCUAAAUUCCUGAGGGUUAAUAGGAUUGACAUCUUACUAUUGUCAGGAAAACAACAAGUGCAGACUUGGAAACGAGGAAGAAUAUAACCCGGAAGUUAAGCGUGCUCAGGCUGGAGUAGUGAGAGGAUGGGUGACCGUUCGGGAAGUUAGAUGAUUUGGAAUGAUGAGGGGUGAUUAGAGAUUAGAGGUUAAAUUGAGCAGUGAUGAGGGGUGAUUAGAGAUUAGAGGUUAAAAUAAUUCAGAAAUUUGCAAAUCAAAAAAAAAAAUUUAAAAAAAAAAUCAUAAAAUUUCCUUCAGUACCGGUUGGUGUUACCAACCGGGACUAAAGGUGGACCUCACGUGGAGGGCCUUUAGUCCCGGUUCGUGUAAGAACCAGGACUAAAGGGGGAGGCUUUAGUAACGACCCUUUAGUCCCGGUUCCAGAACCGGGACUGAAGGCCCUUAUGAAGCGGGACUAAAAGCCCUUUUUCUACUAGUGCUAGUAGUGGCGCGGUUUAAAGGCAUAGGAGUAGCGCGGGUUGCCUCUCUACUUACAUUAGCAACUAUAUAAAAACUCAUCAUCAUCAUCAUCAUCAUCAUCAUCAUCAUCAUCAUGUAACAACUCAUCAGCGCGUAGCUAACUGGUUCCUAGUAAGACGGGCCAGGCUCGGCUCUAAUACUACUUACAUUAGUAGCAGCGCGGUGUUUGGCCCGUGCUACUAAUAACUAGCUAUAGCGCGAGGCCCCCCGCCACUACUAACUCUAUGUAUUUCCUUUCUACAUAUUAUACUAUAUUAUACAAUAAUUAUACAGAUUUUUAUACACUAGCAACUAUAUAACAACUCAUCAUCAUCAUCAUCAUCAUGUAACAAAUCAUCAUUAUCAAAAUGAUAUAACUCAUCAUCAUCGUAGUGAUAUAACAGCUCAUCAUGAUCAUAAUUAUAUAAAAAUGUCUCAUCAUCAUCGUCAUCAUCACCAUCAGCAUCAUCAUAAGUUAACCACUACUAGCUAAUUGUCAUCAUCCUAGGUAAGUAACUUUCAAGCACAUGACAAGUACUAUGACCUACUCUAGUGUCUUAGGUAAAAUAGAAUAAAACAGAAAAAAUAACUACAUCUCCAUGAUGGACCACAGAGAUCCCCGGUCUCCAAUUUGUUGCCCGCGCUCAUUGACUAUUUGCCUCCAUCAUUCAAUUUUGAGGCAUCCAUUUGAUUAACACUCAGUCAAGUAUGUAUAUUUGAAUCCGAUCUUCAAAGGGCAAAUAAUAGUCAUCUCACUUUUGACGUCCAUCAGCAGAGGCACAACAACAUUUGGGACCUUCCGCUGAAGUACAUAAUAGUAACAUAGUCGAAAUAUGCAGAUAUAGCAAGAAUGAUCCUAAUUUAUUUAGGCAUCACUACCAGUUUGCCCUCAAUGCCUCGAGCGCCAUCUGGCAGAUCAACCAAGUUCCAAACUUGAUUGUCAUCCAUGGACUUUAAUUCGGAUCUCAUGGUCUUAAGCCAUAACUCAGAAUCAGGGCUCUCCGUCGCUUCUGCAUACAUUGCCGACUCGUUGUUCUCCAAGAACAACACAUUGCAGUUAUGCAUAUUGCGCAACCUUUCCGACCUCUGUGGAAUCAGCGUCGACUCCACUAUGGGUUCCUUGACUAACUCCAUGUGGUUCUCGAAUUUCCUCUAGUCGGAUCAUCCUCCCACUAGCCUUCCGAUUGAGAAACUCUUUCUCAAGGAAAACUCCAUGUCGAGCGACAAACACUUUGCCCUCUUCACAGAUGUAGGAGUAAUAUCCCAAGGUUUCCCUUGGAUACCCCAUGAAUAUGCACUUGUCCGAUUUGGGUGUGCGCUUGUCUGACUGGAGUCGCUUGACGUAUGAUUCACAACCCCAAAUUUUUAGAGAAGACAAAGUUUGGCUCUUCGCAGUCCAUAUCUCAUAUGACGUCUUAUCUACAAACUUGGAUGGUACCCUAUUUAGUGUGAAAGCUGCAGUUUCUAGAGCGUAUCGCCAAAAUAACAAGGGUAAAUCCGACUGACUCGUCAUUGAUUGGGCCAUGUCUAACAGAGUCUGAUUCCUUCGUUCCAACACGCCAUUUCUCUGUGGCAUACCCCGAGGAGUCAGUUGUGGAACUAUCCUACGACUCUUCAGAUAAUCAUCAAACUCCUGGCUCAUAUACUCAUUCGCCACGAUCAGAUCGCAGAAGUUUGAUUCUCUUGUCGAGUUGAUUCUCCACUUCAUUCUGAAACUCCUUGAACUUUUCAAAAGUUUCUAACUUGUGCCUCAUCAAGUAGACAUAUCCAAAUCUACUCAAGUUAUCUGUAAACGUCAUGAAGUAUUGGAAACCACCUCUAGCUGGACUUGUUUUACCAUUGUUGAAAUGUCUUGUGCAUCGGGAUUCCGAGUCUGAUCGGAGGGUCUCGAGAUGGAGGAUUGUCUCUGCGGAUCGUGAGCUUGUCAUGGGCAAAGUUGGGACACCCCUGCAGGGUUUAAACUUUCGAGAGCCAUGCCCGCGGUUAUGUGGCAGAUGGGAAUUUGUUAAUAUCUGGUUGUAGAGGACUUGAACUAAACUCAAUUAAAAUACACCAACCGCGGGUGUAACCGUGACUGUCUCUUUCCAGGUGCGUUCGAGAAGAGAAUACGGUUGGGUUAUGUUUGAACGUAAGUGGUUUAGGAUCACUUCUUGAUCACUAUUAGUUUGCGACCGUUGUGUAGAUUCUCUUCUUACUUUUGUACUCGUAAGUUAGCCACCAUACAAAUGCUUAGUGCUUGCUGCAGCUUCACCACUAUCCAUUCCAUACCCAUUAAGCUUUGCUAGUCUUCAUACCCAUGGUAAUGGGAUUGCUGAGUCCUCGUGGCUCACAGAUGACUACAACAAUAGUUGUAGGUACAGGUAAUGCAAUGAUCUGACGUGAGAGCGAUGCUUGAUUGCUUUUGGAGUUCUUCUUCUUCUUCGAUCAAGGGAUUAGGUUCCGGGUCGGGGAGCCUGGGAUUAGUGGGGUGGAUAUUAUUCUUCUUUUUUGUUUGAUUUCAUCCGUAGUCGGAUCCUGCCCUUCUGUGUGCGCUCGAAAUGCGGUUGGAACAGACGAUCGCUAGACAGCGCGCCCGCAUUGCCACCCUCAAAGACGGUGAUGCCAGCUCUGCCUUCUUUCACCGGCAGUGCUCGUUUCAAUGACAGAAAAACCGCAUCUUCUGCCUCUCUGCGAACGGCACGCUACUCACAGACCAUGACGAGAUGGCCGAGGCUGCAUUCCGGCACUAUGACACACUGCUUGGCACGGCGGUCGAACACGACCACUCGAUGGACCUGUCGCAGCUCAUCGAGGGGAGCGAUCUCUCCGACCUUGACGCGACCUUUUGCCCGGAGGAGAGAUGGGAAGCUGUGAAACGCCUCCCCGCGCACAAGGCAGCUGAGCCUGAUGGCUUUAGCGCUGAAUUUCUCCGCGUGUGCCGGAGCAUCAUCAAGCAGGACUUCAUGGAUGUGUUCCAGUAGCUCUUCGAGCUGCGUGGCCGUGGCUUCUGCAAGGUCAACCAGGCCCUUCUCACGCUGCUGCCGAAGCCCAGGAGGUGCGCAACUACCGCCCGAUAUGCCUCAUUCAUAUCGUGGCCAAGGUACUCGCGAAGGCCCUCUCGCUCCGGCUAGCUCCAAAACUUGACCGCUUUGUCAGCCGCAAUCAAAACGCGUUCAUCCUCGGACGGAGCCUACACGACAACUUUAUGCUCGUCAGGCAAUCGGUCAAGCUGCUGAGCCAACUUGGGGGCCCCAGGGUGAUGCUCAAGCUCGACCUCACGCGCGCUUUUGACUCCAUCUCCUGGCCGUUCCUCUUUGAGGUUCUGCGCCAAUUUGGGUUCGGGAAUCGCUUCCUCGAAUGGAUCGCCAUCCUCCUGUCCUCGGCAAGCACUCGGGUGUAGUUGAUUGGUGUCCCAGGCCCACUGAUAUGGCAUAAGGGAGGGCUGCGGCAGGGGGGACUCCUUGUCCCCGCAGCUGUUCGUGCUCGCGGUCGACACUCUCGGCCGGCUGAUUCGGCGCGCCCAUGAUACGGGCAUCCUCCAGCCGCUGCAUCUGCGGAGGCCGAUACCGGCUAUAUCCCUAUACGCCGACGACGUCAUGCUCUUUUGCCAUGCCACGGAGAGUGACGUGACUGUCGUCAAGGAAAUCCUUGACCUGUUUGGUAGAGCGUCCAGCCUCAAGGUGAACUACACCAAGAGCUCGGCCACGGUCUUGCAUCGGGAAUAGGUUGCCUCCGAGAUGAUCACCAGCUUGGGGUGUUCGACUGCCGCGCUCCCGGUCACCUACCUCGGUAUACCUCUGACGAUGCGCCGCCCUUCCGCCGGGCAGUUGCAGCCCCUUGUCGACAAGGUCACCGGACGCUUGCCCACCUGGAAAGCAUGGCUCAUGAACAGAGCCGGCAGGCUCGCCCUCGUCAAGUUCUUCCUUUGCACUAUCCCGGUGCACCAGCGGGUUGCAUUUGCCCCCUCGAAGAAAAGACUGCAGCAACUCGAGAAAAUUCAACGAGGGUUCCUCUGGGCCGGGCGAGCCAUCACCAACGGCGGGCACUGCCAUGUGAACUGGCAUCAUGCUUCCCGCCCGCUCGCGCUUGGCAGCCUUGGGGUUCGUGAUGUCGAGCGCGUUGGACUCGCGCUCAGGCUGCGGUGGCUCUGGCUCUCGCGAACGGACGAAGGGCGCGCCUGGCAGGGGCUGGACCUCCAAUUUUCUAGCAACGAGCGUACACUGUUCUUUGCCUCCACCUACAUGACCAUUGGAAAUGGCAUGAACGCCCUGUUCUGGGAGGAUCGAUGGCUCAACGGGCACUCGGUUGGCGAGCUCAUGCCCCUGUUCUACAGCUGCAUCCCCAAACGCCGGCGCAAAGCUAGAACGGUGGCCGAAGGUCUCAACUGCAACGCAUUGGCCCAUGACAUCCAGGGCGUCCUCGUCAUCCACGAGAUAGGCCAGUAUCUACAGCUUUGGCAACUCACGGAACAGGCUAUGCUCAGCGAUGCUCCUGACCAGCUGAUCUGUAAGCAGACUGCGAGCGGCAUCUAUUCGGCGCAGUCUUGCUACGCGGCUACCUUCCAAGGAUCAGUGCACUCCUACUCUUGGAAGUUGAUCUGGAAGGCUUGGGCUCCCCCUCGACUCAAGUUUUUCCAUUGGCUUGCCAACCUGGAUCGCUGCUGGACUGCCGAUCGACUGGCCUGCCAAAGACUGCAGCAUCAUCUGUGCUGCCUUCUUUGCGAUCAGGCGCCGGAAAUGAUCCGGCACCUCAUGCUUGACUGCCCCUUCUCUAGGCAGGCAUGGCAUGAGACCCUGGCCUGGCUACGCAUACCGGCGUCGAUCCCCAACCAGGAGCCCACCCUCAUGGACUGGUGGCGGCACGCCGCAAGCACAACGCAAGGCCCUGCAAUCCGUAGUGCUACUCGUACCAUGGCUCGUCUGGAAGCAUAUGAACAGCCACGUCUUCGACAGCGCGACGCCCUCCCUAGGCACGCUAGUCGACCGGAUCAAGGAGGAAGCCGACUCCUGGGCUAAGGCCGGAGCAGUAGGCCUUAGAGUAGUCCUACCCCCUUUAUGGGACGUGCACUGAGCAUUGUAUCUGAUCCUUCAUUAUUCAUCCUAGGACGACUGUAACUGACUCCCUACCUUUUCAAUGAAAAGAAACGGAAAGGUCUUUUGCAUUUUCUCGAGAAAAAAAAGAAUGACCUUGAGGCAAGCUCAAUGAAAAUACGUUUUCCAAAGGUUUCAAGACUAUCUUCCUUGUGCUCUGGGAUAAAGCCAUUUGCAAUUCAUAGUCAGAUCAGCUUGUCCACAUCAAUCUUGUAAUCCUUUGGAAAUAUAGCACAAAAGGAAAAGCAUUGCUUCAUGUGUGAUGGCAAGUCAUUGUAGCUAAGCUUUAAUAUUGGCAGAAUCCAGUUUCCAAAGUGCAAAUGCUGCUACUAGAUGAUAUAGCCUUCCACUCUUCGACGCUAGUCUUGGUACGAAGUACAUAGCCCAAUGCAGUUGCAGCUAAAGGAGAGCCAGAACAUCAGCUUACAAUCUCAUCAACCAUCUUGCUUAGCUCGACAGGCUUUUCUUUCUCCGAACUGAAUGCUCUAGCCUCAGUAAUUUCCUUUACGAAGAAAUCCUCCACAAUAUUGAGAUUGUAGGCUCUACCUGCACCCAUAAUUUCAGUGACUUGUUUAUCACGAGUUCUUGUUAACAUUGCACUACCCAUGCCACCAUGUUGAGGACAGACCUUCAGCCUUCCCAACUUAUAGACCUCUCUGUUCCAGACAUCAUCCAAUACAUGGAGAUACCUGUGCCCGCUGUCCAGUUUUUGAAAUCUAUCCAAAGGUAUCAUAGACCUCUCUGGGGGAUGCCCGCUGUACCCAGAGCUGCAACUGAAAAUGAUUCUGAAUUUCAGGUUCAUUGUAUAUGAGUUACGCUAAUGUGGUCUUGCCAAGGCCCCCCAUUCCAACAAUGGGAACUACUGCGAGAUCAGUAUUGCUAGCUUGACCAAGUAGUAUGUCAACGAUAUUAUUCUUAUCUCCGUGUUUGGAUCUGUUGGCAAUUUCUUGUUGGUCGCUGAUGACAUAAUCUGUGUGCCUCCACUCCUUGGACACUCGUGUUUGCCUCAACUGAUUAGACACCAACAACGUCUGCCUCAACAUAAGCGCGACGCGUUGUUGGGCUAGGCCCAGAACGGUGCGCGGGCAGGUGGGGCGUAUUUUUACCGUAGUAACUGUUUCGUCCGCUGCGCUUCCCCACGACCUGCGUUGAACACGCACGUGGAGGGUCGUGCGUGACGUGGGGGUCAUGCGUGGGGCGGUCUCCACACGCAUGCGUCACAUCGCAUUUAAUGGGAAAAGAGGCGGCCCACGCCUUCCCCGUAAAAAGGAAUAACAGCGGGCGCGCUGUUCAUUUACCCCCUGCGUCUUCUUCAAUCUCGGAAUCGCCGUCCCCUUCUUCUUCCUUCUCAAACUCUCGCCUUUGCUCGUUGCCGCCGCAUCUUCGCUGUCCUCCGUCCUUUGCCUCUCGCAGCCGCCAUGGCCCCCAAAACAAGUAAAGGAAAGGGAGUGGCCAAGGAUGCCGGGGCGAAGGAGCCGCCGGAGAGCGAGUUGGUGGCGCGGCGGACGCAUCUCGCCUACUUCCCCUCGACGGUCGACGCGGUCGAACUCCGGGACUACUUCAGGNNNNNNNNNNNNNNNNNNNNNNNNNNNNNNNNNNNNNNNNNNNNNNNNNNNNNNNNNNNNNNNNNNNNNNNNNNNNNNNNNNNNNNNNNNNNNNNNNNNNNNNNNNNNNNNNNNNNNNNNNNNNNNNNNNNNNNNNNNNNNNNNNNNNNNNNNNNNNNNNNNNNNNNNNNNNNNNNNNNNNNNNNNNNNNNNNNNNNNNNNNNNNNNNNNNNNNNNNNNNNNNNNNNNNNNNNNNNNNNNNNNNNNNNNNNNNNNNNNNNNNNNNNNNNNNNNNNNNNNNNNNNNNNNNNNNNNGCGUGUCAUCCCCGCCAAUUGCGCCGAGGCCGCCCCGAAUCGGUAUCCGUUCUUCGUCGAUUACUUUUCUUGCGGUCUCUGCCCCCCUUUCUCCGAUUUCUUCAAUGAUGUCAUGCACACAUUUGGCUUCCACCUUCUGGAUUUCACUCCCAAUGCCGUGGCGUGCAUGGCUCUUUUCGCCCAUCUCUGUGAGGGCUUCGCCGGAGUUCUUCCCAACACAUUGCCCUUCCGCUAUUAGUUUUACCCUCGCAUCCAAAAGGGAGGCGCCAUCUCUGGUUGCGUCGCCUGGAUACCAAGGUCCAAAGGGACGUACCCGGAGGGCGCCCAGAAGGAGAGGUUGGAAGAGUGGCGGGGCCGGUGGUGCUGGAUUGGGGAGGACGACCCGCCGGAAUUUUUCCGGGUUCGUCAGGCGCCGCCGGUUCGCAGGAACGACUGGGGCGAUGUCAACGCCCUGGAUGACAAGCUCAAGGUCGCCACCACCAGGAUUCACCGCCUCACCGUUGCCGGGCUCACCCUGGAGAUGAUUGGGGCGGACUUGAUCCGCCGCCGAAUCGCUCCACUGCACAACAAGGGGAGACCGGCCUGGCUCUUCCAAAACGCGGCUGACAUCAUGAGGCUUCACUCUGGCCUCAACAACAACUUCACGGUGAUGGGGCACGCCCACUUCUGCUAGCGGAUCUUUCAGCUCGACGUGAACCGCGACGGCAGGGCCAAGAGGUCCGGCAAGGCUGCAAAGGCCGGCAAGGUCCUCAAGGGGCCCUUGUUUGGGUUGCCAGCGGGGGUGGUCCCGCUGAGCAACAACUCGCGCCAGACCGACAUCAUCGCCAUGAUGUCGGACUACAAUGCACACGGUCCCGUCCCAAAUUGGUUCGAGCCGCUAGCGGAUCAGGUGCAGGAGUUCUUUGAUACUUUGGCGGAGAAGUAUGUCUGCGACGAGCCGCUGCUCAUCUAGGACACCACCCAAGCAGAGCUGGACUACAUCGCCGCCAGGGCGGCGGAGGCGGAGCUCGCUAGGGAGGCCGGCAGCGCUGGCGGCAUGGAGGACGAGGUCGCAGCAGCCGCAGAGGAGAGGGAGCUCGCCCAGUGGGAGGAAUCCGAUGGGGAGGCCAGCAGCGCCAGCACCGGGGCCCCUCUUAUUGAAGAUGUGGUCGACGAUUCGGAGGAGGAGGAGGUCGAGGCUGUCGAUCCUCCGGUCAUGGGGAGAGGGCGAGUCCUGCGGCGGGCCAGCUCCGGCAAGCCGGUCCAGCCCGGCAGGGCUGUGCAACCGCAGCAGACCUAGGAGGGGUAUGUGCGCCAGACAAGGGCCGCGGUGGCGAGGAAGUUGGUGAAGGCCGUGGUGGCGAAGAAGAAAGCAACAACCUCUUCUUCGUUCAAGCGUGGCCAGACUCCACCUUCUUCCCCUCCUCGGGCAGACGUUGACACGGAGGUCGUCUUCGACUUUGGGUCCCUCAGCCCAAGGAGGAAGAGGAAGGCAUCAGAAGAGGAGGUGGAGGAUGAGUAAGUUUCUUGUUACUUUUUGUCAUCUCCGUCUCCUCAGACUGUGCUGCUUAUCUCGAUUUGUUUUCAUCUUUGCAGGGAUGCGGAGACGCUGGCCCAGAGGGUGAAGAGGGCCAGGUCCUCGGCUGGCGGCCGGCCUCCGGCGGGCACUUCGAGGAUGCCACUAGUGGUGGUGAGCAGCCCGGACAGCAGUCCCCGAAGCAGCCCCCGGCGUAAGUUCCCCACUCGUCCCUCGUCAACGUGUGUUGGGGGUACGAUCCCUUGGCGCUAACCUUGCCGUGAUUGCAGGAGGAGGACAACAGGAGGAGGAGCCACGGAGGGUUACCCCCAACACGCUGCCCCCAUCGACCACGCCGCCCCGAGGGGUGGUGUCUACUACGCAACCUUCUUCUUGUAGACGUUGUUGGGCCUCCAAGUGCAGAGGUUUGUAGGACAGUAGAAAAUUUCCCUCAAGUGGAUGACCUAAGGUUUAUCAAUCCGUGGGAGGCGUAGGAUGAAGAUGGUCUCUCUCAAGCAACCCUGCAACCAAAUAACAAAGAGUCUCUUGUGUCCCCAACACACCCAAUACAAUGGUAAAUUGUAUAGGUGCACUAGUUCGACGAAGAGAUGGUGAUACAAGUGUAAUAUGGAUGGUAGAUAUAGGUUUUUGUAAUAUGAAAAUAUAAAAACAGCAAGCUAACUAAUGAUAAAAGUGAGCACAAACGGUAUUGCAAUGCGUUGAAACAAGGCCUAGGGUUCAUACAUUCACUAGUGCAAGUUCUCUCAACAAUAAUAACAUAAUUGGAUCAUAUAACUAUCCCUCAACGUGCAACAAAGAGUCACUCCAAAGUCACUAAUAGAGGAGAACAAACGAAGAGAUUAUGGUAGGGUACGAAACCACCUCAAAGUUAUUCUUUCGGAUCGAUCUUAUUCAAGAGUUCGUACUAGAAUAACACCUUAAGACAAAAUCAACCAAAACCCUAAUGUCACCUAGAUACUCCAAUGUGACCUCAAGUAUCCGUGGGUAUGAUUAUACGAUAUGCAUCACACAAUCUCAGAUUAAUCUAUUCAAACCAACACAAAGUACUUCAAAGAGUGUCCCAAAGUUUCUACCAGAGAGUCAAGACGAAAACGUGUGCCAACCCCUAUGCAUAGGUUCAUGGGCGGAACCCGCAAGUUGAUCACCAAAACAUACAUCAAGUGGAUCACGUGAUAUCCCAUUGUCACCAGAGAUACGCACAUGCAAGACAUACGUCAAGUGUUCUCAAAUCCUCAAAGACUCAAUCCGAUAAGAUAACUUCAAAGGGAAAACUCAAUCCAUUACAAGAGUGUAGAGGGGGAGAAACACCAUAAGAUCCAACUAUAAUAGCAAAGCUCGCGAUACAUCAAGAUCGUACCACCUCAAGAACACAAGAGAGAGAGAGAGAGAGAGAUCAAACACAUAGCUACUGGUACAUACCCUCAGCCCCGAGGGUGAACUACUCCCUCCUCGUCAUGGAGAGCGCGGGGAUGAUGAAGAUGGCCACCGGUGAGGGUUUCCCCCUCCGGCAGGGUGCCGGAACAGGGUCCCGAUUGGUUUUUGGUGGCUACAGAGGCUUGCGGCGGCGGAACUCCCGAUCUAUUCUGUUCACCUAUGUUUUUAGGGUAUAUGGAUAUAUAUAGGCGAAAGAAGUCGGUAAGGGGAGCCACGAGGGGCCCACGAGGGUGGAGGGCACGCCCAGGGGGUGGGCGCGCCCCCUACCUCGUGCCUUCCUUGUUGCUUCCCUUACGUACACUCCAAGUCUUCUGGAUUGCUUCGGUUCCAAAAAUAACUCUCCCGAAGGUUUCAUUCCGUUUGGACUCCGUUUGAUAUUCCUUUUCUGCGAAACACUGAAACAAGGAGAAAAACUGAAACUAGCACUGGGCUCUGGGUUAAUAAGUUAGUCCCAAAAAUAAUAUAAAAGUGCAUAGUAAAUCCCAUUAAACAUCCAAGAUGGAUAAUAUAAUAGCAUGAAUACUUCAUAAAUUAUAGAUACGUUGGAGACGUAUCAGCAUCCCCAAGCUUAAUUCCUGCUCGUCCUCGAGUAGGUAAAUGAUAUAAGAAAUAAUUAUGAAGUGUGAAUGCUAGCAGGUGCACAAGUUUGAUCAAUGAUAAUUUCAAUCACCUUUUCAAGCAUCAUUAUAUGUCAUAACAGUAGCUCAACUCAUAAAACUUUUCAUGAUCAAGUAACAAGCUAUUCACAUAUUAAAGCAUAGACCAUAAACUUUCUUGAAAACUAACAAACUAUGUUCUCAGUCAUCAAACAAUUGCAAUUCAUCUUAUUUUCAGGAAGGGUCUAUGUAAGAGCUUUGAUUUAGCAAAUCCCACAUACUCAACUAUCAUAUAGUCUUCCAUGAUUGCUACCACUCAAAGCAUAUUUUCGGAACAAAUAGCAUCCAUCGAACACAGAGAAAGAUAGGGGCUUAAUGUUUCGCCUCCCAACUUAUUUAUCAUAUAGAUAAUUGUCAACAAUAAUAAUUCAUGAUCAAAUAUAUUUGAAUGGCCAUAUAUGCUUAGAUCUUUCCAUCACAUGAUGCUUGCCAACUAAAAAGUAGGUUGGAAUGAGAAGGAAUACUACUGACUCUUGCAUAAAAGUAAAAGAUAGGCCCUUCACAGAGGGAAGCAGGGAUUUGCAGAGGUGCCAGAGCUCGAAGCUAAAACAGAGAUGAAAAUAAUUUUGAGAGGUAUGCUUUCAUUGUCAACAUAACGACCAAGAGUUCCCAAUAUCUUCCAUACUACAUACAUUAUAGGCGGUUCCCACGCGGAAAGGUAAAGUUUUUACUCCCCCUCCACCAACAUUCACACUCCACGGCUUGUCCGAAACAAUGGGUGCCGUCCAACUAUCAACAUUCUUGGGGGAGUUUGUUGAAAUUAUUUGUGAAUUUGUUUUUGAUCUUUUGAUCAUAGGACUGGGCAUCCCAGUUACCAGCCAUUUUCUCGUGAAUGAUGAGCGGUGUCCACUCAUCGUGAGAAUAACCCACCCAGCAUGGAAGAUACUGACAGCCCCUAGUCGCUACAUGAGCGAUUCGGGCAUACAAAACAGAUUAUUAUUUGAAGGUUUAGAGUUUGGCACAUGCAAAUUUACUUGGAACGGCAGGUAAAUACCGCAUAUAGGUAGAUAUGGUGGACACUCAUGGAAGAAACUUGGUUCGAGGAAUUUGGAUGCACAAGCAGUAUUCCUGCUUAGUACAGACAUUUUGGCUAGCAAAUGAUUCUAAAUAGCAAGCACCACAAGUUAGAGGAUCCAUAACAAUAUAACUUCUAUACAAAUAUACCCAAGCAUAACUCAUUAUGUUGUCUUCCUUGUCCAACUUCAACUAAUUUGCUCAGGUUUGCUAAUAAUUAAUGGGGCUCACGAUCAUAGAAGAUGUCCAAGAUAGUAUUAUAUGUGAAAUCUCUCUUCCUUCAAUAUUCUUUCAUGAAUUGUUCAAGUGACAAAUACAAAGUUUGCUAACCUUCAAAAAAUUUACCACCUCUACUUCUUAUAUGUGAAGUCAUUACUCCCCAUGGGAUAAGUAUAUGAAACAUAUAUAAUUUCAGAUUUAUAAUAUUCAAAUCAUUCAACUAUUUACUCAUAGGAUAUAAGUGAAGCACACGAGUAAAUGACAAACUACUCCAAAAAGAUAUAAGUGAAGAUCAAUGAGUAGUUAAAUAAUUAUGUAGUUAUCUGAAGACUCUAUCUCAUUUAAGAAUUUCAGAUCUUGGUAUUUUAUUCAUACAGCAAGCAAAACAAAAGAAAAUAAAAUGACGCUCCAAGUAAAACACAUAUCAUGUGGUGAAUAAAAAUAUAGCUCCAAGUAAAGUUACCGAUGAACGAAGACGAAAGAGGGGAUGCCAUCCGGGGCAUCCCCAAGCUUAGGCUCUUGGUUGUCCUUGAAUAUUACCUUGGGGUGCCUUGGGCUUCCCCAAGCUUAGGCUCUUGCCACUCCUUAUUCCAUAGUCCAUCGAAUCUUUACCCAAAACUUGAAAACUUCACAACACAAAACUUAACAGAAGAUCUCGUGAGCUCCGUUAGCGAAAGAAAACAAAACACCACUUCAAGGUACUGUAAUGAACUCAUUAUUUAUUUGUAUUGGUGUUAAAUCUAAUGUAUUCCAACUUCUCUAUGGUUUACAAACUAUUUUACAAGCCAUAGAUUCAUCAAAAUAAGCAAACAACACACGAAAAACAGAAUCUGUCAAAAACAGAACAGUCUGUAGUAAUCUGUAACUAACGCAAACUUCUUGAACUCAACAAAUUCUACCAAAAUAGGACGACCUAGAUAAUUUUAUUAUUGAUCUGAUGCAAUUGGAAUCAGUAUUUUAUCACGUUCUGGUGAUUUUAAACAAUUGUUUUCGUGAACAGAAAGUUUCUGGAAUUUUCAGCAAGAUCAAAUAACUAUCAUCCAAGAAGAUCCUAUAGGUCUUACUUGGCGCAAACACUAAUUAAAACAUAAAACCACAUCUAAACAGAGGCUAGAUAGAUUAUUUAUUGCUAAACAGAACCAUAAAGAAAGAACAAAAAUAAAAAUCGGGUUGCCUCCCAACAAGCGCUAACGUUUAACGCCCCUAGCUAGGCAUGAUGAUUUCAAUGAUGCUCGCAUAAAAGAUAAGAAUUGAAAUAUAAAGAGAGCAUCAUGAAAAAUAUGACUAGCACAUUUAAGUCUAACCCACUUCCUAUGCAUAGGGAUUUUGUGAGAAAACAACUUAUGGGAACAAUAAUCAACUAGCAUAGGAAGGCAAAACAAGCAUAACUUCAAAACUUUAAGCACAUAGAGAGGAAACAUGAUAUUAUUGCAAUUCAUACAAGCAUACAUUCCUCCCUCAUAAUAAUUUUCAGUAGCAUCAUGAAUGAAUUCAACAAUAUAACCAGCACCUAAAGCAUUCUUUUCAUGAUCUACUUGCAUAGAAAUUUUCCUACUCUCCACGUAAGCAAAUUUAUUCUCAUCAAUAGUAGUGGGAGCAAACUCAACAAAAUAACUAUCAUGUGAUUGAAAAUUAAGAUCAAGAUGACAAGUUUCAUGGUUAUCAUUAUUCUUUAUAGCAUACGUGUCAUCACAAUAAUCAUCAUAGGUAGGAGGCAUGCUUUCAUCAUAAUAAAUUUGCUCAUCAAAACUUGGGGGACAAAAAAUAUCAUCUUCAUCAAACAUAGCUUCCCCAAGCUUGUAAUCAUGCUCAUCAUUCAAAUAUUUAGUGCCAAACAUUCUAAUGCAUUCUUCCUCUAGCAAUUGAGCGCAAUUAUCGGAAUCCUUAUUUUCACGGAAGACAUUAAAAAGAUGAAGCAUAUGAGGCACACUCAAUUCCAUUUUUUGUAGUUUUCUUUUAUAAAAUAAACUAGUGAUAAAACAAGAAACUAAAAGAUUCCAUUGCAAGAUCUAAAUAUAUACCUUCAAGCACUCACCUCCCCGACAACGGCGCUAGAAAAGAGCUUAGUUGACGGGGUGUGAGUGCCGCUUACCUAGCCUCCCCGGCAACGGCGCCAGAAAAGAGCUUGAUGUCUACUACGCAACCUUCUUCUUGUAGACGUUGUUGGGCCUCCAAGUGCAGAGGUUUGUAGGACAGUAGCAAAUUUCCCUCAAGUGAAUGACCUAAGGUUUAUCAAUCCGUGGGAGGCGUAGGAUGAAGAUGGUCUCUCUCAAGCAACCCUGCAACCAAAUAACAAAGAGUCUCUUGUGUCCCCAAAACACCCAAUACAAUGGUAAAUUGUAUAUGUGCACUAGUUCGGCGAAGAGAUGGUGAUACAAGUGUAAUAUGGAUGGUAGAUAUAGGUUUUUGUAAUCUGAAAAUAUAAAAACAGCAAGGUAACUAAUGAUAAAAGUGAGCACGAACGGUAUUGCAAUGCGUUGAAACAAGGCCUAGGGUUCAUACUUUCACUGGUGCAAGUUCUCUUAACAAUAAUAACAUAAUUGGAUCAUAUAACUAUCCCUCAACAUGCAACAAAGAGUCACUCCAAAGUCACUAAUAGAGGAGAACAAACGAAGAGAUUACGGUAGGGUACGAAACCACCUCAAAGUUAUUCUUUCGGAUGAUCUUAUUCAAGAGUUCGUACUAGAAUAACACCUUAAGACACAAAUCAACCAAAACCCUAAUGUCACCUAGAUACUCCAAUGUCACCUCAAGUAUCCGUGGGUAUGAUUAUACGAUAUGCAUCACACAAUCUCAGAUUGAUCUAUUCAAACCAACACAGAGUACUUCAAAGAGUGUCCCAAAGUUUCUACCGGAGAGUCAAGAUGAAAACGUGUGCCAACCCCUAUGCAUAGGUUCAUGGGCGGAACCCGCAAGUUGAUCACCAAAACAUACAUCAAGUGGAUCACGUGAUAUCCCAUUGUCACCACAGAUAUGCACAUGCAAGACAUACAUCAAGUGUUCUCAAAUCCUUAAAGACUCAAUCCGAUAAGAUAACUUCAAAGGGAAAACUCAAUCCAUUACAGGAGUGUAGAGGGGGAGAAACAUCAUAAGAUCCAACUAUAAUAGGAAAGCUCGCGAUACAUCAAGGUUGUACCACCUCAAGAACACGAGAGAGAGAUCAAACACAUAGCUACUGGUGCAUACCCUCAGCCCCGAGGGUGAACUACUCCCUCCUCGUCAUGGAGAGCGCGGGAAUGAUGAAGAUGGCCACCGGUGAGGGUUCCCCCCUCCUGCAGGGUGCAGGAACAGGUUCUCGAUUUGUUUUUGGUGGCUACAGAGGCUUGCGGCGGCGGAACUCCUGAUCUAUUCUGUUCCCCGAUGUUUUUAGGGUAUAUGGAUAUAUAUAGGCGAAAGAAGUCGGUAAGGGGAGCCACAAGGGGCCCACGAGGGUGGAGGGCGCGCCUAGGGGGGUGGGCGCGCCCCCUGUCUCGUGCCUUCCUCGUUGCUUCCCUUACGUACACUCCAAGCCUUCUGGAUUGCUUCCGUUCCAAAAAUAACUGUCCCGAAGGUUUCAUUCCCUUUGGACUCCGUUUGAUAUUCCUUUUCUGCGAAACACUGAAACAAGGAGAAAAAACUGAAACUAGCACUGGGCUCUGGGUUAAUAAGUUAGUCCCAAAAAUAAUAUAAAAGUGCGUAGUAAAGCCCAUUAAACAUCCAAGAUGGAUAAUAUAAUAGCAUGAAUACUUCAUAAAUUAUAGAUACGUUGGAGACGUAUCAAGGGGCGUCCCCGGCAAGGGCGCCAAGCACCGAGCCCAUGCACACAGAGGAGGAGGAGGCAGACUUGGGCGCUAGUGGCUCCGCCUCGGUGCCAGAUGUUGGCAGGGAAGGGGCUACUUCUUCCCAGCCCGGCACGGGUACGUCACUUGCCUCCUGUCCCUGCUUUUUCUUCUUCUUUUUGAAUCUUGGUCUUGGCUCCGCCUCAUCCCCUUCUCGAUAUCCAGACCCUCCCUCGGCGGACCGGGAGGACAUAGACACCGUCAUCGAGGAUGUCGCCAAGGACACCGCGGCGGAGGCCGAGAAGAUUGCCGCCGAGGAGGCCGCCAAGGGCGCUGCCGAGGACGCCGCAAAGCGAUCUGCCGGGGAGUCCGGCAUGUCUACUGCCAAAGUGGCCGGCAAGGGGCCUGCCGGGGAGGCCGGCAAGGCCGCUGCCGGGGAGGAGGUGGUUAACGACCAACCUUCCUCCUCUGCUGCCUCUGGUUCCGGCAGGUAUCUGAAGGUGAGCGACGACCUAUUCGUCAACCUCCUAGGGACGGCGAGCACUAGGGCGCCCACCGAGGGAGAGGUGUUCGACGAGGAGGUGCUUGCCGCCGCUGGGCUCGAGGUUGUUGACGAGUCGAGCGCCGGUGGCGACGGUUCCCAGGAAGAGCGGCUCCUUCAGGCCAUGGGCGCCAGCUUUCGGAAGCUCCAGGCGCUCCACCGCGCCCGCCUGGACAAGGCCAAGUCCAGGAUGGCAGCGGUGGAAAAGGCGGAGGCGGACCUCGAGGGUCGCAUCGUCGAGACGCAGGCUUGGUUCCGCCAGGGCUGCGAGGAGCUGAAGACCGCCCAGGACGAGCUGGCCAAGCGCAAGGUGGAGCUCGUCAUGAAGCAGGCCGACAUCGAGAGGGGCCAGGAGUUGGCGAAGAACCAGGCCGCCAAGGACGAGGUCGCUCGGUCCCAGCACCAGGCCGCGCUGAACUCCCAGGAAGAGGACCUUGCCGCUCGCGAGGAGAAGCUCGCCGUGACACUCCGCGGCAAGGACGAGGAGGUCAAGAAGCUUGUCCUGCAGCGGACCCAGGAGUUGGAGCAGAAGCACGAGGAGGCGCUCAAUGCCCAGGCUUAGGUCCACGCCGGCAAGGUGAAGGAGCUGGAGGUGGAGCGGGACGAGCUGAAGAAGCAGGCCCUGGAGUUGACGGCGGAGAGGGACGCUGCCAAAGGUGCCCUGGCCGACGCGCAGGCCGCAGUCCUCAGCAAGGCCGGGCUACUCUCCACGGCCAACGAGACCAUCAAGGACCUGAAGCUGAAGCUGGAGGGCCUUGAGGGGACGCUCUCGGAGGCCAAGGCCCGGGAGGAGACCCUGGCCAAAGAUUUGGAGGCCGAGAAGCAGCUGCGGAAGAACGAAACCGCCAACCACAAGGAUUUUGUGGAGGGCGAGAACCGCUGGAUCAGCCGCCUCAAAGGCGUCGCCGGCAGGAUCACCACGCAGCUGGCUACGAUGGGGAUGCCAAAUGUGAGGUACGCCCCGGAGCCCAAUGUGACUCCCAAUGCCAAGCUGACCCUAUUCUUCGAGGGUGUCCUUGGAGCCCUGGAGCAUCUUCGCUCCAGCAGGGCGGCCUCUUUGGCCGAUGAGGCCCGGAAGCUUUGCCGGGGUGCCAUGACCAAGGUCCUCACCAAGGUGGCGUACUGGAACCCCGACCUCGACUUCGACGCCGCACUAGAGAGCUUGCCGGAGGAUGCUGACCUCGCGGCGCUCAAGGAGCGUAUCAAGCCCAUCAUCAGUCGCGUCGACGGAAUCCAGAGGGUGGAGGGCCAGCGCUGGGAUUAGGCACCCCGUUUCUCAUUGCCGCUGCAGGUUCAUGACCAUGACAAUUUCUAUCUUUAGUUAGAACCGCGGCAACAACUGAUGUAAUAUAACUCUGCAGUACAUUCGUGAUGAUGUAUGUUAUCUUCCUGUUUGAUCUUCCUUUGUAUGUUCACCCUACGUUAAUCGGGUAGGCUUGCCGGCGCGUAAACCCAGGCCGCGGCGCCUUGAGGAUGGAUCCCCAAUGGCCUGCCGGGUAUGCUUGCUGCCAGGCGAACCACCUUACCGCAUUAGUAGAAAACAGGGCUUUGGUUCCGGCCUGGCCAGCCCAUUAGUCCCGGUUCUUCAUGAACCGGGACCCAUGGGGGGCAUUAGUCCCGGUUCAUGAGCCCAGGGGGCCGUCCGGGGCCUCGUGGGCAUUGGUCCAGGUUCCUCUGGAUCCAUUUGUACCGGUUCUAGAGGGCCGCGCUCCUUGCCCACAGCCAUUGGUACCGGUUCGUGCCUAUAACCGGGACAGAAGGGGGGGGGGCUUUAGUACCGGUUCGUGCCACAAACCGGGACAAAUAAGUUGCCUAUAUAUACUCGUCGCCGCAGCAGAGCACUCCACAGUGCUCUGUUUUUUCUGGCCGGCGAGGGGAGGGCAUUUGGGUGCUCUAGCUCACCUCCUAUGCACAUGAGGUGUUUGAUGAAAUGCCCGAGCGACACUAGUUAAGCUUUCUCCUCUUGAAGCUCGACCUCGGAGCUCCAUUUUUCCCAAGAUUUGUCUAGAUUUAGCGGUCCGUCACGCCCCGUCCCCGUUUUCACCGCCGUCAAUCGCCCGUGCCGAUCUCGUCGCCGGCACCAUCGUGGUGAGCCUCUUGUUCUUAUCUUCUUUCUGAUUUGCUUAAUUUAGAUAGAUACUUGUCUGAUUUUCUUACUUUUGACACACAUAAUUAUAUAUAAUGCACGCAGAUGAACCGGCAAUGGAUGUACGGUGACAGACACACCUCCGAGUACAUUAAGGGCGUGCAUGAAUUUCUCGAAGUGGCAGAGGCAAACAAGCAGAAUGGUUUUAUGUGUUGUCCAUGCCCUAAAUGUGGGAAUACGAAGUCUUACUCUGACCGGAAAAUCCUGCACACCCACCUGCUUUACAAGGGUUUCAUGCCACACUAUAAUGUUUGGACGAGGCACAGAGAAAUAGGGGUUAUGAUGGAAGACGACGAAGAAGAAGAGGACGAUGACAACUAUGUGCCCCCUGAAUACGGUGAUGCUGCAACGGGGGGAGCUGCCGAAGAUCAAGAGGAACCAGACGAUGUGCCCGAUGAUGCUGCAAUGGGGGAAGCUGCUGAAGAUCAAGAAGAACCAGACGAUGUGCCCGAUGAUAAUGAUCUCCGCCGGGUCAUUGUCGAUGCAAGGAUGCAAUGCGAAAGUCAAAAGGAGCAGCUGAAGUUCGAUCCCAUGUUAGAGGAUCACAAAAAAGGGUUGUACCCCAAUUGCGAAGAUGGCAACACAAAGCUCGGUACCGUACUGGAAUUGCUGCAGUGGAAGGCAGAGAAUGCUGUGCCUGAGAAAGGAUUUGAGAAGCUACUGAAAAUAUUGAAGAAGAAGUUUCCAAAGGACAAUGAAUUGCCUGACAGUACGUACGCAGCAAAGAAGGUCGUAUGCCCUCUAGGAUUGGAGGUGCAGAAGAUACAUGCAUGCCCUAAUGACUGCAUCCUCGACCAUGGUGCGUACAAGGAUUUGAACGCAUGCCCGGUAUGCGGUGCAUUGCGGUAUAAGAUCAGACGAGAUGACCCUGGUGAUGUUGACGGUGAGCCCCGCAGGAAGAGGGUCCCUGCGAAGGUGAUGUGGUAUGCGCCUAUAAUACCACCGUUGAAACGACUAUUCAGAAACAAAGAGCAUGCCAAGUUGAUGCGAUGGCACAGUGAGGACCGUAAGAAAGACGGGAAGUUGAGAGCACCCGCUGACGGGUCGCAGUGGCGAAAAAUUAAGAGAAAGUACUGGGAUGAGUUUGCAGGUGACCCAAGGAAUGUAUGGUUUGCUUUAAGAGCGGAUGGCAUUAAUCCUUUCGGGGAGCAGAGCAGCAAUCACAGCACCUGGCCCGUGACUCUAUGUAUGUAUAACCUUCCUCCUUGGAUGUGCAUGAAGCGGAAGUUCAUUAUGAUGCCAAUUCUCAUCCAAGGCCCUAAGCAACCCGUUAACGACAUUGAUGUGUACCUAAGGCCAUUAGUUGAAGAACUUUUAUAGCUGUGGAAUGGAAACAGUGUACGUGCGUGGGAUGAGCACAGACACGAGGAAUUUAACCUCCAUGCGUUGCUGUUUGUAACCAUCAACGAUUGGCCCGCUCUCAGUAACCUAUCAGGACAGACAAACAAGGGAUACCACGCAUGCACGCACUAUUUAGCUAACACCAAAAGUAUAUACCUGGACAAAUGCAGGAAGAAUGUGUACCUGUGCCAUCAUCGAUUUCUUCCGACCAACCAUCAAUGUCGAAAGAAAGGCAAGCAUUUCAAAGGCGAGGCAGAUCACCGGAAGAAGCCCGCCAUGCGUACCGGUGAUCACGUACUUGCUAUGGUCAAUGAUUUACACCUAAUGUUUGGAAAGGGUCCCGGCGGACUAGCUGUUCCGAAUGACGCUGGGGGACGCGCACCCAUGUGGAAGAAGAAAUCUAUAUUUUGGGACCUGCCCUACUAGAAAGACCUAGAGGUCCGCUCUUCGAUCGACGUGAUGCACGUGACGAAGAACCUUUGCGUGAACCUGCUAGGCUUCUUGGGCAUGUAUGGGAAGACAAAAGAUACAGCUGAGGCACGGGAGGACCUGCAACGUUUGCACGAAAAAGACGGCAUGCCUCCAAAGCAGUAUGAAGGUCCUGCCAGCUAUGCUCUUACCAAAGAAGAGAAGGAAAUCUUCUUUGAAUGUCUGCUUAGUAUGAAGGUCUCGACUGGCUUCUCGUCGAAUAUAAAGGGAAUAAUAAAUAUGCCAGAGAAAAAGUUCCAGAACCUAAAGUCUCAUGACUGCCACGUGAUUAUGACGCAACUGCUUCCGGUUGCAUUGAGGGGGCGUCUACCGAAAAACGUCCGAUUAGCCAUUGUGAAGCUAUGUGCAUUCCUCAAUGCAAUCUCUCAGAAGGUGAUCAAUCCAGAAAUCAUACCAAGGCUAAGGAGUGAUGUGGCGCAAUGUCUUGUCAGUUUCGAGCUGGUGUUCCCACCAUCCUUCUUCAAUAUCAUGACGCACGUCCUAGUUCAUCUAGUUGACGAGAUUGUCAUUCUGGGCCCCGUAUUUCUACAUAAUAUGUACCCCUUUGAGAGGUUCUUGGGAGUCCUAAAGAAAUAUGUCCGUAACCGCGCUAGGCCAGAAGGAAGCAUCUCCAUGGGCCAUCAAACAGAGGAUGUCAUUGGGUUUUGUGUUGACUUCAUUCCUGGCCUUAUGAAGAUAGGUCUCCCUAAAUCGCGGUAUGAGGGGAGACUGGCUGGAAAAGGCACGCUUGGAGGGGACUCAAUAAUAUGCAGGGACGGAUAUUCUUGGUCUCAAGCACACUACACAGUUCUACAGAACUCUACCUUGGUGACCCCUUAUGUCGAUGAACACAAGAACAGUCUGCGCUCCAAACACCCGGAGCAUUGCGACGACUGGAUUACAUGUGAACACAUCAGGACUUUCAGCAGUUGGUUGGAAACACGUCUCAGAGGUGACAACACUGUUUGUGAUGAGAUGUACUCGUUGUCCAGGGGACCAUUUUCGACUGUAUUGACUUACAAAGGAUACAAGAUAAAUGGGAAUACAUUUUACACGAUCGCCCAAGAUCAAAAGAGCACCAACCAAAACAGCUGUGUCCGCUUUGAUGCAGCAACCGAGAGGGGAAAGGACACAUAUUAUGGUUACAUAGUGGACAUAUGGGAACUUGACUACGGACAUGAUUUUAAGGUCCCUUUGUCUAAGUGCAAAUGGGUCAAUCUGUCAGGAGGCGGGGUACAGGUAGACCCACAGUACGGAAUGACAACAGUGGAUCUGAACAAUCUUCGGUACACUGACGAACCUUUCGUCCUAGCCAAUGAUGUGGCACAGUUUAUCUAUGUGAAGGACAUGUCUACCAAACCGAGAAAAAGAAAAGAUAAGGAAGCGAAUACAUCAUACGAUGAGCCAAAGCACCACAUAGUUCUUUUAGGAAAAAGGGACAUCGUGGGAGUGGAGCGCAAGACAGACAUGUCUAAAGAUUAUGAAAAGUUUCCUGAAAUUCCUCCCUUCAAAGUCAAGGCUAACCCAAGCAUCCUAAUAAACGAUGAAGAUUAUCCAUGGUUACGGCGCAAUAAGCAAACGACACAAGCGAAGAAAAAGUGAAGACUUUCUCUCUACAACUAUUAUGAUGAUGCCUUUGAUCUAGAAUAUCACUGCAAUUACAUGUGAAGAAAUGAAAUGCAUGUUGUAACAAACGAGUUUCCGUGUGAAAUGAUGAUACCAUGCCAAUUUGCAACCUUAUCGGAGUUCAUUUGAAAUGGUUUUCAAUUUCCGGGUCUUAUAGCUCAAAAAAGCAGUAAAUGCAUGAAAAAUAACAAAUGAAGUCAGAAAGGGUUGAAAAUUGAUGAUGUUGCUUUGAAUGGUGCAUUUUGAACACACAAGAAGUCUGGAGUUCAAAUAAGUUCGAAAAAAUGAAAUCCCUUUGUAACAGAUGAGCUUUCGUGCGAAACCCUGAUACUUCGAAAGAGAUUGUCCGUUUUGUACACAAAGUGCAUCUAGUUUUUGCCGUAACCCUCUCAACUUUCUUGCACAUGCUAUGUGGGUGAAAUGAUGAUAGCAUGCCAAUUUUCAACCUUUUCGGUGUUCAUUUGAAAUGCUUUUCAAUUUUCGGGUCUUAUAGCUCAAAAAAGCAGUAAAUGCAUGAAAAAUAAUAAAAUGCAUAAAACUAUAAUAUUUGUUAUGAUCACUAAAAAACUAAAAUCAAUUAAAAUAUUAAAUAGCAGGAAAAAGAAUCACUCAAAAAUCUAUUUUUAUAGUAAAUUUAUUCAUAAAACUAGUGAUUCACAUACAUUUAAAAAAAAUCAAAUUUUAAAACUAAUGGCACUAACAGAAAGUUUAUAAUUUUGUGACCCAAAAGCAAAAAGAAAUCACUAAAAAACUAUAAAAUUUAGUUUUAAGUAGAAAUAAAAAAAUAAAAAGAAAAAAAGGAAAAAAAAUGCCACCUACUGGACCUCCUCGGCCUAAAUACGACUAGAAACCCUACAAUGGGCCAGGAUUCAGGCCCGCAGAAGGCCCAAUAGGCCCAACAGGCAUGGCAAAGUAGAGAUUAGGCCCGUAAGCCUGCAAUAGAGAGGAGCUCGAGAGGGUGGCGGCAGCAAAGCUUAUAAACCACCCCGAGCCCCUCUCAACUAGCGAGGUGGGACUAAACAUCCCACCGCACCGUGCCAGCACAAGGCCUAUGGUCCCGGUUCAUGCCACCAACCGGUACCAUAGGCGGGCAUUCGUACCGGUUCGUGGCACCAACCAGUACCAAUGCCCACCUACGGUCCCGGUCCGUGCCACCAACCGGGACCAUGGGCCUCUGUUUCCCGCCCUUGGGGCUGCCGAAAAGAGACCUUUGGACCCUGUUGGUGGCACGAACCGGGACCAUAGGUAGGCAUUGGUACCGGUUGGUGCCAUGAACCGGUACCAUUGGUUUUGCUAUAUAAGGUAGCACUUGUGAAAAUUUCGCCAACUGCUCCCCCAUUCCCCCCGACGCCGCCAGGCCGUUCCUCGUCGUCGUCGCCGUCGCCGCCCCGAGCCCCUGCCCCGACGNNNNNNNNNNNNNNNNNNNNNNNNNNNNNNNNNNNNNNNNNNNNNNNNNNNNNNNNNNNNNNNNNNNNNNNNNNNNNNNNNNNNNNNNNNNNNNNNNNNNNNNNNNNNNNNNNNNNNNNNNNNNNNNNNNNNNNNNNNNNNNNNNNNNNNNNNNNNNNNNNNNNNNNNNNNNNNNNNNNNNNNNNNNNNNNNNNNNNNNNNNNNNNNNNNNNNNNNNNNNNNNNNNNNNNNNNNNNNNNNNNNNNNNNNNNNNNNNNNNNNNNCCCGACGACGUCGCCGCGCCCUUGACCCGCCGUUGACGUCGUCCUCACCGUCGCCGUCGUCGUCACCGCCCCCGAGCCGCUCCUCCCAGAGCCCUCGCUGUGCGCGUACCCCUCCCCCAAGAGCCCACCGUCCUCGUCGCCGUCAUCGUCACCGGCCUCGUCGUCGUCCUCGUCACCGGCCUCGUCGUUGUCCGGCCUUGAGCCCCCAGUGAGCCCCUUCCAAUCCCGAUCCGUGCACUGCCGCAGCUGCCGCCGCCCCCCCGCGCCGCGCCGCCGCCCCUGUUUUUUAUAUGUAUGUAUGUAUGUAUCUAUGUAUAUGGAUGUAUGUAUGUACGGAUGGAUGGAUAUGCAUGUAUAUGGAUGGAUGUAUGUGUAUGUGUUCAUAGUUUUUUUUUGUUCAUAGUUUUUUGUUGAUAGCAUUUUUAGGCUGUAUAGUUUUAUUUUUGUUCAAUUUUUAUGGUUAGAAGAGGAGAGGAAAAAAUUGUGUUGCUAAAGUUACAUUUAAGGUUAGUUGAUUUAGUUCAUUUUAGGUUAUUAGUUCUACUGUUAGUGCAUUUAAGGUUAGUUUAUUUUUAGUUGAACUAGUUGAUUUAAUAAAACUAAUUUAUUUUACUAUACAUAUAAGUAGUUUAUUUUUAGUAAGUACUACUUUAUUUUAUUUAUAGUAAGUGCUUAGUAGUUGAACUAGUUGAUUUAAUAAAACUACUUUAUUUUACUAUAGAAGUAGUUUAGUUUUAGCAAGAAAAUUAAUAGAAUUAGUUUAUUUUUUAGUUCAAGCAAUUAUUCCCGCAUCGACAUCGACGAUGCCUAUCCCGCAUCCUCGUCGUCGACUCGGCGGAGGAGGCCGACUUGAUCAGAGGGGCCAUGUCCGGGACUGGGCUCCGCCGGGCUGGUAUUGGGAGGUGCUACCUUCCGGGGGGCGUAGGUUGGUGAGGAGCCAGCCCGUCGUUGACCCGAUCCUUGUUUGGUGGCGGUCGCGUGGGCCAGUGACUGUAUCGAGGCUUCCGGACACCGCGGAGGUGGUACGUCACCAUGUCAGCGAGGAGGACGAGCACGCCCGUCGCUACAUGGUUGCGUUGGAGGGCAGGUUCGACAAUACCUGGCAGCUUCUUCAGGGAUCUCAUUGGAGCUAUGAUCAUGUGAUGGUUCCUUCUCUUUGGGCAUCCACCGCCCGCGCCGAUACCCGUCGGGCGCUACGGUUCUAGCUGUACUAGCGAUGCUAUAUGUAUGAUAGUAUUCGAGGUGUAUUAGUGAUAAUAUUCGACGAUGUACGGACGCAAGAGAUGAUGUAGUUUUGCUUAUAAUUGAAUGCAUCCUAAUUUGAAUACUACUUUAUUUUGCGAUCUGAUUUUGCUUAUUGAAUGCUCAAAUUGGAAAACUACUCCUACUUUGAAUGCUAAAAUUAGAGAGCACUAUGCAAGGCGUAUGCAUAUGAUUAGUUGAUAGCUUAUAGUGUUUUUGUUUUCGCAAAAAUAUAGGAGCCCCCAACCAUCAUCCCCGCCGUCGUCCCCGUCACUGACCCCCUCCGACGUCGAGGUGAGACCAGCCAAAUCUCCAUGUCAAUAUGAGUCCUAUAAUAUGAGUCCUCGGGUCGACUUUAAGUCUGUCGAGUCUCCACCAUAUAUGAAAGGACGAAGAAUCAUGACUGUUGUCGUGGGGGUAGCUUCUCCUUCGUUCCCGUGAUGAAUAAUAAUGAUCUAACUUAGGUUUUUAGUACAUAUAUUUAAUUGUAGAUGUUUAAUAUUUGAAUUAUGAACAUAGGAAAUGUCGUACUCAGACUACGAAAGUCUCCCGGGGGAGUGCGACUGGUGCCACGACGACCGAGGUUAGUGCGACCGGCCUCACCUGGACGAAGAUCAGCGCUUCAGCAUUAAGCUGGAGGAGACCUUCGAUGUUGAAACGGUACGCAACGACGACAAGUGUUAUUUUUUCGUAAUUAAGCACGACUUCAAGUAUUUCAACGUGUACUUCUUAUCUUUUACAAUUCGACUAGCUUAUCCCAUGCCAUGCAAGACGCUAUGUCUUGGAGAGGAUGGGUUUUGAAGACCAGGAAAGUUUCGAAACAAAGAAAAUUCAUCUAAGGACCCAUCAUGGUGUGGAUUUUGAAGUAAAGCGGUACAAUUCUGAGAGCGUAACCCAUUUUGGUUGCAAAAAAUGAGAAGCACUUUGCAAGAUGUAUGGUUUUGAUGAGGGUAUGCUUGUCACCAUUGAUCUUGGUGACCCUGAAAUCGAGCAAGACAAUAUGGACAUUUGGGUCCUUGUUGAUACGCCUCCAAUUCUACCGCUAUGUGAGUUUCUCAAACAUAGUUAUUAGCUAAUUUAUAUUGUUUAUUUCAAAAUAGUUGACAACUUAUUUCCAUUGACAGCUUAUUUUGAUUGUUCAAACAAUGUGCGGAACAUGGUAGACAAAACCCACUACACCGAUGGCUCCGAAUUAACUUAUCAGGAGAAAAAUCAUCUGGUCUGAUUUUGUACUGAUAUUGAGAAUUACAAUAUCUAGAAUCAAACUCCUCAACAUUAUUGUCAAUACGUGCCACUAGUGCACGUGUUGAACUACAGUAACUACCAUGGAGAUACCCUGGUAAGAUUUUUUACUAUUACGACAUCCGUGCAUCUUUUGCAUACUUCUAAAACUAGUACAUCAUUGCUAACUAUGAAGUUAUUACUAUGUUUUUCAACAGAGAAUCCCAGAGGAUUGUGUGCCUCAUUUGAUGUAGCAGAAUGGCAGCCUUCGUGUUUUGAACAUAUAUCCAAGUCAUCCAACGAAUCUCAACUGUCCAUACCGGAUUUAUCAAUGAAGUGGAGACAUGCUAAUCAAAAAAUGGAAAAAAUGUAUGGACAGUCGUAAGGAGGUUCUUGGAAGCAAAAGGAAGCGAAGCGUAAGAAUUGGAGACAGGAUGAUCUCCAUUCUCCAUAAUGGAGAGUCAGGGUCUAUAUUGUUUUAUGCUAUUUUACCUUAAAGAGGGUAUUUAGGUCCUACCUAAUACUGAUGAUCAUGUGCUAAGAACAAUUAAGUAGGGCUGGUUCGAUGACUAUGAGGAUGAUGAUCGUAUGACUUGUUAUUAAUAACGAGUAGAAGUUGUAUGAUGAUGAUUAGUAGGACUUGUUAUUAUAUAAGAUGAUGCAUGAUGCGAGCAUGAAGAGUUAUUAUAUAUCAGCGGGUGAAAUGAACAUGGAUUGGAUUGAAGUGAAGGCAACAUGCAUGUGGUGCAUGUCGAAAGUACUACAAUCCAAACUUGAUCAAAGUUAGGAUUAGUAUUACUUUCGACAUGCACCACAUGUUGCCUUCACUUCAAUCUAAGCCAUGUUUAGGCAUAGCAGUAGCGUUGGUAAACCAAGCACGGAGAUAUAAGAGAGGACACUUCUCUCUAUUAUAUUAGCUAGCUAAUAACAACCUAAAUUAACCCCCAAAACCCCUAAAUCAGCCCCUUUAAAAAAACAAAAAGCUCAACUCCAGCCAGCUGCUGACGCGUGGAUGCCUUUUGGUCCCGGUUGGUGUCACCAACCGGGACCAAAGGCCCCCCUGCCUGGGCUGGCCGUAGUGGCCACGUGGAGGCCCAUCUGUCUCGGUUCGUGUAAGAGCCGAGACUAAAGGCCAAGGGCAUUAGUAACGACCUUUUAGUCCCGGUUCCUAAACCGGGACAGAAGGCUCUUACGAACCGGGACAAAUGGCCCUUUUUCUACUAGUGCCGCUCUAAACGCGGCCGCUCGAACUGUUGAGCUUGACUCGAGUCAGAAUCGAGAGCGUUGCCGAUUGCGGAAGGCUAUGUUGCCGUUCUCGACGCGGCCGCUUGAGCUAUUGAGCGGACUCGAAACAGAGUAAGGGCGUUGCCAAUAGCGGAAGGGCCCCUUUGCGUGCAUGUUUUCCAUACAUAGGGCAGGACCUUCGAGUACAAUAACCUUCUAUAUAAAAAGAUAUUGCUUAAAGUUUCACACGACUUAGCUUUUCUGUCAUUGCACGGGCGUCCACCGCAUCUGCAGAUGGUGCCGUCAAGCUUGGUCGUCUUCUAUCUUGGAACGACGGCCACGAUGAAGCCGCUGCUCCGAUCAGACCAAAUUUCCACAACUGCGCCCCCUACCUAGCGCGCCAAAGAUGUCGGGGGAAAUCGACACCUAUGGAAUCACAGGGAUCCCUUCUACGGUUGGCGGGCGCGGGGUUGUGCAAAGAGCAGGUCUGACAGGAAGCACGCAGAUCGUUUACCCAGGUUCGGGCCGCGGAGAUGCGUAAUACCCUAGUCCUGCUAUGGUGGAUGUAUUCGAGUGUUCUUGUGUUCUUGAACUAGCUACGGGGUGUAACUUGCCCAGAAGAUCCGAAUCCCUGUCCUGGAUGCCUCGGGCCUCCUUUUAUAGACAAAAGGGGUUGCCACACUGGCACACAGGAGGUGGAAAGGUGUACAGUGGAUGAGUCUAUCCUCUGGCACCGUUGGACGAACACAUUUAAUGCGCUGCCAACGUGACCCUCUCGCUUUAUCGGGGACGGUCAAGGAAGCUCGUCCCAGCUGUCGCCGCCUCGCCUGGCUUCGACACGCGUCCGAGCUGACGAGGCGUCGUGGCGCCACAUUGGCUGGCUGCUGGGCUGGCGCGGUGGUGGAGCCUUCACGAAGGUCUGCAUGCCACCACGCAGGUGCUUGCUGUGUCGGUGUAGAGGCCGCUCGUCGCCACGCAGGUGCCUGCCCAGCUGGUUGGGCUAGCAGCUGCACGGGGACGGCGGUGGAGUCUUGGCAGGCGCGGGCCUGGCUGUGGCCCCGCUGAUGCCCUUGGCAAGGGUCUUGCCGGGGGCCCGGCAAGGGUCUUGCCGUGGUGCCGCGGUCGUCCCCGGCAAGGCGCUUGCCGGGGGUCUCGUGGAUUUCCUCGGCAAGGACCUCGCCGAGGAUCAUCGUCUUCUGGUCCUCAUCUGAUCUUGUGUAUUUAUGAUCUUCACAAAGAUCAGCAUGCCACCACGGAGGUGCCUCCCGAGCCUUGGUCCCAAUGUGGUUGAUGGCGUUGGAACCCUUGGGCUCAAUGGAGGCGCGCUUCGUUGGCGUCAGGCAAGUUGCCCCGGCAAGGCUCUCGCCGGGGCUGAGGAGGCCGUCCCGGCAAGGGUCUUGCCGGGGGAGUCCACCUCGCCCUCUUGCCCUUUGUGUCUCUGGUCUUGGCAUUGCCAUGGCUGUCUUGUGCUCCGGCUUCCCUCCUCUGCCCUGCUAAGUGUGGCCGUGGGCGCGGCUCUGACUACCAGUGCACAAGUAAAGGGGUCAAAAGGAGAGCCCCUAGUUUUAUACACCGACAUGUAUCCUCCCAGAAUCUCGUAGAAGUACCGUUACUGAUCACAAGCUUUGUCUGAUUGAAAAAAAUGGAUUUAACUCUCAUCAGUCCUUUCCAAAAGGGCUAGUCCAUUGGCCUCACUGUGACCUGGGAUAAAGUUCUGGAAUGAAGGUACUUAUUACGCAGUAUUUGUGCCCAUGUAGCCCCCGUCUCGCUAGAUAGCUUAUACAGCCAUUUGCUGAGAAGACAUAUGUUCUUCACCUUAAGAUUUUUGAUACCUAGACCCCCUUGGUCUUUGGGUCGACAAAUAAUAUCCCAUUUAGCGAGUAUACUUUCUCUUCAGAUCAUCACUUUGCCAGAAGAAACGGGAUCGAUAGAAAUCUAGUCUUUUCCGAACUCCAACUGGUACCUCGAAAAAAGACAAGAGAAACAUGGGCAUGCUCGUGAGAACCGAAUUAAUAAGAAUUAAACGGCCUCCAUAUGACAUGAGUUUGCCAUUCCAGCAACUGAGUUUCUUCUCAAAUCGAUCCUCAGUGCACUUCCAUUCUCUCUUUGUUAGCUUACGAUGGUGAAUUGGUAUGCCCAAUUAAGUGAAAGGCAAAGCCCCCAAUUCGCAUCCGAACAAUUGCUUAUAUGCCUCUUGUUCCUCAUUGGCUCUUCCAAAAUUGUAUAAUUCGCUCUUGUGGAAAUUAAUUUUUAGUCCGGUCAAUUGUUCGAAUAAGCAUAACACCAGCUUCAUAUUUCUCGUUUUUGCCAAGUCAUGGUCCAUGAAGAUGAUAGUAUCAUCGGCGUACUGUAGGACAGACACACCUCCAUCCACUAGAUGAGGUACCACAGGAGAGCACCUGCGAUAAUUAUAUCAUGCCACACGAGUACAAAGGAUGAAGCAUCUUAGACGUUUGGAAUAGAUUUGGGCAUCACAUACGAUUUAUUUUUCCAAAAAGGUAUGCAUGAUUGGGCUCUAUCUGUAGGAGAUAUGCCCUAGAGGCAGUAAUAACAGUUAUUUUGUAUCUCCAAGUUUGUAAUGAAUGUUUAUGAUCCAUGCUAUAACUGCAAUGAUUCUCGAGUCUACAAUAUCCACGAGGCUCGGAGGGAACUCAUAUGCACGUGUGGUAUUAUAAACGGUAAAAUAUAUUCCUAGUCUUGCCUCUAAGACUAGCUCAAGUAUUGCAUGAUGAUCCUGUUUCCUGAUCAUGGGCAUGACUAUGCCGGCAAUUUUGAGGGCACAAGUUUGGUAGAACGCUUGUGUUGAAUCAACCCGGAUUGAUGUUGUGCUAUGAGAUGCCUUCGUCACAAGUUUAUGGUUAAUAUCAUUGAGAUAGUUAAUGUUUGCAUAAUUCCUUAGACCAUGAGAGUAUCAAGUUCCUUCGUGCUUGCUUCGUGAACUUUGGGGUUUGUUAAACGUCAUCCGUAACUUGGUGGCUAUUAUGGCAGCUUUCGGGUUCACGGAAAAGUAUAGGAAGUAACAAGAUAGCUCAAGAUUGGGAUUUGCUCCUCCGACGAUGGAGAGAUAUACUCGGGCCCUCUCAGUGUAACGGUAUCCAUCAUCGUCUGGCCAGACACAUUGUGAUUUGAUCACUGGGAUGCCGGAACACGGAAACGAGAAAAGAGAACAAAACCGGUAACGAGGUAACUUGCAUGGUGGACAAAUUGUUCGUCCAUGGGCAUGCAAUAAAUCUCACCUCGGGUGUUUGUGACAUAUCGCGAAGCAACAGGAAUAGCUCACUACAACUAGAGGUUCACUCGAAUAUUCAUUCGUGUGGGUAUAGGGGUCAAUAUGGGUGUCCACGGCUCCGAUGUUGAUCAUUGAUCGGAAGGGGUUCCAGGUCAUGUCUAUACUUCACCGAACCUAUAGGGUCACACGCUUAGGGGUCAUCUAUCUGUUGAAUACUAGACAGGGAGUCUGAGAGAAAAUCACCGAAAAAGUUUCGGACACCGAAAAGUUUCGGACAGCGGAAUCGUACCGCAGAGAGAGGUCAUCGGAUAAGUUUCGAUGAUACCGAAAAGUUGUUUCGGGAUACACCAUUAAGUCAAAUUGGUUUCGGCACAUGCCUGAUAAUUCUUGGAGGAUGCCAGAAUCAUUCUGGAAGCUUUUUGGAAUUUUCUGACAUAAAAACCGGAAAUGUUCCGGAGCUGCCGGAGCCACUUCAGAUGCGUUUCGCAGAUGAAAAUCACUAAAACCGGAAUUGUUUCGGAACGCGUUGAAAAACAUUUUAGUGGGUACUGGAAAUGUUCUUAGCCCACAUAAAUAUUUUCAGUUCGAUCAGACGCUGAAAAAUGUCGUCGUGAAUAGUGAAAAUCAGCUUUAUGGUUACUUUAUGGAAAGCCACCUUUUGGGGCUUUGCUCCAAAAGAUCUUGGGGAUGACAUGGAUGGAUAGGACCCAUUUUUUGGGCCCCUCAUGGGGGUGUGGCCGGCCACAUGGGGUAUCCCCCCUUGGGGACCCUUUUGUUCAUUGGUUUCACUUCUAGGUCCUUGUGGAAGGACUUCAUUCAUGUGCAUUUUGGGUUUUUGUGUGAAACUACCCUACCCCUUGGGAUUUCCUAUAAAUAGAGGUGGAGGGGCAGCCCUCCACACUCAUCCCUUGCUCUCAUACACAUGCCAUGCAUUAUCUGGCUUCUUCUCUCCCUCCCACGAAAAGAGUUUCGUAGAGCCGUAAGGCUGUCUGGGUUCCGGCAGGAACUAGUUCUGGACGGCGAAGCCCUGCCGGAUAGCUGACACCGUAUGUGUGCAACCCCGUAGAGAGAUUGUAGUUUCGAUCUUUUGCCCGAGGGGCUGUUCGAGUGUCCUCCCGAAGGGCUGUCCGAGUCUCCGUCCGAGUUUCGAGGGUCCUCCCGAAGGGCUGUCCGCGACAUUGUCCGGGGGACUGUCCGACCGCCUCCCGAAGGGCUGUCCGGAGAGGGAGUACAUCCUCGCGGUUGGGAGGUUGUAAAUCCUAGCUGCGGGGAUCUGCACCGACGAUCUACACCGACUCUUCUUCCGCUGCGCUUCGAGUCGGUACGGAUCAGAUCAAACCUUGUAUGCAGUCUCCAUAGUGGUCCUGGGCGUGCUCGCUAUACCGAAAAUUUUCGUUUUCUGUCGCGUUCCCCUACAGUGGCAUCAAGAGCCGUGCUAUGCGUAGAUGCAGGUUACGAUCUAGAAUACAUGGAGAUGUAUGGGUAUUGCAUAAUAUAAUUUUGGAGUAGAUGAGAUGUAUUGCUGAAAAUUAUUUAUGCGGGUGACAGAUGAAAUCUGUUACCCGACGUUCUUGUUGCUUCCCUAGAAUUUGCGUUUGCUCAAUCUCGAGACAGGAUGGUGGAAUUUGACAAAGUUCUGGCAAUCCGUGAUCCUGAUUGAUCAUGGAAGUGCUAUCAGUUCUUUGGGUUCUGCCAUAGUCAAAAGAAAGAUGAAAUUCGCAGAUGAAAGGGCAUUGCAGAUAUGAUCUGCACGGGGGUCAUGCGUAUGACGAAGUUUAGUAUGGGGCUCGAGAUUUAAUUAUCUCGUGUUUCAUACACCCCGAGAUGUUAAUCUAGCAACUUGAAUAAUCAUACUUGAUGAUAAAACGUUGGUAGCUGCGGUUUAAGUCAAAACCUUAGAAGCCACGUAAAAUAAAAUUUUGCAUAAACCGAUUAGAGGCGUCUAACUUGGUUUUGCAGGAUGUGCAUGUGAUGUGGUAUAGCAAUGCUCAUAUUCAAUUUGAUUAUGUAUGAGAUGACUAUAUGAUGUAACUAACAUGACCUGCGUGUCAUGAUUCUGCAUGAUGGCUGGAGCCAUAUGAUUGCACUUUAAUGACCUGCGUGUCAACCUUAAGUAAUGCACUUAUUUUAUUAGCUAUAGAGAUAGCAAUAUUAUCUGGUGCAUCGACAAGGUGGUGGCAAUCUUCGCGAAGGUGAACACCGACGCAAAUGCCGAAGACGAAGAAUUGAAAGACUUCUCCGUCAGAAAGGGCUAUACCAUAUCAUGCUAAUUAUGAAUUGCCUGAGAUGUUUAUCCCCUAUGAUGCACCCUUCUUGAUUGCGCGGUAGUCGCUUUUAUUAGGGUGAUCUCUCACUUAAAAAUAUCAAGUAGAUAGUGUUCUCCCAAGUGUAGCACCGUCACGGCACCUAUCGUUUCGGGGUGCGCCGUGUCACACGGGUACGAACGAUUAGAGAAGUGUGAGGCGGGUGAGUUGAGACCUCGCAGCGAGAUCACUUGGUUGUCUUGACGUUCAGGCAUGACCGUCAUGAGCUCGGAACACACGCAUCGAAAGAUGAACAAGAGUCACAUAGUGAUGUGAUUGGCAAGUUGGCCUACCGGUUAAGAUUUUCGUCAUCAGUGGUGUUACACCAAUGGCGAACAAUCAAGACACGGAUCUUGAAUCACUCAUAAUCAAUUUUGAGAGAUAUUGAUUUGAGUGGGAGUGCAUUUUAGAAUAAAAUGUUUAUUCACUAGUGCAAAUUUCAUUAUAAACAAAGUCUAAGUGAAACUUGUGUCUUCGUUGUAGAUCAAAUGGCUCGCAACACCGCGUUCAACUUAGGCCCGAUGUUAGAGAAAGAGAAGUUAGCUACGACUGGAAACAACUAUGCGGACUGGGCCCGUAACCUGAGGAUUGUCCUCAGGAGCGCUAAGAAAUUGUACGUGCUUGAAACUGCUCUUCCAGCUAAACCGGCGGCAGAUGCACCGGUAGAUGAACAAAAUGUCUGGGCCACUAAGGAUGAUGAUCACAACUUAGUGCAGUGCCUCAUGCUAGCUUGCAUGAGUCCAGGGCUUCAAAAACGUUUUGAAUUCCAUAAAGCCCGUGAUAUGAUCCGGGAAUUGGAUGCUCUGUACAAGGAAACCGCAAAGUCUGAACGAUAUGAUAUCAUGAAGGCUUGGAUGGAUUGCAAGAUGGCUGAGGGUAGUUCAGUUGGCGAACACGUGGUCAAAAUGAUUGGCUAUUCUGAAAGGCUUAAAGCCCUAGAAUUUCCACUUCCACCUGGCCAUAUGAUGGACAUGUUGCUUUCUUCACUCCCCCCGUCUUACGACGGUUUUGUCAUGAACUACAACAUGACAGGGAUGGAGAAGACGCCGAAAGAAGUGCUCGCCAUGCUGAAAACUACAGAAGGAGGACUGCGGAAAAAUCGCAAGUAAGUGUUGCUUGUGAAUAAAACCGCCUGUUUCAAAAAGAAGAAAGGCAAGCCAAAGAAGGGCAAGGGCACCGGUAAGACCGGCUCCCAAAGCAACUCUAAGGGCGGAGCCAAGAAUGAAACUGAGUGCUUCUACUGCAAGGGCACAGGACACUGGAAGAGAAACUGCAAGAAGUAUCUGGAAGAUAAGAAGACCGGGAAAACCGGAAAAGGUAUAAUUGUUAUACAAGUUAAUGUCAUUGACGUUUUGCUUGCUAGCGAAAACUCUAAGUCUUGGGUAUUUGAUACCGGAUCGGUUGCUCACAUUUGCAACUCGAUACAGGGACUUCAGAAGGUGCGCAAGCUAGCAAAGAAUGAAGUCGUGAUGCGCGUCGGGAACGGCGCUGGGAUCGCCGCUCAAGCCGUCGGCAUUAUGCCUCUACGUCUCCCUUCAGGAUUUAUCUUAGAACUAAGUAACUGUUAUUUUGUUCCACUGUUGUGUAGAAACAUUAUCUCCGGAUCAUGUUUGGUACACGAUGGGUAUUCGUACAAGUCUGAGAACAAUGGUUGUUCACUUUAUUGUAAGGAUAUGUUUUAUGGAUUUGCACCCAUUGUUGGGGGCCUUUUCAUACUAAAUCUUGAAUGUGGAAGUGAUGUCUUUAACAUGAAUGCUAAACGCCUUAAGAAGGCUGAUACCACCACCACUUUCAUGUGGCACUGUCGCCUUGGCCACAUCGGUAAGAAACGCAUGCAAAGACUCCAUAAAGAUGGAGUUUUACCGUCCCUUGAUUUUGAAUCAUUUGACACAUGUGAAGCUUGCCUGAUGGGGAAAAUGACCAAGACGCCGUUCACGGGUCAUCCUGAACGGGCGGGUGAAUUAUUGGAAAUAAUACAUAGUGAUGUAUGUGGUCCAAUGAACACAGGCGCACGGGGUGGAUAUUUUUACUUCGUGACUUUUACUGAUGAUUUGAGUAGGUAUGGCUAUAUCUACUUAAUGAAGCAUAAAUCGGAAACCUUUGAAAAGUUCAAAGAAUUUCAGAAUGAGGUAGAAAAUCAUCGUAACAAAAAGAUUAAGUUUCUGCGGUCUGAUCGCGGAGGCGAAUAUCUUAGUCAUGAGUUUGGCCAACAUCUGAGUGAUCGUGGAAUCGUUUCACAGCUUACGCCUCCCGGAACUCCACAGAGAAAUGGAGUAUCGGAACGACGUAACCGAACCUUGUUGGACAUGGUAAGGUCAAUGAUGUCUCUUACAAAUCUUCCAAUAUCUUUUUGGGGUCACGCACUACUUACUGCUGCUCACACACUAAACAAAGCACCGUCUAAAUCUGUUGAGACGACGCCACAUGAGAUGUGGCACGGGAAGAAACCCGACCUGUCGUUUUUCAAAAUUUGGGGUUGUGAAGCUUAUGUAAAACGUUUACAGCCAAGCAAGCUUGAUCCCAGAUCAGACAAAUGUUACUUUGUAGGUUAUCCCAAGGAGACAGUUGGGUAUUCUUUCUACCACGCCUCCGAGAAUAAAGUGUUUGUUGCAAAACAUGGAGUCUUUCUUGAGAAAGAGUUUCUCACUAAAGAAGUGAGUGGGAGGACAAUACAACUCAAUGAGAUUAGUGAAUCUUCGGGAACCGUUGAUAUGGCUAAGGAACCGGAAGAAAUUCCGCUAAUUAUCCCUACAACCGAGCCGGAAGUUGUCGCAUGUGAUGCGGAGACUUCAGACAAUGUUGUAACUGAACCGCGCAGAUCAGGUAGGGCUAUCCAGCCACCUGAGUGGUUUCAUAACGAAAUCUUCAUUCUUGAAGACGAUGAACCUGCGCACUACAAGGAAGCGAUGGCGGGGCCCAGCUCAAAAGAAUGGCACAAAGCCAUGAGAUCCGAAAUGGAAUCCAUGUACGAAAACCAAGUUUGGAACUUGGAAGAACUUCCAGAAGGCAUAAAGCCCAUUGGUUGUAAAAUGGAUUUUCAAAAGAAAGACGGACGCGGAUGGUAACAUUACUAUCCACAAAGCUAGACUUGUCGCGAAAGGGUUCACACAAGUUCCAGGAGUGGACUACGACGAGACUUUCUCGCCAGUAGCUAUGCUUAGGUCUGUUCGGAUAUUGCUAGCAAUUGCUGCUUAUUUCGACUAUGAAAUAUGGCAGAUGGAUGUCAAAACGGCUUUCCUAAAUGGAAACCUCAAAGAGGAUGUAUACAUGAUACAGCCAGAAGGUUUUGUCAUUCAUGAGGAUGCUGGAAAGGUAUGCAAACUUCAGAAAGCCAUUUAUGGUCUGAAGCAAGCAUCAAGGAGCUGGAACAUUCGUUUUGAUGAAGUGGUCAAAGAGUUUGGCUUCAUCAUGAAUGAUGAAGAAUCUUGUGUUUACAAGAAGUUUAGUGGGAGCGCAAAAGCAUUUCUAAUCUUGUAUGUGGAUGACAUAUUGUUGAUUGGAAAUGACGUGAAUUUUCUUAGCGAAAUAAAAGACUCAUUGAAGAAAAGUUUUUCAAUGAAAGACUUAGGCGAAGCGGCAUAUGUAUUAGGCAUCAGGAUCUAUAGAGAUAGAUCAAAACGCCUGAUAGCGCUUAGCCAAAGCACGUACAUUGACAAGGUGUUGAAAAGGUUCAACAUGGAGAACUCCAAGAAAGGCCUACUCCCCAUGUCACCUGGCACAGUGCUUUGCAAGAAUCAGAGUCCUCGGACUCUGGAUGAGCGAGUACAAAUGAAUGAUGUUCCAUAUGCCUCGGCAGUUGGUUCUAUUAUGUAUGCCAUGCUAUGUACAAGACCAGAUGUUUCCUAUGCGCUAAGUGUUAGCAGCCGGUACCAAAGUGAUCCAGGGUUGGAACACUGGGCCGCAGUCAAGGGUAUUCUUAAGUACCUCAGAAGGACCAAGGAUUUACUCCUUGUGUACGGAGGUGAUGAAGAGCUCAUUGUAAGUGGUUACAAUGAUGCAGGCUUCAUGACUGACCCAGAUGACUUCAAAUCUCAAUCAGGCUACGUUUUCAUAUUGAACGGCGGCGCAGUUGAUUGGAAAAGUUCCAAACAAAAGACUGUGGCGGAUUCUACGACGGAGGCGGAAUAUGUUGCUGCUUCAGAAGCCUCCAAGGAGGCGGUAUGGAUCAAACAAUUUCUUGAAGACCUUGGUGUGGUUCGUAGUGCCCAGGACCCGGUGGAGAUCUAUUGUGAUAAUAGUGGCGCCGUGGCUCAGGCAAGGGAGCCAAGUUCGAACCAUAAGACAAGACAUAUUCAACGCAAAUAUAAACUCAUUCGACAUCAUGUCGAAGAGGGUUUAGUGAAAGUACGCAAAGUUCACACGGAUCUGAACGUGUCAGACCCGAUGACAAAGCCUCUACCACGAGCAAAACAUGAGCAACACCGGAUAGCCAUUGGUGUUAGGGAAGCCAUGUAACUGGAUUAUGACUCUAGUGCAAGUGGGAGUCUGUAGGAGAUAUGCCCUAGAGGCAGUAAUAACAGUUAUUUUGUAUCUCCAAGUUUGUAAUGAACGUUUAUGAUCCAUGCUAUAACUGCAAUGAUUCUCGAGUCUACAAUAUCCACGAGGCUCGGAGGGAACUCAUAUGCACGUGUGGUAUUAUAAACGGUAAAAUAUAUUCCUAGUCUUGCCUCUAAGACUAGCUCAAGUAUUGCAUGAUGAUCCUGUUUCCUGAUUAUGGGCAUGACUAUGCCGGCAAUUUUGAGGGCACAAGUUUGGUAGAACGCUUGUGUUGAAUCAACCCGGAUUGAUGUUGUGCUAUGAGAUACCUUCGUCACAAGUUUAUGGUUAAUAUCAUUGAGAUAGUUAAUGUUUGCAUAAUUCCUUAGACCAUGAGAGUAUCAAGUUCCUUCGUGCUUGCUUCGUGAACUUUGGGGUUUGUUAAACGUCAUCCGUAACUGGGUGGCUAUUACGGCAGCUUUCGGGUUCACGGAAAAGUAUAGGAAGUAACAAGAUAGCUCAAGAUUGGGAUUUGCUCCUCCGACGAUGGAGAGAUAUACUCGGGCCCUCUCGGUGUAACGGUAUCCAUCAUCGUCUGGCCAGACACAUUGUGAUUUGAUCACUAGGAUGCCGGAACACGGAAACGAGAAAAGAGAACAAAACCGGUAACGAGGUAACUUGCAUGGUGGACAAAUUGUUCGUCCAUGGGCAUGCAAUAAAUCUCACCUCGGGUGUUUGUGACAUAUCGCGAAGCAACAGGAAUAGCUCACUGCAACUGGAGGUUCACUCGAAUAUUCAUUCGUGUGGGUAUAGGGGUCAAUAUGGGUGUCCACGGCUCCGAUGUUGAUAAUUGAUCGGAAGGGGUUCCAGGUCAUGUCUAUACUUCACCGAACCUAUAGGGUCACACGCUUAGGGGUCAUCUAUCUGUUGAAUACUAGACAGGGAGUCUGAGAGAAAAUCACCGAAAAAGUUUCGGACACCGAAAAGUUUCGGACAGCGGAAUCGUACCGCAGAGAGAGGUCAUCGGAUAAGUUUCGAUGAUACCGAAAAGUUGUUUCGGGAUACACCAUUAAGUCAAAUUGGUUUCGGCACAUGCCUGAUAAUUCUUGGAGGAUGCCAGAAUCAUUCUGGAAGCUUUUUGGAAUUUUCUGACAUAAAAACCGGAAAUGUUCCGGAGCUGCCGGAGCCACUUCAGAUGCGUUUCGCAGAUGAAAAUCACUAAAACCGGAAUUGUUUCGGAACGCGUUGAAAAACAUUUUAGUGGGUACUGGAAAUGUUCUUAGCCCACAUAAAUAUUUUCAGUUCGAUCAGACGCUGAAAAAUGUCGUCGUGAAUAGUGAAAAUCAGCUUUAUGGUUACUUUAUGGAAAGCCACCUUUUGGGGCUUUGCUCCAAAAGAUCUUGGGGAUGACAUGGAUGGAUAGGACCCAUUUUUUGGGCCCCUCAUGGGGGUGUGGCCGGCCACAUGGGGUAUCCCCCCUUGGGGACCCUUUUGUUCAUUGGUUUCACUUCUAGGUCCUUGUGGAAGGACUUCAUUCAUGUGCAUUUUGGGUUUUUGUGUGAAACUACCCUACCCCUUGGGAUUUCCUAUAAAUAGAGGUGGAGGGGCAGCCCUCCACACUCAUCCCUUGCUCUCAUACACAUGCCAUGCAUUAUCUGGCUUCUUCUCUCCCUCCCACGAAAAGAGUUUUGUAGAGCCGUAAGGCUGUCUGGGUUCCGGCAGGAACUAGUUCUGGACGGCGAAGCCCUGCCGGAUAGCUGAAACCGUAUGUGUGCAACCCCGUAGAGAGAUUGUAGUUUCGACCUUUUGCCCGAGGGGCUGUUCGAGUGUCCUCCCGAAGGGCUGUCCGAGUCUCCGUCCGAGUUUCGAGGGUCCUCCCGAAGGGCUGUCCGCGACAUUGUCCGGGGGACUGUCCGACCGCCUCCCGAAGGGCUGUCCGGAGAGGGAGUACAUCCUCGCGGUUGGGAGGUUGUAAAUCCUAGCUGCGGGGAUCUGCACCGACGAUCUACACCGAUUCUUCUUCCGCUGCGCUUCGAGUCGGUACGGAUCAGAUCAAACCUUGUAUGCAGUCUCCAUAGUGGUCCUGGGCGUGCUCGCUAUACCGAAAAUUUUCGUUUUCUGUCGCGUUCCCCUACACUAUCGCAGCCGGUUAACUUGCGUUGUGUGUGAUGGACACCCUUUUCGCACACCUUCACACAGCGAUGCAUCAAAGGUACGUGAGCAAAAGGGGUUUUUAACCGUUUGUGUUGGACUUGCGUGCACUAGUGUGACAUGCGUUACUUAACCUAGCUUUUGUUUAGUUUAGUUAAAUUUCAAGUAGUUUUUUAUGUAACUUGUUAAAUUUUAUCAUAUAUGCAUAUAUGUAAUAUAUCGUACUAGGUUUAUUUUCAUUCGUAAUUCAUUUGAAAUGUGUUCCGAACCGGGGGGUGGUAGUUAAAUGCAGAAAAAACACCACAAUAGCCAUCUCAUUAGCAAAAACAACCACUUUACAAUUUGUGGCAAAAAGGACGACACGCAACAACGGACAGUGGCAAAAGAGCCGGUCGGGACCGGCUCUUUCAAAAUGUGGGGUCCCACUCACCCACUCACUCUCUCACUCACCAGCUCUCGCUCACACUCGACGCCGGUGCCGCUCCUGCUUGACGCUGCCACACAAUGCAUUCAUGGAAUGACGAAGAGGAGAGCAGCAAGGAUGCCCUCAAGUACAGCAGCAUGGAUAUGGAUUUGUGGGUAAGUUUCAGCGCUCAAUAACUAGACGUUUGGAUUAGGGUUAGUGUUUGGAUUUGGGGAUUUAGGGUUUGUGCUCGUUUCCAGCCUUAUUGAAAGGAUUUGUUAGUUAAUUUAGAUAUUGUCAAUGCAGGAGAACCCUGAGACCAUUGUGAAUUCAUUUUACUAUGGGACAGUGGCAUUUUCGGCCAUCAAAUCCAAGCUUUACCAGGCAAGAGCCAAAAAAUCUGUUGGUUUUGGUGACAGACACUAGGAGGAAACUUUAUGGCUGCACUGCACAAGUACUCCCUCCGUCCUAUAUUAAUUGAGCUAAAAUGGAUGUAUCUAGUACAUAUGGAUACUUUCAUUUCAACAACAAUUAAUAUGGGACGGGGCAGUAAUUUUAACUUGCCUUGCUGUUUCACCACUUUGCUCUGUAGCUGUUUGAUUUCGCUGUGUAGUUAUCUAUGUAGUGACGAGUCAUCUGAACUUAGUUGUAUCUUGUUCAUUUUGACUGGAUUAAACUUAGUCUUGCUGCUAUUAAAGGUUAGUCUGUAAUUUAGUAAAUCGAAAUUUAACUGAAUUUUGUUGUUCAAGUUCAGUAUGUAGUUUAGUGAAUCAGAAUUUAACGGAAUAUUGUUUUUCAAGUCCAGUCUGUAGCUUGCUGAAUAUGUAUUGUACUGAUUGUUGUUACUCAAGUUCAGUAUGUAGUUAAGUCAAUCUAAAUUGUAGUGUCAUCAUGUAGUAAAAUAGGUAGUAUAUGUGAAAGAAAUAGGCUUGAUUUAUUGUUGUGUAGUUUUGGAAACAAUAAAUUUUGAGAUACUUUUGUCUGUCUGAACAAUAUGUCACUAGUAGAAAACAGGGCUUUGGUUCGGCUAGAAAAGAGCAUUAAUCCCGGUUGCAUUACGAACCGGGACUAAUGUGAGCAUUAGUCCCGGUUCGAGUGGCUAGGGCACCGUACAAGCAUUAGUCCCGGUUCAAAUGGGACCUUUAGUCCCGGUUGGUGCCACGAACCGGGACUAAAGGGUGCGAUGCCCAUUAGUACCGGUUCGUGGCACCAACCGGUACUAAAGGUUAGACCUUUAGUCCCGGUUCGAGCCACCAACCGGUACUAAUGGGGUUUGAGGCAUUAGUACCUGUUCAUGGCACGAACCGGUACUAAAGGUCCCAUUGUCAAACUCUACCCCCACCCUGGAUCGCCUUUUCAGUUUUGUAAAAAGCAAAGAAAAUGAUAAAAACUUCAAAAAUUAAAAUCCUUCCAGAUGUAUAGUUAUGUUACUACAUGUACUAGUUAGGAAAAUUUAAAAACUUAAAUUUGGACAUGUUUUGCAAAAAGUGUAGGAAAAAUGUAAAACGGCUAUAACUUUUGCAUACGAUGUUAGAAAAAAAGUAUAAUAUAUCAAAAUGUUCAGCACGAAAAUCCGAAUCCGAUUUUGACCGCAUAUGACCCGUUUGCAAAUGUUUAGAAUCCUCAAAUUCUAAAAGGAAAAAAAGUUAUGCUCAAAUUUCUGUUUUUUUUAAUUUUUGUUAAAUCUGGUCAAACUACUUAUUCAAGAAGUAUUAAUGUUACUAAAUAAAUAUUCAAGAAUAUUAGUGUUACUAAAUAAUUAUUUCAGUUUUUUUGAAUUUUCGUCAAAUCUGGUCAAACUAUGGUCAAACUAAUUAUUCAAGAAAUAUUAGUGUUACUAAAUAAUUAUUUCGGUUGUUUUGAAUUUUGGUCAAAUCUGGUCAAACUGUGGUCAAACUGUGGUCGAACUAUGGUCAAACUACUUAUUCAAGAAAUAUUAGUGUUACUAAAUAAUUAUUGUUUUUUAGAACAAUAGUUUCAAACUCAAACAGUGAAAUGUGUGACUUCAUGCUCAAGCUAAGUUCCUGGGGGUUAAUAGGAUUGACAUCUUACUAUUGUCAGGAAAACAACAAGUGCAGACUUGGAAACGAGGGAGAAUAGAACCCGGAAGUUAAGCGUGCUCAGGCUGGAGUAGUGAGAGGAUGGGUGACCGUCCGGGAAGUUAGAUGAUUUGGAAUGAUGAGGGGUGAUUAGGGGUGACAAGUUUUUGAUUACUUGUCCGGUAAGUAUACGAAUUAGAAACCGAGUCGGUUUGGGAUUGUGGUCGCGACACAAUACCGCCUCUGGUCCUAAUAUAUAUACAGCUACCGGCUGCGGCCAGAGACACACCGAAAAACACCUAGGGUUUUGCCUCAUCUCACAACCUGCGCCGCCAUUGUAGUCUACUCCAUCCCAAACGCCGGCGUGCAUCGACGCGUGGGAGAGCAGGUCUCCGGAACCGUUCGUCUUUGCGAUCCUGCACCGGGAGAGGACGAAUUAGGUUUAUGGGAAGCGUUGUGCGCGACUGCUCAAAUUCGUCAUCACGGGUCGUCUUCCGUCCAAGUCGGGCGGUGCUACUCAUCGUCGUAUUCAUCGCCGUCAGCAGCAGAUCGUCACCAACAUCGUCAUCAACACUGUCACACCCUUAAUAGCUAACGAUCAGUACGUCCGACAUCCUCUGUUCAUGUCUGCUUCUACAGCUAUUGUUACGUGUUUGCUGCUGUUAUGCAUGUCUUGCUGUUCUUCUAGUUUGCUAGAUUAUUGCAUGCUAGUAUCUCUUCUAGUCAUGAAUUAUUUACUGGAAUCAAUCAUGAACUUGCCUAAUAUUCCAACAAUCCAAAAACCUAAUUAUAGGCAAUUUCCUGAGUUAACUAUGGCUGGAUUCGCUGAUGCACUGAGGCCGGAUAAGUUUACCGGUGUGCACUUUAAGAGGUGGCAGUUGAAGACCACGCUCUGGCUUACUGGUCUGAAAGUUUUCCACGCUAGUGUUGGUGCUCCAGAGGGAAUGACCGACGAAGAUCGGAGAAAAUUCCAGGAAGCCAAUACUAUGUUUGUGGGAUGCAUUCUGAGUGUUCUUGCUGACUGUCUGUGUGAUGUGUACAUGCACAUAAAUGACGGAAAGAUUCUGUGGGAUGCACUGAAUGCAAAAUUCGGUGCAACAGAUGCAGGCAGUGAACUGUACAUCAUGGAGAGUUUUCAUGACUACAAGAUGGUGAAUAACCGUUCUGUGGUUGAACAAGCUCAUGAGAUACAGUGCAUUGUGAAGGAACUUGAACUCCUUAAAUGUGUUCUACCUGACAAAUUCGUGGCUGGGCGCAUGAUUGCAAAGUUGCCUCCUUCAUGGAGGAAUUUCGCCACAACUCUGAAGCAUAAGAGACAGGAGAUAUCAGUUGAAAAUCUGAUUGCAUCUCUUGAUGUUGAAGAAAAAGCUCGGGCUAAAGAUACUACUGAAAAAGGAGGUGAGGUUCAGCCUACUGCUAACAUGGUGCAGAGGUACCCACAGAACAAGAACAAAGGGAAGAACAAACCUGUUUUCAACAAGCCUACCAAGACUACUACCUUCAAGAAGAAGAAGUUCAACAAGGCUGAGCUAGAGUGCUACGCCUGUGGGAAGCCUGGACACUUUUCCAAGGAAUGCCCUGAACAUGCAGACCGCAGAGGGAAAAUAAGCUCCAAGACUGUCAACAUGGUGACCGCUAGCAAUACUGAUGGGUAUGGUAAUUUACCUAUUGUGCUUUCAGUAUUUCAAUCAUCUUCGUGGUGGAUUGAUUCGGGUGCUAACGUUCAUGUGUGUGCUGACAUCUCCCUAUUUACUUCUUAUCAGGUCGCAAGGGAUUCUUCCGUCCUAAUGGGGAAUGGGUCACAUGCUUCGGGAAAGAUCGUGCAACUAAGGAACGUGCAGCAUGUCCCUACUAUGAACAAGAAUCUAGUUAGCGUCUCCCUUCUAUGUCGAGAUGGAUUUAAGGUAGUUUUAGAGUCCAAUAAAGUAAUCGUGUCAAGAUUUGGACAAUUUAUAGGAAAAGGCUACGAGUGUGGAGGCUUGUUCCGCUUUUCUCUUUCAGAUUUUUGCAAUAAGUCAAUAAACCAAAUUUGUGCUAGUGAUAAUGAUGAUGCAAGUAUUUGGCACUCUCGUUUAUGUCAUAUUAAUUUUGGUUUAAUGUCUCGGCUAUCCAGCAUGAGUUUAAUUCCGAACUUCAGAGUUGCCAAAGGUUCUAAGUGCCAUAGUUGUGUGCAAUCUAUGCAACCUCGAAAGCCUCAUAAGGCCGCCGAGGAGAGAAACUUGGCACCUCAAGAACUCAUACAUUCUGAUCUUUGUGAGAUGAAUGGUGUGUUGACAAAAGGUGGAAAGAGAUAUUUCAUGACUUUGAUUGAUGAUGCGACUAGAUUUUGCUAUGUUUAUUUGUUGCAAACUAAAGAUGAAGCAUUAGACUACUUUAAAAUCUAUAAAGCUGAAGUUGAAAAUCAACUAGAGAGAAAGAUCAAGCGUCUUAGGUCCGAUCAUGGUGGAGAGUAUUUUCCAAAAGUUUUUGAUGAAUUUUGUGAGGAACAUGGUAUUAUUCAUGAGAGGACGCCUCCCUAUUCACCUCAAUCAAAUGGAGUGGCCGAGAGGAAAAACCGCACAUUGACUAACUUGGUGAAUGCCAUGUUAGACACUGCUGGUUUAUCUAAGGCAUGGUGGGGGGAGGCUCUAUUGACUUCAUGUCAUGUCCUGAAUAGAGUUCCCAACAAUAAUAAGGAGAAAACCCCUUAUGAGGAGUGGGUUGGGAGAAAACCAUCACUUUCUUAUUUGCGCACUUGGGGAUGUUUGGCAAAGGUCAAUAUUCCUAUUCCUAAGAAACGCAAACUUGGACCAAAGACAGUGGAUUGUGUCUUUCUAGGGUAUGCUCAACGGAGCAUUGCUUAUAGGGUUUUAGUGGUAAAAUCUGAAGUUCCUGAUAUGCAUGUUGAUACUAUAAUGGAAUCUCGUGAUGCAACAUUUUUUGAGAACAUAUUUCCUAUGAAAGAUAUGCAUAGCAUUGCUAGAUUUUCUUCUGAGAUAAUUCCUGUAUCUAGUACAACUGAUGAAUAUUUCGAACAAUCACAUGAGGAAGUCCUUGAGAAGGAUAACAAUGAAGUUCCUAGAAGGAACAAGAGACAAAGGAUUGCAAAAUCCUUUGGUGAUGAUUUCAUUGUAUACCUUGUGGACGACACACCCAAGACGAUUGCAGAAGCAUAUGCAUCUCCGGAUGUAGAUGAUUGGAAAGAAGCUGUUCAUAAUGAGAUGGACUCAAUUAUUUCUAAUGGAACUUGGGAACUAACUGAUAGACCAUAUGGUUGUAAACCUGUGGGCUGUAAGUGGGUGUUCAAAAAGAAGCUCAAGCCUGAUGGUACUAUUGAUAAGUACAAGGCGCGGCUAGUGGCCAAGGGCUACACUCAGAAAGAAGGCGAAGAUUACUUUGACACCUAUUCACCCGUUGCUAGAAUGACCACCAUUCGAGUGUUACUUUCCUUGGCUGCCUCUUAUGGUCUUAUCAUUCAUCAAAUGGAUGUAAAGACAGCUUUUCUCAAUGGAGAGUUGGAAGAGGAGAUCUAUAUGGAUCAGCCUGACGGGUUUGUGGUUAAGGGUGAAGAGAGAAAGGUGUGCAAGUUGUUAAAAUCUUUGUAUGGUCUGAAACAGGCACCUAAGCAAUGGCAUGAGAAGUUUGAAAGAACUCUGACUUCUGCAGGAUUUGUCAUUAACGAGGCUGAUAGGUGUGUUUACUAUCGCCAUGGUGGGGGCAAUAGUGUCAUAUUAUGUUUGUAUGUGGACGACAUACUGAUCUUUGGUACAAACAUUAAUGCAAUUAAUGAGGUCAAGUCUUUUCUAUCAAAAAGUUUUGACAUGAAAGAUCUGGGAGAAGCCGAUGUAAUUCUAAACAUCAAACUUAUUAAGGAUGAGAGUGGGAUUACAUUAACGCAAUCUCACUAUGUUGAGAAGGUCUUGAACCGAUUCGGUUUUAUGGAUAGCAAGCCUUCUCCAACACCUUAUGAUCCCAGCGUGACACUCAGAAAGAACAAGAAAGAAACGAGAGAUCAAUUAAGAUACUCUCAAAUUGUCGGUUCACUCAUGUACUUAGCUAGCGCUACAAGACCAGAUAUCUCUUUUGCUGUGAGCAAACUGAGUAGGUUCAUGUCCAACCCGGGUGAUGAUCAUUGGCAUGCACUAGAAAGGGUCUUACGCUAUCUGAGAGGUACUAUGAGUUACGGAAUUACUUAUUCAGGGCAUCCUGCUGUGCUAGAAGGAUAUAGUGAUUCAAAUUGGAUCUCCGAUGUUGAUGUACUUUACGCAACAAGUGGGUAUGUAUUUACUCAUGGUGGUGGCGCAGUGUCAUGGAGGUCUUGCAAGCAAACCAUAUUGACGAGGUCAACUAUGGAAGCAGAAUUAACUGCUUUGGACACAGCUACUGUUGAGGCAGAAUGGCUGCGUGAGCUCUUGAUGGACUUGCCGAUUGUUGAAAAACCUGUACCGGCUAUUCUUAUGAAUUGUGAUAACCAAACGGUUAUCGCUAAAGUGAACAAUUCUAAAGAUAAUGCAAAGUCAUCAAGACACGUGAAAAGACGUUUGAAGUCUGUCAGGAAGUUGAGAAACUCCGGAGUAAUAACUGUUACAUAUAUACAAACAGACAAAAACCUGGCAGAUCCCUUUACAAAGGGACUAUCACGAAAUGUGAUAGAUAUUGCAUCGAGGGAGAUGGGUAUGAGACCCAUAGAUGUUACACCAUAGUACUAACCCAACCUUUGUGAUCGGAGAUCCCGUGAAUUAGGAUCUGGGAAGAACAAGCUAUUGGUUAACUGAGGAGAGUAAUAACUUAUGAUCGUCUCCAAGUGAAGAUGCAAAACUCUCAGAGCUGUAAAGCUCAGAUCUGUAAGGCAGGUUGGCAACAUGCCUUAAUGUGGUUCUAUUGGCUAUAAUUAGCAAAGAUGCUGUCCUACAGAGCAGUCUUGAAAGAACACACCUAUAUGAGUUCUGACUGUAAACGUCGCAGUCUAUGAGAUUUGGGUGAUCUCUAGUAAGCUCACGAAGAGACAAGGGAGUAUGACGUAUAAGCUCCAAACCGCGGGGUAGCCUACUGACGUAUAAGCUUCCUUUUGCCGUUUUAUUUUUAUGUCUUGGCAUACAAGUUUUUUAUUACUUGUCCGGUAAGUAUACGAAUUAGAAACCGAGUCGGUUUGGGAUUGUGGUCGCGACACAAUACCGCCUCUGGUCCUAAUAUAUAUACAGCUACCGGCUGCGGCCAGAGACACACCGAAAAACACCUAGGGUUUUGCCUCAUCUCACAACUUGCGCCGCCAUCGUAGUCUACUCCAUCCCAACGCCGGCGUGCAUCGGCGCGUGGGAGAGCAGGUCUCCGGAACCGUUCGUCUUUGCGAUCCUGCACCGGGAGAGGACGAAUUAGGUUUUUGGGAAGCGCUGUGCGCGACUGCUCAAAUUCGUCAUCACGGGUCGUCUUCCGUCCAAGUCGGGCGGUGCUACUCAUCGUCGUAUUCAUCGCCGUCAGCAGCAGAUCAUCGCCAAUAUCGUCAUCAACACUGUCGCACCCAUAUAGCUAACGAUCAUUACGUCCGACAUCCUCUGUUCAUGUCUGCUUCUACAGCUAUUGUUACGUGUUUGUUGUUGUUAUGCAUGUCUUGCUGUUCUUCUAGUUUGCUAGAUUAUUGCAUGCUAGUAUCUCUUCUAGUCAUGAAUUAUUUACUGGAAUUAAUCAUGAACUUGCCUAAUAUUCCCACAGACGCAAUAAUUGUUUUCGGGAUUUUGAAUAAAUCAGAAAAUGAUUUGUUUAAUUCCGAAAAUACUCCAAAAUUUGGAAAAUCAUGGAAAAUAAUCUGUAACUCAGAUGGAGAUAAUUUAUAUAUGAAAAAUUAUCAGGAAAAUAUGAAGAAUCUAUUUAUAGCAUUUUCAUGUAUGUUUGAACAAGUUAAGUUUUCUGUAUAAGACAAUUUGAAUAAAUGUCAUUUUAAAUUCUUAUGUGGAGUUUGAAUUUGAACCUUUGGUUCAAACCAACUUUAUUUAAAUUGUUGCUAGUUGCAUUAGUCCAAACACCAGCAUGCCAUGUCAUGAUCAUGCAUCAUACUGCUGCAUUGCAUUGAUUGUGUUCCCUCUCUGUUGCCGGUGUUUGUUCCUUCUCGAUAGAAGACGAUUCGGACGUUGUGAUCAUUGACACCGAUGAAGAGCUACUAUCUUCAAAGUGUCAGGCAAGCAAAUCCCCUUUGAGCAUUCUGAUACAAUCCCACUCUCUAACUCUUGCUCUCUUUUACUGCAUUAGGACAACAAUGAUUCAACUGUUACAUGUUGUGGUAGUUGAACCCAUUCCUCUGCAUGAUCUGUCUUUGCCACAGUAAAUAGUAAAACCCACUAGCAUGAGUAGGAGUAUUUUGAGCCAUGAUGUGCCUACUCAUUCAUGCUUGCUUGUUAUACCUGCUAUGCUUAGAGUUGUGUCAGGUUUGAUUCAUCUGGGUUGGCUUGGAAUGGUGAUGAACAUGUCCUACUGCUGAGCUCUAAGUGUGUGAACACGAUUUGGUAAAGGUAGCGAUGAGAGGCAAUGUAGGAGUACAUGGUGGGUUGUCUCGUUGAAAUCGUCCUUAGGAACUGAGUUCCGUGUUUGUGAUCCAAGACAGUUACUACCACACAUCGGGUUUCGAUAACUUGACCCCUCUCGACUUACUAAUCGCCUUGAUCUCUAUCUAGGAGUUGUAACUAGUUUCUGGUGUUUGUAGGAUGUGCUGGGGGCUGUACCUAGCGCUGACCGGAGGGGUAGGCUUUGUUACGGUAGGCACCAUGGCACGGUGUAUCAAGCGCAGUACUAUUGGUCGAGGUGGACAUGGGAAUCCUGCACACAUCGUUUGACGCCGUGAUGGAAACUUCGGCCGAACAUCCGUUACGGGUCAGUUCUCAGAUAGGCGAUAAACCUAGACUAGAGUCUUGCGUGGUUAGUCAGGUUGUGGCUGACACCCUCGCUAGGCUUCCGCUUGAAGGUUUCCGAGAUACAUGACGUGUAUAUGGUGUUAAGUGGUGAGAGCGUGUGUGAAGAAAUACACCCCUGCAGGGUAAUAUAAUCUAUUCGGAUAGCCGCGUCCUCGGAUAUGGACUACUUGGAAAGCUUGUAUGGUCCAUAGAUAACCUGAAGUGGAUACUCUAAAUGCGCAAAAUAAGUGUGAGUGCUAUGGAUGGCCUUCUCAUGGGGAGACGGGAGCGGAUCCAUAGUGGUGUAUUGAUAUGGUGAAUAUGUGGACUCACGUGCGCUUUCUCACCUCAAAGAAGUUAUUGGUAGUCAUAGUACAUGAAAGCCACUGAGUCAAAGCUGGCUUGCUGUAGUUAAACUCCACAACCCCAUUGUUGAUACUGAUGCAUAAGUAGAUAGUUCUGAUGUAAGUCUUGCUGAGUACAUUUGUACUCACGUUUGCUUAAUUGAUGUUUUUGCAGAGGAGAUUUCAAUCUCGCUAGUAGUUUCACAUGGGCUUUGACGGUUAGCUUGGGAAUCCCAGACAGAGGUAUGGCUCCUAUGGAGGGUAUUGUAGACAGACAUGCUUCCUAGCCUUCUUUCUUUUCAGCUGUCUAUAUUCAGACAGGUUUAUGCUUCCGCUUGUUGCUUGUAUGACUUUGUAUGUUGGGUCAUGAGACCAAUGUUCGUAAUAUCAUGUUAUGUGUGGCUCUUCAGAGCCUCUUAAAUAAAUACUUGAGUCGUAGAGUUAUAUUGUGACGACAUGUUGUAUCCACACAUAUUUGCAUGUUCUACAUACAUAUGAUGUGUGUUGCAAUGUGUUGGGUCACGAUAAAUCUUCUAUUGGAUUGCUUGAAUCUUUUGAUCUUUUGGUCCAACAAAAUUAUACUGUAAUAAUUAGGUCCAACAGAACAAAUCAGAAAACUUUGCUUGUACCAGACAUGGUUAGGUCCAAUAGAACAAAUGAAUCAUCUCUUCUUGGAGGAUUGUUUAAUUUAUCUUAGAUGUACCAAAAAUGAUCAUUGUGUUGGUCACCAGGAAGCAUCACAAGAUAAUUUAACAUCCAACAUGAAAGAACAUAGAUCUCAAUUCAAACAUCAUGCAAUAACUAACAGACUUCUCAAGUGUAAAUGGAAUCAUCACCACUAUAGCAGCUAUAUUUUGAACACCACGGAAACUCCAAUUUGAAACUGCAUCCUCAUUAAUAGAAACUGGAAAUUAGCUUGUCUAGUUCCAGUUUGAUUUGUUCAUCAACUAAAGAGUUAUAGUUUAAAUGACAAAUUUCACAUCCAAACUACAUAUCACAUCACAAAUUUAGGGUAAUUCAUACAUAGUAUAAAUAUAGGUAGCAUAGUACAGAAGAUCAGUUCCCAUCAAUCAAAUAUAGCAAUAGUCUUUGCAACAAAAUAUAUAAUAUAGACUUUCUUCUUGAGCUCAGCCACUUAGAUCAAUGACAUCAUCCUCUUCAAAAUUCCCUUUGAUAUUUUUCGGCUUGCCCUUGUGAAUUUCCCCAAUUUUAAGAAGCUCAGCUAUGACAUACUCUACCUUCUUAAUAUCUUUCCGGAUAACAUCCAUGUCCUUCAUCAUAGUCUCGAGCUCAUAUAUGUCCUUCUUCAGAACAUCCCUCUUCUUCAUCACAUCAUCCGAAGGGAAAGCUAGCUCCUUCCUAUCCUUUUUUAGGUCAAGGGUCUCCCUCAUGAUCAGAACCAUCUCCUUCUUGAGCCCAUCUUUGUCCACUUUCAGCUUAUCAUUAUCCUUCCUAGUGUUCUUGGUCACUUCUCGCUGAACAACAUGAAUGGCCUUGAGAUCACUGAUUACAUACUGCUUGUUCUCUAGCUGCUUCUGCAGGUCUAUAGAGUCCUCUGACAUCAUUUUUGGUAAUUCUCUUGCCACACCUUUUGGCAUUGCCUGACCCAGUGCUUGUUCCCAUCACUAGCAAACUCAGUGAAUUGGAAGUCCAACUACUUAAUCUUAUCUUUGAGAUUGAGCACUUCCUCUGCAGGAUCAAGCCCUUCCUGGGUUCUAGCAACCAUACACUUUUCAUAUUUUUUCCAGAGCAUGUGAAGUGCCUUUUUCAGGGCUUCGGGCCAGUCCUUCACUACUAGGGAAAACCUUAUACACAGAGGUAUAGCAGUAGCGCUGGUCAAAACAUGGCGCUAUUGCUACUUAUUAGUUGCGCUUGUUACAAAAGCACGCUACAACCAUUGUUGUAGCAGUAGCGCGUCUGCCCGGAAAAGCGCUACUACUAUAAUUCCCUCGUUGGUGCCGGUAGGCUAGGAAUAGUAGUGGCGGUUCUUCCAGAAGCACGCUACUGCUAAAAACUUUGUAGCAGCGCAUUUAUGCUGUAGAGCGCUACUGCUAUGAAAAGGAAAAUAAAUAGAAAAAUAAGUAGAAAAGUAAAUGAAAAUGAAAGAAAUAGAAAAAGGAGAAAUGAAAAAAAGAAAAUGUAAAGAAAACAAAAGAAAAAGAAAAAGAAAACAGAAAGGAAUAGCUGUAGCGCGUUUCGCUGGAAAACGCUAUAGCUAACUUAGCUAUAGCGUGUUUCGGUAAAACGCACUACUGCUAGUUUGACUUAACCCCCAGCCGCGCGGGCUCAAAAUUUUGCUAAGUCCUUCCCCCUCCACUCCCCCCUCUCCCCCAACUGCUCCAUCGCCGUUGUCGCCCUGCCGCCUUCAACCACACCGCCGCCACCCAAGGCCGUCUUCGACCACACCGCCGCCGCCCGAGGCCGCCCUCGACUUCACCGCCGCCGCCCGAGCCAGAGCCUGCCCUCGCCGUCGACCGUAAAGCUCUGCCUCUCCUUUCCCCUACCCUCCUAUCUCUCUUUGCUAGGGUAAUUCAUAUAUAUGUUGACGUUGUGUUGAUGUUCAUAUGAACCCUAGGUGUUCAUAUGAACCCUAGAUUUGUUGAGGGCAGUAGGCAUUUUUUGGCAUUUAGGAAAAAUGAUUGGCAAUUUUUUUAGGAAAUUAGCUAGGGAAAUUUUUUAUGAAAAUGCCUAAACAGUAAUUCCAUUUAGCUUUCAAUUAAUAGAGGGUAUGUAAAUAAUAGUAGCAUUUUGAUUAGAUUAAUAGACGCUAUAAACAAAAAACACUUAGAUAUAAAAAUUUAUUUGGACUAUGGACUUGAAUCUGUUCCAAAUUUCAUUCAAAUGAAAUUUGAAUUAUUUGGACUAUGGACCUGAAUCUGUUCCAAAUUUCAUUCAAAUGAAAUUUGAAUUAUUUGGACUAUGGACCUGAAUAUUUCUGAAGAAAUUGGGUGUAGGUACUAAGCUCUUGCUGCGGAAUUUUUGGUGAGGUCAGAAGGGUUAGAGAAAAUGGAGUUCCUAGACUUUUAGCUUUAGACAAAAAACAAAAGUAUUUAGCUAUAAAUAAAAAACAGUAGCUAUGGCAUUUAGCUAUAAACAAAAAACAGAAUUGUUUUUCUUUUCAAAAACUUGGUUAAACUAAUCGUUGCUAUGUAAACAAAAAACAAGAUUUUUGUUAUAUCAUAUAUGUCAUUGAUGUUCAUUUGCACAUUCCAUUAUUGUUGAUUAUAUCUUUUCAUUGAAGUGGCUAUGUUAUAUGCAAAUUCCUCAAUAGUGUUUGCUCAUGUUAUAUCUUUUCAUUGAAGUGGUUCGAUUGUGCCCAAAGUGGCUUCGUUGUUUCCAGGGAAUGAAGCCGAGUGGCCUAUGUUUUUCCGGAAUGUUGAUUCGUUUCCGUUCCGGCAAAUUUCAGGCUCUCGAUUUGUCCACUUUUUAGCAAAAGUCAUGCCGAAAUUUUCCGUGAAUUUCGGCAUGACUUGUGCUACAAACUAGGACAUAUCGAGUGCCCGGGAUUUGCCGCACAGGGAAGGAGUCAACGUUCCUGCAGAGCAUAGACCUUUUUUUAUGUCAUUAUUCAUUUUAUUAGGUCUAGAAUUAAUUGACUAAAUUUAAUCGUAGGAAACAUGGCUAGCAACGAUGAAGGACAGGGUUCUGGUGACUGCGACAACGUCUACCUGGCAGCAGAAGAAUUUUUUAUGGAAGAUGACGAUCAAGAGUUGAUGUUGCUGGGUCCACCUGUCACAUCAGAGAUUGAGACCGACAUCGAGACCGGCGCUGAGAUAGAGACUGGCACUGAGAGUGAGACCGGCAUCGAGACCGGCACUGAGACUGAGACCGGCGCCGAGACCGGCGCCGAGACUAGCGGAGCCGGUAUAGACCCGAAAGCAAAGAGGCAACUGCUUCCUAACAAGCUCAGGUCUAAUAGACUGGUGGUCACGGAGGUGGACGACGGCAAUUUUGAACCAAACGCGCCCUAGGAAGCGCGCGCGUGCUACGACAAUCAAAUAGGAUGCAUCAUACGGACAACCGCCACCAUCAAAGAUGAGAAACUAAAGAAGAUAGAUAAUAUGAGGCCCUCCCUCCUAAAGAAGUUGCACCUGAUAUUCUUGUUCCCGGGCCGGAAUGAAAAGGAUUAUAAAGAUCCAGAUAAGGACCUGGCAAUGAAGAAGAAAAACAAACACGUCAUGACCAAGUUUAGCGACGCGUUGGCCGCCUGGAAAUCAAGGGUGAAAUAUCGGAUCGUUGACAAAAAGGAACCCUACUCCGAGAUUGUAAAGGAUAAUCCGACAACCAUGGUAGAGCACUUUCAAAUAUUCAAGGCAGCUUGCGAGGCCGAAGCUGCCAAAAAAUAGUCGAAGUACAUGAAGGGGCUUCAAUAGAGGAACAUUGGGUGCCCCCACCUCGGAAGUCGUGGUUACGGCAGGAAGAGGUCCAUAUGGGCCAUGGAGGACGCGGAAGCCGCGAGUCCGGGCAUCCCAGACCCCUUGGCGGAGUUCACCGUCCCGCAGGAGCGUGACAUCCUCAGGGCCCGGCACCGUUGGGAUCCAAUGAAGAAGGUUUUCGAGACGAACGCGGUCACGGCGGAGUUCAUGUGACUGCUGGCAAUUUUAGUUUCUGAUCAAUUCGACUGCACGUUAGUCAUAUUUAUAAACGAUCCUUGUGCCAUUUGCAGAGAGAGCAGCGCAGGAUUGCGGCCGAAAGCGACUCGCCGUCUGAGGCGUUGGCGAGGCCCAAGUGGGACACUCCAUUCAACCGGGCGUUGAACAUAUUGAAAGGACUCCCGGUGGAGACUCGACUGUCGUAUGGACGCGUGCACGGUGUCGGAGAUGGCGCCACGUGGAAGAAGUACUACCGUGAGACCACGGAGGAGAGAAAGGAAAGACGGAGGUUAACUGAAGAAAACAUUGACAAGAAGGUUGAGAUUGCGGUUGAGAAGAAAUCAUCUAAGACAGUCGCAAUAGCGGUAGCUGCCGCAAAACAGGUGCUUGUACAUAUGUCUACUACCUUGGUUCCGGCCGUUUUCAAUUGGAGCAGGCAAAAUCUAGAAAAAAAUGCAGCGGAGUUUCCCCUUGCUGACUUCUUUGGGAGCAGCUCGACUAGCGUUGCACCAGCACCUGCAGCUGCACAUGCUCCCGCACCGGCUCCCGCACCGGCUCGUGCACCUGCUCCCGCACCGGCUCCCGAACCUGCUCCAGCACCGGCUCCGGCACCGGACGUGCUCGGCGGUGCUUCGUCUUUGGCUGAGCUCGACGCCCUCACGGUGUCUGUCACACCGGCCCCCAUCAAUAAAUGUAUUAUCUCCCGUUUUCGUUGCCUUUCGGAUGUCUCACGUCACAGACUUUUCUUUGCAGGCCGACGAAACCCCGUGCACCAUAUUGUACACCAUCGGCGACAAGAAGGUGGACGUGGGGAAGGCGACGAUAAUGGAGCCGAAGGAACCAUUGUUCCACAGCGGCUGAUCCCCCAGGACGUCUUCAAGGUUUCCGUGGCCAGUGUCAAACCGGGCCACGAGAAUUUGACUCCUCUGGUACUAGUGGGGGAUGACAACGAGACCCCACGGCGGCUUGGUAAUUGUUGCAAUGGGUGGGUCCUGUUGUGGCCAAAGAGUCUGCUUCGUCUGGAGGUGGCCGGGAGCACACCCACGAGCACACAGUUAGGUAUGAACAUCAACACCUCACCUACCCAAUUAGCGUCGGCUGUCGUGCUAGGUGAUAGCGGAGGGGGUGAGGAAGAGGCUCCAUUAGUCACUGGUGAUGUCGCCAUAGAUGAGGAUGAGGAUGACGAUGACACUCAACAGUAUGUCAAUACUGGUGCCUACUUAGGGUUUGAGCGUCAUGAGUCGGUGCCUGAAUUGCCGCCUCCGAAGUCUGAACGUAUUAUGGACAACCUUCCGGUAGUAAAGAAGUCUAGGAAGAGACCGAGGAAAGGCAAAAAAGCUGCUUCUAUGAUCCAGCCGCCUCAGCAGCCUCGGGUUCAAGACUGUAUAGAUAUCCCCGGUGCGGCAAAAUGGCAUAUCCAUGGUCAACCAAUCCUACCUAAAGCAGCGCUAGGGGCUAGAUUCGGCGAUUUAAGGAGACUUCAUGACGAUGUGCUGCGGAUAGAGAAAUGGCUCAUCGCCUCAAAAAAUCCAGGAUACCCACUCUACAUGGUUAACGUGCCGCGGCAAUUCUCGUACGUCGACACAUUCCCCGCGGAGAAGUUCUUCCUUCGAUUCGAUUACAUCUUCGACAUGUUUCACUUAAAGAAACUGGAUUUUACGUUUGUCCGCCUUUAUGUCUUGCACAUGAACUACCUCAUCAGGGUUGAGCAGAUACCUCAUAUCUGUGUCGCUAGCCCGUACUUCAUGCAUGAGGGCUUCUUGGGAGUCUGCGCAGAGCACCGUGAAUAAGCAAGGGAAUACAUCGCCAAUUUCAUGCUCACCAUAAGGACAAGGAGGCGAUUCUCGUGCCUUAUCAUCCCCUGUAAGUCAUCUGCGCGGAUAUCCUUCCUUUGAUUUCAAUCAUUCAUUUGCACAGUGGAGGCUAAUUAAUUUGAGGUGUACUUAUUUUUCGCAGCGGCGGGCGCGCCGUCCUCAUCAUCCUCUACCCCCGAUACUCCCACGCUCUUUACUUGGACUCGUCGAAGAACAUUAACAAAAAGGAUUACACCCACAUGAAGUCUGUUCUCGACAGUGCUAUGUUUUACUACGGCGCACGGGGUGGAGAGGUCAAGGACAAGAAGAAAAGGGACGGCAGGCCCGCCUUUGGCCAUAAGACCGACUUCUGCUGCAUCCACCAACCGAGUUAUUCUCUUAAUGAUGGAUUCUAUGUCCUACACCACAUGCUGGAGUACAGACGGGAUCACCAGAACCUUCGCAUGUCACCUAGAUCCGGCGAUGCCCAUAUUCUGCAAUGGGCAAAGAACUUAGGAGAUAUCGAGGAUCAUCGACUUCGAGCUGAGUUCUAUCACAUCCAGCGCAAACUUGCCCAAAUCAUCAUGAAGGAGGUCGUCGAAAAAACAGGGAUUUUCUAUGAAGAAGGACAAAUGUCGCGGGAAGACGUCCGAACACGCGUAGCGGCUCAGCUUCUCGACCUGAAGCCUUUCACUAAGCUUGGGGACUAUCUCCCUGACUUGGAUGCAUGGCACGACAUGUUGGAGUGAUUGUCGAUAUAUGACAAUGUGUCUGUUUAGUCCAUACUAUCUGUAUCACGAAACUCUGAGUUAUGCAUGACGAAACUUUAUUUGUUAUGUAAUUAAACCGUCCUCCUCGACUAGUGAAGAUCACUCUAGUUAGGGCUUUUUGGGUACGAUGAAUUUUGUUAUAUAUGCUUAUGGUAUGUUGCUUCUAUUUUUGCCAAGUCUGUCUCUUUCUGUUGCUCAACUAUAUAUGUUGCAUAUCAUCGACUCAUGUGACGAUGCAGGUGUAUAGAUCAUCGAUGGCGAAGAAGUGCUACGCCAGGAGUAUACGACGAGUGGCCGGAAUGUCAGGCCCAGGUGUACCGGUUUCCGGUUUCCGAGCGACAGCCAGUAGUUAGUUUAGGUUCACGCUAAUGCGAGAGAGGGAUACGAACUCAUGUACUGCAUAGUUCCGCUCUCACUCAAAGUGAUAGCUCUUCUCGCGUAUAUCAUUGUUUAGAUGGAUGACGACGUAGUUGCAAGUAAUCGAGACUUGUAUCGCUAUUUUUGAGAUGAUGACGAGAGACCACUUGUUGUUGGAUGAUGAUUAUGAUGAUGGCAUGAUUUGAUGAGACUAUUUGUAUGUAUAUGCUAUGAUUACAUUUGUAUGUGUAUGAUAUGCUAAAGAUUAUUGUAUAAAGCCUAUUCAAAUACAAAACAAAUAUGCAUAAAAAAAUAAAAACUAAUAAAACUAGCAGUAGCGAGGGGAACAAAGUUAGCAGUAGCGCUCCCUUACCAGUAGCGCUUCGUGCUAAAAAGCGCUGCAGAUAUUAGCAGCAGCGCUCUGCACUAAAGCGCGCUACUGCUAGCCAUGUAUAGCAGUAGCAUGGGAUGACAGGUGCUACUGCUACACGUUAGCUGUAGCGCCUUAUCAGUAGCACGUCGUCCCGAGCUACUGAUAGGCAAAAUACCCGCGCUACUGCUAGGGUUUUCCGUAGUAGUGCUUGUCAACCCAAUGAAUAAAUCUACCGUUUCCUAGUUGCAAUAAGAAACAAUUAGCAUUUAAUUAAUGGACACACAUUAGUCAAUAUAUUUUGAAAUGAGCAAAGUAUAGCAUAACUAGAUGAAAACCAAAUAUAGCAUAAGUGAGCUAGAAUGUUCCACAAACACGACAUGUCACAACUAAGUUACAAUGUUCUACCAACACAGCUUAGCAGCCAAACAAAACAUAGCUAUAAGACAUCCAAAUAUAGCACAAUAUAGUUGAAUUGUUCCACAAAAGUUGUGCAUGGGAUAACUGAAAUAUACAAUGGGUAUUGUCACAGAACACUAACUCUAGUUUAUACCAUUUACAUAUACUUUUUCCAGACAACCAUCACUUACUGAACAAGCAUCCCAUCAUUAGAGUCUGAGAAGAAAUGCAGCCUUCUCAGGGCGUCGAGAUCUGGGCCGUUGGAUUAAGCUUUCAAAAGAAUUGCGACCAUCAGAUCUUCAGAUGGAUCGAUCCGGGCCGUCGGAUCAUAGCAAACACUGCUACAGUGAAUAGUGUUGUUUCUUUUUUAUUUUGGUCUAUUAUUACUAUCUCGCUGACUGAUGGGCCACGCGGUAAGUGGUCCAUUGCUGUUAGUGAGAGCAGAGCACUAAGCGGUCGGUGCUGGUUCGUACAGGCUCAGGGGUCAGGCCAACGCCUGUGAAAUUGGGUAGCCGCUGAGGGCAAAUUCAACAUUUCACGUCAUCGCCCCUGCGUGACGCUCCGUGGAUGGCUAGUCAGCAAGUAAUGGCGAGGGAGCGACCCAUUGGCUAGAAACCUAGCCGCCUCUUCCCCGUCGUGUUCCUAUCUGUGUCGUUUGAGCUGCGGUCGCCAUCGAGGACGUGUCACUCGCACCGCCACUUCCCUGUCGAGCUCAUGCGUCCACUAGCCACACCGUCUCUUUUCCAUGCCUGCUCAUCCUCCGUUCCUCUUCGAUCACCGAGCUCGCCGUCGCUAUCGUCGGGAGGAAGCGAUUGGUGGACCUAGCCCACCGCCAUCAACGGGUGGAGCGCAGGAACCCGCGAUGCCCCUCCAGCGACCAGCACUUAUCCCUCGCCCAGCGACGAGGCCCCAUCGAACUCGCGUGUGGUCGCAGCUGGGAAUCCUCCUGUCCGCUCCUUGCUCCCCGCCGAGAGCCUUGAUUGGAUCUGGAUCCUGAGCUCUCCGUGCCCGCAUCGCCCCACCAUUCAUGGUGCACCACCAGCACGAGCUGCACAUCAUCAUGUCGUCAGAGGGAGAGCGGGAGGAAGUUGGCGCUGUUUAUCCCCACGAGGUGUGCCGUCGACGGUAGGAAGCCAGGCAGGGCGACGGGGAAAUACCGACGUAGUUCAAGCCGCAUCAAAAGGAAUUUCUGGCGCAGUUGCCAGGGAGACAUCAUCAACAUCUAUGAGGUUCCUAAUCACAAAUCCCAUCUCCUUGCAAUUUACAUUAUUUGCCAUUUGCCUCUCGUUUUCAUCUCCCCCACUUCACAAAAAAUUGCCGUUUUAUUCGCCCUCUUUUUCGUUUGCCUUUUUCUGGUUCGAUCUUAUGUUUGUUUGUGUCUCCAUGUGCCUUCUAUUUUGCUUGCAUCUUUUCUUGCUAAAACCUAUUGUUAUGGAUCCACUCAAAGUUUUGUACCUGGAUCUUGUUCGACCCAUAUGUGCUCGUGCUGAAACCCCAACUAGUUUAGUUGAGGGAAAAUCAUUAGAUGAGCAUGCUCUUUUUGCCCGUCAUCGUUUGUCUGAAAAAGGGAAGCUCUUAUGGAAUCAAAUAAAUUGUUUGCUAUGAUAUGCUUGGAAUCAUUAUGAAAUUUGUGAUUUUACUUGUUGCUCUAAGAACCCCAAAAAACACUUCCCCUAUCUAUGUGAGUUUAAUGACAAUGAAGUCUUAUGUUCUUAUGCCAAGGAGGUUUAUAGUUACUAUGAUAUCGAACAAAUUGAACAAUUUGUUGCUUUUAAGGGUGCUUAGAAGUUGCUUAUUUGAUUGAAAAGUAUGAUAUUACUCUCUACAAAUCUGAAAAUUUUGACAUACUUAAAUAUUGCUAUGAAAACUAUGCUCAUAAUGCCUAUGUUAAAGAAUUUAUUGAGAGAAUGUCCUAUGCUUUGAAAGAAAAUAGUGAUAUGCAUGAAGCUAUGGAUAACCAUGAUUCCGUUGAUUUGAUUGAAUUAUCCCCUCUUGAUGAACACGUUGCUAGCUAUUCUUGUGGCCAUGAUGCCAAUAUUAAUGAUGCUUAUGAAGAUGAACUUGCUAUAGUUCUUUAUGUUAAACAUGAAAUUAUUGCUAUUGCACGCACGCUGGAUAGCUCCUUUAAUGAAAAGCAUGAUUGCAAUGAUAUUAUUAUAGAUUCUAUUAAUCUCAAGUUUGUUAGUGAUAUGCAAAACCCCAAGCUUGGGGAUGCUUGUUUUGUUAUGUCCGCUACUUAUUGCAAUGAUCAUGAUUGGGGUGAUGAUGACUUUUAUGAUCUUGAUAGUCUAUUUAAGCCUCAUGAUGAAUAUGUUUGCAAUAAUAUUAAAAGUGGGUUUGGAAGAGUGUCAAAUAUUGAUAAAAAUAAUCCCACAAAUUUGGAGAGUGUUCAAUCUUAUGAUUUUUUUAUAAAAGUGGGCUUGGAAAGGUCAUGACUUUAUUUUAUGGUAAUCCCACUAUUUUGGAAGAGUGUCAACUUUGCAUGCAUGUGGAUCAUGUAGAGAAUAUGUUAUGUGAUAUCUAUAUUAUUGAAUUUGAACAUGAUUCCACAUGUAAUUGUUAUGAGAGAGGGAAAUAUGGUUGUAGAAAUUUCUUGCUACUAAGUCACCUCUCGUUAUGUUGAAUUGUCAAAGUUUUAUUUGUUUCCUAUGUAUAUGCUAGAUAUUUCUUGUUUUGAUAAUUUGUUUGCCUGUAAAAUUCCUAUACAUAGGAAAUAUGUUAGACUUAAAUGUGUUUAUCACAUGUUUUAUGAUCCUCUCUUUGUGUUUCAAUUAUUAUCUUUCAUGUGAGCAUCAUUGAAAUCGCAAAGCCUAUCUUAAUGGCUAUAAAGAAAGAGCUUGUUGGGAGGCAACCCAACGAAUAAAUUUUAUGUUUGCCUUUUUGUUUCUGUACAAUUAUGCCUCUGUUAUGAUUAUGUUUUUUAUGUUUUAAUUAGUGUUUGUGCGAAGCAAAGCCUUUUAGGAUCAUGUUGGGUGAUAGUUGAUUUGAUCUUGCUGAAAAACAGAAAAUUAUGAGUCCAGUAACACAAUUAUUAAAAUUCACAGAAGCGUGAUAAAAUUCUGAUUUUUUUACAGAAGAUUAAUACAAAUAGCGUAUGUUGUCCUAAUUUUUCAGAAUUUUUGCAGUUACAUAAGUAUACGAAGUUUUCAGAUUGCUACAGACUAUUCUGUUUUUGACAGAUUAUAUUUUCUUUUUGUUGUGUGCUUAUUUUGAUGAAUAUAUGGACUUUAUUGGAGGGUAUAAGCUAUAGUAAAGUUCGAAUACAGUACAUAUAAUGCAAAAAUAAAAUAUGAAUGGGUUUGCAACAGUACUUAGACUAGUGAUUUGCUUUGUUAUACUAACGGAUCUCACGAUGGUUUUGUUGAGUUUUGUGUGAUUGAAGUUUUUCAAGUUUUGGGUGAGAUCACGAUGGAUGAAGGAAUAAGGAGUAUGAAGAGACUAAUCUCGGGGAGGCCCAUGGCACCCCAAGUUAUUAUCCAAAGAGGAACAAGCAAUUAAGAUUGGGGAUGCCCCCGAGUGGCAUCCCCUCUUUCUUCUAAUGACCAUCGGUAUUUUACUUGGAGCUAUAUUUUUAUUCGUCACAUAUCAUGAGUUUUGCUUGGAGCAUCUUGUAUUAUAUGAGUCUUUGCUUAUUUUGCUUUUUUAUUUUGUGUCAUCUAUCCUUGCUGGACACACCUAUUUGAGAGGGCCCAAAUUAUGCUAUGGAAUCUUUUUGCUUCACUUAAAUCUUUUUGAGCUAUGGAAUUGAUCUUUGUGCUUCACUUAAAUCUUUUUGAGCUAUGAAAUUGCUCUAGUGCUUCACUUAUAUCUUUUUGAGAACGGUGUGCUUUGGUAUUUUUGAAGAAAUGCUCUCAUACUUCACGUAGAUUUAUUUGAGAGUUAGUAAAUUUUUUAAGAAAUCCUCUCAUGCUUCACAUAAAUUAAUUUGAGAGAAGAAAUUUUUUAUGCUCGUGUUCUUCACUUAGAUUUGUUUGAGCUAUCAAAAGCAACAUAUGAAAUUAGUCCCAAAGUGAUAGAUAUUCAAGAGGGAUAUAAUAAAAACUUUCAUGAAGAUCGUUAGACAAAAUAAACUUGAUUCUUUGUAAUAGUUUUGCGGUAUGACGAUAUAAUAUGUGAGUCAUGUUGAUGAGUUAUUACGCUUUAGUGAGAAUAUUGAUGUUAAGGUUUGUGAUUCUCUAUGUAAGCACGAAAGUCAAUAGUUAUGCAAUGAAAUUACAUCCUACUUGUCGUGCAUUAUUCGGUGUUAGUUCUGCUUAAUUCUUGCUUAUGAGAUUUUUUGUUUCUUGGUUGGAUGCUUCUCAAUAUUUUGCUAGCCUUCAAUUGUACUAAGUGGGAUUACUACUUGUGCAUCCAAAAUCCUUGAACCCAGUUUUUGCCAUAUGAGUCCACUAUACCUACCUAUAUGCGGUAUUCAUUUGCCGUUCUAAGAAAAUUUGUAUGUGCCAUCUCUAAUCUUCAAAAUAACUUCCUUUUUGUGUGCUCGUACCGCUCAUGAAACGGUAGGGGGUGGCUGAUAUUUUUCCAUGCUAGAUGUGUUAUUCUCAAGAUGAGUGUUUAUUCACUUGUCACUGCACGAGAGUAUGGCAAAGUUAUUAGGGAUGCCCAGUCCUGAAAUGAAAAAUGAAUUUACUUUAUGUUGUCAAAUAAUAAACUCCUUGGAAAGUGUUGGUAUGGACGGUACCCGUGGAUUCGGUUCGCCGUGGAAUGUGAAAGUAUGGUGGAAAAAGGAAUAAACUUUAUUUUCUGUUUGGGAACCACCUAUGAUAUAUCUAGCAUGGAAAGUAUUGGGAACUACUCGAUCGUUUUCAUUGACAGGAAAGGCAUGCCACCCAAAAUGUCUUAUCUCUAUCUUUUUCCGCUUUUAGCUCUGGCACCUCUACAAAUCCCUACUUCCCUCUGCGAAGGGCCUGUCUAUUUACUUUAUGAAAUUUUUAUUUUUAUUUCAAGUCUCCAUCUUCUCUUACAAAGCACCAACUAAGGGGCACUACGAUCGUACCAUAGCAUUGGGUGUAGCUAAUAUGCGAGUGUGUUUCAUGAAUGGAUCAAUGAUUGAGCAUAAUGGGCUAGGGAUAAAUUGCUUUAGUGUUGAUAUUUUGAAAGACAUGGUUGCUUGUUGAUAUGCUUGAGUAUUGAAAUCUUCAUAUCAACACUAGACUAUUCCUUUGAAUCAUAUAAAAGUCCAAAUGUCCAUGCUACAAAAGAAAAAGAAUAUGUGAUGAACAUGAUAGGCAACAUUCCACAUCAAAAAUUCUAUUUUUAUCAUUUACCUACUCGAGGAGGAGCAGGAAUUAAGCUUGGGGAUGCUGAUACGUCUCCAACGCAUCUAUAAUUUUUCAUUGUCCCAUGUUGUUAUAUUAUCAUUUUUGGAUGUUUUACAAUCAUUUUAUAACAACUUUAUAUCUUUUUUGGGACUAGCCUAUUGACAUAGUGCCUAGUGCCAGUUGCUGUUUUUUGCUUGUUUUUACACUGCAGAAAAUCAAUACCAAAUGGAGUCCAAAUGCAGCGAAACAUUUUGCAGAAUUUAUUUGGACCAGAAGACACACGAUGGGCCAAUAGAGUACUAGAGGGGGGCUCCGAGGGAAGCACAACCCACCUGGGCGCGCCCUGGUGGGUUGUGCACACAUCGGCUCGCUAUCGUGCCGCCUCUUUGCUCCAUAAAUACCCCGAAAAUCCAAAAACCCUAGGAGUCGACGAACACAAUUCCAGCUGCCGCAAGUUCCACAAAGCACAGAUCCAAUCUAAACACUGAUACGUCUCCAAUGUAUCUAUAAGUUUUUAUUAUUCCACGCUAUUAUAUUAUCUGUUUUGGAUGUUUUAUAUGCAUUAAUAUGCUAUUUUAUAUUAUUUUUGGGACUAACCUAUUAACCUAGAACCCAGUGCUAGUUCCUGUUUUUUCUUGUUUUAGAGUUUCGCAGAAAAGGAAUAUCAAACAGAGUCCAAACGGAAUGAAACUUUGGCGAUGAUUUAUCUUUGACCAGACGAUAACCAGAGGACUUGGAGUACACGUCAAGGAAGCCACAAGGAAUCCCAAGGGGGUAGGGCGGGCCCCCCACCCUUGCGGACCCCUAGUGACACCACCGACCAAUUUCUUCCGCCUAUAUAUUCUCAAAUACCCCAAAACCUUCUAGGAGAGCCACGAAACCACUUUUCCACCGCUGCAACCUUCUGUACCCGUGAGAUCCCAUCUAGGGGCCUUUUCCGGCAUCCUGCCAGACGGGGACUCGAUCACGGAGCGCUCCUACAUCAACAUUGCCUCUCCGAUUAAGCGUGCGUAUUUUACCACAAACCUACGGGUCCAUAGCUAGUAGCUAGAUGGCUUCUUCUCUCUCUUUGAUUCUCAAUACCAUGUUCUCCUCGACGUUCUUGGAGAUCUAUUCGAUGUAAUACUUUUUUGCGGUGGGUUUGCCGAGAUCCGAUGAAUUGUGUAUUUAUGAUCAGCUUAUCUAUGAAUAUUAUUUGAAUCUCCUCUGAAUUCUUAUAUGCAUGAUUUGAUAUGUUUGCAAGUCUCUUCGAACUAUCGAUUUGGUUUUGCCACCUAGAUUUGUUUUUCUUGCAAUGGGAGAAGUGCUUAGCUUUGGGUCAAUAUUGCGGUGCUCGAUCCUAGUGAUAGAAGGGGAACCGACACGUAUUGUAUUGUUGCCAAUGAGGAUAACAAGAUGGGGUUUUCAUCAUAUUGCUUGAGUUUAUCCCGCUACAUCAUGUCAUCUUACUUAAUGUGUUACUCUUUUAUUCAUGAGCUUAAUACUCUAGAUGUAGGCAGGAGUCGGUCGAUGUGUGGAGUAAUAGUAGUAGAUGCAGGCAAGAGUCGCUCUACUUGAUACAGAUGUGGUGCCUAUAUUCAUGAUCAUUGCCUUAGAUAUCGUCAUAACUUUGCGCUUUUCUAUCAAUUGCUCGGCACUAAUUUUUUCACCCAACGUAAUAUUUUCUAUCUUAAGAGAAGCCUCUAGUGAAACCUAUGUUCCCGAGUCUAUUUUCCAUCAUAUAAUCUUCUAUUUUCCAUCAUAUAAGUUUCCGAUCUACAAUUUUAGUUUCCUAUUUACUUUCUUUGCAAUAUUUUGCAUUCCGAUCUAUAAACCAAAAAUACCAAAAAUAUUACUUUACCGUUUAUCCAUCUAUAUCAGAUCUCACUUUGCAAAUAAUUGUGAAGGGAUUGACAACCCGUUUAUCGCGUUGGGUGCAAGUUGGUGUUUGUUUGUGCAGGUAUUCGGUGGCUUGUGCAUUGUCUCCUACCGGAUCGAUACCUUGGUUCUCAAAACUGAGGGAAAUACUUACUCUACUUUGCUGCAUCACCCUUUCCUCUUCAAGGGAAAAACCAACGCAAGCUCAAGAAGUACUGGGAAGAAUUUUUGGCGCCAUUGCCGGGGAGAUCUACGCCAAGCCGAGACAUACCAAGUACCCAUCAUAAACUCUCAUCCCUCGCAUUACAUUAUUUGCCAUUCGCUUCUCGUUUUCCUCUCCCGCACCUCUCACUACUAGGAAAAGGGCUAUAGACAAUAUGCACACUAAUGGCGCACCAGACAUGCGGUGCGCCACUACUAUAUAGCGGUGGCGCACCGUGUGCUGGUGCGCCAUUAGUGUGAUAGACACUAAUGGCGCACCACAACCAUGGUGCGCCACUACUAACAAAUUUUCUUUUUCUUUUUAAAAAAAUACUAAUGGCGCACCGCAACCAUGGUGCGCCACUACUAAUUUUUUUCCUUUUUUCCAAAAAUACUAAUGGCGCUACUUGGCACAGUGCGCCAUUACUAGUUUUAACUAGUAAUGGCGCACCAGUCACCCCGUGCGCCACUACUAUCAUUUUUUUGCAAAACUACUAAUGGCGCACCGCCAGCUGGUGCGCCAUUAGUAACCAGGGUUACUAAUGGCGCAUUUGUUGGUGGUGCGCCAUUAGUAACCUGGGACCAGCUAGAUAUUUUGGACAGCCACCUACACACUCACUUUCCCCACUUCAUUCUCUCCACCUCCUCCUCCAAGCUUGUCUCGGCUGCCUCCUCCUCCUCACCUCAUUUGCACCAUAGAUUCAUCCAAAUUAAGUGGUUAAAUUACCUUUUUUGAUAGGUAAGUAAGGGGAAAGCUUUCUUUAUGUUGUAGAUCUACUUUUUUCUCCCUCCAACAACGUGCACAUGCACUUUUUAUGGCCUAGCUAGAUCUAUGUAUGUUUGUGGUGUUGCAUAUGUUUGUGGUGUUGCAUAUAUGUUUGUGUUUGCACGUACCGGUAUUUGAAAUGCGAUAGUUGCCAAUAUUUUGCCAGAAUGUUGAUUCAUUUCCGUUUCGUCAAGAAUUUUGGCACUAUGCAUUCUUUUUUGUCCUAUUUUUAGGCAAAGUCAUGCCAAAUUUUUUCUUGGUUCUAAAAUAUCGUUUUGCUCUACCCUGCAGGCGACCAUGGUCUGCACGAUGACCGAAGGCAUCGUGAAUAGGUUUUUGAGCUCCGCGAAGGCCGAGAUGCUUCAAAAGAAUGAGACGGAGAUAAGAUGUCCGUGUCGAAGAUGCAAGCUGAGGAGCCUUAUGGACCCGGAUUCCGUACAGGUGCGGGACCACCUGCUCUUGCGUGGUUUCAUGGAUGGCUAUCGGUGGCAAGGUGAUGAAGAUGAUUAUGAAGUCGUCCAUGGGGGCCGGCCGGUAAGAAAUGAGGAAGGGCAGCAAGACAACCGCGGCGAGGGCGGGCGAGAAGACGAAGAAUCUCCAGGACAUGAUCACGAAGUAGAUGCAGUACGCAGUCAUCAUGUAGAAGAUGCCGGACAUAAAGAUGAGGAAGAUGCCGGAGCAGACGAAGGGCAUGAUCAUGAAGAUGAAGAUGCCGGAGCGGACGACGAUGGACCAUCGAUGGGCUGGGUGCAGGACCCUCAUAUUCAAGAGCUGCUUCUCAAGCAGACGGAUAACGCAAGAGCUGCCGCCCGAGAGAAAGCCAAGCUGGAUCAACUGGAGAUAGACGCGGUUACUCCAUUGUAUGAAGGAUGCAGGCCCGAGGAUACCCGCCUGAAAGUAACGCUCAUGGCUCUGGAGAUGAAGGUAAAACACAAAAUGACCGACGCAUGCUUCGACGAGAACAUGUCAUUCUGGCACGAACGUCUUCCCAAGGGGAACAAGUGCCCGACCAGUUUUGAGGAGGCGAAGAAAAUCGUGUGUCCUCUGGAUUUACCGCACGUGAAAUACCAUGUGUGCAUGAACAAUUGCAUCAUUUAUCGGGACGAGCACGCGGAGUCUACCAUAUGUCCGGUGUGCGGCGUCACUCGAUACAAGAAGAGGAAGAAAGCUCCUCGAAAAGCGGUGUGGUACUUUCCGAUCGCUCCUCGUGUGCAGCGGUAUUUCGCGGACCCUAAGGUAGCAAAGCUCUUGCGUUGGCACGCGGAUAGGGAGGAGAAGAAGCGAGAAGAUGACGCAAAUGAUCCGGAGAUAAAUAAAAAAGACAAGAUGCUGAGUCACCCUAAGGAUGGGAGCCAGUGGCAAGCGUUGAACUUCGAACACCCAGAAUUUGGGAACGAUCCAAGGAACAUCGUGCUGGGCGCGAGCACCGAUGGAGUCAAUCCGUUUGGCAGCCAGAGAAGCACACAUAGCACCUGGCCUGUGUUUGUGGAUGUACAACCUUCCCCGCUGGUUGUGCAUGAAGAGGAAGUACAUUCACAUGAGUAUGCUAAUUGAAGGGCCGAAACAACCAGGGAACGACAUCAAUCUGUAUCUGGGGCUGCUGAAAGAGGAGCUAGACACGCUGUGGAAAACGCCAGCCAAUACGUGGGACACCGCAGAGAAAGAAUAUUUCCCUAUGAGAGCCGCUCUGCUCACGACGGUGCACGACUAUCUCGAUUACGGAUAUGUCGCGGGGCAGGUGGUCCACGGAUUUUCUGGAUGCGUCAGGUGCAUGGAUGACACAACAUAUCGCCAGCUAGAUAGAGAUCUCAGGUCUUCGAAAACCGUGUUCAUGGGACAUCGAAGGUGGCUUCGCGACGAUGACUCAUGGAGGAAACGCAAGGAUCUGUUCGAUGGUGAAACCGAAACCCGAAGACGCCCGCGUACGAGGAGCGACAAGGAAAUAGACGAGUUGUUGAAAAAUUGGAAAGAUUGCCCACUGCCGGGAAAGAAGCAAAAGGCACCAGAGCCGGAAAAGAAGCGAAAGGCGCAAGAGCCGCUGCUGAAGGUAUGGAAAAUGAGGUCUGUUUUCUGGGACUUGCUGUACUGGAAGAUCCACCGUGUGCCUCACAGCCUUGAUGUCAUGCAUAUCACGAAGAACGUGUGCGAGAGUCUGCUUGGUACCCUGCUCAACAUGCCGGAGAGGACCAAAGAUGGGCCGAAAGCAAGGGCAGACUUGAAAUCAAUGGGCAUCAGGGAGGAGCUUCACGCUAAUGAUGAUGAUGAUGAGGCGAAGCAGGACACGGAAAGUCGUCGCAAAGGCAAAAAGGCCAAGAAGACCGAAAAUGACUUCCCUCCCGCGUGCUUCACUCUAAGUCAGGAGGAGAUCGAUCAGUUUUUCACCUGCCUCGUAGGAGUAAAACUUCCUUACGGUUACGCGGGGAAGAUAAGCAGAUACCUAGACUCAGCGAAGCAGAAGUUCAGCGGGAUGAAGUCUCAUGACUGUCACGUGCUGAUGACGCAGAUACUUCCAGUUGCAAUCCGUGGGAUCAUGGACGCGCACGUCCGUGAAACGCUAUUUGGCCUAUGCAACUUUUUCGACGUCAUCUCUCGGAAGUCGGUUGGUGUGAGGCAACUCAGAAGGCUACAUGAAGAGAUCGUAGUGAUACUAUGCGAGCUUGAGAUGUACUUCCCGCCCGCAUUCUUCGACGUUAUGGUGCAUCUGCUGGUCCAUAUCGUGGAGGAUAUCAUCCAACUCGGGCCGACGUUCCUGCACAGCAUGAUGCCGUUCGAAAGGAUGAAUGGUGUCAUCAAAGGAUACGUUCGCAACAUGUCACGUCCAGUGGGAAGCAUAGCCAGGGGCUUUCUGACCGAAGAGUGCAUCUCCUACUGCACGAAUUAUCUAGGCAUCGAGAACCCCGUUGGUCUGCCCGCCAACAGGCACCUCGGCAGGCUCGCUGGAUGGGGUCAUCGUGAGGGUUGCCGCGAAAUGCAUGUCGAUUUCGAGGGUCGACUCGCCGACUUUGAAAGAGCAAACCUAGUCGCGCUACAACACAUAGACGUGGUCGAUCCUUGGGUGGUAGAGCACAAAACCUUUAUUGAGAAGACGUACAAUGACCGAGACCAACAGAGGACGGACGGAGAUAUAAUCAAAGAGCACAACUCAUAUUUCACGCGUUGGUUCAAGCAGCAUGAGGAUUCUUCCGCGGAAGAACAACUCAAAUUCGCCUUGUCACAGGGCGCCGAGCACAACCUGAUGACGUAUGAGGCGUACAAUAUCAACGGCUACACAUUCUACACCGAGGGAAAGGACAUGAAGAGCGAUGGUUAUCAGAACUCUGGGGUAACGAUGGAAUCCUACACCGGUAACGAUAAGGACAGAUACUACGGAAGGAUCGAGGAGAUCUGGGAGCUGAGCUAUGCUGGAGAGAAGGUCCCGAUGUUCCGUGUCAGAUGGGCCAAGAGCGUCCUAAAAGAAGACCGGUAUUUCACCACCAUGGUUAUACCCGAAGCCAAAUCCAAGACCGCGGGCGCAAACGACACCGUGAAAAAUGAGCCAUGGGUACUGGCUUCCCAAGUGGACCAAUGCUUCUUCAUUACCGACCCGUCAAAGCCCAGUCGUGUUGUCGUGAGGAGAGGCAAAAGGAAGAUCAUCGAAAUGGAUGGAGUCGCCAAUGAGCAAGACUUCGACAAGUACGGCGACCCGAAGAUGGAACAUGACGACGAUGAUGAAGUACCAGCAUACACCACAAGAAGAAGCAGGACCACCCUACCUAAAGGACGUCCGUUCAAGAGAAGAACUCCAUUUACGAAAAAUAAGGGCAAGAAGAUUGUGAACAGAUAGCUAGCUAAGAUCGAUUGUAUUUAAAUUGUAGCCUUCAUUUCUCGAUUGUAUUUCAUGGGCACUUUUUGAACUCAUGAAUAUUUUUAAAUUUCAUGGGCACUUUUUGAAUUCAUGAAUAUUUUUUCAAAUUUCACCGCCGCCGCCGCCGACCCCCCGCACCCUCCCCCGCUCCACCGCCACCGACGACCCACCGCACCCUCCCCCGCUCCACCGCCNNNNNNNNNNNNNNNNNNNNNNNNNNNNNNNNNNNNNNNNNNNNNNNNNNNNNNNNNNNNNNNNNNNNNNNNNNNNNNNNNNNNNNNNNNNNNNNNNNNNNNNNNNNNNNNNNNNNNNNNNNNNNNNNNNNNNNNNNNNNNNNNNNNNNNNNNNNNNNNNNNNNNNNNNNNNNNNNNNNNNNNNNNNNNNNNNNNNNNNNNNNNNNNNNNNNNNNNNNNNNNNNNNNNNNNNNNNNNNNNNNNNNNNNNNNNNNNNNNNNNNNNNNNNNNNNNNNNNNNNNNNNNNNNNNNNNNNNNNNNNNNNNNNNNNNNNNNNNNNNNNNNNNNNNNNNNNNNNNNNNNNNNNNNNNNNNNNNNNNNNNNNNNNNNNNNNNNNNNNNNNNNNNNNNNUCCACCGCCACCGACGACCCCCCGCACCCUCCCCUCUGCCCUCUAUCACAGCGGGGACAACAGGAAGCCGCCGUCGCGCCCCUCUGCACCGGCUGCCCACGGCGCCUCCGUCCCGAAGCCGCAGCCCAAGUGCCCACCACUCUCUGUCCACGGUGAGCCAUCCUCUCUGUCCCAACUCUCUGUUCUUCUUUUUUAGCUAUCCUUUGUUGAAACAGUAGUUGCUGUGUAGCAAAUCUUUGGGAUUAGUGUUCAGUACUUUGUUGGGUGAGCGGCCAUCUGAGACAUCCUGCUUACAUAGUCUCCUUUUUAAAACUCGUCAAAUUGGUUUUAGAUAGAAAUGAUCAACACUCAAUUGGCCAACUGCAUGUGGAAUGAUUUCGAAGGGCGCCAUAACUUAUUGUAGAUGCUGACUACAAUAACAAUACUAAACUCAGUGUAGUCUGUUGUAAAGACACUUGUGCUUCUUUCAUCUGGAAAGGGGUCGUCUGGCCUCCAAAACUGUCAGAUUAGGUUGUGCUGUAACUCCUCACAUGGCCAUGUUUUUGGAAGAUUGGUCGUUUGUCACCGGCCCUUUGGUCACCCAGCAAUGGGACUUGUAUCAUAUUGCCAAUGAGGUUAAUAAAACAGUAGUGCAUCAGUACUUUGUUGGAACAGAAAGUCAGAAAAUCAGAAAAUCCACGGUACUUUGUUUAGAUCUUCACUGUUGACAAACGCAGUCAACUAAAAAUCCAGUUCAGUGCAUAAUUAGUGUUGACAAAUACACUGAUCUUUAUCUGCAGUAAUUCAGUUUAAACUGAAAAUUCAGUGUUGUAGUACAGAAAAUUUAAACUGAAAAUUCAUAGUCUCCUGGUGCAUAUUGAUCUCAGUGUAUGAAUUCAUAGUGUUUCAAAUUACUGAUGCUAUGGUCCAGGAGUAGAAAAAUUUGUACUCCAAGAUCAAUAUGGUUCAAUUUCUACUGUACUGUAAUCAAAGUGGAUAUAAAUUGCAGAGUGUUUAUGUUGGCAUUCGACAACAUCUAAAUUUACCAAAUGAUUGUGAACUCAGUUUAUGUUUGCAACCAAAUGCUUAGUUCAUUGUUUACUCCAAAUGAUUGUGAACUUAUUCAAAGUUUCCAAUAUUGUUCAGACACUACUUGUACUGGAACUGGAACUACUACUACUGAUGCAGCACCCCAUGUAGUUUAAGUUUUCUUUAUCUUAAACUCAGACAGCUCUCUAAUUAUUGGAGUUUAUAUCAUAUAUAUUGCUGGCAUGUAUUUCAUAUGUUCUGUAGCAUUAAGGCUACAUAGCAUUGCUUUUGUCUCUGACCAUCGUGUCGUGAUGAUAUUGUGGGGUGUUGUGGGGUUGCAGAGGCCCUUGAGUUUCAUCGCGAUGAUGCUAAUCGUGAUGACCGCAGCUCUCUUCUAUGUGAUGGUAGUUUAGAUGAUCGAUAUCGACUUGUAAUGUGAAGACAAACUCGCUACUCGCGGUUUCGAGACUUGUAGUGUUCUAACUUUGUUUGGUCUUUUGAAUUCGGAGACUAAUAUGAUGAAUUGUAUUCGGAGACUAAUCUUCUAUUGUAUUCGAUAACUCUGCUGUUUAUAUGUUGUGUGUCUAUAUUCUGUGCAGUAAUAUGUUUUGUAACCUGUGCAAAUAUCAGAAAAGAAAAAAAUCCCUAAUAUUCAUACUAGUGGCGCACCACCCAGAACUUUAGUGGCGCACUGCAAAAUGCAUACUAGUGGUGCAUCAGCAAGCAGUGCGCCAUUAGUAAGCCAGAGACAUGGUUAAAUAUGGCCCCCUGGGAGGCAUUCUAAUGGCGCAUCAUAGGGUGUACUAAUAGCGCACUACAUGGUGCGCCAUUAGUAUCUGAUAUACUAAUGGCACACUUGUGGUGCGCCAUUAGUAAUAAAAUCUAAUGGCAUGGUACUAGUGGCGCACCUGUAGUGCGCCAUUAGUAGGCAAAACAGGUGCGCCACUAGCAGCCCUUUUCCUAGUAGUGUCUAAAACGAUUUUCGAAAAAUUUGUCUUUUCUUCGCCCCUCUUUCGUGCGUCUUCUUCUUUUGCUCUUUGUUCGCUUGUCCGUUUGAUCUUUUAUCUUGCUGUCAUGGCUAGUUUUCCAUCCUUGUUAGCACUCCCAAUAAUAAGGUCCUCAACUUCAAACAAAGGGAAGGAGAAAAUUUAAAAGAUGCUUGGUAUAGAAUUUAUAAUGCUCAAAUUUGAUGAUUACUGCUGGAGAUGACUAACAUCCUAGAUGUUACUCACUAUGUCUAGAUACAUUCGUUUGAGUGUCAACUAAUUCUGAACAUCUUAGGUGUUACUCCCAAGUCUAGAUACAUUUUUUUGAGUGGCAACUAAUUCUGAAUGGAGGAAGUACACAAAGCUAAGCCACAGCCAUGAAAUAUAUAUAGGGCGGGGGGCGCUCGUUCCACAAGGAGCGGCGGGUAGCUUAGCUAUAGCUCGAUCGAUGAAUAUGGCUGUAGAUGGGUUUGGUGAGCUGGGCAUUCGUGUGGUGAGUCGCCGGCUGGUGCUCUGCCUGCCAGCUACUGCUCUGCCUGCCGCUCCACCUCCUUGUCGAUCGCGCCCACCCAAACGGACGUCCAUGACACAUACACCGACAAUGUGCUCCUCCACGGCCACGACUACCCAAGUAGUGGCCACGGCACCUCCUCCACAGGCUCGGGCGUGGGCGGUGCUGGUGGUGGUGGGGGCACGUUGGCCUCCACUCCGGCCGCCAAUUGGGCCAGCGCCUGCGCAAGGCCAGGCCACCUGGCCUUGCUCCUCGCGCUCGGCCUCCACGAUGGCCCUCCAUGUGGCCUCCUCGAGGGACACAACACAGGCCUCCUCGGCAUCCUAAUCCUCCUCCUUCACCACUCCCGGAAGUGGUGGUGGAGUGGCAAGAACGCGUGGUGCACCGGGCGCACACUUGACGCACUACCGGCAAUGUUGGUCGUGCUCGGUGGCAAACCACGCGUCCUAGUUACCGCAUACGUUGGGUCACGGCGGAGGUUGGCUAGGAGUAGAGCAUGGGAUCUCCGUCAGCUGUGCGCGGCCUGAGGCCGGCACCGGAACCCUAGCAAGGUUGAGGUCCCACCCGUGCGGUAGGUUCACACUGGGCUAUGGCGCAGGCACGCCAUACUCCCAAAAGUACUGGUAGCGGUGCAUCGGCAUGUAGUGCCGAAACCAUGGCUGCCGACUCAAGGUCGAUUUAUCUGUUCUUAUAAACUAGCGAAUUAGCAACUAUAUUACCCAAGAGUAACAACCAAGUCAUAUAUACAAUGUACGCUUGCAACCAUUGAAUAAAUUGUACAGAAUACCAAACAAAGAAGAUUGAACGAGGUCGUGGAACAACUCACAUGCACCAUCCACAGGUCAAGUGGAUGAUCCCAAUGAUGAGCGAAUGAUCCUAAUGACGAGCAGUUGGCGAGAUUAUGUUGCUCUUGUGAUGGUUAGUGAUGUCUGCGCUAGAGCUUGCUUACAACCUUGCGAGGUAAGGAGCUACGGCUACAUGCGUAUUAGGUUUUAUAAGCCGUGAAACCUCGAUAAAAGUUGCCGCUAUAAGUUUUUUCUUCAUGUCACUAUAAACCUUAUNNNNNNNNNNNNNNNNNNNNNNNNNNNNNNNNNNNNNNNNNNNNNNNNNNNNNNNNNNNNNNNNNNNNNNNNNNNNNNNNNNNNNNNNNNNNNNNNNNNNNNNNNNNNNNNNNNNNNNNNNNNNNNNNNNNNNNNNNNNNNNNNNNNNNNNNNNNNNNNNNNNNNNNNNNNNNNNNNNNNNNNNNNNNNNNNNNNNNNNNNNNNNNNNNNNNNNNNNNNNNNNNNNNNNNNNNNNNNNNNNNNNNNNNNNNNNNNNNNNNNNNNNNNNNNNNNNNNNNNNNNNNNNNNNNNNNNNNNNNNNNNNNNNNNNNNNNNNNNNNNNNNNNNNNNNNNNNNNNNNNNNNNNNNNNNNNNNNNNNNNNNNNNNNNNNNNNNNNNNNNNNNNNNNNNNNNNNNNNNNNNNNNNNNNNNNNNNNNNNNNNNNNNNNNNNNNNNNNNNNNNNNNNNNNNNNNNNNNNNNNNNNNNNNNNNNNNNNNNNNNNNNNNNNNNNNNNNNNNNNNNNNNNNNNNNNNNNNNNNNNNNNNNNNNNNNNNNNNNNNNNNNNNNNNNNNNNNNNNNNNNNNNNNNNNNNNNUAUAUAUGUAUAUAUAUAUGGGGCAUGAAACUGCAAACUACCACUAUUGUUGCCGGUGGACCUCCCGGCUCCGGUGCACAUCCCAACGUCGCCCUCGUGAAGCAAGCGAAUGGCCCCGCGAGCAUGUGGACGUUGUCCAUGUGGCAUUGGGUUCCCGCUUCUUGAGUGAACCGGAAAAAAAACCCAAAGCUGGUCAAUCUUCGGCUCGAAAGGAAGCCUGGCUUAUGGUUUUGUGUUUUCGCGCCGGCGUAGCCGCUCUCCGUCUGGGUGAGCGAGCGGUGGAGGACUGCCGCAAUGGAGGAGAUGGUGGUCCUUGGGCCCCGAUGCCUUUCGUGGCAUGAGGGCCGUGUCUUGUAUUCGAUGGCCGGGGACGCCAUCCGGAGCAGCUUGAGAAGGCACCGUCGGGGCUUUGCGCUUGCACCCCUAUGCAGCCAUGCCCGGCGCAGCGGGCUGUCCGCUGUGUGUCUUGCGGAGUCUGAGUGCAUCCAUCGGCUGAUUUUUAUUUUAUUCUUUCGAUGAGGAUUAGUAGUCGGAGAGUAGAUAGGUUCUUCCUCGAUCCCAUGAUAUAAAAGCUUGGGUGUUCGUUGACGCUAGCAAUGUCAAAAACGCUCUUAUAAAAUGGGAGGGAGUCCCUCGCAAAGAAAAAAAGAGAGUAGAUAGCUACUUUAUCUUUUAUUUUGAAGGUGGGAGUAGAUUGAUAACUACUUAGUGCACGUACGAAAAGAAAGACACGAUCGCCUAAAAAAAAGAAAUACUAUAUUGAGAUAUAUAUAGGGCGUGCGGGCGCUAGCAGUUCCACAACGAGCGGCGGGUAGCUAGGUUCAACAUCCAUAUAGGUUGAAUAUGGCUGUAGAUGGGUUUGGCGAGGUGGGCAUUCGUGUGGUGAGUCGCCGGCUGGUGAAGGCAUCCGACCCCUCCAUCCAACCGCAGGUGGUGCCCCUCUCCAACCUCGACCUGUACGUCGGCAACGUACAAGUCGCCAUACUAUGCCUCUAUCCCAAGCCUCCGGCGGGCAGGGAUUUCGCCGGCGUGGUGGCCACCUUCGAGUCCUUGCUGCCGGCUUUACUCAACGAGUUCUACCCUUUCGCCGGCCGCAUCGGCACCAACCCAAGCUCAGGCCUCCCCGAGCUGCUCUGCCAGAACCAGGGCGCAGAGCUGGUCGUGGGAGAGGUCCGCGUCGCUCUGGGGAGCCUGGACUACGGCCUGGCGGACAAGUCCCUGAAGAAGCUGAUGCUCCCGUACGCGGAGGACGUCACCUUCUCGGUGCAGCUGCUAUCCUUCGCCUGCGGCAGCUUCUCCGUGCUGUGGGCAACCAACCACCUCGUCGGCGACGGCCAUGACAACAUCAGGUUCCUGCGGAUGUGGUCUGAGCUCGCACGAACGGGCAAAAUCGUCGCCGACGGCGGGGACGGAAAGCUAAGCCACGACCGCUCGGUGUUCCGCCCUCGCAACCCGCCGUCAUACAGAGCCUCGCUCGCCACCGACCUAACGACGUUCGACCCGCGCCGGCUGGUAAACGUCCUGACGGCCCACGACAGCUUCGUCGACCGCCUCUACUACAUCGACGCGGCCGACAUCGCCAGGCUGCGCGAGAUGGCGAGCACCAAGCUGCAGCGCUCGUCACGCGUCCAGGCCGUGUCCGCGUACCUGUGGAAGGUCCUCGCCGGCGUGGUUGCCGCUUCCCGCGUGCCCGAGGAGCGCUGCCGCAUGGGGUGGUGGGUGAGCGCGCGCCGUCGUCUCACGUCGCCUGACCUCGCCUCUGCGAUGCGCAACUACUUCGGCAACGUCACGACCUAUGCCUACGGGGACGCGACGCUGGAGGAGAUCCAGCGCAAGUCGCUCGCGGAGGUGGCGGCCAUGGCGCGGGAGCCGGUCGCCUCCGUCAACUACGACGAGUACAUCCAGGAUCUGGUGGACUUCGUGGAGGUGCACAAGGGACAAGGGCUGAUGGAGACGGCCGUCGUCGGGCUGGGCAGCCCGACCCUAAGCCAGUCCGUGUUCGACUCAUUCCCACUCGACACCGACUUCGGCUUCGGCCAAGCUGCUCUCGCCAUGCCCAUCUCCGACUUCGCCAACCUCUGCUCAGCCUACCUGUCCAUCAGCGCGCGGCCGGCAGGCGACGGCUCCUGGCUCGUCAGUGCCUACAUAUGGCCGCGUCUCGCCGCCGCCCUCGAGGCCGAUGAGCAGCACAUCUUCAAGCCUCUCACGGCGGACUACCUUGGCCUCACAGCCUGCUAGACAACACCCACGCUAUUCUGUGUGUUCUUUUAGCCAACAAUAAAAUUCCUUGGUGUUUUGCUCUUCUUCCAACAAUAAAAUCCUUGUGUUGUGUUGUGUGGUGCUAUGUACUUUGGUUUUUUUCUUCAUCCAACAAUAAAGUUAGGAAGCGUUACUUUUUGAAAAAUAGCACACCUUAUAUAUACAUUUACUUUGAAAGUUAGAGAGGAUUUACUUUGAAAGUCACAGGUUUGCCAAGCACCUGAGGAAAAACACUCGGCAAAGCCAGCCCUUGGUUUCCGUCAGCCAAUAAAAGAUAGAUCACACGCGUGGCCGCCUGCUUAGCUAUAACCAAGGGCUCGCCGCCGCCAUACCCCCUUCACCUCCCCGCUGCCCCCAUCGGCCUCCUAAUUCCGACCACAGCCGCCUCUAUCCCCCACUAGCCGUCCAACUUUCUCCUCUUCAUAGAUCUAAAACUAGGAAUGGGUUGGAGGGCUCAAUGAACUAGAUCUACUAUAUAGUCAUCUUUGAGCUCAGCUAUUGGGCAUCAUUGCUAGUUGCAAGCUCCCAAUUGGUCACAUCACUGCUAUUCAUAUACCAGCGGGAUCAAAUUGGCCUCUACACGAGUAAGUUGGUCCCUACGGUGAAGUACAGCAGUGGGCCCAUAUUGGCACCCACCACUGAUAGGUGGCAAAGUAAAAUUGGCAUGUGAAAAGAAUUGCCAUGUACUGAUAAGAAUUUACCAGUGCGGUCCCACUUUGCACACACCACUGGGAAAAAAAUGAGACCAACCCAAGGGAUAACCCUCGUUGGCAUUUUCUUUAUAGGAGAAACUUCGCGAGCACCACACGUCCAAGCCGAAGCUCGAACUCGCGUGGGCUGGCAGCUACCCCAGCUACCGAGCCGACGGGUCGACGCCCCGUCCUCGCACACACCUAUGUGAUUUGGCUAUAUUAUGAGUUGGUGGGCCAUUAGUGUUUUAUGCAUAUUCCAAAAAAUCACAUUGUUUUACCAAUAUUCUGCGGCAGAAGCUUAUCCUCAAAGUGCACAUAUCCCAUAUUUACGAAAAAUACUCGUUUAUUCGUUUUUCUGCAGACCGCUCGGCGUUAAGGUUGGUUUACAGCCGAGCAAGCCGACUGCUCGGCGGGAUGAAGAUGAAAAGGCAGUGGGCUAAGCCGCGUGUGUUUUAUCAACUACAUGGGCUACAUUUAGGUAUUUCAAAACCAAAGGGCAAUAUAUAAGCCGAGUAAGGCGUUAGAGGACACUCGGCCAAUACCAAGACGUCGUCAUGGAGCCGUCAAGCACGUGGCAAUAGAAACACUGCAGUUGCUUGCGUGAGCCACACGUGUAUGCCGUGGUUUUUCUACAUAAUAUAUCGUGUUCUUUCUGUAGGCCAUGCGUCUUUUUACGUUGUAUUCGGUUUACAUGGAGCUAAGUUGAGGGACCUGCAAAUGCCGUGUGUUUUCAAGAUGGUACUCGGCUUAGGGUCUCUUUGAUUCAAAGGAUUUUGAUAGGAUCUUUGAAGGAUUAAAAUCCUGAGGAAGUUUUCCUAUGUUGGUCGUUUGAUUUGUAGGAUUGAAUCAUGUAGGAUUUUUUUCUAAAGAUGUAUUUGUACUACAUUUUACAGGAAUUCUAACAUCCACUCCAACCUUUUGGAAGAAAUCCUUUGUUUUCUCCAUGACACAAUCAAACAAACUCAAAUCCUAUAGGAAUCCAAUGGACAUGUCAUUCCAAUCCUACGUUUUUCCUAUGGAAAACUAUUAAAAUCAUCCGACUUAUUUUUCACGAACGUAAACCGUCUUUGACGGACGCCACGUGUCCCUGCUGGUCGCUCACUCCUUAUCCUUAUCUUUUCUCCAGAAGAAGCGUGAGCCACUCAUUCCUUUUCCUCCUUUUUCUUCUUCCUUCGAGCAAACAUGCUUUCCCAGGGACGGCUCUCUCCAGCAAUCCCAGUCGCCGCUCACUUCGUGUUGAUGUAGGGCUAGGCUGAGAGGAUGCUCCUUCCAUGGCCGGCGGCGGAGCUGCGUUUGGUGAUGCGCGACGAUGUUGCGGCCACGUUGACGGCAAAGCUGCGUUGGAGCAGAAGGUGCUACGAGCUGCUGCCAUGACCGGCGGCGCUACUGCACAGCAACGGCGAAGCUGCGUUUCAGCAGCAAACAGCUAUGAGCUGCUGCCAUGGCGGGCAGCAGAGCUACAUGGCAGCAUGCAGCAGGCGAUGCGUCAAUGAAACUUGGCCGGAGCUCCAUUGAAGCUUCGCCGGUGCGUCAAUGAAACUUCGCCGGAGCUCCAUUGAAGCUUCGCCGGUGCGUCAAUGAAGCUUGGCCGUAGCUCCAUUGGAGCUUCGCCGGGGCGUCAAUGAAACUUCGCCGGAGCUCCAUUGAAGCUUCGCCAGUGCGUCAAUGAAGCUUCGACGGGGUGGCUCGGUGUUGCUAUGGAGCAGCACCCGGUGGCUCUCGGUGUUGUGAUGCAGCGGUCGCCGGUGGCUCCGGGGACGCGAGGUCGCCGAGGCAGGGUGACAGGGGAGGGUCUGCGUUGCUCUGCAUCAGGAGGAGUUGUUGUGCGCUGCUCUGUAUCAGAUGGCUGGGGAUUAGUGGAGAAAGGCCCAGGUUGUGUCGCGGCGAUCGAACGACCAUCUGUGCGGACCGAACGGCUGGCUGGGCGGAUGAUAUCUCUAGGAAAUCAUCCGCCUGAUUUGUAGCAGCCGCCUCCUAUUCCUGUGUUUUUGCAAUUCUAUGAAUCUGUCUAAGACGAGUAUCCGAGAAAAUACACCCGGCUUACCAAAAAGCACUAAGCAACAUGUCUUUUUCUCGUAGUGGCCUUUUAAGGUUUUUAUUUUACUUCAUAUAGGGCUCAAAGAGCCAACCUCGCCACCAACAUCGCCUACCAAACUUUGCCCAAGACGUCAUGUCCAUGAUCACAGACCAGUCAGGUUUAAACAUGUUUUCAUCUCUAUGAAAUUCACACAAAAAUUCCAAAUUGACUAGGUGUUUAAACUUAUGUUUCGACAAAGACUCAGACACCUGGACAUUUGAAAAUAGGACAAACGUCGACGCUCACAUGGACGCACCUAGACUCACAUCUAUGAACUUAUACACUAUCUCACUAAAUAGCAUAAAACUACUACAAUUCGGACUAGAGUUUCAAAAAACUACUAAAUAUAUUUUUCCGCUCAUAACUACUAAAUCAGGGGUCGGCUGUUUCAAAAAACCCAAAUCAUCGAGUCUUUAGUAAUUGAUCACGAUUAUGACAGUUGGGGCCAAGCGUAAGAUAACCGUUUGUUUGACCGUUUAGUUUGAAUGUUAACUUACAUGUGGGUCCCACAUGUUAGUUUUUUUAAAAGCAAUCAGGUCCCUGUAAGUUUUCUAAAAUAGCAACCGGGUACAUGUGAGUUUUCUAUAAGGUCCCUAAAAGUUUUUGCAAAAAGCAAUAUAAUCAGGUCUCCAGAGGAGCCGCGCCCGCGGCAGCCUGCUCGAUCCCGAGCGCUCUGCCCGAACCACGACGCUGCCUCCAUCGGCCGGCCAGCCGCGCCCGCAACGGCCGAAUCCACGCCGUGCCUCGCCUGCCACCAUGGCGUGACUCGCAUGCCGCCAUGUCAUGCCUCGCUGGCGGCCGCUGCCACGCCGUGCCUCACCUGUGGCUGCCGCCAUCCCCUGCCGCGAGCUCCUCAAGCUAGACGUGGACGGCCUGCGCCGCUGCUGGAGUGCGCACCUCCCAUUGCCGCGGACGAGGUCGCUGUCUGCUAUGCCUCCUCGAAGCCACCGUCACCACCAGGAGCUACGGUGAGCACCUACCACGACCAUGGGGAGGGUGGGAAGGAGAGGGAGGGUCGCCGCCAGCCAGGCCCGGCCCGGAUGGAGGGGUAGGGGGCGGCCGCCCCAGGCCCCCGAAAUUGAGGGGACCCCACGUUCGUGUGCUCUCUGUAUCCAGCCCAUGUGCUCUCUGUAUCCAGCUGAUGAGAAAAAAUGAUUCUGGGCUACUUUUGAUGAAACAGACCUGUACAUGUAGUGGAACUUGUGUUUCCCUCGCGUAGGUCCGCGGAUGACGACAUGAGCGAUCAACCUAGCGAUAUAUCCUACAAGCCCGAGGGAAACCCCGCCGCCGACACAGCCUCCUCCCGUGGAGGCCUCCCCCGAUGAUUUCUCGUCCAAUGGCGGAUCGAGUAAUUUCAUGUUCAUCGCCCUGGACAGGAGUAACAACACCACCGGCCCUGGCAGGCAGUUUUAAACUACAGAGGUCAGGUUAGCAUCUUCCUGAUGCAUCAUCCAACGGAGCUAGCUAGAUUGAUAUGUGACUAGUUGGUGGCAGAAUUAUUAGAUCUAGUGUAUUAGCGGAGAGGAGUAGGACGUAGUUGUCCUUCUGACUAAUUUUUUUAAUGCAAUCCUUCCGAUUAAUUAAUCUGGUCGUGUUGGAGAUCGAUGAAAGAUGAGGGGAGAGGAUGUCUAGAAUCCAUGGGAUAAUGAUAAUUGGCAAGCUGAAAUUAAUUGGAGGAUUCAUGGUCGAUUCAAUAUGAUUAGGUGGCAAAAUUAAUUUUUAGUAGCUAAAAAAAUUAACUUUUAGUGUUGCAAACUAUGAAGCUAUUCUACCUGCAUGCCACCAAGAGCAGUUCAAAUUACUUUUUGUUUGCCAAACUAUGAAAUAUACAAUGCAUGAAACUUCCCUAUCAAAAUCUUAGCAAAAGUGAGAAAUAAUAAUUAUAAUAAUGUAUAAUUAGAACCCGGAACUAGGUCGACCAGCUGGUUUUGCACGCCAUGAUAAAAAAAUUAACAACAAUUCAUGUUUAAAAUUUAUCUAGACAUGCACAUAAUGAUUAUAAUUUUGGAUAUAUAAAGGGCCUCCGAUUGUAUUUUUGCCCCGGGCCCCUGAAAUCUCAGGACCGGCCGUGCCGCUAGCUUGGGAUGGGAGGGGACGGUCGUCGGCUUGGGAGCGGAGGGGAGGGUCGCCGGCUUGGGAGGGGAGAUGGCCUGCUCGGGAGACACCAGAAGAGAGACGAGAAGAGACAAAGAGGAAGAAGAAAGAGAAUAGCAAGAGGAAACUUACAUGUAGGCCCCACAUGUAAGUUAACGGCCAAACUAAGGUCAAACUGACAGUUUGUUUAGGUGCGGGCCCAACCUGUCGUGACCGUGAUCAACCGAUAAGGACUCGGGGAUUUGGGUUUUUUGAAACAGCCGACCCCCCGGCUUGGUAGUUAUCAGCAAAAAGAAUUUGGUAGUGUUUUGUAACCCUAACGUGAAUUGUAGUAGUUUUAUGCUAUUUACUCAAACGAUCUCUAUGAGCAUUUUCAAGAUACUGAACCGGCACAUCAUUUUGAGAUUGGUGAACACCACAGACGUCUUCAUAGUUGACAGAAACGUCUCCUCCCAAUGAACGAACAUCGCAAAAGCCUGAAAUAAAUCCCAAAAACUGUCAGCACCAUUACCAAGUUUAAAACUUGAACCCUGAUAGGGUUGGUUCCACCACAAGAAAUCUAACUAUUUGAGCCAUGCACAUCUCAUAGUUUUCCCUGUGGCCAUGGAGGGUGCCACAUAUGUAACCCAUUAAUAUGGGAACCCAUACCUGUAAGCUUGUCAGCAUUUAUAGGCUAUAUAUGCUAAUCAAUUAUAAAAAAAACUGGGAUAACAAGUUUGAACUACACCCAUUAUUCCUCCGCCUAUAUAUUGUCGUGCAUGCAUGCCAGUGCCAUAUACGGAAACAAACCGACCGAGAAGGCCCUUAAUUAACAGCUAGCUAGCUCUCUUGGUCGAAUAUGGUAACUGCUAAUGCUAUUGGCUCCGGCGACCUGAGCAUCCGUGUCCUGAGUCGCCGCCUUGUCAAGGCCUCCGACCCAUCUACCAAGCCGCACGUAGCCGCCUUCUCGAACCUCGACCUCUACCCUGGCAACGAGCAGGCCUCGAUAGUAUGCCUCUACCCCAAGCUCCCAAACGCCGGUGACUUCCCGGCGGUUGUAGCCACCUUCGACUCCAUCCUCCCGUCGUUGCUCAACGACUUCUACCAUUUCGCCGGGCGCAUCCGCACCAACCCAAGCUCCGGCCUCCCCGAGCUGCUCUGCGACAACCAAGGCGCAGAGCUGGUGGUCGGCGAGGCCGGUGUCGCCAUGGCCAGCCUGGACUACGGCCUGGCGGAGCAGUCGUUGAAGAAGAUAAUGCUUCCGUACGCCGAGGACGUCACGCUCUCGGUUCAGCUGCUCUCCUUCGCCUGUGGCGGCUUCUCCGUCGUGUGGGCGACCAACAACCUUGUGUGUGACGGCCAAGCCUUCACCAUGUUCGUCAGGAGGUGGUCCGAGCUCGCCCGAACUGGGCGCAUCGUCGACGGACCGCCCAACCAUGACCGCUCGGUGUUCAGCCCUCGCAGGCCGCCGUCGUACGGAGCCUCGAUCAGGGACAUGUUCGCGACGUACGACCAUGACCGGCUGGUGAACGUGCUGACGGCGCACGACAGCUUCGUCGAGCGCCUCUACUACAUCGAGGCGAGCGACAUCGCUGCCCUGCGGGAGGCGGCAAGCAGCAAGCUCCAGCGCCCGUCGCGCGUCCAGGCGGUGUCCGCGUACCUGUGGAAGGCCCUCGCCCGCGUGGUGGCCGCGUCCCGCGUGCCGGAGGAGCGCUGCUGCAUGGGGUGGAUGGUGGACGCGCGGCGGCGGGUGAAGGCGCCGGAGCUCGUCCGGGCGAUGGGCAACUACUUCGGCAACGUUACGGCCUACGCUCUCGGGGAGGCAGCCGUUGAGGAGAUACAGGAGAAGGAGCUGUCGGAGGUGGCGGCCAUGGUGCGGGAGACCAUCACGUCUAUCGACUACGAUGAGUACACCCAGGAGCUGGUGGACUGGGUGGAGGAGCACAAGACAGAGAGGCUGAUGGAGAAGGGCGUCAUCGGGCUCGGUACGCCCACCUUGAACCAGACGGUGUUCGCGUCGUUCCCGCUCGACACCGACUUCGGCUUCGGCCAUGCCGUGCUGGCAAUGCCCAUGUGCGACUACGGGAGGCUCAGCUCGGGGUACCUGUCGAUCGGAGCUCGGCCGGGAGGCGACGGCUCCUGGCUGGUCAACGCCUACAUAUGGCCUCGCCUCGCGGCGGCGCUUGAGUCGGACCAGCAGCGCAUCUUCAAGCCUCUCACGGCGGAGUAUCUAGGGCUCGUCUAGGCGUACCACUCUGCUGUCUGCCCGGUUUCUUCUUCAAUAAGUCUUUGCUUCGUCUUUUGAGGCAUGAAAGCAGCUCGUGCUUGUUUUACUUCCACCUAUUUUGCAAUACCCCAAAUAAAGCCCUUCUGUGUGGAGGGUAGUUUGUUUGAUCAAUAAAUGUUUGAGUCGUUCAUAAGGUUUCCUUGAUUAGUAUACAAAUCAGUUGAUGACUACGUUUCACAACUCAUGUGCAUGGAGAUGCUAAACCGAUAGUAUGGACUCGGGGAUGGAGACCACGCAGUCGGACAUACCAACUCUGAGACGCAGCGAGAUGUUGUCAUAUGUUAGUGUCAAGCACAAUGUUUAUGCCAUGUCCUAGACCUAAGGUCCUCGCAUGUUCUCGGGAUGAGUAUCGACUCACUUAAGGUCUAUCAAACGCUACUCCAUAACUGGCUAGAUAUAAAUGUAGCUUUUGGGUGGGUGGUGAGAUAUGCCGCGAGACAUGGCCGACCAAGAUGGGAUUUACCCCUCCUAUUUGAAGAGAUAUUUUCUGGACCCUCUCGAGGGAUCGGAUUCGGAAAGCAUGACCAUGCGACUUGGUUAAGUGUUAACCCAGUGCGGGAAUCUAUAUCACGGUGUCAAGAAGAGAGGUCGAGCUACCACAAGGGUGACAAGUACUCACCUUGAGCUUGACAACAUAUAUCGUGAGGCAAAAGGAAUGUUGCAGAUGAUACAUUGUCGAGGUUCUUCGAACGACUUUACACGCACAUGAGAGUUGGCACGUUCAGCGAGGAGCUGCUACCAACUAUCGACUCUGGUCGUGUCCAUGUGUACGUAAACCUAUAGGGUCGCACACUUAAGGGGCUGCAGGCCAUUCGGAUUGGAUUCGAGUGGAAAUGGUUUUACUCCUAGUGGGCCUCAAGUAUUGAGCCUAUCUCGGAGGUCUAUAUAUAGGGGAGUGGCCGCACAACUGAGGUUGAUCUUUUUCCACCAUGGACAGCCUCCAUCGCAACUCCCCACGCCCAUCCCGCGCGACCUAACCUAGAUGCCUACCGCCCGACGCUGCUCCCCGUACGUGUGGAUACCUUGCAGGCAUCGCAUCCGUGGUGCUUGGAUGAACUGUUCGAGGGAACCGCGAGGUGCCGUUCGCGGGAGAUCAACGUUCACAGGUCUUUGUUGUUCGCGGGAGAUCGACGACGCGAGGAGGAGACGCCUCGGGAGAUCGUCUACAUGCAUCUCCAACUCUAUUUUCUGCUGCGGUUACUGCGCGUCUAGUGGUAAACUCGAUCUCAUGAUCUAUUUCCAGCAACUUGAUCUUGGGUGCGUGGUAGAAUUUUUUUUAUUUGGCUCUAGCUUAGCAUACCGCGUGUUUCUACAGUCGUAUCAGAGCCUAUGCUACGUGGUAUUAGAUUCAAGGUAGAAUUUUCAAAUGAUGAUAUGUAGAUUGCUUUAUGUACUGGCCGAUGAGAUCGGUUGUCAAUAUGAUUGACUAUACAUGGUGUCAGGCAUUCGAAAUUGUGAUCUAAUUUUCCGUGAUGAUGUUGUGGAGGUCGUGGCACAAAUUACCUAUACCGGUCGGUUUCGGCCAUCGGGUAAGACAGUGGAACGUAAAGUCGGUCACAACACGCGAAGACCAAUGAGAUUGGUUGAAUCAGAUAGAUGGUCAAAAUAGGAUAAAUAUGAUUUGCCGGUGAAAAUUCCCAUGCAAAAAUGCAUAGAUAUUGCAAGGGCGCUGCCAGUUGACCCCACAGGGGGCAAAGCCCCAUCGACCCCCAUCCUGUUAAUCUCUUAGGGCGGUGGAUAACUUGUUUUUGCAGGUAAUGCUUGUGAUUUGGUACAACCCGGGUAUGUUGCAUGUACGUAAUUAUAUCAUGACCUGCGUGUCGAGAGUACAAUAACUGGUUGGAGCCAUAUGGUUGUCCCAUUAUUGUAUUAAUGACCUUCAUGUCAACAUGAGAAGCAUUGUAUUGUUAUUUACUUUCAAUAGCUAUUAGUUUGUAAUAGCGUAGUAUCUUAUGUAACACUUGGCGGUUGACACCAUGGCGUGGAGAUGAAGAUCUCCACGAGGACAACCAUGCAUGGAGAUGGAGAUCACCAUGGGCAGGCCGUGCAGGUGGAGACGAAGAUCACCAUGCGAUAUCAAAAGGGGCUAAACCAUAUCACACAUAUAAACUGCCUGUGAAAGUUUAUCUCUGUUAUGCACCCUUCUUUUGCAUGGUAGACGUUUCAAGUAGGGUGAUCCCUCAAAGAAUGUCAAGUAAAAAUGCCUCUCCAAAUGUUGCACCAUCACACAUCAAGUAUACUUAGUGGUGGGAUUAUAAAAUUAAGGUGCCAUUUGGUGUCCUUGAAGUGAUGGGUUCGGUUCGGACACUUACAUGCAUAGCAUUGGUUAUCUUGUCGUGGCUAUCAAAACAGUUUUGGGCCUCGAGGCGUAGGAGUUGGUGCGACAUGAGAUGUCCCCAACAACAAGAGUCGUAUGGAGACACGAUUAGCAAGAAAUACUUAUGGAGUGAUCUCGUCUUCUAGCAGUGAUGCAAAUGCUCACUAGUUAACAUGUUGAUCUUGGAUCUUGAAUCACUAAGUAUCAUCUGAGGGAUGUUGAUUUUAUUUGGAGUGAUGAUCUUAUUAAAAUGUUUAAUAUGAAUUACUCUUCAUGAAUACAUGUCUUAGUGUUUUGCAUCUUUCUGUUGGAGAUCAGAGGCACCACCUGCUCAAGUUACUCCUUUUGCGCUGAAAACAAUCCUAGAAAAAGAUAAAUGGAAUGGGACAAACUUUACGACCUGGUAUAGAAAUCUGGGAAUUGUUCUUAGGCAUGAGAAAAAGGACCAAGUUCUAGAAAAUCCGCUUCCAGAUGUACCUGCCAAGAAUGCUAAUGCCACAACCAGGAGUGCCUACCAGAAACCCAUUGAUGAAUAAAAUGAGAUCAUCUAUCUCAUGCCGGCUUCAAUGGAGCCCGAUCUACAGCAGCAGUUCGAAAACAUUAAGGCUUUCGAUAUGAUCGAGAACCUCAAAAGCAUGUUUCUGAUGUAGGCUAGGACCGAAAGGUUCAACGUCUGGCUAUCCUUGAUGGAUUGUAAGUUGAAUGAAAGUGAUCAAGAUGACUAGGUACAUGCAAGCUUUGGAUUGGUUGGGCUUCCCACUUGGGAACGUUCAACUCGAACUACCAUAUGCAUGGGAUGGAAAAGAAGCUCACUGAAUUGCAUGGGAUGCUCAAGGUGGCAGAGCAGGAUAUAAAGAAAGUUACGCAUCGUCAAGUGUUGAUGGUGCAGAACUGGGCUAAGUUCAAGAAGAGAUGUUCCAAGAAAAAGCAUAAGGCAAACGGCCAGGAGGAGAAGGCAACUCCAACUUCUGCCGUUGCGCCUAAGUCAGGGCCAGCCGGGGACCGUUUUCUUUCACUGUAAGGAACACGGCCACUAGAAAAUGAACUGCAACAAGUGGCUUGUCGAGAAGGGCAAGAAGACUGGAAGUGUCACUUCUUCAAGUACACUUAUUGUAUAUGUUAUAGACAUUUAUCUUGCUGAUGUUUCUAGUAGCUCUUAGGUAUAUGUUACCGGAUCGGAUGUUCACAUAUGCAUCUCGAUGCAGAGUCUAAGAAGAACUAGGAAUGUUGGAAGAGAAGUUGACAUACACAUCGUGAAUAAAGCAAGAGUUGAUGCAUUGGCCGUCAGCACUAUGCAACUUAAUUUACCUUCAGGAUUUGGAAUGGAACUUGAUAAUUGUAAUUAUGUUCCUGCUUUGAGUCAAAACAUUAUUUCUGCCUCAUGUUUGAUGAUACAAGUUUAUGAAAUAAGUAUUAAGGACAAUGGUUGUUCUAUGUACUUGAAUAAAAUGUUUCAUGGCUUUCCACCUAUUGUGAACGGGUUAUUAAUCCUAGAUCUUGAAGGUGAGCCAGUCUAUAACAUAAAUGUCAAGAGGCAUAAGCCUAACGAAAUAAACCCGACUUACAUCUGGCAUUGUCGACUAGUACACAUUAGUAAAAGUGCAUGAGGAAGCUCAAUGAUGAUGGAAUUCUAACUUCAUUUGAUUUUGAAUCAUUCGAGACAUGUGAGUGUUGCCUUCUUGGCAAGAUGACUCAGACUCCUUUUGCAAGGAGUUGCGAAAGGACGUCCGAGUUAUCGAAACUCAUCAUAGUGAUGUAUGUGGACCAAUGAGCACGACAGCAGGUGGUUUCCAAUAUUUCGUGACGUUUACAGAAAACUUGAGUAGAUUUGGAUAUGUCUACUUGAUGAGGCACAAGUUAGAAACUUUUGGAAAGUUCAAGGAGUUUGAGAGCGAAGUGGAGAAUCAACUCGGCAAGAGAAUCAAACUUCUACGAUCUGAUCGUGGCGGUGAGUAUAUGAGCCAGGAGUUUGAUGAUUAUCUAAAGAGUCGUGGAAUAGUUCCACAACUGUAUCCUCGGGGUAUGCCACAGAGAAAUGGCGUGUUGGAACGAAGGAAUCGGACUCUGUUAGACAUGGUCCAAUCAAUGACGAGUCGGUCGGAUUUACCUUUGUUAUUUUGGCGAUACGCUCUAGAAACUGCGUAUUUCACACUAAAUAGGGUACCAUCCAAGUUUGUAGAUAAGACGGCAUAUGAGAUAUGGACUGCGAAGAGUCACAGUUUGUCUUCUCUAAAAAUUUGGGGUUGUGAAGCAUACGUCAAGCGACUCCAGUCAGACAAGCGCACACCCAAGUCGGACAAGUGCAUAUUCGUGGGGUAUCCAAGGGAAACCUUGGGAUCUUACUCCUACAUCCGUGAAGACUGCAAAGCGUUUGUCGCUCGACAUGGAGUUUUCCUUGAGAAAGAGUUUCUCAAUCAGAAGGCUAGUGGGAGGAUGAUACGACUCGAGGAAAUUCGAGAACCACAUGGAGUUAGUCAGGGAACCCAUGGUGGAGUCGACGCCAAUUCCACGGAGGUCAGAAAGGUUGCGCAAUAUGCAUGACUGCAAUGUGUUGUUCUUGGAGAACAACGAGCCGGCAACGUAUGCGGAAGCCAUAGAGAGCCCUGAUUCCGAGUUAUUGCUUGAGGCCAUGAGAUCCGGAUUAAAGUCCAUGGAUGGCAAUCAAGCUUGGAACUUGGUUGAUCUGCCAGAUGGCGCUCGAGGCAUUGAGUGCAAACUGGUAGUGAUGCCUAAAUAAAUUAGGACCAUUCUUGCUAUAUCUGCAUAUUUCGACUAUGUUACUAUUAUGUUCUUCAACAGAAGGUCCCAAAUGUUGUUGUGCCUCUGCUGAUGGACGCCGAAAGUGAGAUGACAAUUGUUUGCCCUUUGAAGAUCAGAUUCAAAUAUACAUACUCGACCGAGCGUUAAUCAAAUGGAUGCCUCAAAAUUGAGUGAUGGAGGCAAAUAGUCAAUGAGCUCGGGCCACAAAUUGGAGACCGGGGAUCUCUGUGGUCCAUCAUGGAGAUGUAGUUUUUUUUCUCUGUUUUAUUCUAUUUUACCUAAGACACUGGAGUAGGUCAUAGUACUUGUCAUGUGCUUGAAAGUUACUUACCUAGGAUGAUGACAAUUAGUUAGUAGUGGUUAACUUAUGAUGAUGAUGAUGGUGAUGAUGGUGAUGAUGAUGAUGAUGAGACAUUUUUAUAUAAUUAUGAUCAUGAUGAGCUGUUAUAUCACUACGAUGAUGAUGAGUUAUAUCAUUUUGAUAAUGAUGAGUUGUUACAUGAUGAUGAUGAUGAUGAUGAUGAUGAUGAUGAUGAUGAUGAUGAUGAGUUGUUAUAUAGUUGCUUGUGUAUAAAAAUCUGUAUAAUUAUUGUAUAAAUAUAGUAUAAUAUGUAGAAAGGAAAUACAUAGAGUUAGUAGUGGCGGGGGGCCUCGCGCUAUAGCUAGUUAUUAGUAGCACGGGCCAAACACCGCGCUGCUCCUAAUGUAAGUAGUAUUAGAGCCGAGCCUGGCCCGUCUUACUAGGAACCAGUUAGCUACACGCUGAUGAGUUGUUAUAUGAUGAUGAUGAUGAUGAUGAGUUUUUAUAUAGUUGCUAAUGUAAGUAGCGAGGCAACCCGCACUACUCCUAUGCCUUUAAACCGCGCCACUACUAGCCUUAUCCCUUGUAGUGACGGGCAGAUGGAGCGAUGAAAUGCGCAUGUCCUCAAUGGGCUCCAAACGAGAACAUUCGCCUAACUCAAGAAGUGUGGCCGGUGAUGGAUCGAUGAGCUUCCCUAUGUUCUAUUUAGUGUAGAUAUCACUCUUAAUUAACUUGUUUUUCUGCGGAUAGUAACUAACGCUUUGAGCCUUUGUGGUUUAUCUCACAAUUUUUGUCUUCACAACUGGAGUAGGCCACAAUGUUGAGAUGCAAAAAAAGGUCCAUAAACUAAUUAAAUGGAAUAUCAUUUAGAUACGACACUUAUAAGAUACACUAAAUAUUAAGAGACGUGUUGAGUAUAUAAUGAAUAGGGGUCAUUGUCUCUAAAUAGUUUUCACUAAAUAGGAUGAUGUGUUAAGAGACACUGCGUUGUGAGUUCCCUUUCGCUAAAUUAAUUUGCCCUGGUUCGAUUGCAGAGAUGUGUGCGGAGUUUCUUGGGGGAGUUUGGCAGCCAAUCGAUGAUAACUAGUUCUAGGACGCUACUAGGUCAGAUUCAAAACUGAACAUAUGGCUUGGUCCAAGAGUUUCGGCUCUCACAACCUGAAAAUCUGCAGCUUUCACACUAAAUAUUAAGAGAUUCGAAACUGAACAUAUCUGUCAUUGGUUUGAUGCUGUGGGUCCGUUUCAUUAUCUUUUUUUUUAUCAGGUAGUUGGACGGCCACACCAUGCCCUGAAAAUCUGUCUAGAUCUUGAUCGGGAGGCAUAAGAUUUCUUAUUCUGACAACCCUGAAACUGUUUGCCAUGCAUGCAUUAUCCUUCGCAAAGCGAAUUAAGUUGCCCCUAGACAAGGGCGGAUGGAGUAUAGUUCACUGUAGCUUCAUGAUUCUUUUGUCAGCUUAUUUUUUAGAGCUGCGGCUAUCAUAUUUACACCUGCUGUUAUAUCUGUUUCCAGAACCAUGUGUCAGCAGCUUCUGUUAUCAUAGCCAAUAAAACUAUCACGAAGCUACAGUGUGAGCAAUGAAGACGUUAUAUAAACAGGGAUAAAAUAUAUUGUGCUAAACUGCUCUAUCCAAAACCAUGUGUCUGCUCCUCUUGUUUGUUUCUUUACUAUUUUUCAUAUUGUGGAUGAUCAUGACGAUACAUACUAAAGAGUUUUGCAUAGCAUAUGUAAUUUCAUGCAUACAGACAAUGUUUUUUUAUUGGUGUAUUAUUUCACUCUGUUAAGACAAAAUUAUAUUUUGGAAUAUUGAAAUAAUAAUAUUAGGUAAAUCAUACAUGUGCACUAUGAAGCUAACUUUGUGCAAGAGAAAUGAGUAAAAUUAAGGACAAGAUUUAUACCUAUGCAAUACAAAAAAAAACUAUCUGCAGCAGUAAAUUCAUGUAGCUGGCAACAUUACUGGUACAAAUUAGAUCUAAUUAUAGUGCAUACAUGUACCUUUUUUAGAAAACAAAUCUUGAAACUUCGAUAGAAAAUUUUACGAUUUAUGAAAUUUGAAUGGGAAAACUAAACCAAAACCAAAAGGCCGGGAGUUAAAUGUGAGUGAAAAUAAAUGUCAGGAGGUAUUUGUCAGUGAAAAUAAAUAUGAGUGACACUUCUCCAUGCAAAAAUGUUAGUGAAAAAACUUGAAUUUUCACUGUAAAAACAACCCCAAAAUAAAGGAGGAAGCAGAACCAUCGAAAUGUUUAUGAAACGAACAACCACCAACAUAAGAGAGAAGUCACCAUACUCAUUAAGACGCCCAUGUUCAUCUGAGUAGUUAAGCCACUGCAUAGCAAUUAAUAGAAAGAAAACUGCAUAGAAAUUAAUUUUGAUGGGCUCGUGGAUCACGGCAGAAGCAUGCAUGAAUGCAUAUGUCUAUCGUUGCAGGUCAUUCAUGAGAGCAAUGCAUUCAUAUCUAUCUUUGCACGGAUGGAAAAAUUAGUCUGGCGCCAUAUAUCUUCUAUUUGUUAUACUACAGAAAGACAUAUUAAAAUAAAGUUGCCCCUAAACAAGGUGGAUGGACGACCACUCAUUUUGGCAGACUGUACUCGCACAAUUCGUUUUCCCAAUAAUAAUGUGAAUGGAGAGAGUAUAAUUCACACUGUCGCUUCAUGAUUCUUUUGUCAGCUUAUUUUUUAGAGCUGCCUUUUUUUUUGCGGGAAUAUUUUUUAGAGCUGUCAGCUAUUAUAUUUACCCCUACUGCCAUAACUAUUUCCAGAGCCAUGUGUCGGCAGCUUUUGUUAUCAUAGCCGACAAAACUAUAACGAAGCUACAGUGUGAGCCAGGAAGACGUUAUAUUUUCAGGGAUAACAUAUAUAUUGUGCCAAACUCCUCUAUCCAAAACUAUUUGCCGGCACCUCUUGUUUUGUUUAUUUACAAUUUUAAUAUUGUGGAUGAUCAUGACGAUACGAAGUAAAGAGUUUUGCAUAGCAUAUGUAAUUUCAUGCAGGCAGACAACACUUUUUUAUCAGUGUAUAAUUUUGCUCUGUAAAGACAAGAUUUUAUCUUGUGAUAUUGAAAACAUAGUGUUAGAUAAAUCAUAGAUGUGAUCUUUGUGGAUAAAUUUGUGCAAGAGAAUUGAAUAAAAUUAAGAACAAGUUGUAUACCUGUGCAAUAAAGAAAACUAUCUGCAGUAGUAAAUACAUGUAGGUGGCAACACUCACAUUUUGGUUAUUCCUGUAUAAACAUUGCUAGUGCAAAUUGGAUCCUAUAUAUUGUGCACACGGUGUUCCCGUCCUCGGAUGGUUUCCCCUUGUUCGGUCUUGCUCAUUCUCGUUGCUCACAAGCUCAUGCAAUUGAGAACCUGAGAUCUUCAAUCUGGCCAUCUGGGAUUUCCGGACUUCUCCUUCGAAGGAAAACAAGGACUGGCACAUAUGGCGCUCUUUGGACACCUUGACUAGAUAGGGGCCUGUCGUGUGCACCCGCAACAUCAGCAUAACCAGCUUUACCGGGGUAUCGUGCAGCUCUGUUUUUGUUGGCACCUUGGGACAUGUCUGCACCAAGAUUCCCAUGGGAUCAACACAUGUGGAGAAUGUCAUGGCGUGAUUGAAGGACUUGCAAGUGGCAAAGGCGGGGUCUUGGAUGCGAUGAAGACUUUGCUUCAUAGGCAGUUGUUUAGACAUGGCUUACGGGAUAUGUUCCCAUCCAGACGGGACGUGAAUUCCUGUGAGCCUAAUGGUGCGUGACUUGCAGUAGUAGCCUCCGCAAGUGGGGGUGGCGGCAUUGGAGGACUUCUUUGUUAUUCGGUGCUCCUCUGAGUACCCAAUCAGGAUUUCCAAGGUGAAAACCCAAGGUCUGGCCUUUAUUGGUUGUGCCUGGCAGUAGUCUUGUUGAAGGCAUUAUUGUUGGGAACCUCAUCUUUCUCCAGGGUGAAAACGUAAUAUCUUUGAUCAGGCAACGACAACGCUUGUGCUUUGUUUCCUUCCUGGAGGCAUUGCUUUUGGAGAACCUAUUUUGUAGUCCGGGUGCCAUCUUUGGUGGUGGUUAGAGUGCGGCUACUUCGGGUAUUGAUCACCGUGGUGGGAUAUUUUUUCUUCUCUUUUUAUUUUGAUUUUUAGUUGUGUGCAUCCUGGAUGUUUUUAGGCAUCUUGUUGUUGCAGAGUCUGGGAGUAAUUGGUAUCUGCUUGAUAUUAAUACAUUCUCCUUUACAAAAAAAAAUUACAUAUGCCUUUUCUAGAAUUUUUUUCCUAAAACUUCCAGGGAUGAUUCUAUCAUUUGUUUAAUUUUAAUGGAAAAAUUAAACCAAAACCAAAACGUCAGGAGGUAAAUGUGAGUGAAUAUUAAGGUCAAGAGGUAAAUGUGUUUGAAAUAAAUAUGAGUGACACUUCUCCAUGUGAAAUUGUUAGGGAGAAAACUAGACUUCUCUCUGUAAAAAUAACCCCAAAAUUAUGGAGGAAACAAAACCAUCCAAAUAAACAAUAUAUUGAGAAGUCUAUGAAACGAACAACCACCAAGAUAAAAGAGAAUUCGCCAUACUCAUCAAGACGCCCACAUGUCAAUAGCUCAGUCAGUCAACAUUAUAGCAAUUAAUUUUGAUAGGCUCAAGGAUCAUAGUAGAAGCAUGCAUGAAUCGUUGCAGGUCAUUGAUGAGAGCAAUGCAGAUCACUAUCUUUGCAUGGUCAGAAAAAUUAUUCUGGCGCCACCUAUCUUCUAUUUGUUAAACCAUAUGAAGGCGCAUAUCUCAUCACGAACGAUUAAUCAACAAUAUAUACUACACAAUGACACAUUAAAAUUAUUGCACAUGGGCGAGAUUGAUGGCUUUAUCCUUCAUAUGAUCCAAAUAAUCGUAUUUAUUGUUCACACUGUAACAACAUAAUGGUUUUGUUGGCUAUCUACCCCUGCUACCAUUCCUAUCUCUUGAGCAACAUGCUAGUAUCUUUUGUUUAGUUUAGCUAAAAAGAUUGGAAUGAGAGAUUUCCUUUUUUUGUGCAAUAACAUGAUAGUACAAACUACUGAACUUUACAUAUUUAGGUACUCAAUAAAAUACUGUUAAAGAUAGCUAUAGACAUUAGUCAUAUUAAUUCAACCAUAAGAGAUUAUCAUGUACCAUAUUAGCAUGAUUACUGGUCCUGUUCAAGAAUUCGUCCGAUUAACCAGUUAACUUGGAAAUUAAUCCCUACUUGUAAGGUCAUCGUGUAGCCAAUAAACUGAUAAAUCCUCCGUUUAAUUUCUUAACAGGACAAUUAACUUGCCGAUUACCCUAUUAAUCCCCUACUCCCUAGCCAACCAAGCAGCUACCAGUUAACAAUUUCCUCAACAAAUUUACUGGUAUGUUCCUGUUUAGAUGGUUCACCAAUACACUUCCAAAGUUAUUUUUGAGAAUGAUGCACCCUUUUUACAUUUUUUUGGUAUUAUUCCAUCAAUGCUGCACUACAUCAUAGCAUCUUCUUCUUUUUGGAAUGGCUAUGAAAGGACACGAUAGGUAUGUCUGGUGAACUUUUUGUGGAGAUACUUGGGCUCAUGUGUCUGAGAAUAAGAGGAUGUCCUCCCAUAGGAUUUACAUAUACCAACAACUAUUAACCAUGUCUCAAUGUGAGAUUGGAGACUAAAGAGUCUAGAUUUUAUAAGAUUAACCGGAAGUGUUGACUUCAACCGUGUAUUACUAAUCCACUGCAGUUGAAUUUUUGCAGUUGAAUUUUGCAUAUGGCUAAUUUAUUAAUCAACACCUAGGAGGAAUAGUUUGUAGGAGUUACCUAUAGCGUUGCCCUGGCAAAAGGAAAUGUGAUUGUUUAUCAAAAUUGUUUCUACUUAUAUUGUUUUAUCCCGUUACUACUGCAGCACUAAUUUUUAGUUAACUAAUGAAAGAAAGGCAUCAUAUUGUUUUAUCCCAUUGAUACCAGAGCACCAAUUUUUAGUUCAUUAAUUAUGUUGCUAUCUUCAAGUAUUUUUAAUCUGGAGGAAGUUCCACAAAACAAAAAUGUGAGAGUCAAAAAGGUGAGGGGAAAACGAGCUGAAUACCACCUUCUUUGUCCUGUCUUGCUUAAUCCACUUGAAGCCAGAUUACCACUUCGGCAGGGUAUGCUGAUGGAACUCGAACUAGGAACCUCAGUGACAUUUGUAGCCAUACAUUCAAAACACCUCCAGGCACAUGAUUUCAAAAGAUAUUUUUGAAGCAACAGGUCACCAAGCGUCUAAUUGAGUGUUGUAGACAUGACAAUGUCUAAAAUGGCGACUUUGAGGAAGCGUAAUGGAACAAACAUUGUGUCAUGCAUGUGCUCUCUACCACACCCUCGACAAAAAUCAAGAUCCCAGUCCAGUGGAAUGAGGAGGACUAGGAUAUGGACGACGAAGGGCCCAGCAACUAGAUAGAGACAACUUAGGAGUGAGCCAUAGGAAGAUCAUCUAGUGCACUGGGUGUGUGGAUUUGAGGGCCCACUUGUAAGAGAGUGCGUAUGCGUUUAAAAGGGGCAAGUGAAUCAGACAUGUGCCGUAACUUAUCGAUGAAAUAAUAAUUGUUUGAACUCUCACCUACUCUGUUCUGCAUCUCACCCUCUUCAUCUGUUCUUCAACUUCUUCUCAUCCCCUACUCCAUAUUAUCCUCUCCAAUAUGUGAUUCUUCCACCAACACUAGUUGGACAUCACAGUUUGACAAUGGAAAUCUUGGUAAAUUUUUCUCUUUGACAGCACUCGGAAACAAUUGAUGCAGGCGCAAAUCCAUGAUAUAAGGGAUAUUUUCUGUAGCAUUGUUUGAAAAUACAUCAGUUACGCAAGGGCCCUUUUGCUUCUUUACUUCUUGUUCUGUGUGCACUCUGAUGUUCGAAGGUGCAGUGAUGGUAGACAGAUAUUUAGUUGGAAGAAAAAUAGAUAAACUCAGAUUUCGUGUAACCCGGGCUCACUCUUUUCAGUGAAUAAAUUAUUGUCACAAAAAACCAGCCUUUUGCUUCUCUUGAUGACAUUAUUCUUAGAAGUAAGAAUGUGCAUUUCUGCAGCCCAUGCUCAUGUGCUAUUUUUUCUUUUUAACUAGUGUAACAAAUGGGGUAGAUGUUUUUUUUUCUGUGCCAAUAAUGGUGUUAAGACUGCUAAAAUCUUGUAAGGGAAGAAAACAUUGAAGAGCAGAAAGAAGAAGAAAAUCAUUUAUUUAUAUAGAACUGACAUGCAUUUGAACAUCAACAGUCAUUUAUUAUUAAUAAUUCCGCAUUUUGUGAAUUCCUUUCUCCAAUGUUUUCUUCCAGGUUUAUUUACUAUGAUAGGCUCACCAGGAAAGGAACCUGAAAAUUUAAAUCGUGUCAAUUUCCUUUUCACACAAUUCUCUCAUGAUGCAAUGGUUUCAGAGAACGCUGUUGUUAUUUGCCAGACAUGUGAUGUUUAGUAUGACUUGAACUAACAUAACAUGCAUAAUACGUUUAUUGAGUACAUGAAGGUUGGUUUCUUUGAAUCAUUUUGGAUUAGCCUGUUUGCAAAGGCUAUUAUCAUUCCACCACUCAGUGAUUUAUGAAUAUCUCCCAUUCAUUUGAUGUGAGUUCCCUGCAACCACACACGAUAUUUCCCUUACUCCGUUUUCGGUAAGAUAUGGGAAACUAAACAUUCAAGGAUAUUGUUCCCACAAGUGGAGAGACUGAAAAAGUCGCGCGCGUUGCUCUCCNNNNNNNNNNNNNNNNNNNNNNNNNNNNNNNNNNNNNNNNNNNNNNNNNNNNNNNNNNNNNNNNNNNNNNNNNNNNNNNNNNNNNNNNNNNNNNNNNNNNNNNNNNNNNNNNNNNNNNNNNNNNNNNNNNNNNNNNNNNNNNNNNNNNNNNNNNNNNNNNNNNNNNNNNNNNNNNNNNNNNNNNNNNNNNNNNNNNNNNNNNNNNNNNNNNNNNNNNNNNNNNNNNNNNNNNNNNNNNNNNNNNNNNNNNNNNNNNNNNNNNGAGGCCGAACAGGUGAAGCCCGCCUCGGUGGGCGGCGGCAUCAGGGCAGUCUAUUCCCGCGGCAACUCAUCGCCCUGGACGGCGGAGCCCGCUCGCGGCACGGUGGCGAAAGUCGGCGCGUUGGAUCCCACGGUGGACCCCUCGUCAGCGUGGAGAGAUGCUUGUGUGUGGCUGACCGGGGUCGAGCACGAGGGAUUCGGGCCUUGUUCGCCGUAUCAAUCUCGCGACGACACCUAUGUCUUCAGCUGGUGCGGUCAGGGUGGUGACCCGGGCUGGCGGCGGCGACCGGUUCCUCCAUGGCUGGUGGGUUAAGUCCUUGACCUGGACGACCAUGUGACGAUGGGUGGUGGCAGAGGCCGCAGAACUAGCGUGCCAUCCAGAUCCAUCUCGGCGUGGCCUUGGCCGGCAGGCGAUGCGUGCAGGGACCGAUCUGGGGCGGCUGGAGGCCCUAUGCCGACGUUCCAGCGAUAGCUUACGUCUCCAUGGCGACGCAACUUCUAGUGAAAAUGUGCUGACUGCGGUCAUGGAAGAUGGUGGCAUCUCUAAUGUCGUUUCCUUCUUCGAGGCAUCGUCGUUUGUAAGCUGUGUCACUACGCUCGGGAUGUUCCGGGGGGAACUCUAUUUCUGGGUAUCCCGGAUCAGACGAUGACGGUGCCUUCAGCGCCAUUCUCCCUCCUAGGGGCAUUGUUCUGGAGCAGGUGCCGACUGGAAGAGACAAGUGGAGGAGCGGUGUUACAUCUACCGCAAGGAUGACGCAGGGUCUCGGUGGCGUGGCAAGGCAGAGUGUCGGCGACGAGCGCCCACGCUAGAUGGUUGAGCUAUCUGGUGUCGAGAUGGCCUGGCGAGAUGAAUACGUUGAUCGCUCCUGAAGGUGGGACAGCAGAACAUGGCGGUGGCUUAAUCUAAAGUGUGUGCAUGCUGUGCGCGCAAAGGGUCUAGCUAGACCAGUUGGUGCUCUCGAAUUGCCGGCAGACAUCUUGGUGAGGUGACCGGAAUAUAUGAUGUGUGUUGAUAAGUGGUCAGGGCACGGCAUUAAAGCUUGUAGGUGUAACGACAAUAGUUUCUAGGGAGGUGGCUUUGCCUUGAUCCAUAUAUUUGUUUUGUUUGGUUCCGUUGAAUAAUAUAAUAAAAUGGUUGUGUGCAUGGCCCGAUGCAUAGACUAGGGGUAAUCGUCUUUUUCGAAAAAAAGUAGAAUGGUACAGUCACACCAUUUUGCCAGUGACAUGCUAAAAAUGGCAUGAUAAACAAUUCCUGAAUGAUAAAUCACAUGGUGACAGUAUAUCUAUUUUAUAGGAAGAGCUGGAUAGAUUAGAGUAUACUGCCCCAGGAUUUUAAAGUGAGUGCGAGAGUUCAGAUUUAUUUACAUGUUUAGCUUCAGAGCUUCAGAACGUCUUUUUUUCACGAAUACACAAAGCUUGAAUAUCUUUUAUUGAUAGAAGAAAGAGAAUGAGUACAACAGAGGAUACAACACAUGGCAUGAACCCAAAGAGGCAUGAUCAUGGAACCCGGAGUAGAGAGACAAGGGGUGCUCAGCCCGAAUAGGGAAAUGACACAACUACACCCACAAAUCCUAAACAGAGAGGCAGGCCGAACAAGCACGGCGUCGAACAUCUCAAAAUCCAACACCAGGGACACCACGAGCGAACAAGAUAGCGCCUUCAGGAAGGGGUGCGACGUCGUGACACCGCCGCCAUCCGAUCCGAGGAACCGGAUCUAGGGUUUCCCCCAGCGCUCAAAGAGGGGCACGGAUAAAAGCCAUGGCAAAUAACUCACGAGUGUCGCCUCUGCCAACAUCGGCAAGAAGAGCAUGGAUUUCGCCUGGCCCAAGUCCGAGCAAUCCCAUAGCUGCCAAAUCAGGAUCCGAAGAUGAGGAAGACAAUCCGCUAGUCAACCACCGUCCCAGUACGGAGGUGGUGGGGCUGCACCUGCUGCCAAAAGAACACGAGCUUUGGAAAUGACAUGCCGUGGGUGUCGACGGGGUCGGGGAGGCAGCGUGGUAGACAGCUUGCAUGGAGGGUGGGAUGGUGACCGGCGCCGCUGACGAGAUGGAGCCGGAAGGGAGCACAAGUCCGAGCUGCCGGAGGUGAAGCCGCCAGAACACCGGCAAACCGAAGAUGCCGGAAGGGGACGCAGCGACCGGGGUGUUGGGGCUGAAAUUGAAGGAAAUAUGCCCUAGAGGCAAUAAUAAAGUUAUUAUUUAUUUCCUUAUAUCAUGAUAAAUGUUUAUUAUUCAUGCUAGAAUUGUAUUAGCCGGAAACAUAAUACAUGUGUGAAUACAUAGACAAACAGAGUGUCACUAGUAUGCCUCUACUUGACUAGCUCGUUAAUUAAAGAUGGUUAUGUUUCCUAACCAUAGACAUGAGUUGUCAUUUGAUUAACGGGAUCACAUCAUUAGGAGAAUGAUGUGAUUGACUUGACCCAUUCCGUUAGCUUAGCGCACGAUUGUUUAGUAUUCUGCUAUUGCUUUCUUCAUGACUUAUACAUGUUCCUAUGACUAUGAGAUUAUGCAACUCCCGUUUACCGGAGGAACACUUUGUGUGCUAUCAAACGUCACAACGUAACUGGGUGAUUAUAAAGGUGCUCUACAGGUGUCUCCACAGGUACUUGUUGGGUUGGCGUAUUUCGAGAUUAGGAUUUGUCACUCCGAUUGUCGGAUAGGUAUCUCUGGGCCCACUCGGUAAUGCACAUCACUUAAGCCUUGCAAGCAUUGCAACUAAUGAGUUAGUUGCGAGAUGAUGUAUUACGGAACGAGUAAAGAGACUUGCCGGUAACGAGAUUGAACUAGGUAUUGAGACACCGACGAUCGAUUCUCGGGCAAGUAACAUACCGAUGACAAAGGGAACAACGUAUGUUGUUAUGCGGUUUGACCGAUAAAGAUCUUCAUAGAAUAUGUGGGAGCCAAUAUGAGCAUCCAGGUUCCGCUAUUGGUUAUUGACCGAAGACGUGUCUCGGUCAUGUCUACAUAGUUCUCGAACCCGUAGGGUCCGCACGCUUAAAGUUUCGAUGACAGUUAUAUUUUGAGUUUAUAUGUUUUGAUGUACCGAAGGUAGUUCGGAGUCCCAGAUGAGAUCACGGACAUCACGAGGAGUCCCGAAAUGGUCGAGACAUGAAGAUUGAUAUAUUGGACGACUAUAUUCGGACACCGGAAUGGUUCCGGUGGUUAUCGGAUAUAUACCGGAGUACCGGGAGGUUACCGGAACCCCCUGGGGGUUUAAUGGGCCUACAUGGGCCUUAGUGGAGAAGAGGAGAGGCGGCUAGGGCAGGCCGCGCGCCCCCUCCCCCUCUAGUCCGAAUUGGACAAGGAGGGGGGCGGCGCCCCCCCUUUCCUUCCUCUCUCUCUCCUCUUUCCCCCUUCUCCUAAUCCAACAAGGAAGGGAAGGGAGUCCUACUCCCGGUGGGAGUAGGACUCCUCCUGGCGCGCCCCUCUCCUGGCCGGCCGCCUCUCCCCCUUGCUCCUUUAUAUAAGGGGGCAGGGGGGCACCCCAAAGACACAACAAUUGAUCAUUGAUCUUUUAGCCGUGUGCGGUGCCCCCCUCCACCAUAGUCCACCUCGAUAAUAUCGUAGCGGUGCUUAGGCGAAUCCCUGCGUCGGUAGAACAUCAUCAUCGUCACGACGCCGUCGUGCUGACAAAACUCUCCCUCAACACUCGGCUGGAUCGGAGUUCGAGGGACGUCAUCGGGUUGAACGUGUGCUGAACUCGGAGGUGCCGUGCGUUCGGUACUUGAUCGGUCGGAUCGUGAAGAAGUACGACUACGUCAACCGCGUUGUGCUAACGCUUCCGCGUUCGGUCUACGAGGGUACGUGGACACACUCUCCCCUCUCGUUGCUAUGCAUCACCAUGAUCUUGCGUGUGCGUAGGAAUUUUUUUGAAAUUACUACGUUCCCCAACAGUGGCAUCCGAGCCAGGUUUUAUGCCUAGAUGUUAUAUGCAUGAGUAGAACACAAGUGAGUUGUGGGCGAUACAAGUCAUACUGCUUACCAGCAUGUCAUUCUUUGGUUCGGCGGUAUUGUUGGAUGAAGCGGCCCGGACCGACAUUACGCGUACGCUUACGCGAGACUGGUUCUACCGACGUGCUUUGCACACAGGUGGUUGGCAGGUGUCAGUUUCUCCAACUUUAGUUGAACCGAGUGUGGCUACGCGCGGUCCUUGAGAAGGUUAAAACAGCACUAACUUGACGACUAUCGUUCUGGUUUUGAUGCGUAGGUAAGAAUGGUUCUUGCUCAGCCCGUAGCAGCCAUGUAAAACUUGCGACAACAAAGUAGAGGACGUCUAACUUGUUUUUGCAGGGCAUGUUGUGAUGUGAUAUGGUCAAGACAUGAUGCUAUAUUUUAUUGUAUGAGAUGAUCAUGUUUUGUAACAGAGUUAUCAACAACUGGCAGGAGCCAUAUGGUUGUCGCUUUAUUGUAUGCAAUGCAAUCGCCCUGUAAUGCUUUACUUUAUCACUAAGCGGUAGCGAUAGUCGUAGAAGCAUAAGUUGGCGAGACGACAACGAUGCUAUGAUGGAGAUCAAGGUGUCGCGCCGGUGACGAUGGUGAUCAUGACGGUGCUUCGGAAAUGGAGACCACAAGCACAAGAUGAUGAUGGCCAUAUCAUAUCACUUAUAUUGAUUGCAUGUGAUGUUUAUCUUUUAUGCAUCUUAUCUUGCUUUGAUUGACAGUAGUAUUAUAGGAUGAUCUCUCACUAAAUUAUCAAGGUAUAAGUGUUCUCCCUGAGUAUGCACCGUUGCGAAAGUUCUUCGUGCUGAGACACCACGUGAUGAUCGGGUGUGAUAGGCUCUACGUUCAAACACAACGGGUGCAAAACAGUUGCACACGCGAAAUACUCAGGUUAAACUUGACGAGCCUAGCAUAUAACAGAUAUGGCCUCGGAACACUGAGACCGAAAGGUCGAGCGUGAAUCAUAUAGUAGAUAUGAUCAACAUAAAUGAUGUUCACCAUUGAAACUACUCCAUCUCACGUGAUGAUCGGACAUGGUUUAGUUGAUAUGGAUCACGUGCUCACUUAGAGGAUUAGAGGGAUGUCUAUCUAAGUGGGAGUUCUUAAGUAAUAUGAUUAAUUGAACUUUAAUUUAUCAUGAACUUAGUCCUGGUAGUAUUAGCAUAUCUAUGUUGUAGAUCAAUAGCUCGCGAUAUUGCUCCCCGUUUAAUUUUUAUAUGUUCCUAGAGAAAACUAAGUUGAAAGAUGUUAGUAGCAAUGAUGUGGAUUGGAUCCGUGAUCUGAGGUUUAUCCUCAUUGCUGCACAGAACAAUUAUGUCCUUGAUGCAGCGCUAGGUGACAGACGUAUUGCAGGAGGACAUGCAGACGUUAUGAACGUUUGGCUAGCUCAAUAUGAUGACUACUUGAUAGUUUAGUGCACCAUGCUUAACGGCUUAGAAUCAGGACUUCAAAGAUGUUUUGAACAUCAUGGACCAUAUGAGAUGUUCCAGGAGUUGAAGUUAAUAUUUCAAGCAAAUACCCUAGUUGAGAGAUAUGAAGUCUCCAACAAGUUCUAUAGCUAAAAGAUGGAGGAGAAUAGCUCAAGAAGUGAGCAUGUGCUCAGAUUGUCUGGGUACUACAAUCACUUGAAUCAAGUGGGAGUUAAUCUUCCAGAUAAAGAUAGUGAUUGACAGAAUUCUCUAGUCACCAUCACAAAGUUAGUAUAACUUCGUGAUGAACUAUAGUAUGCAAGGGAUAACGUAAACGAUUCCCGAGCUUUUCAUGCUGGUGAAAUCAGAAAUCAAGAAAGAGCAUCAAGUGUUGAUGAUUAACAAGACCACUAGUUUCAAGAAAAUGGCAAAGGGAAAGAAAGGGAACUUCAUGUAGAACGGCAAGCAAGUUGCUGCUCAAGUGAAGAAGCCCAAGUUUGGACCUAAGCCUGAGACUGAGUGCUUCUACUGCAAAAGGACUGGUCACUGGAAGCAGAACUACCCGAAAUAAUUGGCGUAUAAGAAGGAUGGCAAAGUGAACAAAAGUAUAUUUGAUAUACAUGUUAUUGAUGUGUACUUUACUAGUGUUUAUAGCAACCCCUCAGUAUUUUAUACUGGUUGGCAACCUCUGCUUGCCUCUGCGAAGGGCCUAUCUUUUACUUUUAUGCAAGAGUCAUGGUGAUCUUCACCUUUCCUUUUUUUCAUUUUAUCCUUUGGCAAGUACCUCGUGUUGGAAAGAUUCUGAUAUAUCCAAUUGGAUGUAAGGCAUCAUGAACUAUUAUUGUUAACAUUACCCUUGAGGUAAAAGGUUGGGAGGCGAAUCUAUAAGCCCCUAUCUUUCUCUGUGUCUGAUUAAAACUUUGAACCCAUAAAUAUCGCGUGAGUGUUAGCAAUUGUGAAAGACUAAAUGAUAGUUGAGUAUGUGGAGUUUGCUAAAUCAAAGCUCUGACAUAGACUCUUCCUGAAAAUAAGAUGAAUUGUAAUUGUUUGAUGACUAAUAACACGGCUUGUUAGUUUUCAAGAAAGUUUAUGAUCUAUACUUUAACAUGUGAAUAGCUUGUUACUUGAUCAUGAAAAGUUCUAUGAGUUGAGCUACUGUUAUGACAUAUGAUGAUGCUAGAAAAAGUGAUUGAAAUUAUCAUUGAUCAAACUUGUGCACCUGCUAGCAUUCACACUUCAUAAAUUCUUUCUUUUAUCAUUUACCUACUCGAGGAUGAGCAGGAAUUAAGCUUGGGGAUGCUGAUACGUCUCCAACGUAUCUAUAAUUUAUGAAGUAUUCAUGCUAUUAUAUUAUCUGUUUUGGAUGUUUAUGGGCUUUAUUGAACACUUUUAUAUUAUUUUUGGGACUAACCUAUUAACCUAGAGCCCAUUGCCAGUUUCUGUUUUUUGCUUGUUUUUGAGUUCUACAGAAAAGGAAUACCAAACGGAGUCCAAUGGACGUCCCAAUUUUUGACGAUUUUUUAUGGACCAAAAGGAGACCCCGGAGCAAAAGGGUUGGGACAGGAGAGUCCCGGGCUGCCCACGAGGGUGGGGGGCGUGCCCUCCCCCCCUGGGCGUGGGCCCCUGCCUCGUGGACAACCCGGAGACCCCCCUGACAUGAGACCUACGCCAAAAAAUCCUAUAAAUACUGAAACCUCCAGAAAGCAGAAUAGAUCGGGAGUUCCGCCGCCGCAAGCCUCUGUAGCCACCAAAAACCAACCGGGACCCUGUUCCGGCACCCUGCCCGAGGGGGUAUGUCGGUGUCAAAACCGGCGGAUCUCGGGUAGGGGGUCCCGAACUGUGCGUCUAAGGCGGAUGGUAACAGGAGGCGGGGGACACGAUGUUUACCCAGGUUCGGGCCCUCUCGAUGGAGGUAAUACCCUACUUCCUGCUUGAUUGAUCUUGAUGAUAUGAGUAUUACAAGAGUUGAUCUACCACGAGAUCGUAGAGGCUAAACCCUAGAAGCUAGCCUAUGGUAUGAUUGUUUUUGUCCUACGGACUAAACCCUCCGGUUUAUAUAGACACCGGAGGGGGCUAGGGUUACACAGAGUCGGUUACAAGGGAGGAGAUCUGCAUAUCCGUAUUGCCAAGCUUGCCUUCCAUGCCAAGGAGAGUCCCAUCCGGACACGGGACGAAGUCUUCAAUCUUUUGUCUUCAUAGUCCAACAGUUCGGCUAAAGUAUAUAGUCCGGCUGUCCGAGGACCCCCUAAUCCAGGACUCCCUCAGUAGCCCCUGAACGAGGCUUCAACGACGAUGGGUCCGACGCGCAGAUUGUCUUCGGCAUUGCAAGGCGGGUUCCUCCUCCGAAUAUUCCAUAGAAGAUUUUGAACACAAGGAUAGUGUCCGGCUCUGCAAAACAAAUUCCACAUACCACCAUAGAGAGAAUAAUAUUUCCACAAAUCUAAUCUACUGACACAUUCUGCAGCAUGACAUCACACCAUGGCCCGGUCAUUAUUCGGACCGUUUUUCUUAACCAGCCACUGCACAUAUCGCGAGGCGGUUUUCUUGGCACGUCUUGUCGAAGCAGAGAUCGUGUCCCCCUAUCACGGGAUUGUCAUCAAUACGGGUGUGGGUAACCUAACCGCGCCAUCAAUUACAGCUCUUGGGGAAUAAGCGAGUUUACCAGGCAGGUGGGGAGGCGCAUAGUUCCUUCCGCCCUUAUAAAGAGACAAGGAUUCAUCUUUUUCACCCACGCCCUCUUCCUCCUUGCUCAUCCGUUCUUGCGCACUUGAGCUCCAACACCCAAGUUCGCAUUCUCUCCUCAAACCACUCCAAGCAUGUCCGGAGCAGGAGGCAAGUGGAUGGUCUCCUCCGUUACGAAGGAGGACAUCACAAGGCUAUGGGGAGCCGGAUACCUGGCCGCGGAUAUCGCGCACCGGCUACAAGAUGCGGGGCAGAUCGUCCCUACUCCAGAACCCCAUGAGAGGGUGAUAUUUCUUACCCACUUUGUCCGCGGACUGGGAUUUCCCCUCCACCUGUUUGUCCGCGGGCUCAUGUUCUACUACGGGCUGGACUAUCACGAUCUGGCCCCCAAUUUCAUCCUCAACAUCUCGGCGUUUAUCGUCGUGUGCGAGGCCUUCCUCCGCAUCAAGCCCCACUUCGGCCUGUGGCUGAAGACCUUCAACGUUAAACCGAAGGUGGUGGCCGGCCAGCAAGCGGAGUGCGGAGGCGCCAUGGUGGGCAAAAUGCCCAACGUCACCUGGCUAGAAGGCUCCAAUGUGGAGACCGUAAAGGGGUGGCAAUCGGGGUGGUUCUACAUCACCGAGCCGCGCGACACCAACUGGGUAGCGGCCCCCGAAUUUUUAUCCGGAAUCCCCAUGCGGCUCACCUCCUAGAAAGAGAAGGGCCUAUCCUGGGGUUCCUCGGUAGAGCUGACCGGACCCCAGACCUGCGUCAAAAACAUGAUGAGCAAGAAAAUCAAGCUUGUCAACAUGGUCCAAGUCAUGCUCUUCCGCCCGAUCCUCCCGUGUCAAAGACGGGCAUUCAAUUUGUGGGAGUUCGACCCGGCCGAGCACCAGACGCUGCGAGAGCUCUUCGACACGGCGCACAAGGACGUCUGGAAGGUGAUGUUCAAGGGCGCUGAGGUACCUCCUCCCCUUACCAAGGACCGCGGACUCAGCGCAAAGCGCCCUGCCAAUCCGGUAUGUCUUUUAUAUUUCAUAAGAUGUUCUUUUCCCCAGUAUAACCACACGCGGGAUCUAAGCCCCCACGCCAUUUAACAGGACUGGGUAGCGACAGCGGAGCAGAUCGAUUGUCCAGCCCCCCUGCCUGAAGAUCCAGCGGAUGCUCUCCUAACGGAGAUCCUGGUUUCGGCGCCUUAUGAGGUGCCGGAGAAGAAGGCCACGGGGACCAGGAAGGGUCUCCGGCGCAAGGUUAUAUCGGACUCAUCGUCCGAAAACACCGAGGCGCACUCCUCCCACGAAAACGGGGAGGAAGAGGAAAGUUCUCCCCCCCAGCCAGGGGGGACAGGACAAGGAAGGCUGCCCCAUCAGGGGAGGCCGAAGGGUCCAAGAAGGGAAGGACCCUCCUCCCGGACUGCUCCACAAAGGCCGCUUUUAGCGACGAGGAGUGGUUACCCAGGGACAAGCCCCUGGCAAAGUCGUGAGUAUCCGGAUACCAUAAUAAUUCUUGGUACGUCUUAUUGUACUGUUUCUUAUCACGCCGCGCAUGAUUAUGCAGUCCGUCCCGAGCCCAUAUCGACGUAUCUUCGUCGGAUGAUUCUUUGGGCCCGUCAGAUAUGAAUAGCGAUUCACUCCCGACUGCCUCCUCCCCCCGCCCUACGGACGACGCCGAGGUGUUGUCUCAAAGGGAACUAAACCAAGGGGAGACAGUUCCGGAGGCGCCCCAAGGCGACAUUCCAGGCGCUAGGUGCACGAGGGGCAAGACUCCCCUAGGCCCUAACACCGGGGGCAGUAAGUCUAGCCCCAAGCCGAAUACGGCGCCGGAACCUCCAGUGGUUCCGGAUUCUGUCAGGCAACCCCUCGCUAAGGGGGGUAAGCCGUCUGUGCCGAUGGCCUCUGUCCAUCCAGAGGCAUCGGACAACUUGCUAGAAGUGCUUCGCGGCGCUUCCAUUGACGAAGAGCACCGCACUAUUAUGAGUGCGGUAGUUAAGAAGGUUCAGUCCGCUAAGAGCGGACUGACUGAAGCCUGUGCCAACCUCCUAACCGGCUUUGAGGUAAGUAAUCAAAUUGUAAGAAAAUGUUACAGCAUAGACAGUAGCCCCUGAUGCUCUGUUUGGCGUUCGCGGAGAAAGGCCGAAUAGAGGAUCAAAUAAUAAUCGCAGGAGUCUAAUCAGAAUGUGUCUAUGUGAAUAAGCGGGCUUCACUGCUGGCCGCCGCCGCUCGUACUGCGGAGGUCACCGCACUGAAGCGGGACCUUGAGCGGUCCAAGGAAGAGCUCGGCCUUACCAAGAGGCAGCUCGAAGAGAACAAAGGUAAGUGACACCCCGUCUGAAUAUUGGUAAAGAAAAAUUUGGUUUUGGAAUAAUAGGAUCCUCAUGAAUUUUGCUAGGGGCCACGACCGAAGUGGCGGCCCUGCAGAAGGCGCUAUCUGAGGCCGAAGACAAAGCGGCCAAGGAGCACAUCGAGCGAGAGAAGCAAGAGGCCCGAGUAGGCGAGGUGCGGCAAGAGCUCCAGGCUCUCGUCAAGAAACACGAGUCCUUGGAGCUUGACUCUAUGACGCAAGGGUCCGAGCUUGCGAAGGCCCUCGAAAGCGCACAACAUGCCAAGGCCAAAGCCCAAAAGGCCCUCCAGGAAAUUUAGGCGGUUAAGAAGAUAGCGGCGGGUAAGGCAUUCAUUAUGCAAAGCAAGCAUGUGAAGGAAACUUUCUUUUUACUUACCCGAGUUCGGAGUUCUCCAGAAGCGUUCGCAGAUCUACCCCGCAGUGUGUCGGAUGCCACGGAGUUCUACCGGGCCGAGGAGGGGAGCUCGGCGGAGAAGUUGUUCUGGUCUCAGUAUACUGGGACCGAACAUCCAAUGCCCUUGAGCGACCAGUUGAAGCAACUGGUCGAGCUUCACAAGGCGGCCGAACAGGCCAUGAAGGGUCUUAUGGUCUGGAUGUGGCAUGGCGACCCCUGCCUGGUAGCUACUUCGGUCUGGUGAGGCGGCUUGUGAAUGCCUGCACACGGUUUGAAGUCAUAAAGCGGUCCGUCUGCAUUGAGGGUGCGCGCAGGACUUUUGCCCGGGCGAAGGUGCACAGGGCGAAGCUGGACGCCGAAAAGCUGGUGAAGGAGGGGCCGCCGGAGGGCAAGGAGCAUCGCCACCCCGAAAAGUAUUAUGAUAGUGUCCUGAAGGGUGCUCGCCUUGUGGCGGAGGAAUGUGCUAAGGAUGUAAUAUUUGAAUGAAUGUACUCAUGUGAUCCUGUAAUAUGAAACGAGUUCAUUUGCGUACGCAAUGCUUGUUAAUUUAAAAUAUUACCUUCUAUGCGGCCGUUUAUAAAAUCUGAGAGUUGGCCAGUCGUCGGCUUCUGCCCCCAUGUAACUAGUACUAAGGUGUUCGGGGUAAACCUGAGCACUCUUUAUCCCAAUUUUGGGUCCUUCGAAGGAGGUGUUUAGCACAAUGAACCAGGCAAUCGGACUAUAAAGCUUUAUCACUCUCACUUAGCCAUAGAAGUCUACAAUUUUAAAUUUUGGCGAAGCCCCUAGUAUUUCGAAGGCCGAAUUUGGGGCACUAUAUACGCCUAAGUCGGGCAAGACGACUCCUUGCCCGAAGCGGAAAGAGACUUUAAGGACUUGAGACCUCUCGAACAGCGACCAGCUCUCGCCUCAUUAUGACAGUCAGUUUUCGGCUUUCUCUACUGAGGUGCUCGUCCGGAAGAACCGGGACACAAUCGCAGUAGUUCUCCCAAGGCUACCUUAGCCGAUAUUGCGGAACGUAAGGUACCAAAACAUGGGAGCCGGGCAAACCCAACUAUUGACCCAAGACAUGAUUCGGAGCUGGUGCAUAUAAUUCUAUAAGUUCGGGGUGCCGCACUGUCGAAAGUGUUCGGACUUCUCACACUGUAUUAUGGGGUAUACUAAAGCCCCUGGCGCACUGGUCAUACCAGGAUGUACGGGUGCAAUUUGUCGUAAAUAAGCAGACAAGGAAAAAAAAGAAAGGGGAAUGCAAUAAUAGACUAACGAUAUGCAUUGUUAUUAAAUAAUACGUCAAAGCGACGGAUACAAGUAGUGCAAUAAGCAAAAAAUAAGACUAUUUGACAUGUCCUAUCCAAGGGCAAGCUGCGUAUGGGUAUGUAAAACAGGUAUUUCGAUCGUUAUCAGAGACCACCUAGGGAUUCCCUUGUACGUCAGAGCGUCUUGCUUCCUUGGUAUUUCCUUACCGCGAUGGGUCCAACAAUUAGAUUGCCGAAAAGGGCUUCCAGAGAGUAAGGUCCUGAAAGAGAGAAAAUGAUAAAGGUAUAUGGCCCCUGGGGCGGUUGAGCCACCUUGUGGGACGUGCCGUAGCUGUGCCUCCGCCUAUGCCCAUGGUAUCUUGAGUGCGUAGUUAUGUACGCGCGGCGCAAAUUUCGCCACUUGACUGGGACUAGGACGGAGGCCGAAUUGCUAGGCGAGCUCAAAACGUGCAUGGCGAUCCUCCUGCGGGGUACCCCGGACUCGCUUGAAGGUGUCCGGGGUCUUUUUCGCCGAAUUGGCGGUUUGCCUAUUAAGGCUGCUUUGCGCUUCUGCUGCGAGGGCUGCAGUGUGCUCCUCCGUGCGGAGCGAGCGCUCUGUGUUUCCAUUAACUGUUAUAACCCCGCGUGGUCCUGGCAUUUUGAGUUUGAGGUAUGCAUAAUGCGGUACCGCAUUGAAUCUGGGAAAUGCGGUUCGUCCGAGCAGUGCGUGAUAGCCGCUGCGAAAGGGGACGAUGCCGAAGAUUAACUCCUCGCGUCGAAAAUUGUCCGGAGAUCCGAAGACCACUUCCAGUGUGAUUGAGUCCGUGCAACAGGCCUCUACACCUGGGAUUACACCUUCAAAGGAGGUUUUGGUGGGUUUGAUCCUCGAGGGGUCUAUGCCCAUUUUGCACACUGUAUCCUGAUAGAGCAGGUUCAGGCUGCUGCCACCGUCCAUAAGGACGCGAGUGAGGUGAAAUCCGUCAAUGAUGGGGUCAAGGACCAAUGCGGCAGAUCCGCCAUGACGGAUACUAGUGGGGUGGUCCCUGCGAUCGAAGGUGAUCGGACAAGAGGACCAUGGGUUCAACUUUGGGGCGACUGGCUCCAUAGCAUAGACGUCCCUUAGUGCACGCUUCCGUUCCCUCUUGGGAAUAUGGGUUGCGUAUAUCAUGUUCACCGUUUUCACUUGUGGAGGGAACCUCUUCUGUCCUCCAAUGUUCGGCGGCCGAGGCUCCUCCUCGUCGUCGCUAUGGAGCCCCUUGUCCUUGUUUUUGGCAUUUAACUUGUCGGCCUGCUUGAAUACCCAGCAUUCUCUGUUGGUGUGAUUGGCUGGCUUAUCGGGGGUGCCAUGAAUUUUAACGAGCAAUCGAGUAUACGGUCCAAACUGGACGGGCCCGGAUUGCUUGUUUUGAACGGCUUCUUCCGCUGACCGGAUUUAGAGCCACUGAAUCCGGCAUUGACUGUCGUGUCUUCGGCGUUGUCGCCGUUGUUGUGGCGCUUGUGUCUGUUGCGACGUGGUCUGCCAAUAGUAUCUUUGGCGUCUGAAUUGCCGGGAUUUCUUGAUGUGCUGUUGCUGCGAGCUAGCCAGCUGUCCUCGCCCGCGCAAAAGCGGGUCAUGAGUGUCGUGAGGGCUGCCAUGGACUUCAGCUUCUCUUGGCCGCGGUGUCAGGCGAGCCACUCGUCCCGGAUGUUAUGUUUAAAUGCCGCUAAGGCCUCGGCAUCCGGACAGUCGACAAUUUGGUUCUUUUUAGUUAGGAACCGAGUACAGAAUUUCCUGGCCGAUUCCCCUGGCUGUUGGGUUAUGUGGCUCAAGUCAUCAGCAUCUGGUGGUCGCACAUAAGUGCCCUAGAAGUUGUCAAGGAAUGCGUCUUCCAAAUUCUCCCAACUGCCAAUGGAGUUUGCUGGCAGGCUAUUCAGCCAAUGUCGAGCUGGUCCUUUGAGUUUUAGUGGGAGGUACUUGAUGGCAUGUAGAUCGUCAUCGCGGGCCAUGUGGAUGUGGACGAGGAAAUCCUCGAUCCAUACCGCGGGGUCUGUUGUACCAUCAUAUGACUCAAUGUUCACGGGUUUGAAUCCUUCUAGGAAUUCAUGAUCCAUUACUUCAUCGGUGAAGCAUAGUGGGUGUGCAGCGCCUCUGUGCCGGGCUAUGUCACGACGCAGUUCAUACGAGUCUUGUCUGCUGUAUUCGGCCCCGCCGGAUUUGCUUUUAGUGUAUCCGGCAUGACGAUCAUCAUCACACAUUGGGGCGCGACCCCGUGAUCCGUAGAUCGAUCUUGUUUGUCCUGCUCUGUUUUCCUAUACGUCUCGCAGGUCCCGCGUGUUGCCCCAGGCCUUGGUAUUUAUGUUUGAAUGGCGGCGGGGUGCGGGCUGGACUUCGGGCUGAUAUGCCCCUCUGUCUCGGCCACGAGGUGGCCGAUCAGCCGCAUCAUACGCUGGUGAUGUAGGUUUUAAUGCUUCCUCCUCGAUUUGGGGUAGCAACCUGCGCUUUGGGUAACUCUUGGUUGGGCGCUCGAGUUCGUAUUCCUCUACCUCCAGGACUUCAGUCCAUCUAUCCGCUAGCAGAUAUUGAUCAGCUCGAAGCUGUUGUUGCUUUUUCUUCAGGCUGUUUGUUGUAGCUAUAAGCCGACGCUUGAAGCGCUCCUGCUUGACGGGAUCCUCAGGCACGAUAAAUUCUUCGUCGCCGAGGCUCACCUCGUCUUCGGAGAGAGGCAUGUAAUUGUCAUCCUCUGAUUCUCCGUCUGCUGCCUAUUCCGGAGGGCUAGCUUGUUCAUCCUCUCGCUCGAGGUCUGGCUGGAGGGGAUUGUCGUCGUCUUUGGCACUAUCCGGAGCGUUAUUGUCUCUUGUGCCGGUAUCGCUGCUUUUGCUAUGGCGGGACUUAGAGCGGCGCCGCUGACGUCGGUGCUUGGGUUGCUUCUUGGAGGGAUUAUCCUCGGUUGUCUUAUCGCCGUCGCCUUCUUUGGGGGUGUCCACCAUGUAUAUAUCAUAUGAUGAGGUGGCAGUCCAGCGCCCUGUGGGCGGUGGUUCCUGUUCGUCUCCUGUAUCGUCGUCCAUACCGUCGAUGUUUUCGGAGCCGAAAUCGAGCAUGUCGGUUAAAUCGUCGACAGUGGCUACUAAGUGGCUGGUGGGUGGGGAGCGAAUUUCUUCGUCGUCCGCAUCCCAUUCUAGCCAGACAUAGUUCGGCCAAGGGUCUCCUGACAAGGAGAGAGACCUCAAUGAGUUCAGCACGUCGCCCAGUGGUGAGUGCUGAAAGAUAUCCGCGGAGGAAAACUCCAUAAUCGGUGCCCAAUCAGAUUCGAUAGGCACAUACGCAGGCGGCUCAGAGCCCGUGGCCGGGGAUGAAUCCAGGUGUCCGGCGACACAGGUCUCAUAGGAGGUGAAGUCAGUAUUCGGCUCUAUCGCCACUCAGUGUGUGGCCUCCGAGGCGGGGUCCAUCCACCCGUCCUCGGACGGCGCAAUCGACUCCGGAUCUAGGGCCGGAGUAGCCAUGGGUGUGAUCUCCCGAACACCGUCCGGCGGCAGAGCUAAGUCGUGCUCGUCGUGACUGUGCGGCGCACCUGACAUGGGCUCGAAUCCGUCAAAGAUAAAGUCUCCGCGGAUGUUGGCACUGUAGUUUAAAUUUCCAAACCUGACCUGACAGCCAGGGGCGUAGCUCUCGAUCUGCUCCAGAUGGCCAAGCGAGUUGGCCCACAGUACGAAGCCGCCGAAUACAAAGAUCUGUCCGGGGAGGAAAACCUCACCCUGGAUCGCAUCGUUGGCGAUGAUUGAAGGAGCCAUCAAGCCUUUAUCGCGACGGCAGAGUGGAACUCUCAAUGAAAGCACCAAUGUCGGUGUCAAAACCGGCGGAUCUCGGGUAGGGGGUCCUGAACUGUGCGUCUAAGGCGGCUGGUAACAGGAGGCGGGGGACAUGAUGUUUACCCAGGUUCGGGCCCUCUCGAUGGAGGUAAUACCCUACUUCCUGCUUGAUUGAUCUUGAUGAUAUGAGUAUUACAAGAGUUGAUCUACCACGAGAUCGUAGAGGGUAAACCUUAGAAGCUAGCCUAUGGUAUGAUUGUUGUUGUCCUAGGGACUAAACCCUCCGGUUUAUAUAGACACAGGAGGGGGCUAGGGUUACACAGAGUCGGUUACAAGGGAGGAGAUCUACAUAUCCGUAUUGCCAAGCUUGCCUUCCACGCCAAGGAGAGUCCCAUCCGGACACGGGACGGAGUCUUCAAUCUUGUGUCUUCAUAGUCUAACAGUCCGCCUAAAGUAUAUAGUCUGGCUGUCCGAGGACCCCCUAAUCCAGGACUCCCUCAGGGUAUCCCUCACCGGUGGCCAUCUUCAUCAUCCCGGCGCUCUCCAUGACGAAGAGGGAGUAGUUCACCCUCGGGGCUGAGGGUAUGUACCAGUAGCUAUGUGUUUGAUCUCUCUCUCUCUCUCGUGUUCUUGAUUCAGCACGAUCUUGAUGUAUCAUGAGAUUUGCUAUUAUAGUUGGAUCUUAUGAUGCUUCUCCCCCUCUACUCUCUUGUAAUGGAUUGAGUUCUCCCUUUGAAGUUAUCUUAUCGGAUUGAGUCUUUAAGGAUUUGAGAACACUUGAUGUAUGUCUUGUCGUGCUUAUCUAUGGUGACAAUGGGAUAUCACGUGAUCCACUUGAUGUAUGUUUUGGUGAUCAACUUGCGGGUUCCGCCCAUGAACCUAUGCAUAGGGGUUGGCACACGUUUUCGUCUUGACUCUCUGGUAGAAACUUUGGGGCACUCUUUGAAAUACUUUGUGUUGGUUGAAUAGAUGAAUCUGAGAUUGUGUGAUGCAUAUCGUAUAAUCAUGCCCACGGAUACUUGAGGUGACAAUGGAGUAUCUAGGUGACAUUAGGGUUUUGGUUGAUUUGUGUCUUAAGGUGUUAUUCUAGUACGAACUCUAUGAUAGAUUGAACGGAAAGAAUAGCUUCAUGUUAUUUUACUACGGACUCUUGAAUAGAUCGAUCAGAAAGGAUAACUUUGAGGUGGUCUCGUACCCUACCAUAAUCUCUUCGUUUGUUCUCCGCUAUUAGUUACUUUGGAGUGACUCUUUGUUGCAUGUCGAGGGAUAGUUAUAUGAUCCAAUUAUGUUAUUAUUGUUGAGAGAACUUGCACUAGUGAAAGUAUGAACUCUAGGCCCUGUUUCCUAGCAUUGCAAUACCAUUUACGCUCACUUUUAUUAUUAGUUACCUUGCUGUUUUUAUAUUUUCAGAUUACAAAAACCUAUAUAUACCAUCCAUAUUGCACUUGUAUCACCAUCUCUUCGCCGAAUUAGUGCACCUAUACAAUUUACCAUUGUAUUGGGUGUGUUGGGGACACAAGAGACUCUUUGUUAUUUGGUUGCAGGGUUGUUUGAGAGAGACUAUCUUCAUCCUACGCCUCCCACGGAUUGAUAAACCUUAGGUCAUCCACUUGAAAGAAAUUUGCUACUGUCCUACAAAGCUCUGCACUUGGAGGCCCAACAACGUCUACAAGAAGAAGGUUUUGUAGUAGAUAUCAGGGGGAGGGGGGUGAAACCGCCCCGCCGCCGCCGUCCCCGAGCGCGGCGCGGCUUCGCUGGCCGGCCCUCCGGCGGCAGCGAUGCGGGGGGAGGGGGGCACUGGCGGAGGAAGGCUACCGGUGGCGAUGAAGGUUUCCCCCGUAUCGCCUGUUGCGGGCGACGCGGGGGCAGGGUUGACCAGCUCGAGGAUUUCGGCUGAGCUGUAGAACGUAUGAAAUAUUGAAGGAAAACAAAAACAUGAGAAUCAACAGAUAUUGGAGAAGUUGGUACAGAGUGGUACAUGGAAAGGAAAUUUUACUUUUACUGGAGGUUGAAUGAAGUUAUGUUUACACCUUCCAUUUCACUUUGUGGGCACUCCGAAGUUGCAAAGAAAAAAUAUAUAAAAUAUCAUCAUUCGUACGCAUUUAUAUGCAGGUAAUGAAAAUGGCUCCACCUAAUUAUAAGAUUAUUAAGCACUUUUAGUACCCGGGAGUCCCUGGUACUGUGAAGAUGAUAUUAAGACUAAUUAAUGGACAUGGAUUUGUUCUGAUCACACAAAGAUAGCUCAAACACCCAUCCGCUUACUUGCUUGCAUUUCAAAAGAUUGAUAACCACAUUUCAUCAUUUUUCCCCACUUCUCCACCUUGCUGGUGAUAUAUAUCCAGCUUCCGCAUAUAUGAUAUUUUUCACUCUAGCACUUUCAGCUUCUUUUUGAAAUGAAGAGUACUUUUCUUGCUGAUGCAGCAACAAUAGUAAGUCAGAGCUUUCUUAGGCCUUGUACAAUGCAAGGUGCUUUGAGAAAUAAACUAGGCUUUCCUUAAGCACCGAUACUUAUUUGUACAGGAUACUUUAUUAAUUUUUCUCACAAGAUCUUACAAAGUCAUACAACAGUAAGACUAAAGCCGCCGUCUAAGCAACAAACUGUCGCUACACCUAUCCAGUUGAUGAAGGGACGCAGAUAGCCUGGGCCUAAUACCAAACAGACAUCGCAUCCAAGCCUAACAUCUAAGACCUGAGACCCCAACCUAGCCACUUGCCGGGUCUGGGGCACACACUGGUCCGGCGUGCUCUCAGAGGCCGCCGCCGCCAACUGCCACCGCUCCAUCUUCAGAAUUGUACUGAUGCAUCAACCUUACUCGGUCUAGCUAUCGUCGACGCCACCACUGCGCCCAGCGGCACCUCCUCCCUGCCCGCAAACAACUGAGCACAUCGCGGUCGCCACUGAUACACCUCAGCACCAUGCUGCCAAGUACCACCAGCUGACACAGCUUGAAGUCCUUGGAAGAUCUUUCAUGCGUAGCACCUGCCGACCAAGUAUGACAAAGUGUAGCACCUGUCGGUCAGGCAUGACUUGACAUCUCCACCGAAGCUCCGUGCAAGACGAAGCCGCUCCACCUCCUGCCUCUGACUUCCAGCGCUGCUCCACAAACGAUGCUCCCAAGAGAGAAACGAGACAGCGGUGCCACAAUCGUCCGAUCUGGAACACCAGAUCCUAGAGUUUCCCGUGGAGCAGCACGAGUGGGUCGACAGUAGUUACACGAUGAUGCCUCCAUCAAGGUAACGACGAGAACGCCGCCAUCGCCUACCGUCGGCUCGAUUUUCACCGGCAACCAUGUCUCCCCUACUCGCAGUCGGGACUAGAUGAUGGAUCUCGAGAUCCGAUCACCAAGCCUCUGGCCGGCCAUCUCUGGAAGAAGAUGACCACCACGUCCACCAGCGUCACCACACCGGGCACGCGUUGCCGCCGGCACCCCCAUGGUGCCUAGAGGCCGACAAGCCCCGACGAACACCACGCCUCGCCAGCCGCCAUAGCCCAGGCCCAAGCACCACCAGAUCCAGAUCAGAUCGGGGUCAAGGGCCCCAAGCCGCAGCCGUCGCGGAGGCAGCACCACUAGACGGUGCCCUGCCCUCCACCCCGCUGUAGGAUCGAGUCAUCGCCGGAGCUCCGCCACGCCACGCCGCCAAGACGCCGCCGGAAGAACUCGCGCCGCCGCUAGGGGAGAGAGAGACGCGCUAGGGAGAGGCCCCGCCGCUGGCACUGCCUUGGCUUUGCCCGGCUGUGUCCCUCGGCGGCGGCGAGGGGGGAGGGAGGGUGGAGGAGGGCCGGCGGCGGAGGGGGCUAGGGUUCCCCCGAGUCGCCUCAGAGAGGGACGCAGGCGACGGGGUGAGAAAACUGAGAGAGUGGAUAUGGCCUUUACUCGAGCUCAUGGGGUGGCCCGACUGCUGGUGAGUGUUCUCGAUAUUGAGUUCGUGCCUGAUGUGGUUAAGUGGACAUAUAGGGGACAGAUUUUCAACCUCGAGAUUGAGUUUGAGGAUGCCGCUCUCUUCGCUGAGGCUAUCAAUGGGACUGAUGUAGAUAUGCACGAGGGUGAUGACAGCUCGGGUGCUAAGGAGGCACCGGUUGAUGAUGUUGGACGAGAGUUGUCCAACUAAUCGGGGCCCGUUCCUCAGACGCCCAGGGACGGGACGGCACCAUCCUCUUCGGUGCCUAUGAGUUCUCUGAGAUUUGGGUCGUUUGAGCCAGCUUCUGCUCCUCCCAGACUCUGGAGUGACCGGGUGGAGUCCGAUGACGUGUUUGAGCGCACGCUACCUACCCUGGAUUUUGUUGCUGCUGAUAGUCCCGUGCUUGGAGGUUUGGAGGGGAUUAUCUCUGUGCAGACCUCGGUAAGGGGAGGGGAGGCGGAGCUUGGGCAGGUGGCCCCUCUUUCCCCCGCUCUCCCUGCGGUGUCACCUCGGGAGACGGAGUCGACUAUGGAGGCUGUCCCUAGGGAGGGAGUCCAUGGCAGGUGGCCUCGGCUCCUUCUUCUCUUCUCGCGGUGCCGGAGCUGCAGAUGGCGGUUGUGCUUAGGGGAGGCGGUCCAGGGCAGGUGGCCUCGGCCCCCUCUUCACCUCUGGCGGCUAGGGAGGCCACACCCCCUAUGGCGCCGGAGACCUCUUCUAGCCAGAGGGCUGGGGCGGGAGGAGCGUACGGGCAGGCGGCCCACGCGCUUCCCUCUCCCGGCGCGCCAACGUCCCAGGGCCUCGGUUCGAGGUGGACGUCAGUGGGGCCGGGGAGGUCCCCGCCGCUGCCCCCGGCAGCUCCCGCCGACUCUUCGACGUGUGCAGCUUCGCGGUGUGCUGGGGGUGAGGCCGGUGGCUUUACUCCGAGCGGGGUCACUCGGGAGGAGGUCAUCGCCUUUGGAGGGAUUCUAGAUCCUGUCUCUGCGGGGCGACGGAUGAGCUGUCGUCUCUAGGAUCAUCCGGAGGUUGAUGACAUGCAGCAGCGGUGCGCCAUGAGGGCGGCCAAGCUUCGUGACAUUGAGGUCACUACUGGUAUGUCGGUCAACACUUCUAAUUCCAUUCUGCAUUUUUCUAAUAAUGAGAUUAUUAAUAAUUCAAAUCAAUUGGGAGUUUCACUAGGUAGUAAUGAUAGUGAAAUUUCUAACUUUGUAAAUGAUAUCCUGGAUUUGGAAGCGGAACGCGCUUUAGAAAUGAUUCAAAACUUAGCAGCGGUUAAACCCAUGAAUGAUGCAGAUAUCGAUGCGUUGGGGGUCAGGGUGCUCGAUAAUUUUUGUGCAGAUCUUGCACCAUCCAUUCCUGAGUCAGAGGAAGAGGAUAACACUUUUGAGGCUGCCGUAGAUCGAUCCAUGGAGCCCGGUUGUGAGGACUGGGUGGAGGAUCAAAACAAACCUAAACGCAAGUGGAAGCGGAAGAUCUACCCUGCUUCGGCGGUGCGUAGGAGUGCUAGGAUCCGUACUAUUAAAACAUUUCAUGAUGAAAUAUGAAAGGAAUCUUUUGGAAUAGCAGAGGUCUGAAAGACUUGGCUAAAAGAAGGUUUCUUGCAGAUGCGUCUAUCGAGCAUAGGUUGGAUUUUAUCACUCUCUCGGAAACUGGUAGAGAUAAUUUUUCGCCCCAGUUUCUCAGUACUUUAUCGGGAGGUGUUGAUUUCAAUUGGCACUGCCUGCCUCCGAGAGGAAGAUCGGGUGGGAUCUUACUUGGAGUGAGAUGCGAUUCGCUAGAAGUCUGAAGUGUAGUGAUGGGAGAUUUCACAAUUAAGUUCCGGGUUAGGUCGAAAGCCAACGGGUUUAAUUGGGCUCUGAUGGCGGUUAUGCUCCCGCGCAGCCCGAUCUCAAACCAGAGUUCUUGGCGGAUCUUGUUCAAAUUUGCGGCUCUGAGCAGCUCCCAAUCCUGGAUGGGGGUGAUUUCAACAUCAUUAGGAGGAGAGAGGAAAAGAAUAAUGAUAAUUUCGACGGCAGGUGGUCGUUUAUGUUUAAUACCAUUAUUGAAAGCUUGGAUCCUAGAGAGAUAGAGCUUUCGGGUAGAAAAUUCACCUGGGCUAAUACUUUGCCAAAUCCGACGUUUGAGAAGCUGGAUCGAGUCCUAGUGAGCGUCGAAUGGGAACAGAUAUUUCCUUUGGUAACGGUCCAGGCUCUUUCGCGUGGUAUUUCUGACCACACGCCUUUAUUUGUGGACUCUGGUGAGCCAACCCACAUGGGGAACAAAAACUCCUUUUCUUUCGAGCUGGCAUGGUUUGAACGAGAAGGCUUCUUGGAUAUGAUAGCCAGGGAAUGGGCUAAGGAUGCAGGAGGUAGGACUUCGAUUGAGCGCUGACAGAAUAAGAUAAGGCACUUGAGAAGUUUCUUGCGUGCGUGGGCUAAGCAUCUUAGUGGGGUUUAUAAGGUCGAAAAGGAAAGGCUCCUUACACUUAUUCAGUCUCUAGAUUUAAAAGCCGAGUCCACAAUUUUGCAAGCCACAGAGCUUCAUGAUAAACUGGAGGCGGAGAUGAGAUUGAAAGAGCUUCUCCGUGAAGAGGAAUUAAAGUGGGCGCUGCGGGCUAAGGUUCGCAAAGUUGUCCAGGGGGACGCGAAUACUCAAUUCUUUCACAUGAUCGCUAAUGGCAAGCACAGAAAGAAUAGAAUCUUUCAGCUUGAACCAAGAUGAAGGAACGAUUUUAGGACAGGAAAACCUAAAAUUAUACAUAACCGAAUACUACAAGCAGUUGUUUGGGCCUCUGGAGGAUAAUUGUGUAUCCCUGGAUGAGUCUAGGAUUGAGGAUGUGCCUCAACUUACUGCUGAUGAGAAUGAUAUUUUGAUUGCCCCUUUUUCGGGGAAAGAGGUGUUUGAAGCCAUUACACAGAUGAAAAACAAUAAGGCUCCAGGGCCGGAUGGAUUUCCGGCGGAAUUCUAUAAAAAGUGUUGGCAUAUUAUUAAGGGGGAUUUGCAACCAAUGUUCCAUGAUUUAUUCUCUGGACAGCUUCAGUUAUUUCACUUGAACUUUGGAAUGAUAACAUUGCUUCCUAAGAAAACAAAGGCUGUGAGAAUUGAGCAGUUCAGGCCGAUCUGUCUUCUCAAGGUUAGUUUCAAAAAUUUCACAAAGGUUGGGACUAAUAGGCUCACGCAGACUGCGCAUUCUGUGGUGCAGCAUUCCCAAACUGCUUUCAUGCCGGACAGAAACAUCCUAGAAGGGGUUGUGGUCCUUCAUGAAACGCUCCACGAAAUUCACACGAAAAAACUAGAUGGAGUUGUUUUCAAGGUGGAUUUCGAGAAAGCGUACGAUAAAGUCAAAUGGCCUUUCCUUCAACAGGCCUUACAUAUGAAAGGUUUUGAUGAAGCCUGGCGACGCCAGGUAGAAUCUUUCACGCAAAAAGGGAGUGUUGGAAUUAAAGUGAAUGACGACAUAGGUCAUUAUUUCCACACACAUAAGGGCCUGAGACAAGGGGUUCCGAUGUCUCCUAUUUUGUUCAACAUUGUAGUUGAUAUGUUGGCAAUUCUAAUAGGAAGGGCUAAGGAGGUUGGUCAGGUGGGUGGCUUGGUGUCUCAUCUAGUUGAUGGAGGUGUGUCUAUCCUACAGUACAGCGAGAAAUAUGAAGCUGGUGUUAUGCUUAUUUGAACAAUUGACCGGGUUAAAGAUUAACUUUCACAAAAGCAAAUUGUUCUGCUUUGGAAGAGCCAAUGAGGAACAAGAGGCUUAUAGGCAAUUGUUUGGGUGCGAAUUGGGGACCUUACCAUUUACGUAUUUAGGUAUACCAAUUCACCAUCGUAAGCUGACAAACACAGAAUGGAAGUGUAUCGAGGAUCUCUUUGAGAAGAAACUGAGUUGCUGGAAGGGCAAGCUCAUGUCAUACGGAGGCCGAUUAAUUCUGAUUAAUUUGGUUCUCACGAGUAUGCCUAUGUUUCUCUUGUCUUUGUUCGAAGUCCCAGUUGGAGUUAGGAAAAGGCUGGACUUCUAUCGAUCCCGAUUCUUCUGGCAGAGCGAUGAACUAAAAAGAAAAUACAGACUCACCAAAGGGAUAUUAUCUGUCGACCGAAAGACCAAGGGGGUCUUGGCAUUGAAAAUCUUGAGGUCAAGAACAGAUGUCUUCGCAGCAUGUGGCUGUCUAAGUUAUCUGUAGAGAUCGAUGCCACAUGGGCGCAGAUUCUUAGUAGUAAGUAUCUUCAUUCCAAAACUUUGUCCCAGGUGACAGCGAGGCCGACAGACUCACCUUUUUGGAAAGGGCUUAUGAUAGUCAAAUUAGCCUUUUUUAAUAGGACAAAGUUUAUUAUCGUCAAUGGCGCUAGCACGCGAUUCUGGGAGGAUACUUGGCUCGGAGAGACCCCCUUGCACUUCAAUACCCGUCUCUGUAUCGUAUUGUUCAACGACGUGAUGCUUUCGUUGCAACGAUACUUCAAUCCAUCCCCCUUAAUAUUUAGGUCAGGAGGACGCUAGCCGGUAAUCGUUGGGAAGAGUGGCUCCAUCUAGUGAGUAGACUGAUGGAGGUUCAGCUGUCUCAACAGCCCGAUCAAUUACGCUGGAAACUUACUAGGUCUGGAGAGUGUACAGUUAAAUCAAUGUAUCUCGAUGUGAUCAAUUCUAGCUCUAUUCCUAGUUCCAAAUAUGUUUCGACAGUCAAAGUUCCAUUGAAAAUUAAAGUGUUUACGUGGUUUGUACAUAAACAAGUCAUCUUAACCAAGGACAAUUUGGCAAAGCGUAACUGGACAGGACCUACUAAGUGUAGUUUUUGUGAUCGGGAUGAAACUAUCAAACACCUUUUUCUUGAUUGCUCGAUGGCCAAAGUUCUAUGUCGGACAGUCCACAUAGCCUUUGACAUUUCCGAGUUCUGUUAGCACGUUAUUUGGAACGUGGCUUAAUGGGAUAGAGUCCGAAACAGCGAGACACAUUCGCGUAGGAGUAUGUGCUUUAUUGUGGGCAGUCUGGAACUGCAGAAAUGAUUUGGUUUUUAACAGAACAACAAAUAUUCAUUUUUUGCAGGUUAUCUUCCAAGCCACUGCGUUGAUCCGUACGUGGUCACUACUCACUCCGACGGAGGCCAGGGAGCGUUUGGUUACUGGAUCUAUCCGGUGGGAGAUGGUAGCACGGGAUAUCUUCAACCGGUUUGAAUGGCGGUCAUGUAAUAGGAUAGGCAAUUAGUUUACCUAUCUUUCUUAUGCCGGCCGAUUGUGGCUUUUUGGCUAGUUUGUUAUUGGCCCUUUGGCUCUUUAUGAGCUUUCCUUUACUUUCGUUUGAGACUUUAAGACCUUGUUAAACCUAUUUGCUUUUUUAUAAAGUUGGCCGUAUGCAUCGUUCUGAUGCAGAGGCCGGGGAGCCCCCACUUUUCGAAAAAAAACCUCUUGUUAUCUUGUAUUCUUGUGUGACAAUGCUCGAAGAAUAUAAAAGGGCUAGGUGGAAAGACCCCCAUAUCGAAAACUUGCCUACCUACGAGUUUUAUAGACACAGAGCCUCAUUGGAUUGUACUAGAUGGAGCCUCCAGUGAGAGCUGAAGACGAGGCGAUGAGCACGGAGGAGCUGCUCCAAGCCCAGACGGAUCUCUACCACCACUCCCUAGCCUACAUCAAAUCUAUGGCGCUCGGUGCCGCCACAGAACUCAGCGUCGCCGACGCCAUCCACGGCCGUGGCGGUGCCAUCACCUUGUCUGACCUUGCGGCCGCGACCGGCGUCCACCCGACGAAAGUCCAACACUUCGGGCGGCUGAUGCGCGCGCUUACCGUCACUGGUGUCUUCACCUCGGAAGAAAAAGAAGGCGGUGGUGGUGCCCUGUACAAGCUCACUCGGAUUUCACGCCUCCUUCUCGGAGUCGGCAAGCGUCGGCUCUCCCCGAUGGUGCGUAUGCUUGUCAGCGAGGUCAGUUUCACUACUCCCAUGAGCAUCUGCGAGUGGAUCACCACUGAGACGCCGGCCAGGGCCAUGUUCGAGGCCCAUUUUGGCUCUACGCAAAAUGGGUUGUGGGAGAAGGACGACGCGUAUGGUGCCCCCUUCUACUCAGCAAUGGCUGCGGACAGCCGUCUCGUCAUGGAGGUUCUGCUGAGAGAGUGCAGCAGCGUCUUUGAGGCCGUUGCCGGCUCACUUGUCGAUGUCGGCGGCGGCAGCGGAGGAGUCGUGGCUGCCGCCAUUGCCACAGCGUUCCCUCACAUCAAGUGCUCCGUGCUGGACCUCCCCAACGUGGUAGCCGCGGCUGACGACACCACCAACGUGCAGUUUGUCUCCGGCGAUAUGUUUGACUACAUUCCACCAGCGGAUGCCGUUCUACUCAAGGUACGUACUUACAUAGUACUCCCUCCGUAAGGAUAUAUAAGAGCAUUUAGAUCAUUAUUAUUUUAGUGAUUGAUCCAAACGCACUUAUAUUUCUUUACAGAGGGAGUAGCACAUACAAAUGCAGCAAGCUAUCCAUUUCUUAUAUAUAUAAUGAACCAAAUUAAUCAACCAAUCCUUCCUAUAAAUUUUGUAGUGGAUUUUGCAUGACUGGGAAGACCAAGACUGCGUCAAGAUACUGCGCAAGUGCAGAGAGGCCAUCCGCACAAGAGGUGCUGGGGGGAAGGUGAUUAUAAUCGAUUUCGUCGUCGGUGCUGGUUCUUGCAAGGAGACGGAGACACAGGUUCUGUUUGAUCUUUACAUGAUGAUGGAGAAUGGGGCUGAGCGGGACGAGCAAGAGUGGAGCAAGAUUUUCUUUGAAGCUGGAUUUAGUGACUACAAGAUCAUGCCAGUCUUAGGCGCUCGUUCACUCAUUCAAGUAUUCCCAUGAAUUCUGGCGGUUUGAUGUCCAAAUGUACUUCCUGUUUCCAAAUGUUUGUUUGCUUUCACAUCAGAAUAAUGCCUAGGACUAUACUAUAUAGUCUCGACUUUGAAUCUGAAUAAUGAAACUGUUUGUUAUCCUACGUGUUGUUUUCGUUCAUAAUUCAUAUGCUCACAAUGAAAUACAGUCUGCUAUUUUUGUUUACAUUAAAUUAUACUUUACCUAGCAAUAUGGUAAACAGGCUCACUUAGCAGAGGCUGGCUUGUUCGCUUAUUCGCCGCCCUAGGAAUGCGAGCUCCUUGCCGAAAUGAAAUUCUAGUAGCACUGGUUACUAUCGGGUCCUGCAUGUUCGUCAUUUGUGCAAGUAAACACAAUGCAUACGAGUACUCUACUGAAUUGAACUUUUUUGUAUUGUUUUCAUUGGACCAUCCACUGUAUAGUAACAGAGUAUUUAUUGCACACAGACUAUUUUAUUCUUUCAACCCAUAGUUCAUCCACCCACACUUUUAGUCUGAUUCUAAAAUUUGUAACACUUUUAAAUUUUGAACUUGUUCUGAACAAGUAAAAUUCCAAAUUUGACACCAUAAUGAAACUUAUGUCAAAUGUGAGAUCAUAUGAAAUGAAACUGAAGUGAACCAAUAAUAAAAAAUGCAAAAAUAAUUUAAUAAACCAUAAUAAAACUUAUAUCAAAUUUGAGAUGAAACAUAGACGAAUUGUGGAUUGAAACAAUAACGAAAACAAGCUAAGGGGAAUCUAUGAAUAAAUAAUGAGAACAUGUAAAAUUACGAUGACACGGAAAUGAUAUCGUAUGGAAAAUAUGCUAAGAGAACACUUUCAUUGGCCAGCCCAACCAUGAAAGGUAAUUUAACAAAAUGAUAUGAAACUUAUUUGAAAGCUCGAAAAAUAGAAAUAAAACCAGAAUGAAAAUAAUAAUGAAACAUGUAAAAAUACGAUGAAACACAUAUGUAAAAAUAAGGCCGCGAGAUCGUCGUCCUCUGAGUUGGAAGUUUAUGGUGAAGGUGACGUGGGAUCCAUUGCAGGCGCGCCCGGGGUCUGGUGUGGUUGUGGAACACAUAUGUGGAGAUCAUAGUAGCGGUGAAUGACGAACGUGAGCGCUCCGAAGAAUAUGGUGCAGGAAGGAGAAGUCGGUCUGUUAGUGUAGAACCGGCCUUCUGCGAUGAAGGUGAGGAAGCCGAUGGUUAAGCCGUGAGAUUGCCAGCCGUUAUUGAGGAUCUGAUCUAGAGUCGGUCCCCAGCUGACAUAGCCCCUUCCUGUGCUAACUGAUGGUAUGGGAAUUUGCGAGUAUCCUUUGUAGGGUGGCGAACAUGUCCGGAAGUACAAGAAGGGAGUUCGCCAAGGGGGUUUUCCAGAUUUGCGCCCUCAUGGCGAGGAAAUACCUUACGUCCUGCUAUUUGUUUUCUAUUGAUGAUGGAGAACGUUGAGCGAGGGGUUACAAGGGACAUAAAUAUGGCCAUAGGAGUAUAGUCUACGGGAGUAGAUUGGAAUCGCUACCCCUAUCCUCACCUUAUAUAGGUGACGGGGCUAGGUUUUACAUGGCGCCUACAUGAUCUCACACUGCCAUCAUCUUGGCUUCCACCCAAGAUGGUCUUCUGGCUUCCAGGACCCCCGGGCUGUCUCUUGAUGCCAGACCUCCUUCAAGACUUUUGGGCCCGAAGGCCGGCCCACUAUUGGGUUCAUAUCUAGUGUGCCAUCCACGUUGUAAUGCACCAUCACCAACCCCGAUUUCUGGGGCCUUAAGAGUGAAGCGAUUCCUAAUUCUUCUUGGUAACAUGCCAAAGUGUUGUGUCCCAAAGGCUCGACUGGGUAUUUUCGUCAUUGCGGUUGAUAUGGAGAAGGGGUGGGUCGCAUGGAGGCAGAAAUGGGUAAAUGAAGACAGAAACGAGGGGCUGGCCUGACAGUGGUUCAUGUAGACGACGAGCAAGAGCAUGUGGCCAAUUUUUCCGCAAGCGUUAGAAGCAUAGCCAUAAUUCCAGAAAUUUUAGUGGCGGCAACUGAAUUUGCCCUAUUAUAAGAAGGUAUUGCCCCACAACGGUGCGCACACGGGUGACCUUCCUCUUGGUCCAAUGACAGGUGGGCCAUGGACUCGCCGGGGGCCAUAUUAAUGGGACAUUGUCUAUCGUGCUCUUGUGAUUUCUCUCUCGGGUGAUGGGCGGGCUAGACCCACCUGUCGGUUUUUUCGGACACCGUUGGGCUGGCUCAGGUGUGCCAGGGGGCCAGGUCAGACUGUGGUGGGCCUAGACCCCGGCGGGUGUGCGUCGUUCAGGAUGGCCGGCCACGCGGGUGUGCCAUGCUGUUUGAUCGCGAGAGCUGGCAAAGCACGGGCACCAGGUUGUUCGGCUUGUGUGAGCGAAACAGGCGACGGUGAGUCUAUCGUCCAAGAGACGGGCCGAAUAUACCGACAGGCGGAUCAGGCUUCCUGCUCUUGUGCAAUACGAUGAGAAAGGGUUCUCGCGGGAGCACCGAGGCCGCUCCAUGAGAGUGGCCCUGCACGCACCCGCGGUCCACCCGUCAUGGACCCCCGAGUGCACGUCCACUAGUUGAAAACGGAGUUUUAUCACCGGUUCGUAAGGGCCUUUAGUGCCGGUUCUGCAACCGGCACUAAAGAGUGGGGACUAAAGGUCCCCCUUUAGUACCGGUUUGGCACGAACCGGCGUAAACGUGCCACCACGUGGCACGAGCCAGGCCUGGGUGCGUGUAGGACAUUAGUACCGGUUGGUAACACAACCGGUACUAAAUGUUUGGGUGUGUUUUGGUUUUAAUUUUUAUUUUUCCUUUAGUUUUGUGUUUUCAAUUUAAUUUAGUGAUUGUUUUACAUUAUAAUGAGUUGUUAAAUCAUUAGGUGAAAGUACCGCAGAUUAGUUUCGACUGGAUGCAUGUGGAUCCUAGCUAAGUGAUAAAGUAUAUGCCAUAUCCAUAUUACUUAGAUCUAAGUAAUAUGGAUAUGGCAUAUAGUUGAUCACUUAGCUAGGAUCCAUCCAGUUGAAACUAAUAUGCGGUUUCUUUCAUAAAUGAUAUAAUAACUCAUCAUCAUCAUCAUCAUAUUAAUAUAAAAACUCUUGCAUCAUAUCAUCACCAACAACAGUAUAUACUAGCUAGCAAAGAUAUCAUCGAGUUCAACAUGGUCAUGAUAUUAUAAGCAUUCAUAACACCACAAAAGCAAAUCACUCUUUGAGAUUAAGUUCAUGACGAAGAACACGGACACGCAUGAGAGGACAAGAAGUACUAAGAGCAUGAUAACUAGCUAAAUCACUCCUGCUGCUCUCUCUCAGGUAAAAUAGCAUAGAACAUGUAUAGCUCUCCUGAUUCAUCAUAUUGGAUCAUGCAGAUGAACCUGUCUCCUAAUCGUGGGCUGCGCUUCUGAUUGCUGCCCCCUAGUACUUCUUUGCGAUCGUUAACAAUUUUGCUCCAAUCUUUCACUAUUAAGCAUUCAUCGCUUUCAGAAAUUCUGAAUGCACUCAUGUGCACUGUAGGAUAUCUUGGCCGUAAGCUAACAAUUGACAUGCGACCUUUAGUCUUGAUCCACUGAGGCACAACUAUUAAGCAUUCAUCGCUUUCAGAAAUUCUGAAUGCACUCAUGUGCACUGUAGGAUAUCUUGGCCGUAAGCUAACAAUUGACAUGCGACCUUUAGUCUUGAUCCACUGAGGCACAACUGUCAUCGGGAGUCCCUGUUGAAGAACAUCGUAUAGUAAUUAAUAUACUUAGCAAUGAAAGUUUAGCUUGAAAAAUAAUGUAUGCAAAAGAUGCACUGAGGACUAAUAGUAAAAAUCUUACCAUCUUUCCUAAAUACAUGUGACCGUAGUUCAAUACGAUCACUAUUGGUCGCACGUUUUGAGUACUAAGAUUUUCAAAUUCAGGAAAAUGAUUUCUCUUAACAGCAUCAAGAUCCUCAAGCCAUGAAACAUAAUGACUUAUCUCCUCGCAGUUUAGUUCAGCCCCGGGACAGUGGAUGGUCCUGUCUACCAAGCGCCGAACAUGUUUGCUUGAAUCAAAAUAAGCUGUCAAUAGAAAUUACUUGUCAACUAUUUUUGAAUAAACAAUAUCGAAGACAUAAAUAUGGUUGAGAAACUCACAUAAUGGUAGAACUGGAGGCAUCUGCACAUCGACCCAGAUAUCUCUAUUACCUUCAAUAUCAUCUUCCGGACGAAUAUCAAAGGUGAUAACCAUAUCAGGCUCAAAUGCAUAAGUCUUGCAUAGUGCUUGCCAAGUUUUGCAUUCAAAAUAGGUGUAUGUGUCUGCAUUGUAUAAUUUGACGUUGAAAGUAUAACCAUGCUCGGUCUUCAGGUAAACUCUCUUUGCCUCCAUAGUUUCCAUAGCACUGAAACCUAUCUUAUCCAAGACAAAAAUUCUUGCAUGGCAGGGGAUGCGCUACUACAAUAGUGAAAAUUAAAAAUUAUAAGUUGAAGCAAAUGAAGCAUAAGUCAUGCUUAAUUAUGAAAAAAGACUUGUCGUUGUGACUUACUGUAUCCACUUCGAAGGUCUCAUCCAGCUUGAUGCUGAAGCGCCUAUCAUCAACAAGGAAAUUUCUGUCGCACAGGCCGCGCUGGUCUUCACAGUAUUCGCACUUAAUGAAAUCUUUUUCGUCGUCAGACGACAUUUCCUAUGUUCAUAUAGGUGAAACAUUAAACACUUACUAGUUCUAUUAAUUCAACUAGUUCAACUACUUCUAUUAAUUCAACUAGUUCUAUCAAUUCAACUAGUUCUAUUAAUUCAACUAAUUCAACUAAGCAUUUACUAAAAAUAAACUAGUUCUAUAUAUAUAUAUAUAUUAAUAUUUUAAUUAGAUCAUCAAAUCUCAAAUACCUAAAUUUUCUUACUAAAAAUAAACCAGUUCUAUUAAUUCAACAAAUUCAACUAAGAAUUUACUAAAAAUGAACUAGUUAUAUUAAUUUUCUUACUAAAAUAUAUAAAGUAGCUAUGUAUAGUAAUAUUUUAAUUAGAUCAUCAAAUCUCUUAUACCUAAAUUUUCUUACUAAAAAUAAACNNNNNNNNNNNNNNNNNNNNNNNNNNNNNNNNNNNNNNNNNNNNNNNNNNNNNNNNNNNNNNNNNNNNNNNNNNNNNNNNNNNNNNNNNNNNNNNNNNNNNNNNNNNNNNNNNNNNNNNNNNNNNNNNNNNNNNNNNNNNNNNNNNNNNNNNNNNNNNNNNNNNNNNNNNNNNNNNNNNNNNNNNNNNNNNNNNNNNNNNNNNNNNNNNNNNNNNNNNNNNNNNNNNNNNNNNNNNNNNNNNNNNNNNNNNNNNNNNNNNNNNNNNNNNNNNNNNNNNNNNNNNNNNNNNNNNNNNNNNNNNNNNNNNNNNNNNNNNNNNNNNNNNNNNNNNNNNNNNNNNNNNNNNNNNNNNNNNNNNNNNNNNNNNNNNNNNNNNNNNNNNNNNNNNNNNNNNNNNNNNNNNNNNNNNNNNNNNNNNNNNNNNNNNNNNNNNNNNNNNNNNNNNNNNNNNNNNNNNNNNNNNNNNNNNNNNNNNNNNNNNNNNNNNNNNNNNNNNNNNNNNNNNNNNNNNNCUGGGGCGGCGAUGGGGGCGGCGACGACGGCGGCGACGACGACGGCGACAGGAUGGGCUGGGGCGCGAUAGGGGCGGCGACGGGGGCGAAGAACAAACUGAAACGAACUGAAAAUAUUCGUAAGUGGUGCUUAUAUAGCGGUGGCCAUUAGUACCGGUUUGAUACUAAAGGCCUAUUUUGGCCAGGCCAAGAGGCGGGAAGAGCAGGCCUUUAGUACCGGUUGGUGGCUCCAACCGGUACUAAAGACCCACCUUUAGUACCGGGUUGGGCUACCAACCGGUACUAAAGGGGGUGCGCUGCCACCCGCGGUGUAGAAAGUUUAGUCCCACCUCGCCGGGCGAAGGGCAGCCGCACUGGUUUAUAAACCCAGCCGCGGCUGCUACUUUGAACUCCCUUGUAAAGCAGGCUUCUGGGCCUAACUAUGGCACGCUGCCCUGUGAGCCUGCUGGCCCUUGUGGGCCUGAAUUUCCACGCCCGUGGUCUUGUAGGCCCAUUGGGAAGCGCCCCAAUAAUUUUUUAUAUAGUUUGUUUCUUUUCUUCUUUAUUUAUUUUCUUCUAUUUAUUUCUGAGUAGUUUUUUAUAUAGUUUUUUCUUUUCUGCUUUUUUUUAUUUUCUUCUAUUUAUUUCGGAUUAGUUUUUUAUAUAUUUUUUUCUUUUCCCCAAAUCGGUAAAUGACUGAAAAAUAGCAAAUGUUGUCAGAAAGUGUUGAAAAUUGAUGACGUCGCUUUGAAUGGUGUGUAUGGAACGCAAAAAAGUCUGGAGUUGUAAUAAGUUUAAAAAAAUGAAGUGCCCAUGUAACAGAUGAGUUCUCGUCAGAAACCCUGAUACUACAAAAAAGAUAGUCCAGUUUGUACACGAAGUGCGUCCAGUUUUUGCCAUAACCCUCUCUACUCUUUUGCACAUGCUAUGUGGGUGAAAUGAUGAUACCAUGCCAAGUUUUGACAUUUUCAGAGUUUAUUUUGUAGUGAUUUUCAAUUUCACGGUCAUUUAACUCUCUAAACAAAUCGGUAAAUGACUGAAAAAUAGCAAAUGAUGUCAGAAAGUGUUGAAAAUUGAUGACGUCGCUUUGAAUGGUGCGUACGGAACGCAAAAAAGUCUGGAGUUGUAAUAAGUUUAAAAAAAUGAAGUGCCAGUGUAACAGAUGAGUUCUCGUCCGAAACCCUGAUACUCCGAAAGAGAUUGUCCAGUUUGUACACGAAGUGCGUCCAGUUUUUGCCGUAAUCCUCUCUACUCUUUUGCACAUGCUGUGUGGGUGAAAUGAUGAUACCAUGCCAAGUUUCGACAUUUUCAGAGUUCAUUUUGUAGUGAUUUUCAAUUUCACGGUCAUUUAGCUCUCUAAACAAAUCGGUAAAUGACUACAAAAGUGCAAAUAAUGUCAGAAAGUUUUGAAAAAUGAUGACGUCGCUUUGAAUGGUGUGUACGGAACGCAAAAAAGUCUGGAGUUGUAAUAAGUCUGAAAAAUCGAAGUGCCAAUGUAACAGAUGAGUUCUCGUCAGAAACCCUUAUACUUCGAAAGAGAUUGUCCAGUUUGUACACGAAGUGCGUCCAGUUUUUGCCGUAACCCUCUCUACUCUUUUGCACAAGCUAUGUGGGUGAAAUAAUGAUACCACACCAAGUUUCGACAUUUUCAGAGUUGAUUUUGUAGUGAUUUUCAAUUUCACGGUCAUUUAGCUCUCUAAACAAAUCGAUAAAUGACUGAAAAAUAGUAAAUGAUGUUAGAAAGUGUUGAAAAUUGAUGACGUCGCUUUGAAUGGUGCGUACGGAACGCAAAAAAAGUCUGUUGUUGUAAUAAGUUUAAAAAAAUGAAGUGCCAGUGUAACAGAUGAGUUCUCGUUCGAAACCCUGAUACUCCGAAAGAGAUUGUCCAGUUUGUACACGAAGUGCGUCCAGUUUUUGCCGUAACCCUCUCUAAUCUUUUGCACAUGCUAUGUGGGUGAAAUGAUGAUACUAUGCCAAGUUUCGACAUUUUCAGAGUUCAUUUUGUAGUGAUUUUCAAUUUCACGGUCAUUUAGCUCUCUAAACAAAUCGGUAGAUGACUAAAAAAUAGCAAAUGAUGUCAGAAAGUUUUGAAAAUUGAUGACGUCGCUUUGUAUGGCGUGUACGGAACGCAAAAAAUUCUGGAGUUGUAAUAAGUUUAAAAAAAUGAAGUACCCAUGUAACAGAUGAGUUCUCGUCAGAAACCCUGAUACUCCAAAAGAGAUUGUCCAGUUUGUACACGAAGUGCGUCCAGUUUUUGCCGUAACCCUCUCUACUCUUUUGCACAUGCUGUGUGGGUGAAAUGAUGAUACCAUGCCAAGUUUCGACAUUUUCAGAGUUCAUUUUGUAGUGAUUUUCAAUUUCACGGUCAUUUAGCUCUCUAAACAAAUCGGUAAAUGACUAAAAAAUAGCAAAUGAUGUCAGAAAGUGUUGAAAAUUGAUGACGUCGCUUUGAAUGGUGCGUACGGAACGCAAAAAAAGUCUNNNNNNNNNNNNNNNNNNNNNNNNNNNNNNNNNNNNNNNNNNNNNNNNNNNNNNNNNNNNNNNNNNNNNNNNNNNNNNNNNNNNNNNNNNNNNNNNNNNNNNNNNNNNNNNNNNNNNNNNNNNNNNNNNNNNNNNNNNNNNNNNNNNNNNNNNNNNNNNNNNNNNNNNNNNNNNNNNNNNNNNNNNNNNNNNNNNNNNNNNNNNNNNNNNNNNNNNNNNNNNNNNNNNNNNNNNNNNNNNNNNNNNNNNNNNNNNNNNNNNNNNNNNNNNNNNNNNNNNNNNNNNNNNNNNNNNNNNNNNNNNNNNNNNNNNNNNNGACUAAAAAUAGCAAAUGAUGUCAGGAAGUGUUGAAAAUUGAUGACGUCACUUUGAAUGGUGCGUACGGAACGCAAAAAAAGUCUGGAGUUGUAAUAAGUUUAGAAAAAUGAAGUGCCAAUGUAACAGAUGAGUUCUCGUCAGAAACGGUGAUACUCCGAAAGAGAUUGUCCAGUUUGUACACGAAGUGCGUCCAGUUUUUGCCGUAAUCAUCUCUAUUCUUGUGCACAUGCUGUGUGGGUGAAAUGAUGAUACCAUGCCAAGUUUUGACAUUUUCAGAGUUCAUUUUGUAGUGAUUUUCAAUUUCACGGUCAUUUAGCUCUCUAAACAAAUCGGUAAAUGACUACAAAAGUGCAAAUAAUGUCAGAAAGUUUUGAAAAAUGAUGACGUCGCUUUGAAUGGUGUGUACGGAACGCAAAAAAGUCUGGAGUUGUAAUAAGUCUGAAAAAAUGAAGUGCCAAUGUAACAGAUGAGUUCUCGUCAGAAACCCUUAUACUUCGAAAGAGAUUGUCCAGUUUGUACACGAAGUGCGUCCAGUUUUUGCCGUAACCCUCUCUACUCUUUUGCACAUGCUAUGUGGGUGAAAUGAUGAUAUCACGCCAAGUUUCGACAUUUUCAAAGUUGAUUUUGUAGUGAUUUUCAAUUUCACGGUCAUUUAGCUCUCUAAACAAAUCGAUAAAUGACUGAAAAAUAGUAAAUGAUGUCAGAAAGUGUUGAAAAUUGAUGACGUCGCUUUGAAUGGUGCGUACGGAACGCAAAAAAAGUCUGUUGUUGUAAUAAGUUUAAAAAAAUGAGUUGCCAGUGUGACAGAUGAGUUCUCGUUCGAAACCCUGAUACUCCGAAAGAGAUUGUCCAGUUUGUACACGAAGUGCGUUCAGUUUUUGCCGUUACUCUCUCUACUCUUUUGCACAUGCUAUGUGGGUGAAAUGAUGAUACUAUGCCAAGUUUCGACAUUUUCAGAGUUCAUUUUGUUGUGAUUUUCAAUUGCACGGUCAUUUAGCUCUCUAAACAAAUCGGUAGAUGACUAAAAAAUAGCAAAUGAUGUCAAAAAGUUUUCAAAAUUGAUGACGUCGCUUUGUAUGGUGUGUACGGAACUCAAAAAAUCUGGAGUUGUAAUAAGUUUAAAAAAAUGAAGUGCCCAUGUAACAGAUGAGUUCUUGUCAGAAACCCUGAUACUUCGAAAGAGAUUGUCCAGUUUGUACACGAAGUGCGUCCAGUUUUUGCCGUAACCCUCUCUACUCUUUUGCACAUGCUGUGUGGGUGAAAUGAUGAUACUAUGCCAAGUUUCGACAUUUUCAGAGUUCAGUUUGUAGUGAUUUUCAAUUUCACGGUCAUUUAGCUCUCUAAACAAAUCGGUAAAUGACUGAAAGAUAGCAAAUGAUGUCAGAAAGUGUUGAAAAUUGAUGGCGUCGAUUUGAAGGGUGCGUACGGAACGCAAAAAAAGUCUGGAGUUGUAAUAAGUUUAAAAAAAUGAAAUGCCAGUGUAACAGAUGAGUUCUCGUCCGAAACCCUGAUACUCCGAAAGAGAUUGUCCAGUUUGUACACGAAGUGCGUCCAGUUUUUGCCGUAACCCUCUCUACUCUUUUGCACAUGCUAUGUGGGUGAAAUGAGGAUACCAUGCCAAGUUUCGACAUUUUUAGAGUUCAUUUUGUAGUGAUUUUCAAUUUCACGGUCAUUUAGCUCUCUAAACAAAUCGGUAAAUGACUAAAAAAUAGCAAAUGAUGUCAGAAAGUUUUGAAAAUUGAUGACGUCGCUUUGAAUGGUGUGUACGGAACUCAAAAAAGUCUGGAGUUAUAAUAAGUUUUAAAAAAUAAAGUGCCCAUGUAACAGAUGAGUUCUCGUCAGAAACCCUGAUACUUCGAAAGAGAUUGUCCAGUUUGUACAGGAAGUGAGUCCAGUUUUUGCCGUAACACAAGAAGUCCGGAGUUGUUAUAAGUUAUUAAAGAUAAAAAAGAGGCACAAUGCUCGUUAAUUAGCUUCAAGCCUUUCGGAAUAGUGCAAACUGCACUGCACAUAGCUCCGUGCAGUCUACACUAUUCCUCAAGGCUUAAAGCUAAGCAACGUGUAGAUGAGCAUUUCACGGUCAUUUAGCUCUCUAAGCUAAUCUAGUAGCCAUGUUAAGUCGAUAAUGACGUGGAAUUGUUAUAUGACAUGCAAAUACCUUCUGAGUUAAUGGCACUAGUCAUCAACCCGUGCAACUGCAUGGGCUAGUUUUUUAAACGGUUCAUAGUUACAAUACUUUUCAUGACCACUUGUUUCUUUGCAUCCAGCAAGAAUAUAAAUUUGUUGUGUGUGAACCAUUAAAUGAACAAUUAAUAUGAAAAUAGAAAACUUAUAUCCUGAAAGUUUACAAUCUUCAUAAAAUAUUUAUAUUUUAUUUUAAGACAAACGGGAAAUUAAAAAUCCUACUUAUAGAGAUCCUGAAACAUAAUUCAAAUGUCGCAUAAAUUACGUAAUUUUGAAUGAUAAGUACUAAAAAUGUAAUAAUUUGUUUAGUUAAUAUUAAUCCUUUUUUUAUUUGGGAGUCUACUUAAUCAUGGGGUAUUUUGCAUAAUGCUUAGGCUUGUCAAAUGAAAUAAGCAUUUCAUAACAACAGUGUACCUCCCUACAGUUUAAUAACAAACUUACUCUACAAACACCGAAAACCGAACCAAAGACUGAAGAAGCAAUCAUAAGUGUCAUACUUCUUAAAUUCUCCUUUUUUUUCCCGGCACCACCCAUGGAGUAGUCUUUCCACCGUGUUUGACUCUCGUUGUGGUAGCAAAUGAUGGGUCCAAGUUUUCGCAUAGUAUUGUCCGUUUGUUUUAUCAUGAUAGAGUACUCCAUUAGUUGGCACCGCUCUUAUAUUUGUGUGUGAUCUUUUAGCAGUUCAACAUUAUAGUUCUUCCACCCAUAUGUUCGCAAUGUUAAAUCUAUGGAGAAAAAGAUUCAAAUCUUCACUAUUGUACCACAAAAGCAAGUCACAUGAAUAGCUCGCAAUUAUUUAACUACUGGUGGUUGGUGCCAGGUAUAUUAGCGUUAGGAAAGUAAAUGUACAUACUGAACAUUUGACUGUGGAAGAAAAUGAAUUUUCUUAUUUACUCUUAUUGAAUUCUAAAUAUAUUUUGGAUAUUUGUUUUCAGUAAUACACCUAAUUUUGGAAAAUCUAUUUCAUAGCCUUGUAUUUUUGAAAUAUUUUACAAAACAUGACACAAAUUGUUGUGUUUUUUCACAUACAUAUUUAUAACAUUAAUACACUCUUUAUAUGUAAUGUGAUAUUUAUUAUAUAAUUUUUUAAUCAUACAUAACUAAAUUCUUAUUAUUUUCAAAUCACAAAUUUUAAAUGAUAUGAUAACUUACAUUUUAAAAGCUCUAUUUCGGGACAUUAUAACUAAAAACUAUCUGAGCGAAUCGGGCACCAUAAUGUAUUUGGUGUCUACACUUUGUCGCAUACAUAGCCUUUUUUAUUUUUAAUGUAAUUGCUAAAAUAUGUAAUUAUGUAGAACUUAAUAUUACAUUCUAUUACACAGAUUGGACUUAUAUAGGUUGGAAAAGAAUUAAAUCUAUGCUGUCAAACCUACCGAAUAGCAUUCCUCCGGCACAUUGUAUAUCUGGCAUUUAUUAGUAAUGUGUCUAAAUCAGUUCGGGAUAAAUUCACUCUACAUCGUCAUAAUGGCUUGUUGUUAAAAUUUGGCAUCCUGACGCAUUACUUGGAAUUUUUAUAAACUCAGUGUAAACAGUUAUGUUAUCUUUUUAAACAUAAGUUAUUUAGUUCAAUUCGGAGUACUAUAUAGUAAUUUUCAACAGUAAAUCUAGCCUAUUUCAACUCGGUCAUUAUAAACAAUAAAUCUAGCCUGUUUCAACUCGGCCAUUAUAUUUAACUUAUUUAAGACAUAAGGUAAUCUAACUUUUGAACAAUCUUUAGAAAUCUACAUAUGUAGAGGUCAAGUAGGACAUACAUAUGUGAAAUUCCUUAAAAUAAUUUGAUAAUUGUUAUAUUAAAGAAAAUAAUAUUAUAAUUUAUUAUCUGUACUUACUAUAAUUGCAAUACUUUUUGAUAGCAUGUUCCCGUUGCAUAGUGUCGCUUACUGCACAAUAUCUUAAUUUGUUAUGUGUCUCGGAUAGAAAAAUAUUGUAUUUCCGCGUAUGUAUAUGCAUGUCUAUAUAUGUUUCACACACAUGAAAUUUUUUUAUAUAUUAAAAAAUGAUUUCGCCUGAGUUACAUCCAUGCAUGCUAAUUUCCUGUCUAUCAUUGGAGUUUAGAUCUAUGCAUGUAUGUGCUUGACUAAGCUCUGCACAUAUAUACGUGCCGGUCAAAUCAUAUACAUGAACGUACAUCACUCUAUUCUACUAUUAAGGGAUUCGUUGAGCACCUCGUCAAAGAAACAAACCUUUCAGAUCAACUUGUAAAUUUUCUUUUUACAUAUUUGCAUUUUUUUAGCAUAUUUGCAUUUCUUUCCUAAAAUAUUGCAAUAUUUGCAAAUAUCUGAAUCAUAUUCUUUUGAUUGACAAUAACACAAUGGCUUACCAGCAGAUCAAAACAGAUAUCUAGCUAGUGCGAAGGUUGUGCCACCUCUUGAUUGUUUCCUCCAUGAGCAAGCAAGCUUCUGGUAACGGUAACAGUCAUGGCGACGGAACAUGAUGUGCCGGCGAGCCGCAGACAUUAGAAAGAUCUGAAAAGAAGCAGAUAGGCAUGAUGCAUAAAUCUGGAAAGGAAGAAGAAUAUGCAUAACUCAAAAGCAUUGAAGCCGUCGGUUUUUGCAUUGCUCUACGAUCAGUUAAUGUACGCAUGCAUCGUAUAUGUACGCAUCCAGCCGCCGGAAUUUACUUCUCCUGCCUUCGUUUGUCAAGGGCAAAAAUACUGGCCAGCAGCACAAAUUGAAGACCAGCUUUCGGCACCUCCAUAACGCUCGUAGAAAAGUUCUCAAUGACUUGCAUCGGGAAUAUCUCUCCAGACCAGGGCAUGCGCCAAUUAAUGCUUCUUGCCGUGUCAUGUAUGCCGGGUCAUGUAUCUCUACGGGGACAACAAAAUUCAACUUGUUUAUUUUUGGAUAAUCAUUGGGAGAUAGAGACCCAGCACAGGACGUCUCCCAUGCGUGGGACAACCGAGGUUUUUUUUUUCAAUCUUAGGCUUCAUCAACGGCUAAAAUAUAUUAUAUUUUAAUCUGACGGAUGUAAAUCUUUAACUUAUAAAAUUGACGUGAAUCCUCGUAUGGCUCUUCCAAUUAGUAAAUAUAUAAGAUAGUAGUAGACGUGAAGAAUAAAGGGGCAGUAAUGGGAUAUUAAAUGUGGCAGCUAACUUGCUAGGCCUUCGAGUUAUAUUUUGUUCAGCAUUAAGUGGAAAACAUAUUUUGGCAUCCUUUUCCUCCUCUCGACUCUGACAAAAUGUUAGUGAUAUUCAAAUGGAAAAGCUUAGGCAAGAAAUAUUCCGAGGAAAAAUAAUGCAUCUACUCUAAAAUAUAUUUUCAUCAAUAGUAGUCCACUACUACCAUGAGCCAAUGGCCAUGGUUCUAUUCAAAAUUUUAAUUUAUCAAGAUCAGGCGUAGACUUGAUGUUGACAUCAAUGGCUAUCUAGGCUUAGAGAGAUGAGAGGAGUGAAGAACAAAAAAGGAGCGCCAAUAAUGGUUAUAACCCAUAGGGGAUAAAAUAAGGACGCCGCUAGUUGGCAUGAAUUGAUACAGGUAGACAUCACUUACUCUGCGUCCCUGAAUAGAGGCCAUAAUUUGUGUUGCUCUAGGGACCCAUAAUUUAUGAAUUCUGCUCACAAGAGAUCCGACUGUUGUGGGGAUCAAACUUUAGCACGCUGCCCUUAGAGCAACUCCAACGCGUCAACCCAAAUGGACGGCGAUUUUGUUAUAUUUUCGUCUGUUUGUGUCGACCGUCCACUCGGUGUCCGCCUAAUUUUCUUUUUGGGUCAGCAGUGCGCCCAAUGCCAGCGACUCAUUUCAUGUCCGUGCACAAAUUUUAAAAAGGCCCGCGGCUGUAGAUCAUGGCAGCGGCCAAGCCGUCACCCAAAGUUCAUGCCGGCACCAUGCCAGCAGCCGACAUACAAUGCCAGCUCCAAAAAAGCACCACACAGUUUGUGUUGGCGCACUUGCCAGCGACUGGCAUAGAUGCCAGCAAACAAAAAAGGGGCGGGAGUUCGACCACGCCAUCGCGACCGUAGUCAUGCCAACACACUUUUCGGCAUGCAAAAAAGGAUGGCGCUUUCCGCCAUAAAUCACUCGUCGUCGAACUUGAGCAUGUCGGCUUGCAUCUUGUCGAACCACGACCUCUUCCUCGGCGACAUGGUGUUGAGGUCCACCUUCAUGAUCUCCACACCCGUCAUCAUGCUAGCGAGAACCACUUCUUUCGCCUUGGUCUUGACAUUUGCGGCAUCGAUAUCUAGCAUCUUGGCUUGCACUGGUGCAGAACCGGGCUUUAGCACCAGUUCGUAAGGCCCUUUAGUGGCGGUUCUUGAACCGGUACUAAGGGGGGGGGGGCUUUAGGGAUUUUGGUUUUAUUAUUUAUUUUUCCUUUAAUUUUGUAUUUCCAUUUAUUUUAUUUUUCAUUUGCUGGUAUUUUACGAACUACAUAUUGUACACGUUAUGCAUAUAUAUAAAUAUAAUUUCUCGUAGAACCGAUCAUAUANNNNNNNNNNNNNNNNNNNNNNNNNNNNNNNNNNNNNNNNNNNNNNNNNNNNNNNNNNNNNNNNNNNNNNNNNNNNNNNNNNNNNNNNNNNNNNNNNNNNNNNNNNNNNNNNNNNNNNNNNNNNNNNNNNNNNNNNNNNNNNNNNNNNNNNNNNNNNNNNNNNNNAGCUAAUCAUUGAUAUAUACUACAUACUAAACGUACAUACUCUCUAUUUUGACGGAUACUACAUACAACAUACAAAAUGCAAGUGGUGGUAAUUACCACCGCUUGGAGGAAGCAUUUGAGGCACCACCAUUUGAAGCACCGCCAUUCACACAUAGAGCAGAAAAGAGUACCGGUUGGAGCGACCAACCGGUUUAAAGGGGUGUGCUGGCCCAGGUGCGAUGCACAAAGUUUAGUCCCACCUUGCUGAGCGAAGGGCGGCCGCACUGGUAUAUAAACCCAGCCGCGGCUGCUCCUUUGAGCUCCUCCCUAACGCAGGCCUUCUGGGCCUACUUGUGUUGCGCUGCCCUGUUGGGCCUACUAGCCUUGCGGGCCUACCUCCUGGCCCGACUACAGGUUGGGUUUCUAGUCGCAUGCAGGCCGCUGUGGCCCAGUAGGCGGGCUUUUAAAAAAAUAUUGUUUGCUUUAUUUAUUUUCUUUUAUUUAUUUCUGAGUUGUUUUUCCUGUAUUUCGAAUUUCUUUGUGAAUAUUUUUGCUUUAGGUACAAAAAAUUACAAAAUUUCUGUUAGUGCCAGUAGUUUUCAAAUUUGAAUAGUUUAAAUUUGUCUCCUUUAUUUAUUUUUAAGUUGUUUUUUGCUGUAUUUAGAAUUUCUUUGUGAAUAUUUUGCUUUAGGUAAAAAAAAUUACAAACUUUAUGUUAGUGCCAAUAGUUUUCAAUUUUGAAUAGUUUAAAUUUGUCUGCUUUAUUUAUUUUCUUUUAUUUAUUUGUGAGUUGUUUUUUGCUGUAUUUAGAAUUUUUUGUGAAUAUUUUUCUUUAGGUACAAAAAAUUACAAAAUUUCUGUNNNNNNNNNNNNNNNNNNNNNNNNNNNNNNNNNNNNNNNNNNNNNNNNNNNNNNNNNNNNNNNNNNNNNNNNNNNNNNNNNNNNNNNNNNNNNNNNNNNNNNNNNNNNNNNNNNNNNNNNNNNNNNNNNNNNNNNNNNNNNNNNNNNNNNNNNNNNNNNNNNNNNNNNNNNNNNNNNNNNNNNNNNNNNNNNNNNNNNNNNNNNNNNNNNNNNNNNNNNNNNNNNNNNNNNNNNNNNNNNNNNNNNNNNNNNNNNNNNNNNNNNNNNNNNNNNNNNNNNNNNNNNUAAGUUGUUUUUUGCUGUAUUUAGAAUUUCUUUGUGAAUAUUUUUGCUUUAGGUACUAAAAAUUACAAACUUUCUGUUAGUGCUAGUAGUUUUCAAAUUUGAAUAGUUUAAAUUUUUCUGCUUUAUUUAUUUUCUUUUAUUUAUUCCUGAGUUGUUUUUUGCUGUAUUUAGAAUUUCUUUGUAACUAUUUUUGCUUUAGGUACAAAAAAUUACAAACUUUAUGUUACUGCCAGUAGUUUUAAAAUUUGAAUAGUUUAAAUUUGUCUGUUUUAUUUAUUUCUGAGUUGUUUUUUGCUGUGUUUAGAAUUUAUUUUUGAAUAUUUUUGCUUUAGGUACAAAAAAUUACAAACUUUCUAUUAGUGCCAGUAGUUGUCAAAUUUGAAUAGUUUAAAUUUGAAUUAUUUGAAAUUUUUGUGAAUAACUAGUUUCGGAAUAACUUUACUUUAAAAAUAGAUUUUUCAGUGAUUCGUUUUUCUUAUGUCUAACAUUAGUGUGUUUUAUCAUUAUAUUCAAUUUGGUAAUACUUAGGUUAUUUAAAAAAUGAAAUGCCAUUGUAACAGAUGAGUUUUCGUCUAAAAACUCUGAUACUUCGAAAGAGAUUGUCCAUUUUGUACACUAAGUGCUUCCAGUUUUUGCCAUAACCCUCUAUACUUUUUUGCACAUGCUAUGUGGGUGAAAUGAUGAUACCAUGCCAACUUUCAACCUUUUCAGAGUUCAUUUGUAGUGCUUUUUAAUUUCAGGGUCAUUUAGCUAAAAAAAUCAUUAAAUGCAUGAAAAAUAGCAAAUGAUGUCCGAAAGUGUUGAAAGUUGAUGACGUGGCUUUGAAUGGUGCAUACUGGACGCACAAAAAGUAUGGAGUUGUAAUGAGUUUCAAAAAUGAAAUUCCUUUGUAACAGAUGAGUUUUCGUCCGAAACCCUGAUACUCCGAAAGAGAUUGUCCAUUUUGUACACGAAGUGCAUCCAGUUUUUUCCAUAACCCUCACUACUUUUUUGCACAUGCUAUGUGGGUGAAAUGAUGAUGCCAUGCCAACUUCCAACCUUUAAGAGUUCAUUUGUAGUGUUUUUCAAUUUCAGGGUCAUUUAGCUAAAAAAUCAAUAAAUGCAUGAGAAAUAGCAAAUGAUGUCAGAAAGGUAUGAAAGUUGAUGACGUGGCUUUGAAUGGUGCAUACUGAAUGCACAAAAAGUUUAGAGUUGUAAUAAAUUUAAAAAAUGAAAUGCCUUUGUAACAGAUGAGUUUUCGUCCGAAGCCCUCAUACUUCAAAAGAGAUUAUCCAUUUUGUGCACGAAGUGCAUCCAGUUUUUGCCGUAACCCUCUCUACUUUUUUGCACAUUAUAUGUGGGUGAAAUGAUGAUACGAUGCCAACUUCCAACCUUUCAGAGUUCAUUUGUAGUGCUUUUCAAUUUCAGGGUCAUUUAGCUAAAAAAAAUCAGGAAAUGCACGAAAAAUAGCAAAUGAUGUCAGAAAAGUUUGAAAGUUGAUGACAUGGCUUUGAAUUGUGCAUACUGAACGCACAAAAAGUCUAGAGUUGUAAUAAGUUUAAAAAAUGAAAUGCCUUUGUAACAGAUGAGUUUUCGUCCGAAACCCUCAUACUUCGAAAGAAAUUGUACAUUUUGUACACGAAGUGCAUCCAGUUUUUGCCGUAACCCUCUCUACUUUUUUGCACAUGCUAUGUGGGUGAAAUGAUGAUGCCAUGCCAACUUUCAACCUUUGUAGAGUUCAUUUGUAGUGCUUUUCAAUUGCAGGGUCAUUUAGCUAAAAAAUCAGUAAAUGCAUGAAAAAUAGCAAAUGAUGUCAGAAAGUGUUGAAAGUUGAUGACGUGGCUUUGAAUGGUGCAUACUGAAUGCACAAAAAGUCUGGAAUUGUAAUAAGUUUAAAAAAAUGAAAUGCCUUUGUAACAGAUGAGUUUUCGUCCGAAACCCUGAUACUCCGAAAGAGAUUGUCCAUUUUGUACACGAAGUGCAUCCAGUUUUUGCCGUAACCCUCCCCUACUUUUUUCCACAUGCUAUGUGGGUGAAAUGAUGAUACGAUGCCAACUUCCAACCUUUUCAGAGUUCAUUUGUAGUGCUUUUCAAUUUCAAGGUCAUUUAGCUAAAAAAUUAGUAAAUGCAUGAAAAAUAGCAAAUGAUAUCAGAAAGGUUUGAAAGUUGAUGACGUGUCUUUGAAUGGUGCAUACCGAAAGUACAAAAAGUCAGGAGUUGUAAUAAGUUUAAAAAAAUGAAAUGCCUUUGUAACAGAUGAGUUUUCGUCUAAAACCCUCAUACUUCGAAAGAGAUUGUCCAUUUUUUUCUACACGAAGUGCAUCCAGUUUUUGCCGUAACCCUCUCAACUUUUUUGCACAUGCGAUGUGGGUGAAAUGCUGAUACCGCCAACUUUUAACCUUUUGAGAGUUCAAUUUUAGUGCUUUUUAAUUUCAGGGUCAUUUAGCUAAAACAAUCAGUAAAUGAGCUAAAAGUAGCAAAUGAAGUCAGAAAAGGGUUGAAAAUUGCUGAUGUGCCUUGGAAUGGUGCAUAUUGAACACACAAAAAGUCUGGAGUUGAAAUAAGUUAUUAAAAAUAAAAUCCUUUUGUAAUAGAUGAGUUUCGUCCGAAACCCUGAUACUUCGAAAGAGAUUGUCCAGUUUGUAGAAGAAGUGCAUCCAAUUUUUGCCGUAACCCUCUCAACUUUUUAGCACAUGCUAUGUGGAUGAAAUGAUGAUAUCAUGCUAAGUUUCAACCAUUUCAGAGUUGAUUUGUAGUGCUUUUCAUUUUCAGGGUCAUUUAGCUAAAAAAAUUCAUUAAAUGCAUAAAAAUAGCAAAUGAAGGCAGAAAAGAGUUGAACAUUGAUGAUGUGACUUUGAAUGGUGCACAAUGAACACACAAAAAGUCCGGAGUUAAAAUAAGUUAUAAAAAUGAAGGAGAGGCGCAAUCCUCACUGGCACAUUGCUUAGCUUCAGGCCUUGACAAACUACACAUAGCUCUGUGCAAUCUACACCAUUUCCUCCAGGCAUGAAGCUAAGCAACGUGCAGGUGAGCAUUGCGCCUCUCCUUCAUCGUUCCUCGUCUCUGCACUCAGGGCUUAUAAACCGCUGAUACGUCUCCAACGUAUCUAUAAUUUUUGAUUGUUCCAUGCUAUUAUAUUAUCAAUCUUGGAUGUUCUAUAAUCAUUUUAUAGUCAUUUUUUGGUACUAACCUAUUGACAUAGUGUCAAGUGCUAGUUGUUGUUUUCUGCAUGUUUUUUACAUUGCAGGAAAUCAAUACCAAACGGCGUCCAAAUUCAAUGAAACUUUACGGGGAUUUUUUAUGCACCAGAAGACACCUAAUGGGCCAAGGCUGCGCCUAGGGGGUGCUCCGAGGAGAGCACAACCCACCAUGGCGCGCCAGGAGGCCCGGGCACGCCCUGGAGGGUUGUGCCCACCUCGGGUGCCCCUCGGGCCGCCUCUUUGCUCUAUAAAUAUCCCAAUAUUCCAGAAACCCUAGGGGAGUCGACGAAAAUCAAUUCAAGCCUCCGCAGAGUCCAGAACCACCAGAUCCAAUCUAGACACCAUCACGGAGGGGUUCACCACUUCCAUUGGUGCCUCUCCGAUGAUGCGUGAUUAGUUCUUUGUAGACCUUCGGGUCCGUAGUUAGUAGCUAGAUGGCUUCCUCUCUCUCGCCAAACUCUCAAUACAAUGGUGUCUUGGAGAUCCAUAUGAUGUGACUCUGUUUGCGGUGUGUUUGUUGGGAUCAGAUGAACUUUCAGUUUAUGAUCAGAUCUAUCUUUUUAUAUCCAUGAAAGUUAUUUGAGUUUCUUUGAACUAUUAUAUGCAUGAUUUCUUAUAGCCUCGUAUUUCUUCUCCGAUAUUUGGGUUUUGUUUGGACAAAUUGAUCUAUUUAUCUUGCAAUGGAAAGAGGUGCUUUGUAGUGGGUUCGAUCUUACGGUGCUUGAUCCCAGUGACAGAAGGGGAACCGACACGUAUGUAUCGUUGCUACUAAGGAUAAAACGAUGGGGUCUAUCUCUACAUAGAUAGAUCUUGUCUACAUCAUGUCAUCAUUCUUAUUGCAUUACUCCAUUUCCCCAUGAACUUAAUACACUAGAUGCAUGCUGUAUAGCGGUCGAUGUGUCGAGUAAUAGUAGUAGAUGCAGGUAGGAGUCGGUCUACUAAUCUUGGACGUGAUGGCUAUAUAUUGAUCAUUGCCUGGAUAUCGUCAUGAUUAUUUGGAACUCUAUCAAUUGCCCAACAGUAAUUUGUUUACCCACCGUUUGCUAUUUUGCUCGAGAGAAGCCACUAGUGAAACCUACGGCCCCCGGGUCUCUUUCUCACAUUAUUUGCCUUCGCGAUCUAUUUUAUUUGCCUUUUGUUUGCAGAUCUAUUAAACCAAAAAUACAAAAAUACCUUGCUGCGUUUUACUCUUAUUUAUUUUAUUUGGUGUUCGAUCUAUCAAUCUACUACAAUUAUCUCACGUCUGUUUGCCAAUUUCUGGCGCCGCUACCCGAAAGGGAUUGACAACCCCUUUAACACGCCAGGUUGCGAGGAUUUGUUAUCUGUGUGCAGGGGCUAUUUACAUUCUAUUGCUAGGUUCUCCUACUAGUUCGAUAACCUUGGUUUCAUAUCUGAGGGAAAUACCUACCGCUGCUAUGCUGCAUCAUCCCUUUCUCUUUGGGGAAAUACCGACGUAGCUUCAAGCCGCAUCAAAAGGAAUUUCUGGCGCCGUUGCCGGGGAGGAUCUUCAACAUAUACGAGGUUCCGAAUCACAAAUCUCAUCUCCUUGCAAUUUACAUUAUUUGCCAUUUGCCUCUCAUUUUCCUCUCCCCCACUUCACAAAAAUUUGCCAUUUUAUUCGUCCUCUUUUUCGUUCGCCUUUUUCUCGUUUGAUCUUUUGUUUGCUUGUGUUGCCAUGUGCCUUCUAUAUGCUUGCGUCUUCGCUUGCUAAAAAUAUAUUGAUAUGGAUCCUCAUCCACUUGCUAAUCUUUUUAAAAGAUCCAAUCAUGUUGAACCAGUUGCUAGUGAGUUGAGUGCACUAGAUUAUCUUUAUGAAGUUUUUCUUGAGAUUCGUGAAUCUAAAAAUUGCGAUGAAGAAAUUUAUGAAGUGAUUCAUGAUAGCUCCUUGAAUGAAAAGCAUGAUUGCAAUGAUUUUACUAUAAAUCCUAUUAAUGUCAAUUGUGCUAAUAAUAUGCAAAACCCCAAACUUUGGGAUGCUAAUUUUGCUAUGUCCACUACUUGUUGCAAUGAUCAUGAUUGGGGUGAUUCUUCUUAUGAGCUUGAAAUUUUAUUUAAACCUCAUGAUGAAUAUGAUAUUGAUAAUAAUGUUUGCAAUAAUAUUGAAAGUGGGUAUGGAAGAGCGUCAACUUUAGGUAAAAAUAAUCCCACAUAUUUGGAGAGUGUUCAAUCUUAUGAUUUUUUUUAUGAAAGUGGGUUCGGAGGGGUCAUGACUUUAGUUGAUGUUAAUCCCACUAUCUUGGAAGAUUAUAAGACUUGUAUGCAUGUGGAUCAUGAAAAGAAAGUUUUAUAUGAUUGCUAUAUUGUUGAAUUUGAGUAUUAUCCUACAUGUAAUUAUUAUGAGAAAGGAAAAUAUGGUUGUAGAAAUUUUUAUGUUACUAAAUUACCUCUCGUUAUGUUGAGAUCGUCAAUGUUUUAUUCCUCUUCUUUGCAUAUGUUAGAUGUUUCUUGUCUUGAUAUUUUGUUUUCUUAUAAAAUUCCUAUGCAUAGGAAGUAUGUUAGACUUAAAUGUGGUUGUCAUAUGUUUCAUGAUGCUCUCUUUGUGUUUCAAUUAUUAUCUCUCAUGUGAGCAUCAUUGAAAUUUUAUGCCUAGCUAGGGGCAUGAAACUAUAGCGCUUGUUGGGAGGCAACCCAAUGAAUAAAAUUUGUUUUUACCUUUUGCUUUCUGUUCUUGAAUGUUUGCACAAUUAUGCUAAUGUUAUGAUUGUGUGUUUUGUGUUUUAAUUAGUGUUUGUACCAAGUAGAACCUAUAGGAUCUUCUUGGGUGAUAGUUGUUUGAUCUUGCUGAAAAAACAGAAACUUUUGCGCUCAUGAAAACAAUUCUUAUUUUUUACCAGAGCGUGAUAAAAUGCCAAUUAUUUUUGCAGAAGAUUAAUAUACAAAUUUCUUAGGUCUUCCUAUUGUUUUAGAAUUUUUGGAGUUUCAGAAGUAUUCGAACAAUUCAGAUUGCAACACAUUGUUCUGUUUUUGACAGAUUUUGUUUUCUUUGCGUUGUGUGCUUGUUUUGAUGGCUCCAUGGUUUUCUUUGUUGAGUUUUUGCCAUAGAAAAGUUGGAAUAUAUUAGAUAUAAUGCAAGAAUAAAAUAUGAAUAGGUUGCAACAGUACUUAUAGUAGUGAUUUAUUUUCUUAUACUAAUGGAUCUCACGAAGGUUUUGUUGAGUUUUGUGUGAUUGAAGUCUUCAAGUUUUGGGUUAUCUUACGAUGGAUGAAGGAAUAAGGAGUAAGCAAAGCCUAAGCUUGGAGAUGCCCCGGCAACCCAAGCUAUUAUCCAAAAGAUAGCAAGCAAGUAAGCUUGGGGAUGCCCCGAGUGGCAUCCCCUCUUUCUUCUAACGACCAUCGAUAUUUUACUCGAAGCUAUAUUUUUAUUCGUCACAUACUAUGUGUUUUGCUUGGAGCGUCUUGUAUGAUAUGAGUCUUUGCUUGUUUUAUUUUGUGUUUUAAGUCUUGAUUCCUUGCGGGACACACCUAUUUGAGAGAGCCAAAAUUAUGCAUGACUUAUUAGAAUUGCUCUCUAUGCUUCACUUAAAUUUUUUAUGAGCCAUGGACUUGCUCUAGUGCUUCACUUAUAUCUUUUUGAGCACGGUGUGCUUAGUUAUUUUUUAAGAAAUGCUCUCUUGCUUCACUUAGAUUUGUUUUAGAGGUAGUAAAUUUUUCAGGAAAUUCUCUCUUUCUUCACUUAAAUUAAUUUGAAAGAAAGAAAUAUUAUGCUCAUGAUCUUCACUUAUAUUUGUUUGAGCUUAUCAAAAGCAACAUAUGAAAAUUAGUUCCAAAGUGAUAGAUAUCCAAGAAGGAUAUAAUAAAAACUUUCAUGAAGAUCAUUGGACAAAAUAAACUUGAUUCUUAGUAAUAGUUUUAAGAUAUGAUGAUGUGAUAUGUGAGUCAUGUUGAUGAGUAAUUAUGCUUUACUAAGAAUAUUGGUGUUAAGGUUUGUGACUCCCUAUGCAAGCACGAAAGUCAAUAAUUAUGCAAUGAAAUUAUAUCCUACUUGUGGUGCAUUAUUCGGUGUUAAUUAUGCUUAAUGCUCGCUUAUGAGAUUAUUCGUUUCUUGGUUGGUUGCUUCUCAAUCUUUUGCUAGCCUUCAUUUUGCACUAAGUAUGAUCUCUACUUGUGCAUCCAAAAACCUUUAAACCAGUUUUGCCACAUGACUCCACUAUAUCUACCUAUAUGCGGUAUUCUUUUGCCGUUCUAAGCAAAUUUGUAUGUGCCAUCUCUAAUUUUGAAAAUAAACUUCUCUUUUGUGUGUUCGUACCGCUCGCAGAGCUGUGAGGGGUGGCUAAUAUUUUCCAUGCUAGAUGUGUUAUUCUCACGAUGAGUGUUUAUUCACUUGUCAUUGCACGAGAGUAAGGCAAAGGUAUUAGGGAUGCCCAGUCCCGAAAUGAAAAAUGAAUUUACUUUAUGUUGUCAAAUAAUAAAUUCCUUGGAAAGUGUUGGUACGGAGGGAAACCGUGGAUACGGCUAGCCAAGGAAAGUGAAAGUAUGGUUGAAAAAAGAAUAAACUUUAUUUUCUGUUUGGGAACCGCCUAUGAUAUAUCUAGCAUGGAAAGUGUUGGGAACUCUAAGUCGUUUUCGUUGGUGGGAAGGACACACCUCCUGAAAUGUUCUUAUCUCUAAGUUUUUUCGCUUUGAGCUUUGGCACGUCUACAAAUCCCUACUUCCCUCUGUGAAGGGCCUUUGUUUUACUUUAUGCAAUUUUUAUUAUUGAAUUUGAAUCUCCUUAUAAAAGCACCAACUCGGAGGCACUAUGAUCUUACUUGAGCAUUGGGUGUAGCUAAUAUGCAAGUGUGUUUCAUGAAUGGAUCAAUGAUUGAGCAUGAUGGGCUAGGGAUAACUUAUUUUAGCGUUGAUAUUUUGAAAGACAUGGUUGCUUGUUGGUAUGCUUGAGUAUUUAAGUUAUCAUAUCAAAACUAGACUAUUGCUUUGAACAAUAUAAAAGUCCAAAUGUCCAUGCUAUAAAGAAAACAAUAUGAUAUGACAUGUUACGCAGUAUUCCACAUCAAAAAUUCCGUUUUUAUCACUUACCUACUCGAGGACGAGUAGGAGUUAAGCUUGGGGAUGCUGAUACGUCUCCAACGUAUCUAUAAUUUUUUAUUGUUCCAUGCUGUUAUAUUAUCAAUCUUUGAUGUUUUAUAGUCAUUUUAAAUAAUUUUUUGGUACUAACCUAUUGACAUAGUGCCAAGUGCCAGUUGUUGUUUUCUGUAUUUUUUUACAUCGUAGGAAAUCAAUAUCAGACGGAGUCCAAAUGCAAUGAAACUUUACGGAGAUUUUUUUAUUGACCAGAAGACACCUAAUGGGCCAAGGUUGCGCCUGGGGGCGCUCCGAGGAGAGCACAACCCACCAGGGCGCGCCAGGAGGCCCAGGCGCGCCCUAGUGGCUUGUGCCCACCUCGGGUGCCACCCGGACCACCUCUUUGCUCUAUAAAUACCCCAAUAUUCCAGAAACCCUAGGGGAGUCGACGAAAAUCAAUUCCAGCCGCCGCAGAGUCCAGAACCACCAGAUCCAAUCUAGACACUAUCACGGAGGGGUUCACCACUUUCAUUGGUGCCUCUCCGAUAAUGCGUGAGUAGUCCUUUGUAGACCUUCGGGUCCGUAGUUAGUAGCUAGAUGGCUUCCUCCCUCUCGCUAAAUUCUCAAUACAAUGGUCUCUUGGAGAUCCAUAUGAUGUAACUCUUUUUGCGGUGUGUUUGUUGGGAUCAGAUGAACUUUAGUUUAUGAUCAGAUCUAUCUUUUUAUAUCCAUGAAAGUUACUUGAGUUUUUUUGAUCUCUUGUAUGCAUGAUUUGUUAUAGCCUCGUAUUUCUUCUCCGAUAUUUGGGUUUUGUUUGGCCAACUUGAUCUAUUUAUCUUGCAUUGGGAAGAGGUGCUUUGUAGUGGGUUCGAUCUUAUGGUGCUUGAUCCCAGUGAUAGAAGGGGAACCGACACGUAUGUAUCGUUGCUACUAAGGAUAAAAUGAUGGGGUCUAUCUCUACAUAGAUAGAUCUUGUCUACAUCAUGUCAUCGUUCUUAUUGCAUUACUCCCUUUCCCCAUGAACUUAAUACACUAGAUGCAUGCUGGAUAGCGGUCGAUGUGUGGAGUAAUAGUAGUACAUGCAGGCAGGAGUCGGUCUACUAAUCUUGGAUGUGAUGCCUAUAUAUUGAUCAUUGCCUGGAUAUCGUCAUGUUUAUUUGUAGUUCUAUCAAUUGCCCAACAGUAAUUUGCUUACCCAUCAUUUGCUAUUUUUCUCGAGAAAAGCCACUAGUGAAACCUAUGACCCCCGGGUCUCUUUCUCAUUUUAUUUGCCUUCGCAAUCUAUUUUAUUUGCCUUUCAUUUUCAGAUCUAUUAAACCAAAAAUACAAAAAUACCUUCUUGCGCUUUAUUCUUUUUUUUUUAUUUGGCGUUCGAUCUAUCAAUGUACUACAAUUAUCUCACGUAUGUUUGCCAAUUUCUGGCGCCGUUACCCGAAAGGGAUUGACAACCCCUUUAACAUGUCGGGUUGCGAGGAUUUGUUAUCUGUGUGCAGGGGUUGUUUACGUUGUGUUGCUAGGUUCUCCUACUAGUUCUAUAACCUUGGUUUCAUAUCUGAGGGAAAUACCUACCUCUGCUCUGCCGCAUCAUCCCUUCCUCUUUGGGGAAAUACUGACGUAGCUUCAAGCCGCAUCAACCGCUGCGAGUCCCUCUUGCUAGGCGAGGUGGGACUAAAUUUUAGCCAUUGCCAGGACAAGGCCUUUAGUCUCGGUUGAUGGCUCAAUUAAAAUAUUUUGUUAUGAUCCACUUAUAGAAAGUUAUAAUAUUCUUCAAUAGCAAAAAGAAUCAACUAAAAAUCUCUAGUACCGGUUCGUGGCAUGAACCGGUACUAAAGGUGCUGGUGGGGGGCCCAGCCUGACAACAGCCUGCCACCACCUCUUUAGUACCGGUUCGUGGAACGAACUGGUACUAAAGGUUCGCCACGAACUAGUACUAAUGAGCACCGCCCGCCUAGCUGUUGGAACCGACACUAAUGGUCACAUUAGUGCUGGUUCAGUUACAAACCGGGACUAAUGUGCUUCACAUUAGGCCCUUUUUCUACUAGUGUUGCUUCUCCGCCUCCAUCUCAAGCAUCCUCAUUUGCUUCUCUGCCUCCAUCUCAAGCCUCCUCCUUUAGAUCUUCAUGAAGGCGUUCAUUUGUUCUUCCUUGUCUUGUCGGCGCUUCUCCUCCCUUGAGUCCUUCUUAGUCAUCAUGCCCUCCAUGGUAGCGAUCAAGGCAUUGGACGCCGCAUCCCUCUUGUCCUACUUCUUGGAGUUGGUCUUCCCCCACGGCCGUGGCUUCUCGCCCUCCCCAACCUCCUCCACGACUUUCUCUCCCCCACGCAACAUGAGGGCGGCAUAUUGCACCUUGAACUUCUCCUCGUCUUUGAUGACCCUCCAACAAUGAGAGAGGUUGAAGGACUUACCAUCAUGUUGGACCUUGAAUGCCUCCAAAGCUUGGAAUGCCUACAAAUGAAAUGCAUGCAAGCAUAUUGGCAAAUGGAUAUGAAUAUGGACUUGCAAGAAUAAACGGAAGAGGGGCGCAUGCAUGCAUACCAUAUCUUGCAUGCCGAUGCCGCUCACCGGGCGUGACUUGAUGCUCUCAAAGGUGGCACAAAACUUGUCAUGCUCUUGUUGGAUCACCUUCCAUCGGUUCGAAAUGGACACCCACCCGCGCAUGCUUUAUAUCUGGUACGGCAGAAACUUCUUGCGUUCGUGGAACUCACGAUGGACACGAGUCCAAAAGGUUGAUUCCUUUUGUUCGGCACCGACCAUGGGGUCUUGCCCAAUGUCCCUCCAAAACUCACAAAGGAGCUUGUCCUCGACCGUGGUGUAUGCCUUCGUCCGCCUGCUCUUGUGCUUUGGCUUCAGCCCGGCGGCUUGGCUGGCGAGCCCGUCCUCUUCCUCAAGGCCGUAGUCCUCCGGAAACUCGUGGUCGAACAGGAAGUCGUCUAGGUCCAGGCCGAAGUGAUCUUGCAUGAAGGCGUCCUGCAUGCUAUCUUGAUCAUAGGUCGACGGCGUGAACGGCCCUCAGCCGUCCUGGCUUUGUGUCUCCUCUGAAUCGUAGGCAGCCGCGGCGGCACCACAGGCGGCCGACGUACCACCCUCGAAGAUGAUGCUCACCAUGAAACGGUCGGCCGUCUUGUCUUCGCCGGAUGACGAGGCACCGACUACCGGUGUGGCGUUGAGAUCGAUGGGCGCGGGCGCGGGCAUGGAAUGCGCCACCACGCUCACCUCCAGCGAGCAUUCCCUGAAGAAUUGGGAGGCUUGCAAGUAGACGUGGAAGCCGGGAAUCGAGUAAGACGCCGACGCGCGAGGCGACUCUGGGAGCACCAUCCGAGGAAACGCGGACGAGUCGGAGCUGGCCACGGCCACAGCGGCGUUGACGAGCCCGUGCUGGCCAGGGUUUAGCCCUAGGUAGAUUAGCGCCUCCCUCAUUGCCGCGGCGACGUGGGCGGCGGUGUCCUCCUGCUGCGCGGCGGCGGCCAUGGCGAUGGCAGCGGACGCUGCUUCGUCCCACGCGUCCGCCGCGUGCCUUCGGCCCUUUCGCUUCGGUGACUCCGCGGCCCGCUCCUCGGACGUCAGCUGCUUCUUCUUCUUGGGCACGGUGGCAGUCUUGCGGGAGGCGCGCGGCUUGCCUUUGCCGAAGGGGGCGGCUGUGAUGCUGGACGAGGCAAGGGCGACGAGGCCGCCGACAGUAUCGAGGUCCUCAUCCAUGGCGUGCGGCCGGGAGCGAGCACGGGCGGAAGGUUUUUGAGAAAGUGGACGAAAAUGUUGGAGGCUUUGCCACCAAUUGGCAGGUCAGGGGUAGUUGGCACGCAACGCGCUUCUCCGUCUCGUGUCGCGCGCCAACGCAAAUGAGGCUCAAAAUUGGGCUGAGAAUGGGUCGGCAGGCGAACGAAAAGCGGACACGCGUCCAUUUGGGUCGGCACAUUGUGCCGACUUUUCUGUCCGCACCGACCCAAAUGAACGCGCGCGAACGAAAUGGGUCGUCACGUUGGAGUUGCUCUUACGUGGCACUGUAACAAGAAAUGAGGACCAGUGGAAACCAGCAUAUGCACCUAGAAGAAUCGUAUGGAUCUGCAUAUGUAAUUGAUCUAUAUCAUACGGACCCAUAAAUGAUAGGAAGGUCCUAGCUACCAGGUACCAGCUAUCCUGGUUACUCCAUUUGCUGCCCCUCCAACCUGGGUUCCGGUCAUGUCCUCGGGGUCUGUCGGUGGUUCCGUGUUCUUGUUCUGGACGGACGCUUGUAAGAUCAGGUUUUCGAUCGGGAGCCUUCUGUUGACAUUAUAAAAGUGCGUGUAUUCAAAGGAGAUGUAUGCAUUUCUCCGUGACAAAGCAAAUUAAGUUCUGCUGCUAGCUAUUUUCAAAAAAGAGUCUUGCCCCACCACUUGCGUCGUUUGCAAAGCCCUUAAAUAUACUGAUAUGUUAUACACACACACAUAUACACAUGAGAUUUAAUUUUAAAGAGCACACGGACAUGUUCGUUCUCGUGUUAAUGAAAUCCUAGAAAAUCUCAUUAAUUAACCAUGGGAUCUAUAAUUCCGAGAUCUUUAGCUGUUGGAUGUAUGUAAUGCCUUAAGAUGCAUUAAAACAAAUAUACGUGAGAUUUAAUUUUAAAGGCCUUAAGGUGCAUAAAAAAUACGCAUGAGAUUUAAUUUUAAAUAGCACAAGGACAUGUUCAUUGUCGUGUUAAUGAAAUCCUAGAAAAUCUCAUUAAUUAACCUUCGGAUCUGUAACUCCGAGAUCUUUAGCCAUUGGAUUUACAUAAUGCCUCAACCUGCAUCAAAAAAAAUAUACGCAUGAGAUUUAAUUUUAAAGGCCUUAACCUGCAUAAAAAAAUAUACGCAUGAGAUUUAAUUUUAAAGAGCAGACAGACAUCUUCAUUGUCGUCCGCUGGCUGUAUGAAUUAGAAUAACAUAUAUUUACUUAGUUGGAUUAGAGAGAAGAGAAAAGAGAAGAGAAGUGGGCUCUGGAUUAAAGCAAGUACAAUAAAAUGACGUAGGCGGGCUAUAAAAGAUGUCAUCUUAAAUUUGUGCUUUUUUAGUUAACCUUAAAUUUGUGCUUAGUUGAAGGAGAGAGAAGCGGGCUACAAGUGUGACAAAAGCCUUUUUCAGUAGGCAGGCUACAAACUUACAAUCGACUGUAGCACGAGCUCAAACAACCUUUGUAAGAAGAUAUGGGCCAUAUAUUAAUUCACAGUGUGACUUAAUGUUGACAUGAAUUGAUACAGGUGGACAUAGUUAGAGCAACUCUAGCAGACCCCGCAUCCCGCCCCGACUGUUAAAAUAACCGCCAAAAUGCGGGUCGGGCAGGAAAACCAGCCCGAUCAGACCCCGCAUCCCGCCCCCGCCCGCAAAAAAAUUUAGGGGGCGCGGCAAAAUCCCAACCCCAACCCGGGAAAACGCGGGUUUCCCUCUCGCGGCUGCGGUGCCCUGCAUAUAGGAGGAAGCGGCUGGUGAGGGGACAUUUCAUGCCGCGCUUUCUCCCACCAACCACCUCUCCUCUCCCCCCUCGCGCCGCUGCCGGCCGCCGCCCAAGAUUCUGGCGAAAGCAGCCGGCAGGAGCACGCCGGAAGGCCGCCACGCACACGAGGCCUCCCCUUCCUCCCCCUGCGUCGGCGGGCCACCGGAUUUGCAGAUUUGCAGCACUUCAUCGCGGGUCGCCGGAUUUGGCUUUUUCCGGCCGCCGGUUGCUGUCCCAAGCUAUGGAGUGGUCGGGGAGCCUCUCCCACAGCCCAGGCAAGGGCGCAUUGCCGCAUGCAGGUACGGGUUCGUCCGCCCGCCGCCGCCGAAGGUUUGCGGGCUUGGACUCAUCCGGCCGUCCACCGGGCUCGGCGCUCACGCAGCGUCUUUGUGGCAUGCCGAUGCCGCUCAUAGAGUGUGACGACUGCACGCGGAAAGUGCUGCGGCUCACUUCGGGCACGCCGAAGCACCCUGGGUGGGUGUUCUUCAAAUGCGAAAAUGACGGGGUACGUGCACUUGCGGUAGCUCGUUUCAUAGUUCAUUCUUUAGUUCAACUGCGGUAGCUCACUUCGAGCUUGCUCACUCUUUUGUGUAGGACGAUGGAUGCUCAUUUUGGUUUUGGGAAGGCCAAUACAUUUAUUUGUUGAUAGAAAGAAACUUAAUAGAUGUUAGUGCACUCCUUAGUACAAUCGAAGGCAAUGAUGCGGCUGCAUGUGCAAAUAGAGGGGAAGCAACGUCUACUUCUUUCGAACCAAAGAUGAAGAAAGAAGAAUGCAAAAUCAAGAAUCCACAGAUCAACAACGAAUGCAUGGAGAAGAUAUUAGUCCAACUAGUGGGGGCAGUUAUGGAAGUUGGAAAUCUUCUAAAAUGCAUACUUGUGGUUCUUAUUUUCUUUGGUCUUGCUAUUCUAGCAAAGAUUUGGUGAUGUCUUUUGUAUCCAAUGUUGUUGAUAAAGCAAAGCAAUGCAAUAUGCUAGAUCAAAUUAAGGUGCAAAUUUAAGUUUUGCGGGCCGGGAGAAGUUGCACCAGAUCAGACGCGGCAACCCAACCCGUAAAAAAGCAUAUUCCAGGAAUAUCGUUUUUACGGAUCCAUUAUGCGGGGUCUGCAACUGCGGCCGUCCGCGCCGGCCCGCAAAGCCGUUUUCCCGCGAACUGCAAAAACGUUUAGCGGGUCGGGAGGAUGUGGGGUCUGCUAGAGUUGCUCUUACUCUGCGUCUGUAAAUAAAGGUCAUCAUUUUUAUUGCUCUAGGGACCCAUAAAUGAUAGGGACUGUCCGCUACCAGCUACCAGCUAGUAGCUACCCUGGUGACUACAUUUGCUGCCCCUCAAACAUGGGUUCCCGACAUGUUCUCAGGGUCUGUCGGUGGUUCCAUGUUCUGGCCUUUGGGGUUGGUUUAACUAGUGGUAUGGGGGUUCUUGCAUCGCCCUGUACUCUCGAUCGGGACCCUUUAAUUCUAGGUGACAUACAGUGCGUGUAUUUAAAGCCGAGGCAUGGAUCCUCCGUGCCAAAGAAAAUUAAUUCAGCGGCUACUCGGGGAGAGUUGUGGCAGCAUAUCCGGGAUGCCAGCUUUUUAUUUUGGGUUUUGAUUGUCAAAGUUUUAGAUCUUAAAAAAAACUAAAAUUAAGUGCUGUUUUCAUAUUCGUGUUUCUCGUGACCAGCGCCUUGAAAUAAUAUCCAUUUUGAAUAUAUUUUGACGACUUUGAAAAAUGUUAAGUUUCAAAUGUUGAAACUUAGUAUGAGCAACCAAUAAAAAUCAAUUAUUUUGUACCUACGCCUGACAGAAAAAUGCUUACAGUUAUAUCCCUGAAACUUGCUGAAACUUUGCAUUUUUCAUCAUUGAAACUUAAAACUGUUUAAGGGAUUUUCUUUUUUACUGUGCCCUCAUGUGGGAUUCAACUACUCUUUUCUCUCCGUGAGAUCCACAUAAAAAAAGCACAAAUUUAAGAUGAGUGCCCUGCACUUACAUGCCCCUGCGAAUUUCCGCAGCUACUAGCUAUUUUUGGAAGAAAAAAAUCUUGCCCCGCCACUCCCAUCAUUAGCAGAGCCCUUAAAUAUACUCACAUGUACCAAAUUACGAGUCAGAAUCAAACAUGCGUUGGCAUCAUUACCUACGAACUCUACUAAACAAUGUUCCAACUAUCCUGCGAGUCAAAUCUAAUAACUCUUGUCUUGCACGUUGCAUUGUCCAUUGGCAGAUCUUUUUAAGAAUUUUACGUCAGAUCUAAUUUUAUUUGAACGAAUGAAAGAUAAGCAAGUAGUAGUAAAAUCGACCCAAUUUGCACAGCCGAAAUGUGGACCAGACAAUUUACUCUUUGUUACGGGACUAAGAAAUUCGGACCGGCUAAUNNNNNNNNNNNNNNNNNNNNNNNNNNNNNNNNNNNNNNNNNNNNNNNNNNNNNNNNNNNNNNNNNNNNNNNNNNNNNNNNNNNNNNNNNNNNNNNNNNNNNNNNNNNNNNNNNNNNNNNNNNNNNNNNNNNNNNNNNNNNNNNNNNNNNNNNNNNNNNNNNNNNNNNNNNNNNNNNNNNNNNNNNNNNNNNNNNNNNNNNNNNNNNNNNNNNNNNNNNNNNNNNNNNNNNNNNNNNNNNNNNNNNNNNNNNNNNNNNNNNNNNNNNNNNNNNNNNNNNNNNNNNNNNNNNNNAUGUCUCCCAUUUCUCAAUCCCAUCCCGACGGUGUGUCUACCAUGUUUAGAGGGCGCAUGGGGGAGUUACUCCAUUGGUUCUCGCGGGAUUUGAUCGAUGAUGGUUUUCCGUGGAUUUCCUUGAAUCCAGUUUUUGUUCAUCCUCAUCCGUGCGUUUAAAUAUCCCAACAAGGCGAAGAUUUGGUUGUGCACAGGCAACUGAGGAGGUGACCUACUUCUUUACUGUCUCCUAUGUCCCUUGUUACCCACUGAUCCUAGAUCCACAGCUCGAGACCCCCUACCCUGAGGUCUACCAGUUUUACCACUGACAACCGGCCACAAGGGAGAAAUCCCUUUGAAUUUAGAGAUAAGAUCUUAUCUCUAGAUUUAACCCUUUAAAUUUAGAGAUAUGACCUUAUCUCUAGAUUUUAAAGACAUGGAACUUAGGGACGAUGCGGCCAGCCCAUGUGGGUUGUUGCCCCACCCCUCGGUCUAUGUGGGGACUUUUCGGGUCGUUGGGCCCCAUGGUGGAACCCCGGAACAUUUCCGGUACUCUACCAAAUAUUCCCAAACUUUUCUGGAACCCAUAAAACCACUUUCCUUACAUAACUCUUUACCUCCAGAGCUCCUCGUGAUGUCCCGGAUUCUAUCCAGGACUCUGAACUACCUUCAGACUUACCACUAUGAAUGUCCCAAAACUAUCCAAUAGUGGUAAGUCUGAACGUUAAGUGUGUGACCCUGCGGGUUCGAGAACAUGCAUAAAUGACCGAGACACCUCUCCAAUCAAUAAUCAAUGAACAUCUUUAUCGGUUUGAACCACGAUGUCAAUGAUUCAGUUAAUCCCGUAUACAAUUCCCUUUGUCCAAUGAUUUGUUAUUUGCCCGAGAUUCGAUCGUCAGUAUCGCCAUACCUAGUUCAAUCUCAUUACCGGCAAGCCCCUUUACUCAGUCCUUAAUACAAGAUCCACGUGACUAAACACAUUGGUCACAUGCUUCCAAUCUAUUCACGAUGUUGUAUUACCGAGAGGACCUAGAGAUAUCUCUCUGUCAUAUGGAGUGACAAAUCCUACACUCGAUCUAUGUAACCCAACAAACACUUUCUGAGAUACCUAUAGAGCACCUUUCUGAUCACCCAGUUACGAAGUGACGUUUGUUUACCCAUAAUGUAUUCUUCCAGUAUUAGGGAGUGGCACGAUCUCAUGGUCUAAGGAACAGAUUCUUGACAUGAAGAAAGUUGUAGAAAAUAAACUAAGUGAUACGAUCUGAUGCUAAGCUUAUGGUUGGGUCUGUCCAUCACAUCAUAAUCCUAAUGAUGUGAUCCCAUUAUUAAAUGAUAACUCGUGUCUAUGGUUAGGAAACCUUAACCAUCUUUAAUUAAUGAGCUAGCCUAGUAGAGGCUCACUAGGGACACGUUGUCUAUUUAUGUAUCCACACAUGUAUUUAAGUCUCUGGUCAAUACAAUUCUAGCAUGCAUAAUAAAUAUUUAUCAUGAACACGGAAAUACGACAAUAACAUCUUUCUUAUUGCCUCUAGGACAUAUUUCCUACAGAUUAGUAGGAUAAAAGAUCAAGGUGGCCUUGGCAUUCAUGGCAUGAAGGUCAAGAAGGAUGCCUUACAUAGGAAAUGGUUAUUCAAAAUACUUACUAGGGGUGGCGUUUGGCAAACCUGUUGCGAAAGAAGUAUCUAAUACUAUGCCAAAAACUUAUCUCUCACACAUAUUGGAAAGCUGGUGACUCACACUUUUCGGGUGGUGUCGUGGAAUUCUCACGGCAGAUGUCCUAGUGUGAGGACUUAGUCGUGAGGCCAACGCAUCUAUGUGGUAGCUUGAGAGGGGUUGAUUGGGACGAGAGACGCAACACACAAGACAAGAAUUUAGACAGCUUCGGGCCCCAGGAAACAUCAUCCAAUAAUAGCCCUACAUGCUGUUUGUGGCUAGGUCUCAUUAUGAUCAUGAGAGAGUCAUCGGUAAGCCGGCUCUUUGUGUCUAGCCCUAGAGAUUGUUUCUUGUUUCUUGUCCCUCUUGGGGUGCCCUGCCCCUCCUUAUAUAAGUUAGAGGGGCGGGUUACAUAUGGAGUCCUAGUAGGAUUAGGACUAGUCUAUCUUUCUUUACAAGUUGAAUACAAGUCCGGGUCUUGCUUCCUUGUGAAGGAAAUAAUCCUCACGCCUUUCAUCUUAAACCGGCCCACCAAAGUAUAAGCCAGCCUGCUGGGCCUUGGGCCUUGUCGUCCGUCUGAUCAGCCCGCCGGGUCUCCAGUGAAUUACAAUGUCCAGGCGGGUUACCCUGUGAACCGCCAUGUUCGGGCGGAUCGCCAGUGAGUCGCCAAGCUCCAGCCAGGUCUCUGGUGAGUCGCCAAGUCCGGCCGGGUCAUACCGCGGGGUAUAUCCCCGACAUUAGCCCCCAGUUUAAUUUGGAUUUAUCCAUGUUAAACUGAUCCUGCAACAUAAACACAAGAACAAAUUUGACAGGUUGUGCUCCGGGUUAAAUAUUCUUGUAAGCCGGCACCUGAUCAUCCUUAAGUCCUUGACAUUUUCUCCUGAAAUAUCCGGGUCAAUAUUGGUCUUGAAAUAUCCAGCUUCAUAAUCCAUUUGCUGACAUUGGCUCUUGUAAAGAAAUAUUAUAAGAAAUAAUCCAUUUGAUUCGGCCUUCAAUGCUCUGAUUUGACAAAAAUAUUGCUCUUGAAAUAUCCAACUGAUAUUCAGCCGGCUUAAAGAUGUAGAUUCUUGCCGACGAUUGCCACAAUUGUCGGGUUAGAAAUAAAUGAUGCCGGGUCAUGAUUGUUGCAGACACCGGGUUAAUCUGGUCUACUCCAAACUGAGAAUUUGAAGAUUUUUUUCUCCCUUAUAUGCAUAUUACCUGUAGCCCCUAAGUCUUAAGGGGAGAACAUAGUGAUAACUUAAGACUUGCUUCAAUAUAAGUGUUGCAACCUUGAAGAAAUCCGGUUUAUUCAUCUCAAUCAUUAGUCAUAAGCUGAAUAUUCCACAUUCCACAUAUGUAGCCCCCAAGUGCCGAGUUGUCAUGCUUGCAGCAACCUGGGACUUGUAAUUGCCUUAUGCUCAUAAAAACUUCAACUAGUGUAGCCCCCAAGGGCCGGGUCAUUAUGCAAUAAUGAGCAGGGACUUUGUAAAUAUGAUCAUGUAAACUUGACCAGCAACGUGUAGCCCCCAAGGGCCGGGUCAGUAAGAUAUUACCGAGCUGGGACUUUGUAUAUGAUUCAUCGAUAAUAACAGCAUAUGAUGUGAUCUCCACCAUGGGGUUUGAACCCACGUCCAUAAGGUUAAGAGCUUUGUACUCUACCAACUGAGUAGUGGAUCUUUCAAUAUAAUGGAUUAAGGCUUGUGUACCUUGAAUUUUCGACAAGAGCAAUUGGUAGCCCCCAAGGGCCGGCUCAUUUAGAAUGUGAUGAGUCGGGUCUUCAAUAAGUUGAACAAAAAAUGACUUUGCAUUAGCCCCCAAGUGCAAUGGUACAUGCUGGCAGUAACAUGGGACUUGCAUAUUCGAUGUAAUAUCAAUUUGAAUAAUGUAGUCCCCAAGUGCCAGGUCGUAAGCCUGCAGCGACUCGGGACUAUUCCUUACAUUAUAGAAUAAAUCAUAUCCAUCGAUAAAAUAAUAGCCAUUGCGCCAAAGCGACUUUGAAUACCUCAUCUGUUGAUAAGUAAAUCCGGAGUUUAAAUACCCGGCGGCUCUUGGCCGAUGGCGAUUUAAUACGCCUCCAUUGUAAGCCGGAAUUUUUAUAAUCCGGCGGCUUAUAGCCUUUCAGAACAUCAAGAAUUGAUAACCCUUCUGAGACUCCAAUUUCAAUCUAUGAUGAUGGGCUUGAACUUAAUCAUUUAUGUAAGUCAUAGCUCUGCAAAUCCUGCAUAGAGUUUAAACAACAUAUGCCCUGGCGACUUAACGUCAAGCCAGGGCGGGUAACCACCCAAAUGUAGUAUCCUGCACACAAGUAGAUCACAAGAUCCCUUGGCGGUUUACCGCAGGGCGGGUCAUAAUAUCUCACUGUUGGAAAUAUGCCCUAGAGGCAAUAAUAAAAUGGUUAUUAUUGUAUUUCCUUGUUCAUGAUAAUUGUCUGGUGUUCAUGCUAUAAUUGUAUUAACUGGAAACCGUAAUACAUGUGUGAAUACAUAGACCACAACAUGUCCCUAGUAAGCCUCUAGUUGACUAGCUCGUUGAUCAAUAGAUGGUUAUGGUUUCCUGACCAUGGACAUUGGAUGUCAUUGAUAACGGGAUCACAUCAUUAGGAGAAUGAUGUGAUGGACAAGACCCAAUCCUAAGCAUAGCACAAGAUCGUGUAGUUCGUUUGCUAGAGCUUUUCUAAUGUCAAGUAUCAUUUCCUUAGACCAUGAGAUUGUGCAACUCCCGGAUACCGUAGGAAUGCUUUGGGUGUACCAAACGUCACAACGUAACUCGGUGGCUGUAAAGGUGCACUACAGGUAUCUCCGAAAGUGUCUGUUGGGUUGGCACGAAUCGAGACUGGGAUUUGUCACUCCGUAUGACGGAGAGGUAUCUCUGGGCCCACUCGGUAAUGCAUCAUCAUAAUGAGCUCAAUGUGACUAAGGAGUUAGCCACGGGAUCAUGCGUUACAGUACGAGUAAAGUGACUUGCCGAUAACGAGAUUGAACAAGGUAUUGGGAUACCGACGAUCGAAUCUCGGGCAAGUAACGUACCGAUUGACAAAGGGAAUUGUAUAUGGGAUUGAUUGAAUCCUCGACAUCGUGGUUCAUCCGAUGAGAUCAUCGUGGAACAUGUGGGAGCCAACAUGGGUAUCCAGAUCCCGCUGUUGGUUAUUGACCGGAGAGUCGUCUCGGUCAUGUCUGCAUGUCUCCCGAACCCGUAGGGUCUACACACUUAAGGUUCGGUGACGCUAGGGUUGUAGAGAUAUUAGUAUGCGGAAAUCCGAAAGUCGUUCGGAGUCCCGGAUGAGAUCCCGGACGUCACGAGGAGUUCCGGAAUGGUCCGGAGGUAAAGAUUUAUAUAUGGGAAGUCCUAUUUUGGCCACCGGAAAAUGUUCGGGAAUUUUCGGUAUUGUACCGGGAAGGUUCUAGAAGGUUCCGAAGUGGGGCCCACCUGCAUGGGGGACCCACAUGAACGUGGGUAGUGGGGGCAAGGCCCCACACCCCUGGUCAAGGCGCACCAAGAUCCCACCUUAGAAGGAAUAAGAUCAUAUCCCGAAGGGAUAAGAUCAAGAUCCCUAAAAAAGGGGAUAACAAUCGGUGGGGAAGGGAAAUGAUGGGAUUUCUUUCCCCCACCUUUGCCAACGCCCCAAUGGACUUGGAGGGCAAGAAACCAGCCCCCUCCACCCCUAUAUAUAGUGGGGAGGCGCAUGGGAGCAGCAACCCAAGCCCUGGCGCCUCCCUCCCUCCCGUGACACCUCUUCCUCCCCGCUUGCGCUUGGCGAAGCCCUGCCGGGAUCCCGCUACUUCCACCACCACGCCGUCGUGCUGCUGGAUCUCCAUCAACUUCUCCUCCCCCCUUGCUGGAUCAAGAAGGAGGAGACGUCCCCGCUCCGUACAUGUGUUGAACGCGGAGGUGCCGUCCGUUCGGCGCUAGGUUCAUCGGUGAUUUGGAUCACGACGAGUAUGACUCCAUCAACCCCGUUCUCUUGAACGCUUCCGCUCGCGAUCUACAAGGGUAUGUAGAUGCACUCCUCCCCUCUCAUUGUUAGCAUCUCCUAGAUUGAUCUUGGUGACACAUAGGAAAAUUUUGAAUUUCUGCUACGUUCGCCAACAGUGGCAUCAUGAGCCAGGUUUAUGCGUAGAUUCUAUGCAUGAGUAGAACACAAAGUAGUUGUGGGCGACGAUUUGUUCAAUUUUCUUACCGUUACUAGUCUUAUCUUGAUUCGGCGGCAUUGUGGGAUGAAGCGGCCCGGACCGACCUUACACGUACUCUUACGUGAGACAGGUUCCACCGACUGACAUGCACUUGAUGCAUAAGGUGGCUAGCGGGUGUCUGUCUCUCCCACUUUAGUCGGAUCGGAUUCGAUGAAAAGGGUCCUUAUGAAGGGUAAAUAGCAAUUGGCAUAUCACCGUUGUGGCUUUUGCGUAGGUAAGAAACGUUCUUGCUAGAAACCCAUAGCAGCCACGUAAAACAUGCAACAACAAUUAGAGAACGUCUAACUUGUUUUUGCAGGGUAUGCUAUGUGAUGUGAUAUGGCCAAAAGGAUGUGAUGAAUUAUAUAUGUGAUGUAUGAGAUUGAUCAUGUUCUUGUAAUAGGAAUCACGACUUGCAUGUCGAUGAGUAUGACAACCGGCAGGAGCCAUAGGAGUUGUCUUAAUUUGUUGUAUGACCUGUGUGUCAAUGAAAAACGCCAUGUAAUUACUUUACUUUAUUGCUAACCGUUAGCCAUAGUAGUAGAAGUAAUAGUUGGUGAGACAACUUCAUGAAGACACGAUGAUGGAGAUCAUGGUGUCAUGCCGGUGACGAAGGUGAUCAUGCCGCGCCUCGAAGAUGGAGAUCAAAAGGCGCAAGAUGAUAUUGGCCAUAUCAUGUCACUUUAUGAUUUGCAUGUGAUGUUUGUCAUGUUUACAUCUUAUUUUCUUAGAACGACGGUAGCAUAAAUAAGAUGAUCCCUCACUAAAAUUUCAAGAGAUGUGUUCCCCCUAACUGUGCACCGUUGCGAAGGUUCGUUGUUUCGAAGCACCACGUGAUGAUCGGGUGUGAUAGAUUCUAACGUUCGCAUACACCGGGUGUUGACGAGCCUAGCAUGUACAGACAUGGCCUCGGAACACAAGCAAAACACUUAGGUUGACUUGACGAGCCUAGCAUGUACAGACAUGGCCUCGGAACACAAGAGACCGAAAGGUCGAACAUGAGUCGUAUAGUAGAUACGAUCAACAUGGAGAUGUUCACCGAUGAUGACUAGUCCGUCUCACGUGAUGAUCGGACACGGCCUAGUCGAUUCGGAUCAUGUAUCACUUAGAUGACUAGAGGGAUGUCUAUCUAAGUGGGAGUUCAUUAAAUAAUCAAAUGAACUUAAUUAUCAUGAACAUAGUCAAAAGGUCUUUGCAAAUAAUGUCGUAGCUUACGCUUUAGUUCUACUAAGAUAUUUUCCUAGAGAAAAUUUAGUUGAAAGUUGAUAGUAGCAAUUAUGCGGACUAGGUCCGUAAACUGAGGAUUGUCCUCAUUGCUGCACAGAAGGCUUAUGUCGUUAAUGCACCGCUCGGUGUGCUGAACCUCGAGCGUCGUCUGUAGAUGUUACGAAACAUCUGACAUACAUGUUUUGAUGACUACGUGAUAGUUCAGUGUGUGAUGCUAACGGUUUAAAAUUGUGGCACCAAAGACGGUUUUGAAAUGUCGCAGAACAUAUGAGAUGUUCCAAAGACUGAAAUUGGGAUUUCAGACUAAUGCCCACGUCAAGAGGUAUGAGACCUCUGACAAGUUUCUUAAGCCUGCAAACUAAGGGAGAAAAGCUCAAUCGUUGAGCAUGUGCUCAGAUUGUCUGAGUACUACAAUCACUUGAAUCGAGUGGGAGUUAAUCUUCCAGAUGAGAUAGUGAUGGUUCUCCAUAGUCACUGCCACCAAGCUAUUAGAGCUUCGUGAUGAACUAUAACAUAUCAGGGAUAGACAUGAUGAUCCUUGAGCAACUCGCGAUGUUUGACACCGCGAAAGUAGAAAUCAAGAAGGAGCAUCAAUUGUUGAUGGUUAGUAAAACCACUAGUUUCUAGAAGGGCAAGGGCAAGAAGGGAUACUUCAUGAAACGGCAAAUCAGUUGCUGCUCUAGUGAAGAAACCCAAGGUUGAACCCAAACCCGAGACUAAGUGCUUCUGAAAUGAGGGGAACGGUCACUGAAGCAGAACUACCCUAGAUACUUCGUAGAUGAGAAGGCUGGCAAGGUCGACCGAAGUAUAUUGGAUAUACAUUAUAUUAAUGUGUACUUUACUAGUACUCCUAGUAGCACCAGGGUAUUAGAUACCGGUUCGGUUGCUAAGUGUUAGUAACUCGAAAUAAAAUAUGCGGAAUAAACGAAGACUAGCUAAAGGUGAGAUGACGAUAUGUGUUGGAAGUGUUUCCAAGGUUGAUGUGAUCAAGCAUCGCAUGCUCCCUCUACCAUCGAGAUUGGGGUUAAACCUGAAUAAUUAUUAUUUGGUGUUUGCAUUGAGCAUAGACAUGAUUGGAUUAUGUUAUCGCAAUACGGUUAUUCAUUAAAGGAGAAUAAUGGUUACUCUGUCUAUUUGAAUAAUACCUUCAAUGGUCUUGCACCUAAAAUGAAUGGUUUAUUGAAUCUCGAUCGUAGUGAUACACAUGUUCAUGCCAAAAGAUAUAAGAUAGUAAUGAUAGUACCACAUACUUGUGGCACUGCCAUUUGAGUCAUAUUGGUAUAAAACGCAUGAACAAGCUCCAUGUUGAUGGAUCUUUGGACUCACUCGUUUUUGAAAAGAUUGAGACAUGCGAACCAUGUCUAUUAGUAUAUAUGCAUGAAGAAAGUCCAUACAGAUGGAUCAUUUGGACUCACUUGAUUUUGAAUCACUUGAGACAUGCAAAUCAUACCACAUGGGCAAGAUGACUGAAAGGCCUCGUUUUCAGUAAGAUGGAACAAGAGAGCAACUUGUUGGAAGUAAUACAUUUGAUGUGUGCAGUCCAAUGAGUGCUGAGGCACGCAGUGGAUAUCGUUAUGUUCUUACUUCACAGAUGAUUUGAGUAGAUGCUGAGAAUAUUUACUUGAUGAAACACAAGUUUGAAUUAUUGAAAGGUUCAAGUAAUUUCAGAGUGAAGUUGAAGAUCGUCGUGACAAGAGGAUAAAAUGUCUGUGAUAUGAUCAUAGAGGUGAAUAUCUGAGUUACGAGUUUGGCACACAAUUAAUAAAUUGUGGAAAUUGUUUCACGACUAAUACCGCCUGGAACACCAUAUUGUGAUGGUGUGUCCGAACAUCAUAACUGCACCCUAUUGGAUAUGGUGCAUACCAUGAUGUCUCUUAUCGAAUUACAACUAUCGUUUAUGGGUUAGGCAUUAGAGACAACCGCAUUCACUUUAAAUAGGGAACCACGCAAUUCCGUUGAGACGACACCGUAUGAACUAUGGUUUAGAGAAACCUAAGCUGUCGUUUCUUAAAAGUUUGGGGCUGCGACGCUUAUGUGAAAAAGUUUCAGGCUGAUAAGCUCGAACCCAAAGCGGAUAAAUGCAUCUUCAUAGAAUACCCAAAACAGUUGGGUAUACCUCCUAUUUCAGAUCUGGAAGCAAAAGUGAUUGUUUCUAGAAAUGGGUCCUUUCUCGAGGAAAAGUUUCUCUCGAAAGAAUUGAGUGGGAGGAUGGUGGAGACUUGAUGAGGUCAUUGAACCGUCACUUCAACUAAUGUGUAGCAGGGCACAGGAAGUUGUUCCUGUGGCACCUACACCAAUUGAAGUGGAAGCUUAUGAUAGUGAUCAUGAAACUUCAGAUCAACUCACUACCAAACCUCAUAGGACGACAAGGAUGCGUACUACUUCAGAGUGGUACGUAAUCCUGUCUUGGAAGUCAUGUUGCUAGACAACAAUGAACCUACGAGCUAUGGAGAAGCGAUGGUGGGCCCGGAUUCCGACGAAUGGCUCGAGGCCAUAAAAUCCGAGAGGAUCCAUGUAUGAAAACAAAGUAUAGACUUUGGAAGAACUACUUGAUGGUCGUAAGGCUGUUGGGUACAGAUGGAUUUUAAAGGGAAGACAAACAAUGAUGGUAAGUGUCACCAUUAAGAAAGCUCGACUUGUCGUUAAGAUGUUUUCCGGCAAGUUCAAGGAGUUGACUGCGAUGAGACUUUCUCACUCGUAGCGAUGCUAAGAGUCUGUUAGAAUUAUAUUAGCAGUUACUGCAUUAUUUAUGAAAUCUUGCAGAUAGGAUGUCAAAACAUUGUUUCCUCGACGAUUUUCUUGAGGAAAGGUUGUAUGUGAUACAACCAGAAGGUUUUGUCAAUCCUGAAAGAUGCUAACAAGUAUGCAAAGCUCCAGCAAUCCUUCUAAGGAUUGGAGUAAGCAUCUCGGAGUUGGAAUGAACGCUUUGAUGAGAUGAUCAAAGAUUUUGGGUUUAUACAAAGUUCAUGAGAAACUUGUAUUUCCAAAGAAGUCAGUGGGAGCACUAUAGAAUUUUUGAUGAGUAUAUGUUGUUAACAUAUUGUUGAUCAGAAAUGAUGUAGAAUUUCUGGAAAGCAUCCAGGGUUGUUUGAAAAGUGUUUUUAAUGGAAAACCUAGAUUAACCUACUUGAACAUUGAGCAUCAAGAUCUAUAAGGAUAGAUCAAAAAUGCUUAAUAGUACUUUCAAAUGAAUACAUACCGUGACAAGAUUUUGAAGGAGUUCAAAAUAGAUCAGCAAAGAAGGAGUUCUUGGCUGUGUUACAAGGUGUGAGUAUUGAGUAAGACUCAAGACCUGACCACGGCAGAAGAAAGAGAAAGGACGAAGGUCGUCCCCUAUGCUUUAGACGUAGGCUUUGCAAUAUGCUAUGCUGUGUACCGCACCUGAAGUGUGCCUUGCCAUGAGUUAGUCAAGGGGUACAAUAGUGAUCCAGCAACGAAUCACAUGACAGCGGUCGAACUUAUCCUUAGUAUCUAGUGGACUAAGGAAUUUUCUUGAUUAUGGAGGUGGAAAGGGGGUUCGUCGUAAAGGGUUAUGUCGAUACAAACUUUGACACUAAUCCGGAUGACUCUGAGUAGUGAACCAGAUUCGUAUAGUAGAGCAGUUAUUUGGAAUAGCUCCAAGUAGCGCGUGGUAGCUGCAUCUACAAGAUGACAUAGAGAUUUGUAAAGCACACACGGAUCUGAAUGUGGCAGACCCGUUGACUAAAACCUCUCUCGUAAGCAUAACAUGAUCAAACCCUAGAACUCAUUGACUGUUAAUCACAUGGUGAUGUGAACUAGAUUAUUGACUCUAGUAAACUCUUGGGUAUUAGUCACAUGGCGAUGUGAACUUUGAGUGUUAAUCACAUGGUGAUGUGAACUAGAUUAUUGACUCUAGUGCAAGUGGAAGACUGUUGGAAAUAUGCCCUAGAGGCAAUAAUAAAAUGGUUAUUAUUGUAUUCCCUUGUUCAUGCUAUAAUUGUAUUAACUGGAAACCGUAAUACAUGUGUGAAUACAUAGACCAGAACAUGUCCCUAGUAAGCCUCUAGUUGACUAGCUCGUUGAUCAAUAGAUGGUUAUGGUUUCCUGACCAUGGACAUUGGAUGUCAUUGAUAACGGGAUCACAUCAUUAGGAGAAUGAUGUGAUGGACAAGACCCAAUCCUAAGCAUAGCACAAGAUCGUGUAGUUCGUUUGCUAGAGCUUUUCUAAUGUCAAGUAUCAUUUCCUUAGACCAUGAGAUUGUGCAACUCCCGGAUACCGUAGGAAUGCUUUGGGUGUACCAAACGUCACAACGUAACUCGGUGGCUGUAAAGGUGCACUACAGGUAUCUCCGAAAGUGUCUGUUGGGUUGGCACGAAUCGAGACUGGGAUUUGUCACUCCGUAUGACGGAGAGGUAUCUCUGGGCCCACUCGAUAAUGCAUCAUCAUAAUGAGCUCAAUGUGACUAAGGAGUUAGCCACGGGAUCAUGCGUUACGGUACGAGUAAAGUGACUUGCCGGUAACGAGAUUGAACAAGGUAUUGGGAUACCGACGAUUGAAUCUCGGGCAAGUAACGUACCGAUUGACAAAGGGAAUUGUAUACGGGAUUGAUUGAAUCCUCGACAUCGUGGUUCAUCUGAUGAUAUCAUCGUGGAACAUGUGGGAGCCAACAUGGGUAUCCAGAUCCCGCUGUUGGUUAUUGACCGGAGAGUCGUCUCGGUCAUGUCUGCAUGUCUCCCGAACCCGUAGGGUCUACACACUUAAGGUUCGGUGACGCUAGGGUUGUAGAGAUAUUAGUAUGCCGAAAUCCGAAAGUCGUUCGAAGUCCCGGAUGAGAUCCCGGACGUCACGAGGAGUUCCGGAAUGGUCCGGAGGUAAAGAUUUAUAUAUGGGAAGUCCUAUUUUGGCCACCGGAAAAUGUUCGGGAAUUUUCGGUAUUGUACCGGGAAGGUUCUAGAAGGUUCCGAAGUGGGGCCCACCUGCAUGGGGGGACCCACAUGAACGUGGGUAGUGGGGGCAAGGCCCCACACCCCUGGUCAAGGCGCACCAAGAUCCCACCUUAGAAGGAAUAAGAUCAUAUCCCGAAGGGAUAAGAUCAAGAUCCCUUAAAAAGGGGGAUAACAAUCGGUGGGGAAGGGAAAUGAUGGGAUUUCUUUCCGCCACCUUUUCCAACGCCCCAAUGGACUUGGAGGGCAAGAAACCAGCCCCCUCCACCCCUAUAUAUAGUGGGGAGGCGCAUGGGAGCAGCACCCCAAGCCCUGGCGCCUCCCUCCCUCCCGUGACACCUCUUCCUCCCCGCUUGCGCUUGGCGAAGCCCUGCCGGGAUCCCGCUACUUCCACCACCACGCCGUCGUGCUGCUGGAUCUCCAUCAACUUCUCCUCCCCCCUUGCUGGAUCAAGAAGGAGGAGACGUCCCGCUCCGUACGUGUGUUGAACGCGGAGGUGCCGUCCGUUCGGCGCUAGGUUCAUCGGUGAUUUGGAUCACGACGAGUACGACUCCAUCAACCCCGUUCUCUUGAACGCUUCCGCUCGCGAUCUACAAGGGUAUGUAGAUGCACUCCUCCCCUCUCGUUGCUAGCAUCUCCUACAUUGAUCUUGGUGACACGUAGGAAGAUUUUGAAUUUCUGCUACGUUCCCCAACACUCACAUAUAACCACUAUGAUAUUGAAUUUGUACUGCCGGUUUACAUGACCUGUGCAAUAAGGGUGAUAACCCAAUCUUUAGAAAUCAAGACUUCCAAAUGUUUAUGAUUGUCAUAUGAUGGCGACUUAUCAACCAAAGUCAAGCCGGGUUAAUCGAAGCCACAUAUAUACUUCAGAUAUGAUCAAAAGAACUUCAAAUAAAAUACAAAAUUUUGUUUGCAAAAAGAGACUUCAAAAAUUUUGAGGCUUCUGAUUCGAAUACUAUCAGAAAACCGUCCCAAAGGGGUUAAGCUAAGAUUCGAAUACGAUCAUAUAGCCCCCAGUGGCUUUGGCGUUGCCGAUCAAGAGGGUACCGACAGCUAUGUUCUCUUUGGUUCGAAUACGACCUAUGUUUGAACAGGAAGCCCCCAAAUGACCUGGAGAGUUGUUUAACGACGCUGAUUCGAAUACGAUCCAUGUCGGUUCCCAAAAGGGGUUGAGCUAUGAUUCGAAUACGAUCAAGAAGCCCCCUAGUGAGCUCAGCAGUGUGCCGAUCAAGAGGGUACCGACAGCUAUGUUCUCUUUGGUUCGGAUACGACCUAUGUUUGAACAGGAAGCCCCCAAGUGAUCUUGAGAAUAUUUAACGACUCUCAUUCCAAUACGAUCAGGGUCACACCAAAAGGGUUAAGCUAAAUUUGAAUACGAUCAGCUCCCAACGGUCAUUAAAGCAGGUAGUUAUGUUUGAGUUGUGCUUUGUAACAGACUCUCCUUGGUCCCUUUAAUUUUUCUUGAAAACUUGAACUUUGCGAGAGAUAAAAUCUUUUUAAAACCGGAAGUUCUUAAACCGGAUAUUAAGAGUUUCAAAGCAUGGUGAUAGACAAAUUUACCUUGAACCGGGUUUUGAACCGGAUUUGAGAUCUUCAAAGCAUUGUGGCAGAUAAAUUUCAUUUGAACCGGAUUUUAAACCGGACAUUAAGAGCUUCAAUGCUUUGUGGGAGAUGUCAAGUCUCUUGAUAAGGAUCUAAACCGGAAUCCUUCUUUUUAAGCCAGAUAUUUUUCUGACGGUCUUUAAAUUUUUACCAAUAUGGCGGUAGCCUCCGGGACCGGGUUAUUUUUUUCCUCCAAUGACCCAGAGUUCUUGAAUGCAUUGAAACCGACCAAUGUUGCCGAGUCAUAUCAUUGUAACCCCUGAGUCUCAAAACGACUCAAGGAGUUGGCUUUGAGAUUCUCCAUAUUGACCAUAGCAUAAGGUGUAUAUCAUUGGUGUUGAUAGUGCGAUGUGAAUCCACAGAAGGUUGAGGUGACUGCGGCGGAUUAUAAAUGAUCAUGUAUGAGCCGUGUCAGCAACUCGGCCAAUGGUCCCUUCCAACUGGCUGUUUGAAGUUAACCAAACUAUAGUGGCGGCGACUUGUGCGCCUGCCCAUUUAAACCAUCCAGUGUAGACGGCGGCUGAUAAUACAUGAUAAUUUGCCUCCAAUUUUGUUGGAAGAAAAACCAGGCUUCCCAAGCAGUGACUUGCUCAUACUCGAUGAUCAGCUCACGCAGACAGGUGCGGCCCGGUAUGUUGAUAUAGACCAGGCCGCAAGAGACAGAUGGUAAAAACAACCGUGGCAUCAAAGGUGGUACAGACAGAUGAGUUGGUCACGACGUUGUAAACCGGUGUGGUCGGGCGAGUCAAUCGCCGGCGCGGUAAGCCGCGCGGAUGGGCGAGUCAACCACGUCGUGUUGAUGUAGUGAACAAUUGUCCUACAUCAAAAACAUCGCAAGCAAGAGUAAUUGCUCUUUUUUAAAGAAAACAAUAUAUAAUAUAUAAAAAUUUACUGGAUUGAUUUCACCUGAUAUGUUAGGCCAGAAAAUAUCCACCGCGGAGUUGAUCAUCACGACGGUGAAGCUGAAAUCAAUCACGGCCGAGUCGGCCGCGGGAACAGACAGACGGGUCGGCCGCGGCGUUGUAAGCCGGUGCGGUCGGGCGAGUCAAUCGCAUGAGCGAUAAGCCACGCGGACGCUGAGUCGGCCGCGGGGGCGGACAGGUAAGUUGUCCGUCACAUUGUAAGGCGGCGCGUUGAUGUAGACCGGACCACAGGGGCGGUGGCUUGCGCCCACCUGUUGACCAGUAAGCGGUCGCAGAUGCCGUUGCAUGAUGAUGCUACCGCACACUCCAUGGAUACGGCAUUACACCAUCUUUAUGAUGAAUCCUUGUCCUGCACAUAAAAGUGUACAUAGCAAAGCGAUUGUUUUUUGACAAAAAACAAUAUGCGCUUAAUAAAAUAAUCUUAGAUGGAUAUCACCUGAUUUGUUCGGAUGACCGAUGAUCCAUUCAAUGCAACAAAAAACGGCUCUGGUAGACCGGUAACCCAUGGCGAGUCAACACAGCAGAAGCGACUCAACGCAGCCCCGGCAGCUCGAGGCACGGCGGGUCUCAGCUCACGGCGGGUUGAGGUGUGGCGGUUCAAGGUCACAGCGGGGGGACUCGCAGGCUCAGGCGAGGCCGUUUUGAAGAUGGUUGGCAGCGGCGCGGUGACUCGCCACGGUGCGCCGAAAUAGCAGCAGCGUAGUGGGAGAAACAGCCGGUCUGUUGAUUUUGACCGUGAUGUGAAGCUCGCGGGGCAGCCACGAAGGCGCUGGGACGGAGUGGCUCCGAUGUGCGAGACGUGCCACCACAAGGACGCACGUAGGAGAAGACCAGAGGGGCAUCGAAGUCGGGUCCGCGGCGGCUCUGGAGAUGACAAGUGUGCGGGAGGCAAGGCCGUGCUGGCCAGCAGAAAACGGCGAGGUGCCGGCGACUUAGCGUAAAACCGCGGGUCAGAGGCGGCUCGGAGUUGAGUCCAUGUCCUGCUCUGGUCGUUGUUGGUUUGACAAUUCCCUUUAAGUGCUCCUUUAAAAUUUCCUUCAUCACACGUGGUGUCGUGCCAGGCAACAGCAUGGCCGGACUAAAAAUCCACUAGACCUUGAUUUUUAAUGCUCCUGUAGAUCUUGGGGACUGCGUGUGAGCUGACUAUUAAAACCUUCAAAUUCAUGCACGUACAGUGGCUGUACUAGUUGAUGCUACGUGCAGAAGGUAAGGUAAUCUAUCAGGCUUUGUUUUUCGCGUUGAUCAGCACUUGGACCCUUGAUCAACAGUUGGCUUGAUCCGGAGACUUCACAGGGCUGAAGCAAACUGUCUUGAUCGCCGCUGUACCAACAGAUGGCGCUCGUGACGCGUGUUUGGCUGUCUUUGAUCACCUCGGACUUGGACAGCUAUAUAUGGACCAGCAGAAGCGACCUGGCGAAUCGGACACGGCGGCUAGAUUUGACAGCGGCACAGUAGAAAUUCGAGUCGGCCUCGGUGUACUGCUGCAGCAGAAACUAACCCGGACUCGACGGAUCAUCUAAUUGUGGCGGCGCUCACCAUGCAACUCUAAUCUUUCUUGAAUUCAGACCUCGUACGAGUAUUAGAUCUGACUGCUCGCUUUGGAGACAAUGUAAAUCCUUCCGCGACGAUUCUUCUUUCAUCCGAAGAAAUUGUCAACUUCUCGACCCUUGAAAGAGAUCCCUCCAAGAACUCAUCACCACCGUGCGCAGCCCCACGGUGGGCGCCAACUGUCGUGGAAUUGUCACGGCAGAUGUCCUAGUGUGAGGACUUAGUCGUGAGGCCAACGCAUCUAUGCGGUAGCUUGAGAGGGGUUGAUUGGGAUGAGAGACGCAACACACAAGACAAGAAUUUAGACAGCUUCGGGCCCCGGGAAACAUCAUCCGGUAAUAGCCCUACAUGCUGUUUGUGGCUAGGUCUCAUUAUGAUCAUGAGAGAGUCGCCGGUAAGCCGGCUCUUUGUGUCUAGCCCUAGAGAUUGUUUCUUGUUUCUUGUCCCUCUUGGGGUGCCCUGCCCCUCCUUAUAUAAGUUAGAGGGGCGGGUUACAUACGGAGUCCUAGUAGGAUUAGGACUAGUCUAUCUUUCUUUACAAGUUGAAUACAAGUCCAGGUCUUGCUUCCUUAUGAAGGAAAUAAUCCUCACGCCUUUCAUCUUAAACCGGCCCACCAGAGUAUAAGCCAGCCUGCUGGGCCUUGGGCCUUGUCAUCCGUCUGAUCCGCCCGCCGGGUCUCCAGUGAAUUACAAUGUCUAGGCGGGUUACCCUGUGAACCGCCAUGUUCGGGCGGAUCGCCAGUGAGUCGCCAAGCUUGUCCGGCCGGGUCAUACCGCGGGGUAUAUCCCCGACAGGUGGUCUAAUACGGGUAAAGAAACGCAUUUUUCGCUUUGGAUCCUUUACAAUAAAAGAUGGGUCAAAAAUUCGAUUCUGGGAAGACAAGUGGCUAGAAAAUGCUUGGAUCCAAUAAAAAUAUCUAUCUUUGUACUGCAUCAUUCAUCACAAUAAUGAUACUCUUGUGCUAGUGCUUAUUUCUUUCAUGCCAGAUAUUUCUUUCAGGCGAGAUUUGAUUGGCCUAUGUCUUAUGUGAUGGUAAAAUCAUUAUCCUGAUUGGAUUUAAUUAACCUGACACAAGGGCGGGGAUGUGUUUCAUUGGAAUCUCUCUACAUAUGGGUCCUUCAAGUCAACUUUAUGUACCAUGCACUAACGCAUUCAGAGGUCCUAGUGGAUAAUAAAAUAAUAGAAGAAGAUAUGGGCCAUACUCCCUCCGUCCAGUGAAGAGUGAAAUCUAGAGAUUUUAGGACAAAUUAUGGAGUAAAAUAGAAAAUGCAUUGGAAAGGUGCAAGCCACCAUCUUUCUUCUCUUUAAUUAUCCAAUCCCUAAUGUGUUUAGUGCAUGUAAAAAUUAAGAAGACCAUGUGUAGAUUGUUAUUGGUCUUGGUUACCAUGUGAUGAGAGAGAAAUAUAUUUUUUUCUACUUUAAAGUGCAUUGAGAAGAUAGAAGUACACUCUUUUGUGGACAAAUUUUAAAGCCAAACGUACACUCUUCACCGGACGGAGGGAGUAUAUUAAUUCCUAGUGUGACUUAAUGUUGACAUGAAUUGAUACAGGUGGAUAUAGUUACUCUGCGUCCGUAAAUAAAGGUCAUCAUUUUUGUUGCUCUAGGGACCCAUAAAUGAUAGGGACUGUCCGCUACCAGCUACCCUGAUGACUCCAUUCGCUGCCCCUCAAACAUGGGUUCCCGACAUGUUCUCAGGGUCUGCCCGUGGUUCCAUGUUCUGGCCUUCGGGGUUGGUUUAACUAGUGGUAUGGGGGUUCUUGCAUCGCCCUGUACUCUCGAUCGGGACCCUUUAAUGCUAGCACUUCUGGUGACAUACAGUGCGUGUAUUUAAAGGCCAGGCAUGCAUCCUCCGUGCCAAAGAAAAUUCAUUCGGCGGCUACACGGGGAGAGUUGUGGCAGCAAAUCCGGGAUGCCAGCUUUUUGUUUUGGGUUUCGAUUGUCAAAGUUUUAGAUCUUAAAAAAACUAAAAUUAAGUGUUGUUUUCAUAUUCGUGUUUCUCGUGACCACUGUUUUGAAAUAAUAUCCGUUUUGAAUAUAUAUUUUGACGACUUUAAAAAAUAUUAAGUUUCAUAUGUUGAAACUUAGUACGGGCAACCAGUAAAAAUCAAUUAUUUUGUACCUACGCCUGACAGAAAAAUGCUUACAUUUAUAUCUCUGAAACUUGCUGAAACUUUGCAUUUUUCAUCAUUGAAACUUAAAACUUUUUGAGGGAUUUUCUUUUUUACUGUGCCCUCAUGUGGGAUUCAACUACUCUUUUCUCUUCCGCGAGAUCCACAUGAAAAAAAGCACAAAUUUAAGAUGAGUGCAGGGCUUGGCAGAUGAGUGCCCUGCACUUACAUGCCCCUGCGAAUUUCCGCAGCUACUAGAUAUUUUUGGCAAAUUUAUUGUUUGCUCUUUUACAGGUGUGCCACUUAAGUAUUUAAACCUAUAAGGAUUUCUGCACUGGUGCUAAACUCACUUAUGAGAGCAUACCGGAUUUUCUCAUAUGAGCUAACAAAGAAUCAAACAUAGUUAUAUCUUGUAUUAUUUUCUCAUUAAUUACUUACCCACUGGGCUGAAGCAGUUAUUGUAGCAUAUCAUGCAACACUCAUGGUUUUCCAACAUGUUUCCUUAAGGGGUCUUAAUCAAGAUGAUUUACAUUCAAAAACAAUCAUUGAGUAUGGAUCAUUAAGAAUAAUUUGAUCCUACUUAAUCCAUGCUUAGGAAAUAAGAAAAUGGUUACUCAAUGAGCAAACGCUGCCUGUUGCUGCCUCCUCACCAACAAACUUUGGUUCUUCACAUCCCUUACCGAAGAGGCACCUUUACAUUGCAUCCCUUGUAUACUACUAUAUAUAUGUGAUCUUCAUAAAGAGUUCAGCGAUUUCUCCAUUGUUGAGUUCCUUACACUCAAUAUUCAAUAAUAGUUAUUUCCAAAUUCACAUAAUCAGUUGGCAGGAUGGUCACCAAAGUACAUUCAUCCAUCGAAAGAAACACACAAAAGAAAACAGUAACAGCACCAAAAAAACUACACGUUGUCCAAUUAUGAAUAAUGUUUCGUCCGUGUAACAAGAGCUUCGACGGUCAUUUUCUUAAGCAUAAUUAAAUAAAAAACUAAUCAUAGACUCUGAUUGUAAAGCAUUCCAAAAGAAAUUCAUAUGUCAGUUCUUCAACGCUUAUUGUGUUGGAAGCCUGUCCUCAAAUAUUCUCUCCUUCGCCUUGUCGGCCUGCAAAUAAAUAUCAGUUAUUUUUUCUUACUAUCCUUGGUACCAGUGCUUAGGGUUUUGAUAGACAGGUCGCUAGUUAUUGAAAUGAAACAUUUAAGACAAGGAGAAGCAUGCAUUAGGGCAACUCCAACUAUGUGCAUCAAAUCGGACACAUCUAACAUUCAUGGGCACGUCCGGACGUGUCCACAAAGAGCAUAUAGGGGGCGGCCAUCCAAGCCUAUGCACCAAAUGUCCGCACCUUUUCAAAGAAAAUAAAAUAAAGCUAGACCAAAUGUUGGCUCACUUUAAAUCAUCGAUCGAUAGCAAUUCAAAAGUGUUGGAUGAAAGUACUUCUCGAAAGCAGCCUUCAUUACAUACUUUCUCUCCUCGAGUUUGCACUUCUUCAUUACAAAUGUUGUUCAUCCAGAUGUUGUGCCCUUUGAGCUUCAUCCAACAGUGCAUAAAUGCGAAGAACUUGCCCUCCGUCCUUUGGUAUAGCAUGGGCUGCGCGUCUGGGCUAUACAAUGACGUGAUCAUCAAGUGUAACAUUGAGCAAUUUGCCAUUUGUGCUUGCUUCAUGUUAAACAAGGAGAAAGUCAAAGAAAUUCUCAAUGGUAUUUGGCCGAACACUUGCCGGGGUUGGCCUCCAUUAUGGAGGGCAUCGGCAAGGGGGCGGCCAAUGCAUGGGCUGCCGCCGGAUACUGGGUGCAACCGCGGCGAAGUACAAUGCGCCUGGUGGAGCAAUGGAGGUCUAGCAAGGCCUAGGCGCGGGACGGAGUGGUAUAGCAGCGGCGGUCUUGGUGGGUGCGGAUACAGAUUAAGAGUGGGACNNNNNNNNNNNNNNNNNNNNNNNNNNNNNNNNNNNNNNNNNNNNNNNNNNNNNNNNNNNNNNNNNNNNNNNNNNNNNNNNNNNNNNNNNNNNNNNNNNNNNNNNNNNNNNNNNNNNNNNNNNNNNNNNNNNNNNNNNNNNNNNNNNNNNNNNNNNNNNNNNNNNNNNNNNNNNNNNNNNNNNNNNNNNNNNNNNNNNNNNNNNNNNNNNNNNNNNNNNNNNNNNNNNNNNNNNNNNNNNNNNNNNNNNNNNNNNNNNNNNNNNNNNNNNNNNNNNNNNNNNNNNNNNNNNNNNNNNNAUAGUCCGACCAGGCGGGCGUCCGGACUCCCAAACCUCCAAUGAGUUUGCUUCCGGUUUGGCUGAUGUUGGACGUCCGGAUUAGGCCGCGGGCAUUUGAUGCAUGGCAGUGGAUGGCAAAAAAUGUACAGGCAGCGCAGUCCGGACCUUGCGGGCAAUUUGAUGCAUGGCAUUGGAGUUGCCCUUAGCAAUACCUAAGGCAUGUUCUGAUCACGAAUCAUCAGGCAUAAAAACUGAGAAAGGACUUACCAUCUUGUUCCAGUUUGUGGUAGCCGUAAUAACAGACAGGAGAGUGACCUGUGUGGCUCCACCAGCCAGUAUGCCAAUCCAAAACCCCUUUGCUCUUAGUUGCAUUGCAAAACCAAAGUAGAGUGCAACGGGGAUACCAACAAGAUAGAAGGCACCCAGGUUAACAUAAGCCCCUAGAUGCUGCCAUCCACAGCCCCGAGACACACCUGAGUGGUGCAAUGGAAGCAUUCAGUCUAUUAGUUUAAUUUAGUUUAUGAUGCUAUAUGCCAAAAGAAAGACAUGUGGAUACCUUGAAGGACUGCCAUGAGGCUGUCUGUAAUUGCUGAAAUGGAAAGUAGGGGUACCAUUCUUGUGACAUAACGCCUGACCUCUUCCUCAUUGCUGAACGCAAUUCCAAUAAAGUGGCGCAGUAAUAGAAGAGUUGUGCUCACUAAGAAUGCUGAGCAGACCACAAUAGACAAGGCAACACACACCACCAAGCGGGGACCUUGUGUGUUGCCGGCGCCUAAUUCAUUUGAGACGCGCACACUGGCACACGGACAACAUAUAUACGUAGCAUGUUAAAUUCUGUAGAAACAGGUGAUACUGACGAUAUAUAGCAACAAAUGCACUAGCUAGUAGCUACCCACCUGGUAGCUAUUCCAAUGCCGUAAGGAAGGUUGGCCAACAGUAUCAUUGUAGAUACGCUGUUCCAAAAGGACAUCAGUAUGGUAAACUUCAUAGAAUAUGAUGGAUUCAAGUAUAAUCUUAUUUAGGGUUCUACUAAUGCAUACCAUAUAGAAAGCACAGAGGUUUCCAGUGCAGGAUUUGGUAACAUCCCGGAAAGCAGAACAAGCAGCUCGUAAGACCACCACUCCAGACUGUGGUCAAGGAAAGCUAGGUUAAUAUUCAGAGGUUUCCGGGAUGUUUUGAUGCUAGAGAAUACAUAAUUAGAAGCUAAACUUAAAGUAAUAUAUGUGCAGAAAUUAUCCAGUUCAUUUCAAGAGGAGAGGGAAGAAUAUAUCCAGUGGUAUUGCGAGCGGGUGGCAAAAAAACAAAAGGUAUCUGAUCAGGAUCUGCUCACAACAAAGGCGAAGACGAAGACGGACUUUCUUUUGUUGAAAGAUGUCUUCACAACAAAGACGAAGAGGAAAACAAACUUGAUUUGGACAAUCAAUCCGAGACGAGCCGACAUUUCAAAUUUUCAAAUGGUUUGUAAAAGACCAUCAUCCUUUUCUGACAGUAUUCUAACAGACCAAUCAAGUGUGCAAGGGUGCUGUGGCAAGAACAACAGAAAAAUAGUAUUUCCUCCAUCCGAAAAUAAGUGUCGCUCAAAUAGAUGUAUCUGGACGUAUUUUAGUGCUAGAUACAUCCGUUUGAGCGGUACUUAUUUCCAGACGGAGGGAGUAGGUAUGAACGAACAUAAGUAGAAAGAGAUAUAAAAAAUAGCAACAAUGCUUGGAUCUUAUGGGCUGCAAGUGCACCACUAUUAAAAAGGUUUUGCCACGUACUUGUUAUUAUUAAUAUAUUUUUUGAGAGGAACGUACUUGUUAUUUUCCAUGCUGACACCUUUAGAAACGUUGGCUACUGAUACACAAACUAUAUAGAUUUGUCACAUGAAGAUACCAUUAGUGUUAUGAAUGAUCACAUCAUUAUAAUUAUAAUCUUAAUUAUUUGCCAAAAGGUGCACGUUGGAAACUAUAUUAAUGUCCACAAGAACAAGUAAAAGUGAAUGAAGAGUGCAUAAGAGUUUGCUGUAUUGGACAAUAUUUUGCUUGCCAAAAUAUGAAAUACUAGAUAAAAUAGCAUAUGUUAUUUUUUGUGCUAGAGGUUAAAACAACAUCAUUAUAGAAACAUGGCAAAUAACAUUUACUUACCAAAUCAUAAGAGCCGAUGGUACAGCCAAACGCAUGAAACUGCCAAUCCCUCUAAAAGCUUCCCACGAUGGUGGAGCGCGUGUUUUCUCACAAGAGGGUGAGAACUUAAUGUAAAGGCCAAGAAAAGUCACUUCAACCCAAUCACAAAUGCUAACGGAUAAAGCAGCUCCAGCAUUACCCAUCCCAACUUUGUAAACCAUGAACCAGCAAAGAGGAAGAAAUACCGCAAUUGUAAUCAAGGAGCUAAGAACCAUUGGAAAUAUUAGGCUUUGACAUUGCAGAAACUUUGAAAAGCAUUGAGUAACACCGAAGGCAAAUAAACCAGGGAUAAGCCAUAAUGCAUAUUUGCCAGCCUCAUUUGCAAUUUGUGGUUCCUGGCCCAUGAGAGGAAGUACUUCCGGGAUGAAACACCAAACAAUGGAGAUGGGCACACUCACAACAAGAAGUGCAAUGAUGGACCUGUAGGUACAUAAAGAUAAUGUAUGAUAUUGUUCUGCUCCAUAGGCCUGCCCACAAAGAGUUUCCAAUCCGCCUGCCAGUCCAAUCUAAAAGGGAAACUGCAUCAGUAACAAAUUAUACAUAUUGUUGCUGAAUAAAUGGAAGUUAAACUAGGAUAAAGUGCAUCGACAUUACUGAAAGAAGAGUUUUGCUACACCUACACAUUAAUCUUAUGGAAUUAAAUUUACAGGAUGAGGUGGCAACAUCUGAUUGGAAGGGAGGAGACUCAUAGUAAAUUCGGGGAAGACGGGUUACUUGGAGGUUAGGGGGGAGGGGUGGCAGUCCAUACGGGUCGCUCAUAAGUUUGGAUUUUCGCUGAAAGAAUAUCAAGAAUAACAAACGUGGCUUGUGCAAGGUGGGCAACAGUUGCUAUGAAGAUUUUGUUUCAAUCAUCACUGCAAAGAAUGCGAACAUCACCCUGGCCGAAUUUUCUCAACACCCAACUCAGUCGGAUCAAGUGACUGAUUAUAUUUUUCGCGGGAAUAUAAUAGAUCGAUAUUGCCCACCGAAACUAGCUAUAUGUACAGCGGGGUGGGGUGAAUCAAGCACCACAGGUCCAUUGUAAAAAAGAUUAAUCGAACGACCUAGCUAGCCGCGUGCGGUCGGCGCUAAUCAGAAAGGUUGAGAAAUGGAACCAUCUGAUUUGAUUCAUUCCCAGUAGUCAUGAGAUGAUCAUUUUUUUUUAGAAAAGAGGGGAGAUCCUGAAUGAUCCACACAACCUUUUGUUUAUCAUAUCAAAGUACAUCAUCUGACCAUAACAAAGUUCAUCUUGCCAACGGAUGCUUCUAUUACACUCGUGGUCUCUAAAAGAUGAGAACCCACUAUGUAGCAUCCACAUCAAUAAUUCAAGCAUUUAUGUCCUUAGUACGAUUCUUUGUAGGAACUAUCCGUAAUAACAAAGAACAUCAGAAGUAGCAGAGAUCUCCGCACGAUGCAACUGGAUAAAUGGCGGUCGCAUGGAGGGAGAAGACACUGAGACAUCUGGACCGGUCGCCGAUCUUGUACACAUCCGGAUGGGAUUCAGGGGCUGCUCUAACGGAAUUGAAAGUACCAAUAGCUAAACAUAAACGAAAUAAAUUAAUGUGCGCUGCAUGCUUGCUCACAAGGACGCUGAAGCCGGAGACGUUGGUGAGGGAGUUGGCGAUGGCCGCACCGGCGAGCGCGACGUCGCCGAGGUGCCCCACCAUGACGGUGGAGAUGAACUGCAUCGUGACCUGCAGCAGCAUCACCACCACCAUCGGCGCCGCAAGCCCCGCCAGCUGCGCGGCUUCCCUACACCAGCGCCGGCUGGUACUGCCGGGCUCUUCCCACCUCGCGGCCAGCAGCGGCGCAUCGGAAGAAGAGUCCAUGGAUCCCCCCGACCAAAGCUCUGCCCAAGCAACGUGGGUGUGGUUAAUGAAAAUGGUAAAUGCGGGAGCUACCAUCCGUCUAGCUGUCUCCCUUUGCACAAUGCAUGGAGCUCGAACUAUAUAUAGAGUAUUACUCCAGUCGUAGUAGCUACGGAAACUAUUUCCUCUGUCCAGAUUUAUUAGUUUUGUCAGAGCAUCGGUAAUUGAGGAGCUAAUUUGAUUUCAUAUACAUCCACUGACCCGUCUUGGCGCUGUUCAGGCAUAUUCACUUAAGCCCACAUUUAUCUGUGCACGCAGUGGUAACCCCACUUUUCUCCCUAUUAUAUGCCCGAUUACAUGCAUAUGAAUGGUAGGGACAGAACCUCAAAAAAAAAAGAAUGGUAAGGACAAAAAAAGAAAAUAAAAGAAAAUAGUGAAGGUGAAAAAGUGGUCCGGACUCUGGAGUGUGCCAAAUUCGACGUGGCAGACUGCUCAGACAUACCACAACAUCUCAUACCCUUUCCACGUAUGGGCUCGGUAUAAGGGGUGCCAGAAAGCCCGCGCCCAUGUAUAUAGUUUUGAGUUAAUGAUACUCCCUUUCAUCCAUAUUACUUGUCACACGGACGUAUUUAGACGUUUUUCAGUGCUAGAUAAAUUCGUUUGAGCGACAAGUACACUAGUAGAAAAAGGACCUUACGUGAGACACAUUAGUCCCGGUUCAAUUUUGGCUCGGUACUAAUGGUAUUAGUCCCGGUUCAAACGGCUAUGCAUUAGUCCCGGUUCAUGUUGAACCUUUAGUACCGGUUCGUGCCACUAACCGCUACUAAAGGGGUGGUGGCAGGCUGGCGUCAGGCCGGGGCCCCACGAGCCCCUUUGACUAAAGGGGUUUAACCUUUAGUCCCGGUUGGAGACACAAACCGGGACUAAAGGGCAAUUAUCAAACUCUACCCCCCUCCCCUCUCCCUGUCUAUCGCCAUUUCAGUUUUGAAAAAAACAAAACAAAAUGAUAAAAACUUCAAAAAUUAAGAUCCUUCGAGAUGUAGUUAUGUUACUACAUCUACUAGUUAGGAAAAUUUAAAAACUUAAAUUUGGACAUGUUUUGCAAAAAAAUAUGAUGAAAAGGUAAAACAACUAUAUCUUUUGCAUCCGAUAUCGGAAAACAACGUAUAAUAUAUCAAAAUGUUCAGCACGAAAAUACGCAUCCGAUUUUGACGGCUGUAGGCCGUUUUGCAAAUUUUUAGAAUCCUCAAACUCUAAAAGGAAAAAAGUUAUGCUCACAUUUCAGUUUUUUUUUUGAAUUUUGGUCAAACUGUGGUCAAACUACUUAUUCAAGAAAUAUUAGUGUUACUAAAUAAUUAUUUCAGUUUUUUGAAUUUUGGUCAAAUCUGGUCAAACUAUGGUCAAACUACUUACUCAAGAAAUAUUAAUGUUACUAAAUAAUUAGUGUUUUUUAGAAUAAUAGUUUCAAACUCAAACGAUGAACGUGUGACUUCAUGCUCAAGCUAAACUCCUGAGGGUUAAUAGGAUUGACAGCUUAAUAUUGUUAGGAAACAACAAGUGCGGACUUGGAAACUAGGGGGAAUAGAACUCAGAAGUUAAGCGUGCUCAGGCUGGAGUAGUAAGACGAUGGGUGACCGGCCGGAAACUUAGGUGAUUUGGGAUGAGUGAUCCACACUUGAGCAGUUAUGAGUGGUGAUUAGAGACUAAAUCGUCAAAUAAUUAAGAAAAUUGAAAAUCGGGAAAAAAAUCAAAGUUUUUUCCAAAAAAUUCAAAAAAAAAACCUUUAGUCCAGGUUGGUGUUACCAGCCGGGACUAAAGGUCCCGCAUACCACGGCGCGGGCUCGUGCCACGUGGUGGGCCUUUACUGGCGGUUCGUGUUGAACCGGGACUAAAGGGGGGGCCUUUGGUCUCCAACCUUUAGUGCGGGUUCCGAACCGGCACUAAAGGCCCUUAAGAACCGGCAUGAAAGCUCCGUUUUCUACUAGUGGUAAUACAUAUCAGAUGGAGUAGUGGAUUUAACUAGACGGGGAAGCAACGGAUGGGCGGCGGCUUUCAGAUAUGACGAUGGUGGUCCUACCGGGGUGGCUUGUUCGGCGGAGCGGGUUGGGAUGGCACGGGCCAGAGGCUGCUUCGCUGCCUCCCAAAGGUGGUGGUGGGCUGCGGGUGUAUGCGACAACUCAGAUCCGUCGUGGAUCAUCUGGUUGAUGCGGGAUCGACUCUGGCCUACCUUGGCUUCUCUGACGCGGCUCUGGUGGGCGGAGGGCUAGGUCAUGGCAGGGAGCUCCCCCUGCCUUGGUCUUGUUCGGCCGUCAUGGCAGCGAGCUCCCCCUGCCUUGGUCUUGUUCGGCCGUCAUGGCAGGGAGCUCACCCUACGCGUUUUGGCUCACGGGCUCAGAUGAGUCCGGGAAUGAACAAAAAAUCAUUAAAAAUUACUAAAUAAAUUCAAAAAAAAUCUGAAUUUUUUUUGUGCAGAAAUAUAACUGAGUGUCUGAUGUUCGUACCGAAUUUCAGAACACUUGAAUGUUUGAGUAGCUCUCAGCAAAAAAGGACGAAUUUAAUGUAUGUGAAAAAGGUUACUAUUUGUGCAUUGUCUGGACCCUUUUUUUACUGAGAGCUAAUCCGAUGUCCAAAUGUUUUGAAAUUUGGCACGCACUUCACACACUAAAAUAUCUUCCAUUCAAAAAAAUAGAUUUUAAAAAAAAAAUCUAUUUUUGCUGAAUUUACUGUUCACCAGGUGGAGCAGCGUCGAAGACCACAGACAUGGUGUCGGGCGAGCGCGCUCGGAGACAGAUGUCUGUAGUUGUGUCUCCCCCGGUCCACCGGGACUGGCUGGAGAUGCAGGCGUGGGUGCCUCCUACCAUGGAGGCAUCGAUCCAGACUAUGUGGCUGAUGUAUGGCUAUGAUUGUAAGGGGACGCCAUUUGCUUCUCCUACCGUGGUGGGUGCACCGUGAUGUGGGCGGUUGGUGGUGUCUCUGAUAUGGAUGUCGAGGUGGCAACCCUGGAUGGCGGUCUGAUGGUUCGCUCUCUAGCGGGCCCCAUGGCAGCAGUGAUAGGUGGAGCGACGGGUGGCUCGGGUGUGCUCUUUGUCUCCGGCAGUGGUGACACCUAGAUCCAGAUCUGGAGGUCUGAACUCGUCGUGCUUACCCUGGAGACCUCGUGGUGUCAUGGGGGAGCUGUCGAGUAAAGCCCCAUGCUUUGCCGUCAACGAGGGUGAUGCUCGCGGGUGCCGCUUUGCUCUUAAAGAUAUCACCGUGGUGCUCUUCUUCUUGUCUGGGCUCGGAGUAAAAACCUUUGUUCGGUGUGGACUCAACAACGCUGACACUUAGGGCUAUUCGCUCUCCUAAGAGUGUUGUCGUUGAGCUUAGAUGUUAUAGGGCAUAGUGUGACGUUGCUAUCGGUUCUUCCUAUGCUCACUUUGGUAGUAUAGCUGCAUGCGUUCUGUGUGAUCCGGUUAUCCUGGGAUCUAUUAGAAUAAUCCGAGGCAUACCGUUGAUCAUCCGAGGACCAAGGAACCACACGAGCACGACACCGAGAUUUGUUAACGAGGUUCACCUUGGCUACAUCCCCGGGGCUUGACUAUGGGCGCUCCUCCCCAUGACAUCGCUACAAUACCGCACCCCGUCGCCCUGCACGCCGGCACAUGCCGCCGGCUUCCCUUGCGUUCCUAUGCUAUUAUGUUGGCAUGGGUUACAUCGUGUGUCUACCCCCAUUAUAUAUGAGAGGCCUAGGAUACAAGUGUCCUAUUAGGACACGACUCUAUAUCCUAUCUAAACACAAUACUACUCAAAGUCCAACUCUAACCUAUCUUAUACGCAAUAUUCGACACAACUCUAACAGGAUCUGCAUUGUAUGAGGACUACCUCAUCACCUUGUAUUGGUCAGCCAUGCACUUUGUUCGGUUGUUGCAUUAUACUCUCUCUGUUCAGAAUUAUUGGUCGCAGAAAUGGAUGUAUCUAGUUAUAUUUAUAUAGUUCUAUAUACAUCAAUUUCUAUUCAUUUUUGAGACAGGUAGUCCCGGACGGAAGGAAUAUAUAAAGCGGGGCGCCUGGUUCAAACUUUAAAGAGAGACAUAACCACAAAGGAGACGUAAGAAGGCAAAUAACUACAGCGCAAUUGAUGUCAUGUCAGCAAGAAAUGUUCUUAAGGGCCACUCCACAGCUUCCCACUACGAACCUAAAUCUUCAUGAAACUUGAGAAAAUCAUACUCGACGAAAAUCAUACGCUUGUUUUAGAUGCCUGUCGUCGUUGGUUGCUACAGAAGAUGGAUUUAAAUAAUUGAAAUUAAGUUUUUUUUUAGCACUCUCUCUGAGCCAAAUUAAUUAACAUAGCUCUAGUACAACUUUUUCUUUUUGAGUUUGGACUUGGUUUGGCUGUGUGCAUCUUUUUUUUUGAAAUGUUGGCUGUGUGCAUUUUAGUUAUGCAGAAGCCAGAUAAUACUUAAAAACUUUGUAAGCAAUAAAGCGCCCCUUAUCGAACAAUAGAAUUAUGCAGAGGACUAACACUUAACUCUCGAGUAGUAACUGGUUGAAACUUACCAGCUCUACGUGGUUGAUGUUGACAUCCAAUUUCGAAUACAGAACAUAUUUCCCAAACCAUUCAAAAACAUCACAUUGCCAUCUUGGUUAUUACCCUUUAACCUCCUCACAGCAGAUUCCAUCUGCAUACACUCAGUGUAAGAACGCAGCAGAUCCAUUAAAACAUGUAGUACGAAUUAUCACGUUAUACUAAAAUUUUAGAAUCAACAAGACAUUAGCUACAUAUUGACUUCUUUAAUUAUUUAUGAAGACUGCCUCUAGAGAAUUGUUGGCAUGUCUAUGACGGUAAAUUUGCAGCUCAGUUAAAGUGUGCUUGGUUGGUUAAACAAGGUAUACUAGAUGAUUUUCCCGCGCGUUGCUGCGGGAUUUUAAAGAUUAAUUUUGGAUAUAUUAUAUAAGAAUGAAAUGAUCUAAAUCAAAAGCUAUUAUUUUCAAAAGUAAUUAUAUGUGAACAAAGAGUAUGCAUGUACGUUGGACCAUUGGAGAUGGAACAAUUAAAUUGGAGUAUGCAUGUGCUACAAAAUAAUUCUAGUGGGUGAUGAUAUGUGGAGGGCUGCAUGUUGAGAUAAUUAGACUUAAUGGGAUCAACUAUAUAUUUAUUAUAGAUGGGAUAGGUUGUUUGCUUGGUUGGGUGGAUGGGAGUAUCAAAAAAGAUUAAUUAGCUAAAUGAUACCUCCUAACUUCUACAUUAACACCAUCAAGACCUAGUGAACCUACUUAAGUCAAACCAGAAAAACAUGUACCUGUUUCAGAUAAUCAUCCAUGAACAUGAUUGCAUGGUCAUCAUGCCCAGUACUGAGUUUGAAAACAUGAAGUACAUUGUCUUUCUUCAAUGACUGCAAAAAUGAUUUCUAUAUAUGUUCAGAUUUUCAUCAAAGCAAGGAAAAUUUUCUCUGGUGCAGUUGAAGAUUACUACACAUUGGUAAACAAUAAUCACCAACAGUUUAACACAAGAAUAGCUAGAAAAGAAUCCAAAGGUAAAACACAAACUCAUCAUUGCAUUACAACAGUUGUGUAUACAUAAAGAAUUAUUGCAUAAGUUCAAAACAAUACCUUGAAAUCUCUGGCAGCUUGUGUCCUGUCCUUCACGCUAUUAUAGUUUGGGACUGCAAAAUGAAUGGUUGUGUCACAGCCUACAAGUGAACACAAGAAAAAGGUGAAUUUCGGAUCUGAAUCACCAUUAAAAAAGGAAACAGUUAGAGAAGAAGCACACACUGAGUUUAUAUAACCAUCUUUAUUAUAUAACAACAUGUUACAUGGGAGUAUUGUUACAUCCCUCCAUUAAGAGGAGGAGCAAACAUAAGUACAAGAGUUUAAUAGUGGCCGUGUCCCCCAACCCACAAAUAACUUUGGCACAUGCACGCACAGACCAGAAUUUUGCAACAGAAAACAUCACUAACCUAUGCACACGGUGGCUCUCGCAGCCAGUGAUGGUAGGCCUGAAUCGUCGCUCCACCUCUGCCUUGAUGUUGUUGGCCAUUGUCUGAAGGUCCUGGUUCUCUCCCUCGAACACCAGGUAGCUAUGUUCUCUCCAAAAUCCCUACGGGCCAAAUUUGUACAAUCACUAUCGAGUCCAGGUCUUUUUGCCGAUCUUUUGGCAGUGCUUUUCACCUAGACAGCCACCAAAUUCACCUGAAGUGGCGAGCUGUUCAUUUUAAAAUGACUUGCCACAGUUAUGUCAACCAGGAUCAUUGCUCUCUUUCUCGGCCUCCCGCAGAACUUCACAAGUUAUGAGUUUGCUGUAUGAGUAUAUAACUGAAUGAAGUAGUCUUUGAACCUGCAAACAGAGCACUUAAUCUACUUCUCAACGCACUGGAAUUUUUUGCAAUGUCUCUCUGUACUAAUUGUCCACUGCUACCCUACCACGAAGAAGUAGCGAUUUCUCCACCAAUCCAGCUCGCAAUCGGAUUAAACACUAGGCAAAGAAAUUCCUCUCUGCAACUAUAUAUCCAUACAAAAGUACCAUUUACUCCUGGAUCGAGCACUAAGCCACUAACUGACGGACGGAGAAUGGAUGACUAACCUUCUAGUUGCAACCGCAUGACCUCUGACCUGCCCUGCCGGCGGCUCACAGCGAUGGAUAGCGGACUAGCCUGCCAUCUAGGGUAAUUGCAGACGGCCAGAGUUGCAACGGAGGCCUCAUCGUGAUACACGACGACCUCCGUAGCUGGGAUCAGAUGUAUUUUCUAAUUUGAAUUGAAUAUGUAGUGUCACCAUUCCAGAUUUUUGGUACAUAUGAACAAAAAUAAAUUUAUUCAUGGGCCAUUCAACACUUUUCAACUCAUCGGAUACUGGCUCAGAUCGAGUUCACAUAUCAUUAACAUAUUUCGAACCAAAUCCAUAAUCAUAAAAUCCUCUGGUUUUAUUCAAACAAGCGGUGGAGAUGCCCCAUCCCUCCUAGCAUUGUUUUUCCUUAUCAUUUAGGAUCUCUUCAUUCAGCCUUUAAUAGAUUAAUAACAAAAAAACAUAAGUAUGGCCUAGAUAUAUAAGAUGCUUCAGAAUAGCUGGGCACAAACAAGUUGGCAUGAAACGGUCUAGAACUUCUUUUGCGGGAAAAAAUCUAGACCUUCUCAAAAUCCAACAAAUAAAAUAUGCUCGUUGUCCAUGAUCUAGGAGGGUAUCUACGAAUAGGUACUUAAGGUUUGUUCAUGAAAAGUAUUAAAAUAUUUGGCAAUUUUCCUUUUGGGUAGACAAAGUACCUAGAAAUAUGUAAAUUCAUGCUUAUACACCUGAACAUGCACCAUAGUAGACCAAAUUAUGUUGCCAAAGUAUAACGAACAUAUUAUAUUUUUGAAUAGGUUAUCUGUGUAAAUGGUCUACACAAUUCAAAUAAGUAUCAACUUCAUGCCCAAAAGAUUUAGUAAAAGGUACCGGGUGGUCCCAAUGAAAUAUUUACAUAACAUUACAAACUUAGUCCACCAAAAGAAUGAUUUGAUCCAGAAAAAUCCUUCUUCACACAUAGAUCGAACUGAUGAUGACGUAUCUAGAGUUAGGACCGGAUAUAUGCUAGUAACUUGUAAGCAAUUACCAUCCUUUACAUGUAAGGGAAUUCUAUGAGUCAUGUCAUGAUCUAUACCUCUCAGUUCAUCUUAUCAUCUUAGAGAACAAUACAAAGUUAGUUUUAUAAAAAAGCAACCGAGUCUAGACGAACCCUCCACAUACAAGGCUUUAAUAAUCGAGCAUAUCUUAACAGUCCACACACGAUUGCAACUUAGUCCUACACAGGUUUUGCCUUUCUUGUUUAUGGUUGACAGCCUAUACAAGGUUCCAAACUCGGUUGCAAAAGUGAUACUAUCCUGAUAAAUGUGUGACAUGUAAAGUGAAUAAGGCGAGUCAUAUAUACCACACAUCAGGGUUUCUAUAAUUUGUGUGUGAUCAUAUGCACAACUAAAAAGCAACUUUGAUGAUCAAUCCAAAAGUACGCUUGUAGCUAGUGCAACCUAACACAAUGUACCAAAAAAUCAUUUCUGAUGCAUCCAAAUAGAAUUAUUUAAGUUGAUGCAAAGAAGGAAAGAGGUGGUGCCCGGACUACUAUAAAUAGGCAUGAAGUAUAAUGAUCAUCACAAGCACAAGCAUCAAAACCAAGCAAAAGUAGUUAGCACCAAUCCAUCAUGAAGACCUUCCUCGUCUUUGCCCUCAUCGCCGUUGUGGCGACAAGUGCCAUUGCACAGAUGGAGACUAGCUGCAUCUCUGGUUUGGAGAGACCAUGGCAGCAGCAACCAUUACCACCACAACAGUCAUUUUCACAACAACCACCAUUUUCACAACAACAACAACAACCAUUACCUCAACAACCAUCAUUUUCGCAGCAACAACCACCAUUUUCGCAGCAACAACCAAUUCUAUCGCAGCAACCACCAUUUUCACAGCAACAACAACCAGUUCUACCGCAACAAUCACCAUUUUCGCAGCAACAACAACUAGUUUUACCUCCACAACAACAACAACAACAACUUGUGCAACAGCAAAUCCCUAUUGUUCAGCCAUCCGUUUUGCAGCAGCUAAACCCAUGCAAAGUAUUCCUCCAGCAGCAGUGCAGCCCUGUAGCAAUGCCACAACGUCUUGCUAGGUCACAGAUGUGGCAGCAGAGCAGUUGCCAUGUGAUGCAACAACAAUGUUGCCAGCAAUUGCAGCAAAUCCCCGAACAAUCCCGCUAUGAAGCAAUCCGUGCCAUCAUCUACUCCAUCAUCCUGCAAGAACAACAACAGGGCUUUGUCCAACCUCAGCAGCAACAACCCCAACAGUCAGGUCAAGGUGUCUCCCAAUCCCAACAGCAGUCGCAGCAGCAGCUCGGACAAUGUUCUUUCCAACAACCUCAACAGCAACUGGGUCAACAGCCUCAACAACAACAACAACAGGUACUACAGGGUACCUUUUUGCAGCCACACCAGAUAGCUCACCUUGAGGCGGUGACUUCCAUUGCACUCCGUACCUUGCCAACGAUGUGCAGUGUCAAUGUGCCGUUGUACAGCGCCACCACCAGUGUGCCAUUCGGCGUUGGCACCGGAGUUGGUGCCUACUGAUAAGAAAAGUUGU